rnacentral:lncRNA from 1 species
GCAUUUGGCCUUCCAAAUCCUCAAAGUUAAGCCCGGAACAAUUCCCAUCUGCCAUUUCCUUCCCACUGAUCAUAUUGUCUGGGUUCCGAACCACAAAUCUGCAUGAUCAUCACUUAGCACUGUACGUAUAAUAACCUUUACCCCUGUAUAAUUAUCUCCCUACUCUACUUAUUUCUGCCUCUUCAUGUGGUGUAAGAUAUAUGAUGAGAUGAAGUUUUUGGGAUUAGUGGUCGGGUUGCCUUAAAAACACAGAUUACAGAAACUGCUUGAACUUAACCCGAUCAUGUUUUCUCUUGUACUCGUAAAGCAUGCUGUUGUGGUUCUACUUAAUUUCGUCCUCCCCAAUGUUUGAGUGUUUAAUUGUUACGUUGGAAUAGGCUGCUAAUGCAUGUAGUUAGAGAAGCUUUCAUUUAUAUCAAAGUCCUCAAACUAUCAAGAAUUAAUGCAUCCAGAAACAUAUAUACCAAGACGCAAAACAACAUAUUUUCCAUGCUGUGUCGGUAACACCAAAGCAAACUUCCUUUAUCACAAAAGGACCAAAUUCCAAUACUAAUCUAAUCCAUCAUGUAAAGCAUACAAUCUACAACUGCCUCCCUAAAUUUGUCCAUUGGAUAUAUAUGUCACUUUUUGGUAAUUUGGUAUAGCAGCACCACGUAGUAUGCAUUUAACAGAAAAGUAAACAAAAUUGACAGUAGAACUAUUUGUCCUAACGAAACUGAAGUUGAAAGACCAUGAGAACGAUUUUGAAAAUUAAGGGACUCAAAUGAAAAUUGGGUCUAAGUUCAGGGACCAAUAAAACGAUUAACCCAUAGAUUUUGGAUCCAGUACCACAUCCCAAAGAGAAAACCACAAGUUUGCAAGCAAGUUUGUCCAUACUAACACUACGUACAGUAUGGGCAAUGUGCUAGACUCAUCUCACUUUCUCAACCUAUCCUAUACUUGUCUAAAAGAGUUUCUAAUUUAAUGUACUGAGAUUUACGAAAGAAAUAUCAGAGAAACAAUUUUCAGGCAAUAAAAAAAUGUCUUGGCAAGAAAAUGCACAAUUUGUUACAUAACUUAUUAAAUAUGAACAGUUGAAAGAAAAAAGAAUUUGGAUGAGGGAUUUGCAAAUUCCUAUGGCCCAAUUACCUUUUUUUCUUUGUUUUUUUUUGGUUCUUUUGAUCCAGUAGCAUAUUCCAAAGAAUGAAAACCACAGGCAUGCAAUGCAAGCUCUUUUCCCAUGUUUUCCUCUGUUUUUCUCCUAUCAUGGAAGUGAUUAAAACACACCUCUAAGCUUGUUUUGCGUUUGGUAGCCGAGUGUAAAAGCUCAAUGCAAGAUAGUUUGAGGUAGAAUUUUCUCCUGUUUUAUUAGGACAAUGAUGAGCUAUAUGUGACAACAAAUUGCUUUAAUAAUGAAAAUUAAAAAAGUGUGAUUCAUUGAAUAUUUGCGGGGUUUUGUUCAGAGCUGACAAAGUUCUAAGUCAACACAUCAAAUUCCUUUUUCCAACAAUCGUAUUUGAUUCACAAUUUUGUCUGAUAUACAUCACAUCAUGACACUUGCAUCAAAUGAAUUUAAUUGAGUGAGGCAAUGGGAAGUAAUUAAGCUCUAUAUUGGUGGGUGGAGUGUUACUUCUGGAAUCCUAAUCAUUCGUCCCUACAGGACUCUAGAACUCUCACACUUCUUACAAGGACUACUUAACUCUAUAGCUUAUUGCAUAUAGCAUAUAUAUGCAAACCCAAUUAGAAAUUCUACAACAGAAGCAAGAUCAAUCUCACUAUGCCUUCUAAACAAACAAACAAAUAAAACAAGCAUAUUAAUUGCUUUAAUCACUCUACUAACAUCAACACAGCACACUUAGUUUACUAACAGAUGAUAUAGAAAGGAAAAAAAAGGACCAAUAGGGAGAAAAUGGUGAACUAAGGAGAGACUAAUACUUCUGGUCCUUAGAAGGCAUAACAGAAAUAAUAGAGCACACUGCUUGAAUGCAAGUCAGUAUUAGGAGCAAAACAGCUGCAAUGAAAGAAAUAGUUGCCCAAGGUGUAUUGAAAUAAUGUUGCCUCAAAUUUGCCUUCCAUUUGUUCCAAGGCUUUCUGCAGUAGCUAUUAAGGCGCUCAGAAAGAGUAGCAAAGUAGAAGCUUUCACGAUACACUGCAAUUCCUUUUCCGAGGUUGUUAAUCAGAGUGCACACCUCAUUGUAGUCACCAAGCAUAUUUUUGACAAUCCCAUACUUCAGAAGGAACUCCACAUCCUUUUCGGUGUUCACAAACUCAUCCAUGAGUGAAACAUAAUCACUUAUGUAAUUCUUACGGCAAUGGCACUAUUCAAAGGCAAUGAGGUUAUGGAGUGUGAGCUCUGUGUAAUCGUUUAUUUUUAGUUUUGGAAUUUCUAGAAUCCCAUCGUUGAAUCGUGUUAACGCAGCUUUCCUUUCCUAGCCUACGCGGAAGUCAACUUCACAAUCUCCUCCUAGCAAUUAGCCUUUCCUACUGUAAAUCGGAUUGUAUUCAUGUCUAUAUUAUUUCCUACCUUAAAUAGAUAUCCUGUACUAGUAUACAUAGGGACUUUGUGUAAUCUGUUAAAUACAAGGAAAUAUAUACUCUACAUGGUAUCAACCUAACCUAGGGUUCUCUCUCUCCCCCUUAUUCGAUCCUCUUCUCCUUUAGGUCCACCUCAUGGCUUCGUUUGAAUCCACCAUCUCCCUCCCAAGCCCUAACUCUUCUCAUUUUAUCAAGCUUACUAACUCCAACUAUCUUCUUUGGCUCCGCCAACUCAAACCCUUUUAGUUGGCCAUGACCUCUGGAAAUUUAUCGAUGGCAUUCAUAAACAACCUUCUGCCCACACCUCCACCUCUACCACCACAACACCCACAACCACCACCACUCUUACCGAAAUCAAUCCUACCUAUGCUCAGUGGUACCAACAAGACCAACUCAUUGUUAGCUACAUCACCAGUACACUCUCUGAGUCCAUUUUCUCUCUCACUGUCGGUUGCAUCUCUGCCCGGGAUCUCUGGGAGUGUCUCCAAUGCCACUUCUCUUAAUCCAAUAUGGCCAGUGAAUCUGCUCUUCGUUUUCAACUCAUGGAUUUGCAAAAAGGCUCUCAACCCAUUGAUGCUUACCUUCGUCAUGCUAAGUCUCUUGCCGAUUCACUAGCUGCCAUCAAUUAACCUGUCUCCCCAAAAGAACUUGUCACUGCUGUGCUUCGGGGUUUAGGACCCGAUCACAAAAUGCUCAUCACAGCAAUUCUCAAUUUCUCUCCGCUUCCAGACUUUGCUGAUCUUCGUGCUCGUUUGUUAGCUUUUGAUGCACAGACUCCUCGAAUCUUUCCUGAUCAAAACACAACGCUAAUGGCCACCCAAUCUUCUCCUUACACCACCGGUCAUACUUCCUUCCCUUCUCACCGUGGUUGUGGCUCUUCCAGCAAUAGGCGCGGUGGCUGGUGCAGUAUUGGCCGUGGUGGCUGGCACAACUUCUCAUCUUCCUAGAGCAACCCGUGGAAUGGCUUCCAGCAGCCCUAAUGACCUAAUCAACUGUGGCCUCCUUUUGCUCUAAGUUUUGGAUCUCAAAGCAACUGGCCUUCCUUUCAACCUCUUUGGGCCCAAUCUGCCGCUUCUAGCAAACACUCUGCCCGACCCAACUCAGCUCCUGGUGUCUUGGGACCCGCUUGGUGCACCACAUGCAAUACCAAUCGACAUACUACUACAACAUGUCCUUAUUGCUACAAUGGCCCAGAAUUCUUCCUUUGCUGGGGCUCAAUUCAUGCAGCCACCUAACUCUACAUGGUACCCUGACACAAGUGCCACUCAUCAUAUGACUGGUAGUUCUUCUAAUCUCCAAAGGAAAUUAAAUGAAGGAGUCCUACGAAGGCUCAAGGCUCGAAAGCACACGAUCCGGCUCUGCUGCGGAGCUCACUCAACUACUGGCUGAGGGGGCGCAAAACAGAAAAUUGUGAGUGGACAAAAAUAAAAAUUCAGUUCAGUGUAAACCAACGUAAUAUAACCCCACCGUUUAGAAAACCAUGCAAGAAAUCCAAAUGCAUCUCAAAACCAUCAUAAUCAUCAAAUCAAAAUCAAAUACUGGAUGCCAAGUCCGAAAUCCAUAAAGAAAGCUUUACAAACCCACCAUCCAAAUCUUACAAUCCCACAACUAAACUCUCGAAAGCGUACCCAUUGGCAGUACCAGCAAGGAAGUAUCCUCACCGAGAAACAAGAACAAAAGAAUAGCUAUAUAUAUAAUUAUAUAAUAUAACCACACCUAGUUGUACCGGGAAAACAAUCCAACCGGGGGAUUGUUUGACUAGUCACCAUGGCAGAGUCAAAGUAAACAAAUUCCUCAAUUCACCAUGUGACUAGGGAACGAGCUGUCCAACUGGGGGACCAACUCUCAGCCAGCAUGUACCGUCGAUAGCCUCAAAACCCGUACGUCUGUGACCAGUCCUACGCGUGCAGACUACCCAAUCAAGGGUUUACAGCAACAUCCCAUCAAGGAUGCCCUAGGUUCCCACAAUUCCAAGUAUCUCAAGUUUGCGUAUCCAAGUUCCAAAUCCGGGGAGGUACAUAGGGUAGUGCUUAUAGCACUCCAAAUUGACAUUCUAUACUCAUCACUUUCCACAAUCUCAUCUCAACAACCUAAGUACCCCACACAUAGCCAAACAUAUAUAGAAAUUCUCAAAAUCCAUAUAUACAUACUCAAGAUACUCAAAUAUGUCAAAAUCCAAAAUAUAUUUCCAAUGCAUCAUAAAAAUAUCACUUUUAACAAUUGAAUAAAUAAUAUAUAUCCAAUAUACCAAUUAAAACAUCAUGCAUAAUAUUUCCCAUCAUAAAAUCAUGCAUAAGAUUUGAAAACAAAGUCCACUCACAAGUAGUCCCACACUGCUUGACCUUGAGAGGGUCCCGCCUACUGCGUAUGCGUGGUUGGAGUACCUAUUUCAGAAUACGUAUACGAGAUUAAUAAGAAGCGUUUCGAACGAGAACUUUGAAUUAAAUAUCCUAAUUUCCCAGGUUUCUAGUAAGUGUACUAGGAACGAGACGUUCUAAGGUUCCACUACCCAAUUCGAACCAUGGAAGAGCUUCGGGAGACACUCGGUCAACCGGCGGUCAAAUUCCCAAAUCGGGUCAACUGGCCCACGGGACCCACGACCUCCGUUUUUAAAAUCCGUAAGUUCCUAAAGGUUUCACAAUGUCUAAGAUACUACUAUCACAAGUUUGGUCCGAAACGGACUGUUAGAUCGCUUACGAUCGCACGAUCAGACGGUUAUUGUAAAACGUAAACUUUAAGUUAUUGAAUCAGAACAUCCGGGGCUCCGAUUCACGAUCCGCGAAUUCCUACACGAUCCUAGGAAGGUCUAGAGUAACAUAUAUUGGAAUGGAGUCGAUCCAAAGGUCCGAACAUAUCGAACCUAGACCGGAUAACUCCUAAUAUGUGAGAUUCGUUCGGGGUUCGAACAUCAACCAAAUUGGAAUCCUAAGGUACCUACGUGCUCGUGACAUUAAGGGGAUCAAUUGGGACAAAAAUGCCCCUCUGCUACAGUGCCCACGUGCCACCACACGCGGCGGUAGAGAGUGGGUGUCCAAAGCGAUUUCUCUUCGCCGGAAAAUCUCCAAAUUACAAGCCACUCUCCUGGCUACAGGUUCUACUCAACGAGUGGAACACUUUAUUCAACUACAGCCAAGUCCAAUUCGGACGGCAAGUGGCCGGAAACUCACGGUUUAACCCGGAACUUCAUGGCUUGGAUUGGGCGACCAUCGUCACCAUUGUCGUGGCACAACCUAGGAAAUAGCUAAAAGGAGAGGAGGGCUACCUAUUCCAAGCGAUGGCGCAGCUCGCGGUAGCCGAAAAUGUAGCCGAUGACGUUGGCAGUUUUGGCCGGUUUUUCACGUCGUUGCCAUCGCCGUUUGUCGAGUUUUCGAUUGGAGAAAAGGGGUGGGGUGAGUAGAGGAGGAAGAGAGGAAGCUUUUGCAAGAAAUGACACUUGUCAGGGAGGGGGGGGUUGGGGGAAGAGAGAGAGAGAGAGAGAGAGAGAGAGAGAAAAAAAAAAAAUUUCAGAUUUUCAUCCAAACCCUUUUCGAAAUAUUUACAAGUUUGCCACUAAACUACUUUUGGUUGCCAAAUCUUCGUUAUAACUCCGAUUCAAGCCUACCACGUGUCUACGGAUUCGUCUCAAUACAACCUACCCAAAAAUACCAGUCACUGCCCCAAACUCUUUUUGGGUAAGAAAAUGACCAAAAUACCCCUACCCCAAGGGUAAAUUCAUAAUUUCACUUCAAUAAUUUAAUAAAGAAUUAAAUUUGGAGUCGGGGUGUUACAUUAACUACCUGUUUAGUAGGUGUGGGGUUUUAUACAAAAAGCAUCGAUGUUAUUGGGAGUGGAACCACUUAUUAUAAGUUGUGAUUUAUUUAGUCAAGUUUCCUAUGUGGGAUUUUCUAUUCUUCAACAAGCCCCCUCAUGUGGGACCACCACAUAGUGGGCCACAUGUAAAGCUAAGUCCACAUCGGAGUCAAUCAUUCAAGCCCAAUACCUAAACACCACGUAUUGUGUGAGGGGUAGGGGUAAACAUUCAAGCCCAACAUGUGAACCACCAAAUAUUAAGUAAGGGUAAAGGCUCAAUUCAGGCCCAAUCAAUGAACCCAUUAUGAUAUCAUGUUAAAUUUCAGAUAGACGGGACUGUGGCCCACCACUAGCAACAUUGAUAUUGUCCCCAACUUAACUACAUGUUUAGUAGGUGUGGAGUUCUAUACAUAAGGUCUCGAUGUUUUUAGGAGUGGAACCACUUAUUAUAAGUUAUAAUUUAUUUAGUCAAGUUUCCAGUCAACCUGACUUUGAUACCAUGUUAAGAUUUUAAAGGGACGAACUCUUGGCACUAUUAGUAACAUCGACAUUGUCCCCAACUUAACCACCUGUUUAGCAAGUGUGGGGUUUUAUCCUAAAGGCCUCGAUCUUAUUAAGAGUUGAGUCAUUUAUUAUAUGGAACUUUCUAUUUUGUUAACUCUGUGUAUUCUUCAUCAAUGUGAACACCCCUAAACCAAUCAUACCUGAUACGAAUUGAAACACAAGUUUGUUUUUUGCCUUUGGUAGAUGAGUAGCUAGAAAAGCUCAAUGCACUUGCUCUUCUGCUACAUUUCAAUAUAAGAACAAGGUUUGGAAGUCAGGUCAACUCCUCAUAGCUUCCUUGCCUUUGCUUUGACAUGUCUAUGCACUUCUUGGGGAAGUUUGAAUAAUCCAUUGCAGGCCCCAUGACAACUAAGGAACCAACAUUUUGUAGAAGGUUUUGUCUAUACCUUUUGACUAUAAGUAAAAUCUUUUGUAUCUGCUCUUAUGUUUCGGUGAAGUUUCUAUGUGUCCUUUGUGCCGAGUUUCUAUGCGUCCUUUGUUGAACCAAAAAAUGAGGUUGUUUCUUACUAGAUUCAAAUACUUAAAAGAAAAAAAGAAAUUGUUGUUUCUUAAUGGAUUUUAUGAUGAACAAUAUCAAACUCUCCUCUUAUACGUCUGUUGGUAAAUUUUAACAACAAUAUUAAAACCUUGCAAGUGCACAAAUCAAAUGAUAGUAUAGUAAGCAAGCAAGGGUCGAUCCCACGGAGAUUGUGAUCUAAAGAGAUGUUUAUCAAUGUCACGCAAUGAAAAUCAAAACAAAGGACUUCCAAACACACGCCAACACCAAGGGGGGUUUUGAUUUGUUUUUGUGAAUCAAACAAAAUAAGGAAAAGGAAACAAAAGAGAAUUUAAAUUAGAGUUUAAGAGAAAUUGGUUUAAAAUCAAUCAAGAUCAAUAGCUAGGACUUACUAUCCACCUCCAAACAAUCAAUCAAUCCAUAAACAACAAUAGAUAAUCAAUUUCUAGUAAGCACACUACUACAAAAAAGCAAAAAGACGACGGUAAAUCACCGUCGUGUAUUCGGUUUUUCAAUGGUCGUGGAAUCCACCGUCAUCUUUUCCCUCAUAAACCACGACGCUAAAUCACCGUCGUUGUUACAAUAUACAACGUCAUCAACAAAUACAAAACGACGUCUUUGUACUGCAAAAAGAUCUAAAAAAGCAAUCGAUGAUGAGAAAAGACGACCAACUCUCUAAACAAACCGUCGUUAAAAAGAAAAAAUAUGACACAUAUUAACAGAACAUGGCCGCAAGAUAGACAUACAACGACGAAAAUUAAAAUAAGACGCCGUUAAAUAUCAUUUUCACGACAAUAAAAAAUAUGUCGUCUUUAAAUACAUUAGAAGACGACGUUAUUGAUACCUACUACGUCGCCUAUAUAAAAAUAACCGUCGUAAAAUAAAUUUUCCACUUCGAUUUUUCUAUAAAAGAUGACGUGGAAAUAGUUGUCAGUGUCAUUAUUUACGACGUAUGUAUUUAUAGAGUAGACGUUGAACAACGAAACAACGUCGGUUACAAAUAUAUGAGAGUCGUAUUACAAAAUUUAUACGUCCUAUUUUCAGAAACAAACAACGACGAUAAAUAUUAGACGUUGUUAAAUAAAACAACGUCGAAAACAAAUAAAAACAGACGUGUUUAGUCUGCUAAAGUUCUAAAAAAUAGUCGAGGAUGAGAAUAGACGACCAACUCAAACAAAUCACCGUCGUUAAAAAGGAAAAAUAUGACACAUAUUAAAAGAACAAGGCCGCAAGAUAGACAUACAACGACGACAACUAAAACACUACGCCGUCAAAUAUAAUUUUCACGACAAGAAAAAAUAUGACGUCUUUAAAUACAUGAGAAGACGACGUUAUUGAAAUAUACUACGUUUCUUAUUUACAAACAACCGUCGUGAAAUAAAUUUUCCACUUCGAUUUUUCUAAAAAAGAUGAUGUGGAAAUAGUUGUCAGUGUCAUUAUUUACGACGUAUGUAUUUAUAUAGUUGACGUUGAAAUGCGAAACAACGUCGGUGGCAUUUAUAUAGUCGACGUUGUAUUUAUAUGUAUUCAUUACUCACGACGCACUUAUUAAUAUAGACGACGUUGAACUUCUAAACAACGUCGGUUCCAAAUAAAUGAGAGCCGUAUUACAGAAAAUAUAGAUGGCGUUGAUUAUGAUGAGAGCCGUAUUACAAAUAACGUCGUUUAAUUGAUAUUAGACGGCGGUUAUAAUGAAUUACCGUCGGAAUUCAUUUCGUUCCUCUUCGUUUAUAAAAGAACUUGCGACGUGGAAAAUGUAUGAUGACGUCGUAUUUUUUAACGUUCAGAUUAUAUAUCUCGUUUUUUAGACGUCGGUAUUAUGGGAUUGGAGUCGUGUUAUUUUGAAUUACAUGGCGGUUCUUAAUCCUUCCCCGACGUGAUAUCCUGAAUAAUUGCUUCAUAAUAGCGUCGUGGUUCUUCAUUGUUACGUUGCUUUAAGACGUCGGUAAAUAUGCUGAAUAACUGGUUCACAAUAACGUCGUGUUUUAUUUGAACGUAGAAAGUGAAGAAAUCACAUUACAAUAUAUUACAAAAUUAAUGUCAUACACUGCCAAUUACAUAAGCAUCAUUCAAUCCAUAUAUCUUCACACCCAUCUCGAAUAUUUUGACCGCCUAACUCACCCACCAGUUCAUCAAAUGUGUCAACAUUUGGCAUCCCUCUAGUAAAUGGCUCACACUCAAUUAUCACAUCACCUAAGACUUCAUCACCAAUAACAUUAUUAUAUUCUCUAUUAGGCAUUGAUAACACUACCGACCAACCACGAUGCAUCGGGUCGUCAACAAAAAAUAUUUGUUUGACUUGAGAAGCCAAAACAAAUUGGUCAUUCCUAUGUCCAAUUUUACUCAAAUCUACAAGGGUAAAUCCAAGUUCGUCGACUACAAGACCAGAACUAUCUAUCCAAUCACACCUAAAGACUGGGAUUGUAAACUUUUGGUAGUCAAGGUCCCAAAUUUCUUGAAUGACACCAUAGAAACCCAUAUUUGAGAGAAUUGAGUUUUUAUCCUUGGCACUAGCAACUUGCAUGGUAUGUGCAAGUAAAUAAACUCCACUAUUUUGAGUUGUCCGCACAUCAUCUUGUGCCUUGAUAUUGAAUUUAAUACCUUUAAUAAGAUAGCUCCUAUAUAAUGGCACAGCCAUGUUUGGACCAGCUGCUAGCCACCUUAAAUUUUCUGAUACGCCAUGAUUGUCUUCCUCAAGUUCACUUUGAACCUGCAAAUUAAUCAUAUAUCUUAAUGCAAUCUAACAUAGAAAUAAGAAGAAAAUUAAAAGAGAAAUAUGUUAUUCAACAACAUAUACCUUGAAGCGUAGCCAUUGAAUGAAAGUGUUAUUGUGCUUAUCCUGCAGCCACUUUGUGAUUUAAGGUAUGACAAUCAUGUGAUUUAAGGCCAAGAAGUCUUGAAUCUUGUAAAGAUACAAGAUUUUUAAUAUUUGAAGAAUAACCUUCAGGGACCUUCAUACCAUAGAAAGAAUUGCAAACCUCUCUCUUCUCUGCUCUUGACAAAUUCCAAGGCCCAGGAGGCAAACGAGUACGUCUUUCUCCAUACUCGGGUUGCAAAUCAGUUUUGACCCCCAUGUUCAAUAAAUCUAAUCGAGCAGCAAUCCCAUCUUUAUUUUUUCCAGGGAUCUCCAGCAAUGUACCAAUGAUACUAUCGCAAACAUUCUUCUCAAUGUGCAUAACAUCUAGGGCAUGCCUCACAGGAAGGUAUUUCCAAUACUCGAGAUCAAAGAAUAUUGAUUUCUUCUUCCAACAAACUCUGUCACCAUUUUCAACCAUGUGCAGCACUUCUUCUCCGGUUAAUGGCUCGGGAGGUAUGCCAUAUUCAGGUUUCCCAUUAAAAGCUGCACGUUGCCUCCUAUAUGGAUGAUUGAUUGGUAACCAUUUUCUAUGCCCAAUGUAACAAAUUUUGUGGCCAUUUUCAACCUGUGACUAGGUGUAUCAUCGCCGCAUAUUGGACAAGCUUUAUAUCCUUUAACAACACAACCAGAUAAGUUUCCAUAGGCGGGGAAAUCAUUAAUUGUCCACAUUAAUGCAGCUCUGAGUGUAAAGUAUUCUCCAUUAUGUGCAUCAUACACUCCUCUAAUCCCAUCCCACAAAGAUUUUAAAUCAUCAAUCAAAGGCUCCAAGUAGACGUCUAUAUCAUUUUCGGGUUGUUUAGGACCGGAAAUCAAUAAGGUUAACAUCAUGAACUUUCGUUUCAUGCACAGCCAUGGAGGGAGAUUAUAUGUAACUAAGAUAACCGGCCAACAACUAUAUCUGCUACUUAGAGAACUGUGGGGAUUGAAUCCAUCAGAUGAAAGAGCCAAUCUCAAGUUUCUCGGCUCAUUACCAAACUCAGGCCAUUUAUCAUCAAGAAGUUUCCAAGACGGGGAAUCCGCCGGAUGAGACAUCUGACCGUCAAUUGAUUUUCUAGCAGCAUGCCAAGUCAAACUCUUAGCUGUCUCAUGUGAUUGAAACAUCCUUUUAAACCUUGGAAUUGGAGGAAAAUACCACACCACCUUCGCUGGCACAUCCUCUUUCAAGAUUGAAUCUUUGCCUUCCUUCCACCUUGAGAUACCACAAGUAGGACAAUUAGUUGAAUCCUCAUACUCCUUCCUAUACAAGAUGCAAUCAUUGGGGCAUGCGUGCAUUUUCUCAUAACUCAGCCCCAAUGCACACAAAGUCUUUUUUGCCUCAUACAUAGAGGUUGGUAUUGUAUUUCCUUCUGGAAGCAAAUCGCCUUGAAGUAUCAAUAAUUCUGUAAAACAGACAUCACUCAUCCCAUGUUUUGCCUUCAAAUUAUACAACUUCACUAAUGCCGAUAACUUCGUGUACUUUCUACAACCAGGGUACACUGGUUGAUCUCCAUCCCCAAUCACAUUGGCAAACUCAUACGGAUCGGAACCAAAAUCACCAAAAUCAUUAUCAUCCAUAUCAAUUUCUUCAGACACAAAACUGUACCUACUAUGGCCAUCAUCUUCUUCAACAUUUCUACUAGCAUUAGUAGUUGCUUCCCAAGGUUCUCCGUGAAAUGUCCAAUUCUUAUAGCUUUGGUCAAUUCCAUUAAAGUAUAAGUGAUCCCUUAUAAUUCCAACCCCAAACAACUUCAAAUUAACACAUUUAACACAUGGACAACGGAUAUGUGUUGUAGUUAGAAGAUUUUCUACAGCAAAGUUCAAAAAUGCUUCCACCCCAAACUCAUAUGCCUUCGAUCUUCUAUCCGAGUGCAUCCAUGACUUAUUCAUCUCCGACACUAUAACCUAUUAUCUAUAAUAAAGUGAAAAUACAGGCAAUGACCAUCACUAUAGCAGAUUAUACAAAGAUCUAAUAGCAAGUAAUACAUAACAGAGACGACGGGUUUUAAACAAAAACAGACGUAUUUGGCAUAUAUAGACGACGGAUUUUCAACAGACGUCGUCUAAUAUAAGUAAUACAAACGACGGUUUAUGAAAAAACCGUCGUGUAUAAGUAAUACAACGACGGUUUUUUCAUAAACCGUCGUGUAAUCGUCGUCGUAUGCCUAAAAAGGCGUCGUGUCUCAGUUUAUUUUCAAGAACCCAAAACCCAUUAAGAACACAACAUAUAUAUGAAACCAAGCAAGAAACCAACAUAUACAUGAAGCCAAGCAUGAAAACAAUAAAUCCAUUCCCAAUUCAACAUAACAUAGGGUGAUUAAAAGAUCCGACAAAAUUAAAACCAUUCCCAAUUCAACAUAACAGAUAAUGUAAUCCAUGAACCCAUUAAACAGAAAAUCCAUGAACCUAUACCUAUAAGCACAUUAUUAACAGAUCGCAAAGCAUAUACCUAAAACCCUUUAACAAAACAACCUAAUAUCAUUCAAUGAAUUUACAAAGGGAAGAUAGGGUUUGUACUUACAGGUUGGACGAGCUCACAGAUUCGACGAAGCCUGGAGAGUGCAACUUUUAAUUAGAGCAGAAGUGAGAGAGCGAAUGUUAUGUUGCGCGAAAUCUGAAAAUUUUAGGGUUCAGGGUUAGAAGUAUAAGAAUAAGAGCCAAAUAUAAAAAAAUUUAGGGCGCGCGAAAAUUUUUAGAGCGCGCGCUCUUUAAAACGUCGAAAGAAAAACCAUGGCGAAAGUUCUACAAGAACCGACGUAAAUGUAAUAUUCCACGACGAAAACACUUAACGUAACGCCGUUUAUUUUGACGUUCAUUUUUCGGAUUAAUUUUAAAUUUAUUUUGAAUAUUUUGAUAUAAAGACGACUGAAAAACCACGUCGAAGUUAAGAAAUUGAAAACGUUGUAAAUUAUAAUAGACGACUUACAUAUUAAAAUGACGUCGUUUAAAGUGGAAACCAUGUCGGAUAUUUUACUGCACGACGUAACAUAUGUAUUCCACGACUCAACCACCGUCGUUAACAAUUAAUACCCUAAACCCUUAAAACUAAAUUAUAUAAUUUUAAAAAUUAAGUUUAUAAAAGGGUUUAUGGUUUUACAGCCUAAUAUAUACCCUAUACUACCCAAAAAUUAUACUUUAAAAAUAAACCCCAAUAAAUAACAACCCUAAUCUCUAAACCCUAGACUCUAAACCCUAAACCAUAAAACUAGAAGUGAUUUUAUGACUCAUCAAAACAAUUUUGUUUUGGAUGGUCAUUUUAAAUUUUUUUUAUUCAAAAUGAAUUUUUUCAAGGUUUAGGGGGAAGAAAAUAUAUCAAUGACUUCAUAGGAGUUGACUUUUCAUUUUUCUGAUUUAUUUUAAAUUUAUUUUGAAUAUUUUGAUAUAAAAAUAAUAAAAUAUUCUUAUCACAAUAACAAACCACGUCGGUGUUAAUAAAUUUUAGACGUUGUAAAUUGUAAUAGACGACUAAGUUGUUAAAAUGACGUCGUUUAAAUGAGAAACCAUGGCGGAUAUUUAACUAUCCGACAUAAAAUAUAUAUUCCACGACUUAACCGCUGUCGUUACAAAGUACUACCCUGAACCCUUAAGAAAUUGAAGACGUUGUAAACCAUAAACGACUCAAUUGUUCAAAGAACGUCGUCUAAAUAUCCUUUUACGUCGGAUUUGGUUAAAACGAAACAACAAAAAACGACGGCUUUUGACUUUAUUACGUCGUUGGAAAAGUAUUACACGUCGGUUACGCAAUUUGUAUGUUUGUUUUUUUUUUUAAUUUAAGAAAACCUCAACAAAUUUUUACAUUAUAUAUUAUAGACAAAAUUUGUACAUUAUACAUAAAUAUCAAGUGUUCAAUAAUUCCCCUAUUCCAGGUGAAGGCAAACAAACUCUGACCAUUCAUUCCGGACUUCAUCAAUUGCUUCUUGGGGGUAUGGCGCUUCCUGUUUUCCCUUGGCAUACUGCAUAAACAAUGACUAUUAGGGUUUAUAAAUAAAAAGAAAUUCAAUCACAGACGACGAUAUUUUUCAUAACCGACGUACUAUAUCUAUUCAACGACGGUAAUUUUACAUGACCGUCGUUGAUAAUACAAAAAACGACGUAAAAUGUAUGAAGGUAAUUUCUUCUUACCUUCUUCUCAAACCCCAAGGAAGGAUCCAUGAUGAUGUCCCUCAUGAAGCGCAUCACAUAAUACCCGCAUUCGACAUUGCUGGGUUGCUUUGGUGUCCCUGACAGAGUUUUCCAAAUGGCUGCCUUACGGCCUGGUCUGGCUAUGUGAGAAUUAUAAAUUUUUAUAGCACUGUUCACAAUGUUUUUGGCCUCUUCAUCGACCACACGAUUUCCUGGCAGAGGAUCCAGAAAAUAGACGGUUUCUCUCUUUGCUCUUACAAUCAGCAAGAUCCAAUGACGGCUGCACAAAAUUAAUAUAAAAACGACGGUUAUUUACAAUAACGACGUAUUAUAAUGUUUCACACGACGAAAUAAAGUAGCAAUCGACGACAUUUUACAUUUAUCACGACGAUAAAUAACUACCGACGUGGUUAGUAGUUUCAAACGACUCAAUAAAAUAAAACACCGACGUGGUUAGUUUAUACGCUGUAAUUUAUUGAAAAUCAUAAAAACAAAAUCCUGUUAAGGAGACUAACCCUGGAUUGUAAGGCAUCAGGAAAAUCUGUUCACCGUCAGUCUUUUGAAGUCGAGCUGCUAGUAAGCGUGAUCUGUCAGCUAUUGUGCCAGAGUUGGCACUAACUGUAGCAAGGUCGAUAAAGCCAACCAUAUUGCACAUAUUUGCUCGUUUCAAAACAUCGUGCAAGUGCCUAAAUAUAUAAAAUAAUAUAAACAAGUCAGCACAAAAAAACACACGACGGUUAUGUAUAACAAAACGACGUAUUAUAAAAUUUCACACGACGUACUGAAAUAGACAACGACGUUAUAAUAUAUUUAUCACGACGGUAAAUACUAACGACGUGGUUAGUUAGUUAAGACGACGUAAUAAAUAAACCAACGACGUAUUAUUUUAGAAUGACAAACCUCAUAUAUACAAAAAAACACGACGGUUAUGUAUAACAAAACGACGUAUUAUAAAAUUUCACACGACAUACUGAAAUAGACAACGACGUUAUGAUAUACUAACGACGUGGUUAGUUGGUUAAGACGACGCAAUAAAUACACCAACGACGUAUUAUUUUAGAAUGACAAACCUCAUAUAUACAGCAAUGACAGUGGCUCCUAUUUCUUCCAUGCCUGCAAAUUGUGUAAUAUCUUCAGGCAGGAGGAAGGUAUCGCGCUCUAGACCAAACACCUCCUUAUCAAUUGUAAAGUGCAGGGUCUUAUCCUGAGGCACGAGUGUCGUUUCCACAUAACGACAAAGGGAGUUUAAAGAAGAUGGCGCCUCCAUAUUUGAAUAAUCAACAACUUUAAUAACCUGUUUAAAGAAAUAUAAAAAAUGACGUGGUAAUUCAAUAAAAACGACGGUUUAAGGAAUAAAACGUCGUCUGAAAAGAAUUUAAACGUCGUCUGAAGAAACCGUCGUGGUGAAUAAUUUAUUACGUCUUAAAAAAAAUUCCGCCGUCUAAGUUGUAAACAAACGACGGUUUAAAGAAAAAUAUCGACGUCUGGAAUUUUGAAAAACAAAUAAAAAAGGCAAAGUUAUGUGAACAUACCUGGUCGUCAUCUUCUUUCUCCUUUUCAUCAUGUUUUUCUUCUGUCUUCCCUUCAUCUAUUACGUCGAGAAUGACUAACUCCGUCGUCUAAAAACCACAAAGUUUUAAAAUAACGACGUUUAAUGGCGUGUAAAACAAGUAAACUAAAUACGACGUGGUAUUGAAAUACAAACGACGGUUUAUGUUUAAAAUCGUGGUGGUAUGUAUUUCAAACGACGGUUUUAUUAAUAAUAACGACAUCUAAUGGUUUUUAAAAAAACAGAGAAUUCAAAGUUCAGAUAUGUUACCUUUUCUUCCUGAUGUUUCCCAUUUUUGGCAGUAUCAUCCUCAAAAUGCUGGGAUCUCACAUCACCUCCAGAGCAGCUUGCUUUGUCAGACAUUGGAUUUUUGGGACUUUGGCUAAUUCUGGGUUUAAGCAUGCUUGGAUCAAAAUUGGGAAUUAAUUGGGAAAGCUGACUCAGGAAAUGCUCCCUCUCAGCCUCUACCAAUUGUUUCGUUCUAGCCUCCAUCCUUAAAGCCUCUUCCCUUGCCUUAGCUUCCAUCUUUUUAGUCUCUUCUUGAAGGAGAACUCUUAAACUGUCCUUCAAACGGUCGUCAAAGCUCACUCUCUGUGGUUUGGGUAAAUUGAAAUAUUGCCUUGGUGAGAUCCCAGCACCUACUCCUCUCACUCUGCCUGGAUGCUCGGGGCCCAAAGCCAUGGUCAGCACAUCAUUGCUGCCAGAAACAGUGACUUUGCCUUCCGAGACUUGUUUUUGCAAUUCAUCCUAAAACAAAGAUAUAUAAAAAAGUAAGAACAAAAACACACGACGGUUAUUUAUAUACAAACGACGUAUUAUAUAAUUUCACACGACGCAAUAACAUAUAAAUCGACGUUAUUAUAAUUUAUCACGACGGUAGUUUUUAAACCGACGUGGUUAGUUUUUAAAACGACGAAAUGAAUAAACCACCGACGUCUUAUGCUUUAUUUACAGAUAACAGAGGGAUGAUUCAAUAUUCACACCUUUAACGACCUUGUUUAAAAUAUUUCGACGUAGUAAUUCAAUACAAACGACGCGAAAAUGAACCACCGACAUCUUAUGCUAUAAUUACAGAAAACAGAGUAGUGAUUCCUGAUUUAGACCUUUAACGAUGUGGUAAUAUCAUUCACACGACGCAAAAUAUAACAUAAGACGUAAUAAGAAUUAUUCACAGUUUAAUAAAAAUUUAAAACAGAGUGAGUAGGCUUACAAUUAAUUUUGCUUUCUCUGCCACCUUUGGAUCCGGGAUGUUACCAUGUUUGUCCUGUCUAGCUCUCUUCCAUAAGGUAGAUCGAUCAAUUUCUACCCCAGGCAUGGUUUCCUCCAAUUGAUCCUCCAAACCAGCAUAUCCUUUUCGAGACAAUCGAUGAUUGUACUCAAGUUUCUCCCUAAUCUGUGCAUGUUGAGAAUGCACAGACUCAAAAUCUUUGGAUAACCUUGAAGCUACAAAGGCAUCCCAUUGUGCUUUCUCUAUGAAUUUAUAUAUUUCAGGGGGUUGGCUUAAUCUCUCCCUGUCAUUAGUGUAUGGAAGGAUAUAUUGCCUCGUUAGUGUAGACUUGAAAUCCUUCCAUUUCUUGGCAGCAGAAGCUAACACAGAGCUCUUGCCCCCUUGACCUACCACAAAAGCAAUGUCAACUGCUUCCCAAAUCUGCUCCUUUAUAUCCUUGGAGAUUUGAGCCUAUUUCAUGUCCACAAGUGGAACUCUGGAGCGUGCCAACACACCAAUGUAGGACUGCAUCUCACUAUGUGCUUGGCCAAUUCCUUUCCCCCUUUUAUUGUACUCAACAAUUGGCCUCAGUUUCUGAAGUUUUCUCUUCACAACAUGAGGCAUUGUGCUCAUACCUCGACCAGACUUUGAAUCAUCAGAGAUUGUUGUCGUGCUGGUUCGUUCUGUCUCAGCAGAUGAUGAAGCAAACUUCAUCUUCUUCGAAGGCUUCACUUGAGGAGGUACCAUUCCAAGGUCCUUACCUCCAUUUUUCUUGGAGCCAGAAUCCUUACUUUGGUCUUAGUGAGAAACCAUUUUUACAGACAAAACUGCAAGUGAAAAUAUUUCAGGAAAAGAUUAAGAACACAAACGACAGUUAUUAAUAAAAUACGACGUAUGAUAUGAUUUUAAACGACGCAAUGAAAUAAUCUCAGACGUAAUAAAUGUUUAAAACCAAGGUAAUUAAACAACGACGAAAUAAUUAACUAUAAACGACGUGAUAAUUAACUAUAAACGACGAAAUAUUUAUAUAACGUCGUGGUAUUGAUGUUCACACGACGUCAGUCGUAAUAUACCGUCGUCUAUAUAAGGAUCCAAAACCCUUCUUUCUUUCUCUGUGAAUGUUUGAUUGCAGAUUUGAUUUUUCUGAACCAUGGUUUUUGUUUUCUAAUUUGAUAAAAUACAAGGCCAAGAAAGAAAGUUUUGGAAUCUUAUAUAGACGACGGUAUUUUAAUAUGACGUCGUGGUAUUAACAUUCACACGACGUAAAACAAUAAGAUACUGUCGUCUAUAUUAGAUACCAACCCUACUUUCUUUUUCUUUAUAUUUUAUCAAAUUAGGGAAAAACAAAAACCAUUGUUCAGAGAAAUCAAACCUGCAAUUAAACAAGCAAAUAAAAAAAAGACUAUAAUUUUAAAAACAACUUUGUCAAUUUUCAGACGACGCUAGAACGACUGACGAACCGUCGUGGUCUACAUAUUUAACCACGUACAUAAGAAGCUACCGUCGUCUUAUUUAGUUGAGGUAGUUGUCUUCAAAGUUGGAAACUUUCCCUCUUUGUCUGUAUAUUUUAUUGAACUUGGAAAGAAGUAAAAUGAUUUUGGCCAGAAAAAAGGUAAAAAGAUUUUUCAAACAAAAAACGUAUGAGCAUGCAAAACAACAACCAAAAUAGUGAAAAUGAAAGCUUACCUUUUGCGUGCAAUGAAAGCAAGAGGAAGAUUAUGUUUAAGUUCAGAGACGACGAAGAAGAAGAGAGGAAGACGAUGAGAUACUCUGACAGUGCUCUGACAAGGAAAAAAGUCUAAAAGUUUUCUCUGGGAGAUUGAACUUUUUAAUCGGGUUUGAAAACGGCGCAUGUGUAUGUCAGGUAGACGAAAAGUUGCUUACAUAUAAAACCAUUUCAAAAAAAUAAUACGGCGGUUACAUAUAACUACGACGUAUAAAUUACAAAAUACGACGGUACAUUUAACUUCGGACGUGGUAAAUAAAUACGACAGUAGUGUUGUAGGUACCGUCGUAGUAAACUCAAAAAUUAAAGUACAUAAGUAAUAACUCGCGUCAUGGUAGAUUAUUUAACACGUCGUUUUUAUUAAUUUACCGACGUGGAUUUCUGUAAUAUACGUCGAUAAUACCGACGUUGAUUUUACAAUUUAAACGGCGGUUUUUUUGUAAGGACCGCCGUUGGUUUUAAAAAUUUAUUCUAUAAAUUUGUCGCUUUCAUUCAUUUUCGGUUUACAUUUAAGGUUCCAAGUUCUUCCUCUCUCAGUCUCUCACGUCUCAAAGACAAUAAUUUGGAUGUCUUUCUCAAAGAGAAAUUGAGCUUACUCGCAUCAAAUAUAUGUCCACAAGAAGAAGCUUGUCAACUAGCCUUCUCACUUCCUUGAUCAAGCCUGAUAGGACACUUAGUGCUUCUGAAUACUCCUUGCUUUCCAUCAAAAGAGAUGCAAGCCUGGCCUCCACUCGCUGUCGAAGGAAAGUUCGCUUCUCAGGGAAAUCUUCUUGAUUUUCUUGGCUAAGAAGAUCCGUCAGAUUUGUGAUAGCCUCUUCCUUUAUCCGUAGAGCUUCAGAAGAAGAAGAUGGGUUUCAAGAAUGCGAUAAAGAAUAGAAAUGGCUUCAGAUGGCCUCUAAAGCAUGAGCAAUCGAAUCAGUAGUUGUUGGGAGAUAUGAUGAAGACAUUGUCAAUGCUUUGAACUAUACAAGUCCUGCAGAAAGAUAAAGGACCAAACUGUUAAAGAAACUGAAACAAUGGCGGUUUUCUGUUCUACCGUCGUCUUUUCUCGUCGUCUAUAUUAAGGUAAGAUGGCGGUAGAUUUAUAAUUACCGACGUAGAUUAUUUUGUUAAACGUCGUUAAGUGUACUACAACCGACGUGGAUUUUAUUUUUAAAUUAUAAAUAGAGUUUUUUUUCCCCUAUUCUUUCAGUUUUAGUUUUCAAUUACAAAGCGUGAUAAAUAGAUUUUUCUUUCCCGAGGAAAUUUAAAAUGAGGGAAAUUAAUGUUCUAGAAUUUGUAAACUAACACGACGCAAUAUUUGCAAAUCUGUGUCAUCUGUUAAGAUUAUGAUGUGGAACAGAGUUCCAUCUGGUAAGAUUUCGUAACCCUUGGGAUCUCAGACAAAUCUGAUUAUGUCGGCGGUUUUCUAUAUAAAUCGUCGUGGUUAUUUCAAUUCUUGUCAUUAAGUAGAUCUACCGACGUAGGAUAAGAAAAUCAAAGAAAAAAAUUGUUAACAAAAAUUCUUAUUAAGACGACGGUUAAAAUUAAAGGUACGACGUAUAAAAUGAAUAAAUACGACGUUAAAUUUUAUUGUACGAUUUAAAGAUAACGUCGUAGAACUAUAAGAGAAUGACGUCGAUAUAUUUAUAUUUUCCGUCGUUGUACAUUAAUUUAAUACGGCGAUAUUUUGUAUUUUAAAGCCGUGGAUUUGUUUGUAAUUAUACGGCGUCUUAUACGAAAACCUCGUCGUGUUAUUUUAUGAGUAAAAACGGCAGUUUUUAUUGAAAUCGUCGUCUUUACUUUCUACGUCGGUCGAUUCAUAACUUCUGCCGUUCUUUGUUGGCAUUGAUUUUACACUGCGAAAAUCUGUUUCAAAUAGACGUCGGUUGUUUAAUUAUGUACGUUGUUGUUUUUGAACAGCCAUUUGAAUCUCCAUUUUUUAGUUGUCUAAGGUUGUAUUACACGACGGUGUUUUUAGAACCGUCGUCUUUUUAAAAACCACGACGGUUUUCACUUAGACCGUCGUUGUUUUCUGGUCGUCUUUUUCACUUUUUGUAGUAGUGGCAUAUGAUGACGACACUCACAACAAGAUCAUGGCAUUUGACUCGAGUUGUAUGAUUCUCUCUUAAGUGUAUGUAAAGUGUAUGACAUUUACAUCAAUACGUGUAUUCUUAAUUGAAAUCUACUAUGGCAUUUACUCAAAUUAACAAUCAAGAAUCCAUUAAGAUCAAAGAGAAUAUGAGUGUCACAAAAACCCUAAAACAUGGCAUUUGUUAUUAGGAAUUCAAGAAUCGAUUUCUCAUAACUAGUUCUUAACCCAAUUAUUCGUUGCAAAUAAGAACACAUUCAAUAUGGCAAUUGACCUAUGUUCUACAACAAUUUAAUUCCAAUACAUGCUUCUAAGUUAGCUACUCAAAGAAACAAAAUAUCAGAAUUCACAUAACAUAUAGAAACCGAAAACAUCACGCUUGUAGAAACUAAAAAUCCAUUAACCUUGUUUAUAAAAUUGAAAUCAUGUUUAGGGCUUCAAGAUUAAGCCCUAACUAACAAGAAAUUAGUUACUCAUGGUCUUGGAUGAACUCAAAAAUAAAUACAUAAGAACUGAAAAUUAAAGAAGGAAGGAAAAGAAAGAACUCGUUCGCAGCUUUCUCCUCUUGCGCUGUUGAUCUCUUUAGGACGUGAAUCCUUUUUAUCAGCCUUGCCUCGUCUUUUAUAUCACUUAUAUCAGAGUUCUAAACCCUAAAAUUGACUGAAAAGUCGUCCAAGAAGUCUUGGUAAACAAGGAAUCCAAAUAGGAAAGUAAAAAUCACAAUUCCUAACUCCACUGGGAAAUACAGCUCAGCCCAAUGUUCACACGAUUUUGGGAUCUUCGACCUUGUAGAAAAAUCAUUAAAAAUAUAUUUUAGAAAGAUAAAUGUCUUAUCUUUCCAACCAUAUAUAGCACGUAACUUGAAAAAUUCGGAAAGGCUUCCGUUUCUUCACAUUCACGUAGCAUGUACGAAACUGUCCUGUCUGCACGUGGGCUAACUUUACUUGUAAUACUGUACCAAUUGGCUCGGUAGAAAAUUCUAGAAAAAUCAUAGAUUGAACUUCAAGAUGUUAGCUUUCAUCUCCAAUCAGGGGCGGCCUUGGGGAGGUGCAAGUGGCGCCACCGCACAGGGCCCCCGAAAAAAAAAAUAUUUAUAUUAUAUAUAUAUAUUAAUAUUAUAUGAAUCGUAUAUAUAAUAUAGCGUCUGGAUAUUUGCACAACAGCGUGUUCAGGGGAGUUGGAUGGAGCACAUCUCUCUUUGGCAAAAGGGCCCGAGUUCGAUGCUCCUUGAUGUCGUUCUACUGGCUAGCCUUUUGUGAUAUUAUUUUUGCAUUCAAACUUUACAUAAUUAUUGAACCAUUGGAUUAAUAUGCAACGAUGGGUGACCACAAUCUCUUGGACUCCUGUGGUCCAUGAGAUCGGGACUGAUAUUACAUGACUUAUUUUAUUAAAUUAUUAUCAUGUUGAUGAUUGGUUGUAUGAGAAUAUAGUUUGUAGAAAUAUUUAUCUAUUUCUUGUUGGGGUUUUCUUCCAGGUUAUAGGGUUUUGGAAUUUUUCUUUGUAAUCUAAACAUGCCACCUACUAGAAAAUACGUUUAUGGAUAUACAAAACGGCUUAGAAAAAGAAAAUUCGAGGAAUUGACUCAAUCUCAAAGAGGAGCUCUUGAUAGAUUCAUUGUUAGAGAAUCACAUGCUACAAUUGAUGAAAAUAUUUAAAUUUUUAUGAAUUUAAUUUCUGAUUUUCAUUGCAUAUUUAUUGAUGGUGAAUUUUAGUUAUAAAAAAAAAUUGUUUAUGACAUUAAGUUAUGGCAAAUUUUUAUAGUAUUUUCGUAUUAGAUUAUGCAAGGCCCCAAUUUAAGUUUCGCACAGGGCCCUCAAAAUCUCAGGGACGGCCCUGUCUCCAAUUGGUCUUGUGCUAAAAUUCCUCCGAAAAGUUGAUUUUCCCUUAAAAACCUUCUAAGAGUGCAGAAAAGCUGAAAAUCAGAAAAAUAAAGUAAUAAGCCAUUUUUAAAUCUAAUUCUCUUACAAAACCAAAGUAAAAAGAGUACAUAAAUGAGUAUAUUUAUGGACUUAUCAACGUCUUCUUCGUUGGACUUGGGGUUGUUUUCCUUAUAUGUCCCCUAUAUAUAUAUAUGGCCUUUAGUUGAGCCCACAAAUACCUUCAGUUAGUUUUUGGGUUUAGGGGCCUACAGAACCUGCACUAAACAAUAAAAGAAAAUACCUAAUUAGUUUAGUACGAAUUUAUAAUGAAGGCUUUAUUAGGUGAAGUUUUAUUUCUUAAUCGUUAGAUCAAAUUGGUUAGCAUCUGAAGUCGCCCAAAGAUUUGAGAGGGAUUCCACAAACAUAUAAUAUAAAGAAAGAAAGCAAUAGUAGGAGAUGAACCAGUACAAAAAACAAUAUAUAAAUAGUACAUAAUAAUUCCAUAACCUUGUCACAAACGCACUCACAAAUGCUUUCCAUAAACCUUGCCCUAACAUAUAACAAAUAAAGGCAACAUUGCAUAUGAUGCAACCAUGUCCAAAUCUGAUACGUGAUAAAAAAAAAAGGACAUGGCAGCAACAUAUGACUGAAGUAGAUGGGCUCUUUGCAUCUCGUGUUAUCGUAAUUAAAGACAUCAAAAUAUUAAGGUUGAAAUCUUCUAUAGUAGCAAGCAUUAAAAUAGGUUUGAAGCAGAGUUUAAAGAAAAUUCCAAUUCCACUGAUUUGCCUCUGCUCAAAGACGAGAACCAAAAUGGUUACUUCCCUUGCUGAGUAUAUUUGUUAACGUCGGAAACGGUAAUAGAUGACCAAUCAAACCCAAGUACGACGAGUUUUGCAUAGGAUCAGAAGUAGUUGAAUCCAGCUUGCAUCACACGCUUCUUUGACUCCAUUGCAUUAGAUGAGUUUUUGUAUUUUUGAACAGCUACACUCCGAAGUCGUUUGUGUCUACGCUUCAUGCGCUGCAACUUCGCCCUAUCCAGAUUGGCCUGCCUUUUGUCAUCUUCAAUUUGGCCUUCAACAAAUUCCAAACGUGCCCUUGCCCUUUGGAUUUCAUCACCAAGUUGAAGAUGCCUCUCCUUCCAAAAAGCAAGAACUCUUUCAGACUCAAAACUUCCAACAAAAUGGUCAUUCUAUCUAGGAAUGUGACAUUGCUUGUCUGGUGACUCACCUGCGUUUCAAAGGCGGUCUUUGUUUGGAGGGGUGUUUAUUAUGCUCACAUCAAACUUGGUUAGUAAAUCCAUUCUAUGGGGGGAGUGAGUUUCUGUGGAGGAGAGAGUUUCAGUAGAUGGAGACAGAUUCGGUGGAGGAGUGAGAUUUUUGUGGAGGGAGAAUUUCUAUGAAAUGGGUGAUAGUAAUACCAAUAAAAGGGUUCCCGCCAAAAAGUAUUUGGUUGACAAUGUAUAAAUUAAUUUUUGGUCUGAUACAAUCUAAGUUUAAUCCUAACUAGUUUGGUUAGUUUGGUUGAAUUCACUAACUAGAUGUCACUUCCAUUGAGUUUCUUUCAACCACUAUCAGUGGUGUAAGGAGAGUGUGAGGUUGACAUGCUUGAAAAGCAAAACCUAACACCUCUUUUUUUUAAAAUUGAAAGAAAGUACAUAUGUUGACUACACACAAGCUUUGGUAUGUUGGUCUAUAAAGCUAUGUUCCCUUUCUCAAACGAAAUUGCAUAUGCAAUCCUCGUCCUCCCAAAACAAAUAGAAUUAUUCAAGCAUGUCAACCUCUUCAGGCGCCAACAACACAAUCAAAGAUGACAAAUUGGAGUCGCAGGUUCUAUUUCCACAUUGUACUCGCCGACCCCUUCCAUUUUCAACAUCAUUUGGGAGUGAGGGGGACUCCGAUGAUCCAUUAGAGCUAAUACAUGCAGUCAAUAGCAAGCUGGAUUAUAAUUCCAGACUGAUCAAUUCAUGGCGCGAGAAAUAUGUUGAAGACGAAGCCAUUUUGGCUGAUCUUAACAUUAGAGUGAACAAAGCGUUCUCCCAAAAGAACAAGUACUUGAAGCUGAGUCAUAAAAGGAAGCUGAAAGCUGAGGAGUUAGAUACAGUAAUGAAUGAUGAAAUUAAAGGUUGUUUGAUGAAUCAUAUGCGAUGCGAAGAGCACCACAGUGAACUGGAGUUGGCAUUCAACGAAGGAUUCGAAAAAUUACGAGCAUUUGCAGCAACUACUCAUACAAGUUAUAAUUGGGACUAUGUGUCCCCUGAUGUUGUGAGAGAGAUACUAGACGAUGGUGGUGACAUGAAUGAGCAUAAGCACGUCAAAGCUGCUUGGAAGAAGCCGACCGAUACGACUAAGUGAUUGCGGCUACAGUUGUUCAGUUGGUUGAGAGUGAUCGUGGUAUUGCACAAAUUAGAAGUAUAUUCCCAUAAUGUCAUUAUCUAAUUUAAAAUAACACAAAUAUCAGUUUCAUUUGCUUCAUAUUGUAACACCCCGACCCCAAAUUUCCCCAAAAUUUACCCUCAUUUAAUUAAUUAAUUAUUUAAGGGUAUUUUAGUCAUAUUUUUAACCGGAGAGAGUUUGGGACCAUGACUUGUAUUUUUGGAUAGGUCGUACUGAGACGAGUUCAUAGACACGUAGUGGGCUCGAAUCAGAGUUGUAACGAGAGAGAUAUGGUCAAAAGAAACCCAGUGGCACAAUCGUAAAUAUUUCAAAAUGGGAUUUUUAUAAAAAUCUGGUUUUUCUCUCUCUCUCUCUCUCUCUCUCUCUCUCUCCCGCGACUUCUCUCUCUCUCCCGUCGGCUCUCUCUCUUUCUCUCCUUGUAUCUCCGGCCACCGACCACGGCUGUGGGCGGGGCCGGUACCAAACUGACCGGGACGACGUCCCCUUCCUUCCCCGACCAUUCCCCGCCGGCAACGCGGCCGUUGCUGGCCGGAAAAUGCAGAAAACCGCCGGGAGGUCGUCGAAACUUCAACGCCGUCGAUCUCCCUCCUCCGGCCACCAUUUUCGUCGACCCAGGUAUGGAUCUUGAACCUCUCGAGCUGUUCUAGCUGUUUGUUGGUUGGGUUUUGAUCGAUUCGAUCUCUAGAUCACUCGAUUUUCGAAUUGAAAAUUGGCCGAAACUUCGGCCGCCGUGAUCGGCCAUUUUCGGCCACUUUUUGUGGUAGGUCCAAGAACAAAAGUGGCUCCAAAUAGGGUGUUAUACCUAGGGUAGAAGUUUGGAGCCGAGAUGUUGAGAUUUUCCGGCGAAGCGUUAUCGCUUUGGGCACCCACGCGUGCGGCGGCGCGUGGGCACUGUAGAAAAAGUAGAUGUGUUCCGAUGAGAUCCUUAGGUUGUCACGAGUGCGUAGGAUUUGGCGGAUCUCAAUUCGGACGUCGUUUGACUAUCGAACGGAUAAUCGCAUAUUAUGCGUUAUCCGGGUUCGAUAGGUUGAGACCGUCGGAUGGUCCCAAAUUUAAUAUAUGUUGAUCUAGGUAUUUCUAGGAUCGUGUAGGAUUUCACGGAUCGUGAAUCGGAGCCCCGGAUGUUCCGAAUAAUAAUUUAAAGUUUAUAUUUUAUAUUAACCAUCAGAUUAUGCGAUCGUGAGAAAUCCGACCGUCUGAUCUGAACCAAACUGGCAGGAAAAGUGUCCUGUACCUGGUAGAACCCAUAGGGACCUUCGGAUCGGAAAUUGGAGGUCGUGGGUUCCGCAAGUCUGUUUGACCAGGGUUAGAGUAGUUUGACCCUUGGUUGACCGUGAGUCUCCCGGAGUAAUCUCACCCUUCCAGGGGGAAUUAUCGGGAGCUAGACUAUUGUGGAGGGUUACACAAUAUUAGAAUUAUUUAUAUAAUUAUAUAUGGUUGUACAAGGGUACAACAAAGUCUAGAAUGUCAGUUUGGAGUGCUAUACGCACUACUUUAGGUACCUCCUCGGAUUUUGGAUUCGCUACAAGCACCACCAAGUGAAAGUUAGGUCCCGCGUGGCGUAGGUUAUCCGGCGUUGGGACAGACCCCAUACGUGGCGUUGGUUGUACCGGCGUAUGGGGAGAUUUGCAAUAUGAUGUUCAGGUCUCACGUGGCGUAGGUUAUCCGGCGUUGAGACAGGCCCCGUACGUGGCGUUGGUUGUACCAGCGUACGGGGAGAUUAUGUGAUAUGAUGUUGAGGUCCCGCGUGGCGUAGGUUAUCCGGCGUUGGGACAGGCCCCAUACGUGGCGUUGGUUGUACCGGCGUAUGGGGAGUUAUAUGAUAUGAUAGUAUGGCAUGGUCGCACAUGGCGUAGGUUAUCCGGCGUGUUGACAGGCCCCAUACGUGGCGUUGGUUGUAUCGGCGUAUGGGGAGAAUAUGUGAAAUGCAGAGAAAGGAAAUAAGGUAUCACCGAUGUGUGGAAUUGGGUUUUAGGGAAGAACUACGUGUGGCUUGAUCCCUCAAGGAGGGUACGUAGGCAGCCUAAGGUUAUUGGGUGCAGCCGCAGACUAAAUAUUAGUCAUAUUUGGUAUUUGAAUUGUAUGGUAGUUGUUUGAGAAUUAUUGGAAGGCCAAAGGCCAUUUAUGAGAAUUUGCAUGAAAUUAUAUUGUGCAUGCUGCUAGUUGUGGAUAUUAAAUGUGUUUUUAUGCAGGUUGAAAUUUUGGGAAAUGUCCAAUUUAUAGGGGAGACUCUGCUGAAAUUUCGGCAGGAAGUCUCGGUUUUUAGUAAGUGGGCCUGGCAUCGGGGUGAUGUCAGGAAUUCCAAAGGGUUCGUCUCGGGUUUUGAGAAAAUUCGGGGCGGGUCCUUAAACAUAUAUAAUUAUUGGGACUAUGUAUUGCAAGUCAUCAUGUGUUCCUUCUGUCUAACAUUAUAUUUUGCAAAUAUCAAAAUAUUAUUCAAUAAGCAGUCAAUAUCACAGCAAGUUGGGAAUUAGUAAAGCCCCAUUAUCAUGUCCGUUCACAUUAAAGAGCUGGCGUACUUUUUCUCAAAAAACUGACACGUGAGUCAUAAGUAACAUAACAUGUGCUAUACAUUGUUUAGUGAAUGGUUUAUGGUUUAUUUAUAUAUAAUAAAAUUCCAAAUAUUGCUGAAUAUUUGUUUUUUCUAUAUCCCUGGGAACAUGAGUGACCAUAAGCAUGUAAGACCUGUUAAGAAGAAGCUGACUAAUACGACCGAGUGAUUGUGGCUACCGUUGUUUAGUUGGUUGGGGAGAUCGUGGUAUUGCUAAGAGGGAGCACAUAAUGUGCUUUGCAAUCAAAUUUUCUUUUGUGUGUGGAAUUAUGAGUAGUUCAAAUGUUAGUGUACCCUUUAAUAUUCUUCAACCGUUUGAAAUGUGAUUAGCUGCAAUGUACUUUUUUACACGCUGCUUUCUAAUCACUCUGUUCCAACAAAGUGCUUUAAGUAUCCUUCAGUUACAAAUGUUUACAAAAUCGUGCAUCUAAUAACCAGUCGAGCUCAGAUCUUAAUAACAAGUAAAACACUAGAACAUAACAUUCGGAAAAAGUGGGUGCUGCUGGAAAUCAUUACUGGUAAUGGAAGCAAGAGCUGGCUGCUGGAAAUGCUGCAUUAGCCUGUGAUAUAAUCAAUGAAUCUCUGUUAAAACAUAAUUCACCAUAAACUACCCAUUUUACAUGGUAAAAGUCAUUGCUUCUUCACAUAACUCAAAAUUUGAUACUUUAUCAAAUGUCUAUGAAAAUUUCUAAAUAGGGGAAAGACGUAAAAUUAACAUGUGUCCAAAUUUCAUGCAAGAAUGAAACCAAGCAAAUUUUUAUUUCAAUUAUCAGUGGACAUAGUAAGAACUCAUCGGUGGACAUGAACAAAAAAAUAAUAAUAUUAAAAACUGAAUCUAGAAAACUUCACCUGAUCAUUAGUCUUCAUAACAACCGAAUUUCGUCUAAUAGAAACAUAAAUCAUUCAGUUGGUCCGUGCAUCGUGUCAAAUUCAUAGAAUAAUGGGUCACUACGAUCUAUUGGAGUUGAUUCGUCAUUGUUCGACGGUGAUGUCCUGCAUAGACAUCAAACACAAGCACAGAAAAAAUUUACCUAUUCAAAUUUUAGGUGUUAUUAUAAAUAGUGUUAGCAUCUUACGGUGUGUUCAAAUUUCUUGCGCAUUGUCUUCUAUCAUGACCAAUGUGUCCACACUCCAGACAGUGUCUAAUCCCUCGCUUCAUUGCCUUUUCUUUUGCUCCCGUUACUCGUUUCGACCUUCUUUUGCACCUCACUCUCUUAGGGUCUUUCAUAUAUUGUGUUUGAGAGCUGGACCCUCCAACUUCGUUAUUACUUGGUCCAUCCUUCAACAACUUCAACUUCACCUGCAAACUUUUUAGAGUCUCUGACAGUAGCUCACAUCCUUCUUCACUCAUUAAUGCACCCUCAACCACAUCUUAAGCAAGUCGAGACAUUGUACUCCGCCUUAUUAAAAGACCAGGAUCUGCAGAGUCUUUAAUUUCGUUGCCAUUUGCAUCUGACACCAAUUCAGAUUUUGCAGUUUUCUUCCACCUCUUUAAAAUAUAUUUAUCGGGCAUAUAUUCAAUCUGGUCCCUUCUGAACAAUGCUAGGAUGUGCUUGCAAAUAAUUCCAACAAAUUCAAAUCUUUUGCACCCACACGAUGCGUGGUCAGAAUCUUUAACAUAUACGACGUCUGCCACUCUUGUUUCCCAAUUUUUCCUUUUGCUCACGCGAAAGACAACUUUAGAAGCACCCUCUGUUUUGAGCUCUAGGAAACAUGUUGUACUUUGUAUUAGUUCUUGGUCAAACUUUUGAAACAUUGUCCUUGUGUACAAGGUAGCCAUUUGUUUGUUCAUUGGCAUCGGUAGAAUACAUUGAGCCACUUCAAAUGCAUCUACGUGAUCAGCAACUAACUCUUUUUGACGUUGAUGAGAAAGUGCCCUCUCAAAUCGUAUUAUGAAAUCCAUCAACGAAUUUCUCCUUGAUAUGUAUUGCUUGAAAAAACCAUGAGAACCUUCCACUCUUUGGCUGCUUGACAUUCCAGCGGCAAAAAAUUGUUGUGCGUAGGCUGGAACCCAAGAUUCUCUUAAAUCAAACAUUGAACUUAGCCAUGGAUGGUCAGUCAAACCAGCCUUUGUAACCACAAUAUUCCAUUUUGUAACAAACUUAUCCUUAUUGUCAGUAUCCCAUACGGCUUUCUGAAAUUCACGCCAAUACUCCUUAUAAGCAGAAUGUGGUAACUUAACAGAGAACUUUGAUGUGAUGUGCAAUAUGCAAAGUCGAUGAAAUGUAGUCGGGAAGGGUAUUGAAAUCGCUCUGGUCAUUGCCGCAUCUUGAUCUGUAAUGAUCGUUUUAGGUCCGCCACUUGGCAUGGCUUUCUUAAACUCCUCAAACAUCCAAAUAAACGACUCAGUCGUUUCCUUGCUCAAAAAUGCGCAUGCUUAGACAAUUGUCUGACCAUGGUUAUUAACUCCCAACAUUGGUGCAAAUGUCAAGUCGUAUCGAUUCGUGUUGAAUGUGGUAUCGAAUACAACAACAUCUCCAUAAAACCCGUACGCCCAUCUAGAAGUUGCAUCUGCCCAAAAACAUUGACUAAACCUGUCAUGGCCAUCUCUCUCAAUCUUGAAAUAAAAAGCCUCAUUUUUUUUUUCUGUUCAGCCAUAAAAUACUCGGUCACUAGUUCAACAUCGUGGUUCCUCAACUUCCCAUUCACACUACAUUCAAAAUUGUAGAUAUCUUUUUUGAUAAAACCGAUUUUAUCCAUUCCUCCGGAUUGCACCUCGAAAAUACUUACCUUCUGAUGAAUGAGAAUAUUAACCGAACCCAACUGUUUUGUGAGUACUUUUGUAGAAUCUGAACUAUGACGGUGUGAUCUCAAUAAAUGCAUUCUUUCUGAGGGUGUCAUCUUAUGAUUGUGUCCCUCUGCAAAAAGAGAGAUGGUAUACUUCUUGCUCCCAUUUGUCUUCACAACCACAAUCUUAGCUUUGCAAUUGCAUCUACUUAUUCCCCGCUGUCUUUUUCUCUCCCGAGUUUCAUCUCUCCUGUAUUCACCUUGUUUGCAACAUACAAAUUCUUUCCUCAAAAUCUCUUUCUUAUUUCCCCCCCAAAAGCUGGAAUGAAGUCGAAUACCAAAGCCAGCCAAGAAUGCAUAUCUAUUAUAGAAAUUGUAAACGAGGUCAAGCAAGUCGAACUUCAUCCCAACUGCUGGUGUUUCCUCAUUUCUUACUUCAAGAAUGUAAACCCUCCCAUUAGCUGUUACACAGUCAUCACUCUCUGAGCCCCCAGACAUUUUAUCCACGUAUAUUAUUGAUCCACUUCUAUAUUAUUGCAUAGCAAAUAUUAAUUCAUUAAUAAAUCAUUACUGCAUCACAACAUAUCAAUGCAUUCCACUUACACAAAACAUUGCCCAAAUUGACACAAAACACGCAUAGCCUAACUUGUUGGAUUCCGAUUACACAAAACGCAAGCAAAAUUUAAUAAUAGUUACGUCAUCUCUUGUGAAAUAAUCUAGAAAAAAUAACAUUAGAACCAACAUGUUCAACUAAGAACACAAAUGCAAUUCAAACCAGCAAUCACAUAACUUCACCCAAUAUCCUCUCCAAAUGCUUACUCCUAAUGUCAUUAAGCCUAAGUUUAGGAUCUUUUACCUACAUUUCAUAAUUUUUCACCCCCACCAAAAAUAAUCAACUAAGUAUACUGAAUAUUCAUAAGGAAAUGACGCAUUAUUGAUGCCACAAAUGACGAAUUUCCUACCCUCACAAAAAACAAAUCAAACCCAAUUAAAUCAAUCCAGCAAGAGUGAACUUACCUCUCAAAAUCAAUCGGGAGCUCCGAAGUCAGUAAGCUUGAGAGAAUGUGGUGGACAUUAGAGAAGACUCUUUGGUAUUGGAGACUCCAUCUCUACCAAAAUCGAGGAACGAACUGCUGCUACGGCGUCUAGCUACAGAAAAAGAUAUGCUACUUUACUUUCAUCUGGAAUCUUGUUUGCUGAACGAAAAAGAGAAAGGGUUUUCACUUGAGCCAUAGAAUCAAAACAAGGCAACAUCUAGGUAAGAGCCAUUAAUCGUCAUAUCGAGGAUACCAUAGAUCGCAGGCCUCCCAAGGAGCUGAUGACAAUGGAGCGACUAUAGGGUUUGGGAGCUUUGGAUCCUUCUAAUUGUGGGUUUGCGUUACAUUCAAAAAAAGAGGAGUGUGUUGUUGAGUUUUUCACAUAGAGGGAAAGAGGGAAAGAUCUUCAACUGAAGUUGGGUUUCCAACGGGUCAAAUUUCAACCCGGUUCUACAUGCACCCUCUUUUAAAAACUCACCGUUGGAUUUCAUCCAACGGCUCGUACAUACCCCUCAAAAACACCCCUUAUAACUUUCCACUCACUAUAGAAGCUCUCCCCAGGAAAUGCUUCGAGGUAGAUUUUAUGUUUUGGGCCUUGGGACCCAACUUCACAAAAAGAAAACAAAUUUGACCAAAAAACAAAGUUGAAGGACAUUGAUAUUGUACCUGUAGGAUAGGUUAAAACACUAAAAGGAAGGUAAAUAGUACGUUUACAGAGUUUAAGUGUAAUAAAGGAAUAAAAACAUGCCCAGAGAAUUGAUAAGUGAUAUCAAUUCUUGAAUAUAUAGAACGUAAAAUAAAGGAAUACGUAGAAAAUUAUUUUAUGUGGUAAAACUCAAUCUAUGGGGCCACGGGACUUCUUAGUCCAAAAAAAAUCCAUUGAACGAUGAUUACAAGAAGUACUCACACACUUAUCCUAGACACAUUCUAGAUAAUUUUUACUAACAUCUUUGUAACUCAACUUCUGUCAUAGGAUGAUUUUUUGACACUCCUUAUGUUGAACGCAAUACUGGUCACGAUUUCUUCAAGCUCGCAGGAACUCUCCUUAUAUUGAAUAUGAUACUAGUCACGAUAGAUUCAAGCUCAUCGGAGAAAAACAGCCACAACGGUCUUGGUGCCCUCAAUGGUAUGAGUCACUGAACAUGCAAAUAAAUACAAUAUGAAUGAUAAAAGUGUUUGAUAAAUCACCAAGUUAUGGAACACUUGAUGAUUUAUCUCAAAUAAAAACUCAGCUUUCCAAAGUUUAUGAAUUGAAAAUAUGAUCGUUAAAGCUCUCUAAACAAAGAAGACGAAGAUCUUAUUUUAUAGAAUUUUUCUUUAUAAGAAAGAAAACACAUUGAAAACCAAAUCUCCAAGGCUUGACAGAAAAUCACAAAAGUAUCUUUCCUAUUCUAGAGAUUGGUCACAUGUAGUCCAACCAAUAGGACAUGAGAUAUUUAAGAAAUGAAGAUUUUGAUCAAUAUCAAUAUCAAAUGAAUUCUUAUACGCCUAGUCAACUAUUAAGGGUAUCUUGACUCCUUGAUAUUGUGAUAUGAUUGAAACAUGAUUUCCACGUUAGAAAAUUAAGGGGAUGUUAAAACAUGAAAGUAAUAGGAGAAUCAAAUUGAUUUCGGCCAAAAUUGCCUAAAAAGAAAACACUCCUAAAUAAACUCAAUUCACUUUUAAAAACAGUAAAACGUGAUUGAAUUGUUCUUUAAAACAAUUCCCUAAUAUACAUGCAUGAUAAUGACAUCACUUACCUCUGAAUCAAAUGCCUUUCAUAGGUCAAGCCACAAGUCUGUGUUUUGGGGAUUGCUGAGCUGCAUCAAUCCUGCCAAUGUCAAUGCUGCCCCUAUGCUCUCUCAAAGCACGUUUACAACCUAUGCUAACAUAUACCCUAAACCCUAGUAUCAAGAAAAUGCCAACACUAAUUUCGUAACACGUAGAAAUUGUUAGAGAUUGGAAGUUUUUUUUCUUCAAGUCUCUCCACCACUCACUAAUACAGAUUGCUCAUGUGAUGAGUUUACAAAACCUAUUUCUCUACUCUCACAAAGACUAUACUUCUUCUCAAAAGACUAUAUCACUUUACCUCUAUCUCUGUGAAAUGUAAAAAGUUGAAACUUUAAUGUCAAACCUCGACAAAAGAUGAACUUCCAUAAGUUACGUUGAAUUUGGAUUUGUUGAACUUAAGUGGUUUUACUUUUCUGUCAGUGUUUGAUGACUUAAUUUGGUAUUUACUUCUUCUUUUUUUCCUUGGAAAUGUGUUCCACCAACGUGAGGAAGAAAAAUAUGCACAAAUUAAUAUAUUUAAUAGAAGCCCAAGAUUUCGGAAGCACAUAAUUUCUACAAAAUUCUACAAAGUGUUCUACUUUACAAACUUCAUAUGUCUACCAAUUUUUACUAAAAUUAAUUUAUCUGCAGUGCUCAAAUUCAUCAUAUGUGUGUCCUUAAUUUUAGUGAAAAUUGGAAGUUUCCAUUAUUUUUGUUUUACGGGAAUUUUUUGAACCAAGGAAAAUCAAGUAAAAUUAAUAAAGCAUAAAUUGGAAAGGGAAAAUAUCUAGAGGAUGCAUUGUAGGAUUGCUCAUGCCAAUAAUUGUACCCUCUAAAUAUAUAGGGACAUAUUUUUUUUGCUCAUACCACUUGUUGCAGUACACAUUCACCCGUUUUCAAAGAAAGAAAUUCUACCAAUCGAUAAUGUCUCAAAUUUAAUCACAUAUUUUAUGGACCAUCCAGCUAUGAGGUUUUAUCUCAAAAACCUUCGGUACAUUUCUCCCACAUGCCACAAUUGUAUAUUCACAAUUACGUCUGAUACAUCACAUCAUGCCACUUGCCUCAAAUGAAUUUAAGUGAGUGAGGCAGUUGGAAGUAAUUAAGCUCUAUAUUGGUGGGUGGAGUGUUAGUUCUGGGUACCCCUCAUCAUUCGUCUAUAAAAUGGUGAAGCCAGUUGCUACUGUUACCAUAAGAGCCAGCUCCGACUUUCUUUAAUUUCUUGCUUCAUAUCCACUAGCUACAUCUGUUGCUCUUCUCAGUGUAAGCUCUGCAAUUUGAUUAACUUUCCCAUUAUCUCUCACUGUACUCUAUAUAAAGGAAUAAGUGUCGUCCAUUAAUUCUCUCCGAAAGUGUCGUCCUGAUUUUAAUUAGAGUUCGAAUUAAUGUUGCAGCUAGCAGCGGUUGCACUGGCAAACCAUGCUGCUCAACCGGUACCUCAACUUUACUGGAACUCCGUCCUGCCAAACACACAGAUGCCAAGAUCUAUCAGUGAACUUCUGCAUCCUGGUUUGUGUUUGAGCACUUUAGAAUCUUAGAUAUCUCUUCUACCUGCCAUUUUACUAAAAUAUGUUCAACCACAUAUUUAUCAGUUAACUACUGUCAUUACAUGAGUGACACAUAUUCACAAAUCGGCUGAUCACUUAUUUUCCAUUAUGACGUUGAUAUAUAAUGUUGGGAAUGGAAAGCCAAUUGACCACAAGGGAAAACCUGAAAAUACUGUACUACCACAGCUAGCACGAAGCCCAUUUUCUUACAAGAGUGAUGUGGGGACCAAAUCUCAUGUAUCAUAGCUUAACCCAUAUGCCACAACUAAAAGACGUGGGAUGAUCGAACAGCAUACCCACAUGGUCAUGGAUCUCUUCAGAUAAUCAAUAUUAAACAACCCAUAAACUUCUCCCUUUGAAGAACAAAUUAAAACCAAUUUCUAGAGGAAGGUUACAAAACAUUUUAGCCCGUGAAGAACAAAUCAAGACAAUAUAACCCAUUUGAUAACAAAAUCAAAAUGAGAUUUACCAAUACUAGAUGACCACGGCGCCAGUAUAAUGGUACGACGGCGGCGUUAUUGUAACGGUGGAGAAGUGGAUGGUAUGACGACGGUGUUAGUGUGACGGUGGAGGAAACGAUAUUAUGAAGGAGGCGUUGCUAUGUUCGGUGGAGGAGUCGUGUGUUUCACAGUUCAAUAUAUCCUUUUUAGUCAUUUUAUAUUAGGGUAAAUCAGUAAUUCAAUAAAUAAUUUGAUAGUAUGGUGUACUCAGUUAAUAUUAGGGUUCAUUUAACAGCACUCAAAUUAACUAGUGUAGAGUCUAUCUAUAUUAUUAAUACUAAAAAUAAAUAUAUGACUAAAUAACUCAAAAAAAAAAUAAAUCUACAAUCUUUUUUUUAAAAAAUUUUUUUUAUAGAAUUUUAUUAGAUUAAUAGGCACUACUAAAAAAUCUCCUUAUAAACUACAAAUACACGCAUAACUUAUACUAAUGUGAGCUACUGACACCACCUGCCACAUGACAGUUGUCCAAGCAUAGUGUUGUCAUUCAUUAUUCCCCACAGCAACUAACAUCCAAUAAAGGGUUGGGGCCCACCCAUACUCCACCUCUCUGUAUGUAGCUCUUUGAGAAUACAGAAGAAAUAUUUUUUAGGGAAAUAGCUUAAAAUGAUACCCAUUUCAUAAUUUUAAUUAAAAAUACCACCCCUUUCCAAUUUUUGUACAACUAUCACCUAUAAAUAUAAAAUUAUUGUCCACUUAUUGCUGAUUUUUCACAAGUUCAGAAAUUUUGGAAAGAAGAAGCUCACACAGCUCUCUCUCUCUCUCUCUCUCUCUCUCUCUCUCUCUAGCACAACUCUCUUUCUUUGGUAUCUGUCUAUCACAGCUCUCUGUGUCUCUCUUGGCUCUCUCUAUCUUGGCUCUCUCUCUCUCUAGCACAACUCUCUGUCUCUCUCUUUGCUCUCUUUCUCAUAGCGCAGCUGUUUCUCUCUCUAGCUUCGUUAUGUCUCUUUCUCCCCUAUUCGAUCUCUUGCUUUCUGUUUGGAAUCGCGAACCCCUCCCUUUAGCUAUGUCUUCUGAAUAGCUGCUUGCAACCUUGAAGCUCUAGUGGAUUGCCGACCUCGAAAAGGUAGUGUUGAUGGUUAUUUUCUUAAUAUCAGUGGGAUUAUGUGAAAUGGGUUAUAGUUUGAUUGUUUGGGUUUGUGUUAAAUUCGUUUUGGCUUUAAUUUCUUUGGGUUAGGUUUUGUUGAAUAUUCAUACUCAUUCAUCUGGGUUUGUACCAAUUGCAUUUAGAUUGGUCUGGAUAUGUGAAUCUUGAAACUUGGGAUUUUCUAUUUGAUGUAGUAGAUCUGUAUAGUGUGAUUCUGUUGUGUUCCUCUUAUUUUACAGUCGUAUUGCUGUUAUAUUGUCAUUAUAUUGCUUAUAUAUUGCUGUUAUAUUGUGGUUAUAUUGCUAUUGUAUUGUUUGGUUAUUGUGGUUAUAUUGUGUUAAUGAAAUGUUGUUUUGUCAUGGUCAGAAAUGGAGACAAUUGUUAUUCUCGUGUGCUACAAUGGAAAAUGGGUCACCUCGAAGAAGAUGUGCAAAUACGAAGGGGGUGACUCAAAAGGCUUAAUAGUUCCACGGACCAUCAAAUUUGUUGAACUGUUGGACCGUGUGCAUUAGAUUGGUAAUACAAACAGCAGGGAAGACAAGGUUUGCUUAAAAUUCUCAGUUUUGGUGGCCUCGAAUGAGUGGAAGCACAUAAAUAUUGAGGACGAUGAUGAUAUCAAUUUUUUUAUGAAGUACAAUUCCGAGGUAACACCUUCAAAACUAGCUCCCUUACUCGUGAGUAUAGAAGAUAAAGGAUUGACAAAUGAUGUAGUUCAUAGUAUGCAUAUCACGACAGAUAGUAGUCGGAUGGGUCAUUCUUCAGUUGCCAUUGUUGAAAGCAAUGAAGUAACUUGGAAUAAUACGAAUGUCACUGAUGUGGGAGGUGAAGUAGGGACAGAUUUUGUGGAUAUGAUUGAUUUUAGCGAGGUGUAGGAGAUGCAUGGUGGUGAUAAUAGUACUGAAAGAAAUGAAGUGUCAGUGUACUCUGCCCCUCCUAAUUUGGGCUGCUUCAACAUAGCUGCCCAGUUGCCAAUAAUGCGUUUAGGAGGAGAAUCUGAACCCACUCGUCAACAUUAUUGGAGUCAAAUAGGUGAACAAAAUCGGUACAAUGCAGCCGGUGUAAAUGAUGAAGAAGCAUAUUUGGACAGCGGGUUUUCACGAAGUGAUUGGAAUCCGAAAAUUACAGUUGGGCAAAUUUUCUCUAGUAAGAAAGCAUUGUUGACGGAGUUACGGUUGACGGCAUUAAGAGGCCACUUUGAAUUUAAGGUGCAAUUCUCUUGCACUAAAAGGUUGCUUGUGGUUUGUUGUCAACGUCCAUGCCCAUGGCGGGUCCGAGCAUCGAGAAUUGGAGAAUACAGCUUCAUGAUUGUGAGGUGUACAACUGUCCAUGAAUGUGAUUUGAGGUUCGUAAGUGACAAGCAUCGUCAAGCAACCGCAGCACUUGUAGCCACUUCACUUAAAAGGAAGUGACAUUAUGAGAGAUGUGAAACACAACUUUGGUUGCACCAUCCAUUAUUCGAAAGCUUGGAAAGCAAAGGAGUUAGCUCUAUUGUCCAUUAGAGGAUCAGCGGAGGAGGCAUAUUAUAUCCUUCCAGCUUAUUGCUAUGAAUUGGAGCGUAUGAAUCCCGGCACAAAAACACACAUCCAAACUGAUGAGAACAAUCACUUUGUGUAUUUAUUUAUGGCGGUUGGCGCAUGUAUUAGAGGGUUCCGUUCUUCCAUGCGCCCAGUGAUAGCCGUGGAUGCCACUCAUUUAAAAUCCAAGUACAAGGGUGUUAUGUUUGUAGCAAAUGCAUUCGAUGGUAAUUGAAAUAUAUAUCCUCUUGCUUUUGGGAUCGGGGAUUUGGAGACGGAUGCAUCAUGGCAUUGGUUUUUCACUAAACUUCAUGAAGCCAUUGGUGAGUGUCCCAAUCUUGUUAUUAUUUCUGAUCGCAAUGUUAGCAUAGAGAAUGUGUGGAACAAAAUUUUUCCAACUGCACAACGUGGCAUAUGCUUUUAUCAUAUGAAGGGGAACAUGAAACGCACUUGCUAGUUGAAAAAGCGUGAUCACAUACUUAUGCACUUUGAGCAGGCUGCGAAAUCUUAUUCCAUUGCUGAAUUUGAUUGUCAUUUUUGCAAGAUCAAGCGAAAGGAACAUGUUGCUCAAUAUCUUGAAGAGACAGGGUUACAUAAGUGGUCUAGAGCUCACAUGGAUGGACGCCGCUACAAUGUAAUGACAACAAAUAUUGCAGAGUCAAUCAACUCAGUCCUUAGGUUUGCAAGGAUGCUGCCAGUGGUUCAUUUGAUAGGGGAAAUUGUUAAUCUCCUUGUGAAAUGGUUCACCGAACGUUGUGAGUUGGUUUUGAAUUGCACAACAACAUUGUGCCCCAAUUUUGGAGAGAAGAAGUUGAGGAACAGGUUGGAGGAUGCUGCAAGGAUGAAUGUGGUUAAAGUAAAUAAUGCACAGUUUAAUGUUUUGGACGGUGAUAUGGACGGCCUCGUAGAUUUGGCGAACAGCAGUUGUAGUUGUAGAAAGUUUCAGCUUGAGCAGCUACCUUGCAAGCAUGUAGUUGCAGUUUGCCGCUUCUUGAAAGUAAAUGUAUACGCAAAGGCUUCUCGGUAUUACACUCAGAAAACCUGGAUGAUGCUUAUUCGGAUAGCAUCUACCCGGCACAACCUCACGGAAUGUGGGAUAUUCCUGAAGAUGUUCGAAGUCGAGUUGUGCUGCCUCCCAUGGCAAGGGUCAUGCCAGGCAGACGAAAGAAGAUCAGAAUUCCCUCGCAAGGAGAGGGCACCAUUAGAAGAAAGUGCUCAAGGUGCGGUUCCGCAGGCCACAAUAAAAGCACAUGUAAAAACAAUAUUCCAUUGCGCAAUGUAUCUUAGACAAUAUGAUUUGUGUUGCUUUGGUAGGUCAUGUAAACUCUACUUUUAUUUGUGGUGGGUUUCGUGUUAUGUUGAAUGGGAAUUCUUUUAAAUUUGCAUAAUUUGGGUUGCAUUGCUACAGCAUGCUGUAUUGCUGACAGAUUGCUAUUAUAUUGGACUUUUAUUGUACUGGUAUUGCUUCCAGAUUGCUAUUAUAAUUUGAGUGCGAAAUUAAAGGGACUGGAAUGUAAUUCCAAAUGGAUCCAAAUCAUUAAAGUUCUUAGAAUUCCUAUAUUACACAGUUACUGUGAUACUCCGACUAUACCUUCUUUUAUGAUUACAAAUUCGGCCAAUGCAUAGGCCAGAUGUGGGGCAAAUACAAGGUGAAAUGUCCUAUGUGUUUGACUACAUAUACUUGUUGAAGGAGCAUUACGAAUGCUAACCUCAAUAGAUUGCUCAUGUCUUGCCAAGAACACUCUUGAAUUUAUGCAAUGUGCCCAAGCCAGUCCCAAAGCUGGACUCACCCGUCUGCCUGAUGUGUCCAGGGACUCCAAGUUUCCCAACCUCACCUCAUUCACUUUAUCAUGUGGCCCAAUAAAAUCCACCACUUGGUUGGUGACAACCACCGCCAACCCAAACUUAUUUGCUAAACCCUUCAAUGUCCCAGAUAUGUUGAAAAAUAUUUCAAACCGCCAUUUCAAAUCUGCUGGUGUUGUCUGAUACUGUGAUCGGAACAAUGCAGCAAUGGAAUCAAUGACAAUGAGUUUCACAGGUAGGUGGGUGUGAUCAAUGGCAAUAAAUGCUUCUAUGUCUCCAAGGACAUGGAUGAGUUGUUGAGCAUCAUGAACACCAUGAACAUAUAUGUCUUCCAAUGGCUCCAACCUUAUUAAGUUGGGGUAUGAUGCAUGAUAAAGGUUGCCUAGUUGUUGCAAUCGACGAAAUGGGAAGCUGAAUUCUGUGAAUAUGUAGACGGUGGAGCCCUCUAGUCCGCCAUGUGAGGGUGGGAGCUGAGCUGGUACCGUAAGUUGGAGACAAAGUUGCGUCUUCCCAGAACCACUCUCCCCUACCAAUUCUGUUAUAGAGUUGCAGGGUAUCCCACCCCCCAAGCAGUCAUCUAGUAUUGGGCAUCCAAUGGAUAAUUGAGGGGUUGAAAGAGGAAGGAGCAUGAGGUUUUAGGGUGUCAUAUUUGUGUAAUUUAGGGGGGGAUGUGAUGGUGCUACAAGGCAUGCAUUAUAUAUAUAUAUAUAUGUAGAGUUCAUUUUGAAGGUCUGUAUUGUAGGCCAUAUGUCUUUUAAGGGAUGUAUAAUCCAUCCUUUUUUCAGGUUGUAAUUAAUUUUUUGUUUAUUUAUUAGUAUUUUUUUGGACCAAAUAAUUUAAAAAACAUUAUGAUGCAGUACGUACUGUAAUAGGAUCAUAUUGUAACUCUAUCAUCACUCUAUUGUACUCUUAUUGACAUAAUAUUGCCGUUAUAUGCAUGUUUAUUAUAUAGUUAUUACUGCUAUAUCGCCACUGAACUGGACACCGAUAAACUGUAUACGCACAAAUACAAAAAGAGGCUUCAUCAUUCCAUAAAAUCCUAUUUCCAAACUUACAUAAUACAACAACAGGCCACCCCAUCGUUACAUAAUACAAAAAUACGCCACCUCAUAGUUCCAUUUCCCUACUGUUGACAAAUUCGAAGUUGCAUACUCUUCAAGUGCGGUGACCGCGACGCAUGAAAUUCAUGACCCCGGCCACAGUGAUGUUGGCCUAGUUUCCUGCCGGAUCCACUAUUUUUGCAAACUUACGAAAUAGUUCGAAUCCGCUUUCCACUUCUUCUUGCUUCAACUUGGCCGUUGCUUCUGAUUCCUUGAAUACCAUAAUUGCAGUGGUAGGGGCAAUUUCAAUUUUUGCUUUCAUUGUCUUUAUAUGUAGGAGAUGCAUGCGCGCAUGAUAACGAGAGCGAAUUGUGCGGUUUUUUAUGACACCCCAUCUAGUUUGGCCCUCCACAAUUUUGAAACUAUGUCUGCAUGAAGAUUUUUCCAAAACAUGGUAUUGCCUCGACAUUGCUGCAUGCCAUGGACCAAGUCUGCAGGGAGUGAAUUGGGUGACUUGGCUUGUGUUUCAGUCUUCUCUCCUUCAGUAAUUGAAAGUGUUGGGUGUGGUGUGAGGUUAUGGUCCAUGGUCUUCGAUAUUUAUUGUAGCCUAGUGUACAACUUAAUUGGAAAAAAAGGGGACUAAAUGCGAUGGGAGUGAAAUCAGUGGGGAAGGUAGUGGCUGUAAGCAGGAGUUAAUGUGAUGGAAGUUUUCAUUUCAAACAACUGGGUUGAUUAAUAUAGGCAAGUUUUAAUGACCUGGAGUAACUCAGAGAGUUAUUGGUGGGAGGGAUUAGAGGGAGUAAUUGGCGGGAGGGAUUGGCGGGAGUCUUAGGCGGGAUAGUAUUGGGCGGGAGUUAUUACCCAGUUGACUGUAUGCCUUUUUGUAAUAUAUUUGUAUGUUGGACGUUCCAAACUUGGUAAUUUUCCCAUUAUGUAAUUCAAAUAAGGGAUUUGCCUAUUUGCCUAAUUGACCAACUCAUUCAAAUUGACCAAUAUGGUUAUUGUCUUAUUUCUCAUUUCAGCAAUCUCAAUUCGUUUCCAUUUUUCCAUUCUUCAUAUUUUCCUAUUUUCCAUGUGUCAUCCAAUUUUCCAAUUUUCCAAUUUUUCAUUAUUUUUGCCUAUUUUUUCCUAUUCCCUAUUUUCCUAUUGUGCAAUUUCCCAAGUUUCCUUUUGUUGUAUUUCUAGUUUUCCAAUUUUUCAAUGUUCCCAUUUUCCCAUUAUGUAAUUUAAAAAAAGUUGCCUGCUUUGCCUAAUUCAGAAAGUAAUUAAAAUGGUCCAAUAUGGUAAUUGUCUUAUUUUCCAUUUCCACAAUUUCAAUUCGUUUCCAAUUUUCUUAUUUUCCAUGUGUCCCUAUUUCCUAUUUCCAUUUUUCAAAUUUUAAGUUUUUGUCCAAUUAUCCAAUUAUCUUUUUUCCAAUUGGACUAUUUUCUAAGUUUCCUUUUUUUCCUAUUUCCAAUUUUCCAAUUUUUCAAUUUGCUAACUUUCCUUUUGUUCUAUUUCCAAUUUUGCUAUUUUCCAAGUUGCCUUAUUUCCUAUUUUUCAAUUAUCCAGUUAUCCAAUAUUCCAAUUUUCCAAUUAUCCAAUUUUCAAUUUUCCAAUUUGCGAAUUUGCCUAUUUUCCAAGUGUCCUUUUUUCCUAUUUCCUAUUUCAAAUUUUCCAAUUUUCAUGUUUUCAGAGUUUCCUUUUUUUUUCCUAUUUUCCAAGUUUCCUUUUGUCCAAUUUCAAAUUUUCCAAUUUUCCAAGUUGCUUUAUUUUCCAAUUACCCAAAUUUCCUAUUUUCCAAGUGUCCUUUUUUCCUUUUUCCAAUUUUCCAAUUUUCCAAGUGUCAUGUAAUCCUAUUGCCUAGUUUCCUCUUUCCAAUUUUUCCUUUUUUCCUAUUUCCAAUUUUCAAUUUUCCAAAUUUCCCAAAUUUCCAACUUUCCAUUUUUUCGUAUUUCCGAUUUGCCAAUUUUCCUUUUGUUCUAUUUCCAAUUUUCCAAGUUUCCUUAUUUCCCAUUCUCCAAGUUUUCACUUUUCCUAUUUUUCAAUUUCGCUAUUUUCCAAUUUUCUGUUCUGAAAUUCGCAAUAAAUGCUUAGUUACACAGUCCUAUUUUGGGUUGAAAUCCACAAUUUUCAAUUUCCCAUUAAGGUUUGCUUUUUUGUCGUUUGGAAGCCAAUUUUAUUGUUGUUAAUGUAAUGUUGUACUGUUGUAAAUUACAGCCAAUGAGUUAAUGAUGUAGUUUGCAAUCCCAUCAAUUGAAUGCACCAACUAAAUACCCAAUAUACUUCAUAUAAGUUCGUACAUAUAACUCAACCUUCCUAUACAGAACUGCAACAGAGGCACCUUCUUAACGGGAAAGGUAAUUAGUCUUACUAAAACGCAAAUAUUCUCCACUACAGCUAACCAAUUGUCGUUUACAACUGGAGACUGAAUCUACCUUUAUUUGUUUUGUUGCAGGCAACAGCUGUGAAUUGUCCCCGGCAAUACUUAAAGAUGUCGGAUGUACGCCCUCCAAAUGAGCAUGUCACAGUUACCCGGGGGACCAGCCGUGGCAUGUGCCAUUCCCAUCUCCACCUCGGACUCCCAAUCAUGAUCCCACUUCAUCUGGAAGUGAGGCUGAGAGCAAUGAUCCGCUUGACAAAAUCUCUGCCGUCAAGCACCACCUCCAAUAUAUGUCAAAGGCAACGGAUUGGUGGGAGAGUAAGUGCGAUAUUCAUGGCCAAGUUAUGGGAAACUUGGCCAACAAGUUGAACAAAGCAUACGCUGGAGAGGUGAAGCAAACUCUAAAAGCAAAAAGUCGGAGCAAAGAGUUAGAGUCCUUGAAGUUGAAAUUGGAAGAGAGAAAGAAAAAUGCUGUCGAAAAAUUCACACAAUCUGAAGAAUAUAACCAUGAAAUGGUUGAAUGUUUCAACAACGGCUUUGAAAUGUUCCGAGAUUAUGCUUCGGUCAUCUCACCAGACUACAAUUGGAGUGAAAUUGAUGUAGCUGGUGUUUGGCAGGUGCUGAAUAUGGGUGCUGAGGGAAUGGCUCAUCAUAGCCUCGUGCAUGCAGCAAGGAGAAAGGACAAAGACUUGGAUCUUUUGAUGGACCUGUAGUAACAGUGAGUGCUGCUUCAGUUCAACUCACCUGAGUACAUGGAUCUUUUGUUGCCUUCAUUUUCCCUUCGCAGGCUAGUAUUGUUAAGGUUCGGUGGCGAUUUCUUUUGCAUGUGUAAAAUGUUGUCUGUAAUGUGUAUGUAUUGUAUGUAGAUUGACUUAAUAUUGUAGUUCUAUUGUAUGUAUAUUGCCUUAAUAUUGCCUUUGUAUAGCAUAGAUAGUGUAUGCAUAUUGCCACCGUAUUGGAUGUAUAUUGUAAAACUAUUGGUAUCGUAUUGCCCUUAUAUUGCUCUAAUAUUGCCUCUAUAGUGCACCUAUAUUGACCUAAUAUUGCUCUUAUAUCGUAUGUCAAUGGCAUGUGCUCUAAUAAGUCUCCAGUUCGUUGAAAGUAAUCCUGAAUUCAAAUAUGAUGGACAAGACAAUUGUUAUCCAUCCUUAUAUUACCAUGAAUUGAUUUGGACCUUUCAAAUGAUAGUUGGAGUUGCACAUGGAUUCAUAUUCAAAAGGAAAGUAAUUCUCUCCCUCAAUGAAUUGUCGUUCAAAAGAAGGCAGCUAUCAAAUUUUGGGUACAAAAAGGCAACAUCCACGGUAAAUUAAUUGGGCACAAACCACAUAUUACAAAACCAGGAUGAUUUUUGGCAUGCUUCAAAAGAGAAGGGCCAAAUACAACAGAAAAGAAAAUCCAUUCAAGCUUGUACAAUAGAAUGCACAAUAACCCUUUUACAUGUCCUUCCAACACCAGUGUUUUGCCUACUUUAGAGUCGCAGGAGGAGAGCUUAUUGCCAUUGUGCAAUUCGAGGGGGCAGUCAAUUUGGAAUGGUGGCAUAAACAUGUUUACUCCACGGAUCACCUAUAUGGGACAGAGCUUCCUUCUUCCCUUGUCGUCUGUAGGUUUCAACUUCACACUUUUUAUAUACAUGUAUGAGAACUUGUGGCUAUUUAUUUAUGGCCUUCUAACACUUGUUCUGCCAUUCCAAAGUGGGUUGGAGACUUUUUGAGUUGAAUGACUGGAAAGACUUCAGAUGACAGAAACUAGAGAGUUUGAAGAAAAAGGGUUACCAAGAACAGCAGUCAUGCCCACGACAUAAACUAAACAUGCUAUAAGCUCCACAGUAAUAUUUACUUCAUCUCCAUAAUCAGAAUAUUGGGAAAAAAAUACCACGGAGAAAUACGUGAAAUGAAAAACAACUCGGCAGUUACUGUGAGAUUGUGUACAUAAAACUUGGAACAACCAAACCAAUUAAAGCUAAGCCAUCUCAUACGUAUACCUACAUCAAAUAACAGUGUAUGGUCAUCUUGUUUAGAAUAUUGCAAUCAACACUUGGUUGAGACCGACCUGCAAAAACAACUGGGUUAAGUACAGAUGAAGCCAUUUAUGAAGGGCAGUUCCAGAAUUAAGACCUACGUUAAUUUGUAACUGCCACCGAAUCAGUUCAUAGUGCCAAAUGCAUCUACCAAGCACACAGAUAUGACCAGCCAAAAGAAAAAAAAGCAAAGUAAAAAAGAUAAAAGAGGCAUGCCAUAAAUGGGAACCUCAGCAGAAAUCAUCAGAUAUGCAUACAAGCAGAUUGAGUAACAUCUCACUAAGUAGAGGUCAUGUUGGUAAUCGCAUGUUGUGUUUGCACACAGACAUUUGGUUUUUGCAAACACAACAUGCAAUUGCAUUCCAUGAUGUGUGUGUUGUGUUUGCACACAGACAUUUGGUUUUUGCAAACACAACAUGCAAUUGCAUGAUGUGUGUGUUGUGUUUGCACACAGACAUAUGGUUUUUGCAAACACAACAUGCAAUUGCAUAUUGUGUGUGUUGUGUUUGCACACAGACAUAUGGUUUUUGCAAACACAACAUGCAAUUGCAUAUUGUGUGUGUUGUGUUUGCACACAGACAUUUGGUUUUUACACACACGAUAUGUAACAUUUAGUUUUACCCUUUUAUUCUUAUUUUCUUCGUUCAAACAUGGUGGUGAGAAAAGCACCAAACCAUCCCAUCAUAUAAAGCAAAACUCAUACAAUAUUUUAGAUGCAAAAGUUAUAUAUUUUAUAUAAAUGCAUCAUCCGCAUGGCUUGAAAUUACAAAUUCACGUUCACAUAUUACUUUUCACAAGCGCACAGACUAACAAUAAUAAUAAUCAACCAAGUAGUUGCGACAUUCAUCCUAUUACGUCCAUAUUGAUAAUGUCAGAAGUUUCAUCGAUAAGCCUCAUCAAACUACAAGUUUUUUAAUUUGAAUUAUGAAUUCAGAACUAAAAGCUCAUGAUAUGCAGAAAAUGACAUACAUUGUCCACAAUCGACUUUUCGAUAUAUUUCUGCUCUAGCAAUUUAUCGUCCAAAUUCUGGACUCUCUGUGUCAGGUGCUUCUUUGUGUUCUAUCCAGCAUAAGAAUAUUUAAUAGUGUGAUUUCAAUUGUUUAUACAAAUUCUAUAAGUAAUAUUGAUGAGUGCUGUAAAUCUAUUUGAUAUUGGGAACAAACAUGGUCCCACUAACAGAAACUCAAACAAAACAGGAAUUUUUUUUUAUUUUUUUUGGCAUAGACAGCCGAAAAGAAACUUACAGCAAUAGCCUCUGUCACGCUCUCCAGACGUUUAUGCAAUUUUGAAACAGCAGCAUUCAUACUACGCUUUGUCACAUACAGAAGAUCUGAGAAUUUUAGACCCUAACCAUUUGUGAAGAGCAAAUAUUAGAUUUGCUUAAAGAAGACAACAACUCACAGAACCAAUGGAUGAAAUAAUAUGAACAUAAAUAUAUCAUUUGGAUACCUUCCACCACAUGUAACCAUAACCCAAUGCCCCCAAGGUAGCUGUUGGCAUUAUUAGUGAUGUCAAACCUAUUAAAAAAAUCAAAAAAAAAAAUAUAACCAAGUAUAAAAUGUUUCUAUUGCAUUAUGAAAUACAUACGUGUAAGGAAUUAAUCGUUUUACAACUUAACCAAAAAGUCAAGGCAGGAGCAUGCAUUCAUUGAGUGGUUAUAAGCAAGAGGAAAAAGCACAAAGCAUGCUAAGAAUUCAUUUGAACACAGAAGAGAAAGUAAGCUACCUUGGAAUUUGGCUGUCAUUCCCCUUCAGGACGGCUCUCUGUAGUGACGAGUCUAGUUGUCGGACCUCAGCUGCCAGUCGGCGCACCUAAAACAAAGUAACACAGGAAAAUUGAUAUCCAUUACAAAAAACAAAAAUUGAACACGAGAAAGCAUCCUUCGACACUAAAUUUAUAGCAGUUUUUCCAAUACCUGUGAUGCGAUCGCAUAAAAGUCACCUUCUGAUUGUUCUCCGGUUCCAUUGAACAAAGGCUGCAAACAAAACAGAAAUAGACACAAAUCCAUCAAUUUUUUGAGCAACAAGACACAAGCUCCGAAAUAAAUAAACUAUCUAACUGAUCAAAACCCUAGUUUACCAAAUGCAUUACAAAAUUAAAAACUCAUACAAAAAUAACACCAAAUACAAAUGUUCUGCGAGUUCCACUAGCAAAGCAGAGUACAAAUCAUGAAAAUGGUACCUGAAGUUCACCGAUCAAUUCAGAUAAUUGACCAUUCUUACGCAGGAUGGUGCUCGUAUACCCUGUAGAAAGAGAACAAUCACUCAGAUCAAAUGUAGCUAAAUACACAAGGAAACUAAUCCAGUAUGCAAGAUGAAAGAGGAGUGAUUGGUACCUACUCCAGCGAAGAUCAGCAAACACAGUAUGAGGUUCCAAAUUCAAAUAACAACAUAAUGCUAAGCAGAGAAGUAGAAUUGCUGCCGAAAUUAUUUAAAACGAACUAAGUCAAAACUAAAUGGAGAAAUGUUAACAAAGUUGUAUGCUUCAGUAAGUCCAGUAACAGAUUCCCAAAACCACAGAGACAAAAUGUGAACAAUGGCUACAAAAGCAUCCAUAAAGAGCAACUAUGUUUAUAUAUGGAGGUGUACAAAAUAGUUAACCUUCAAAAUCGAAACAGUGUGUGUGCCAUGUAAGGCAAUUAGCCACUGCUUCUAGACUAUACAAUAUUACACCUCACAAUAAUAACUAAACCAACUAGCUCUAGCAAAAAGGCAGGAUGACCAUAUAAAGUACCCCCAGCAAAGCAUCUACGUCUGCAUCUUCAUAUCAAGGAGUUCCUGACAUAAGUAAUGAGCAAAGUGAAUUCCCAAGUCAUAAGUCCAGAAUGAGGUGAAUUCACGGACAUUAAAACAUUUACCUCAUAAAUAUGCCUCCCCCCUUAAACCCUCAAUUGCAAGCCUCAGCCGGUAAUAUUUGAUCUUCAAAGGGUCAACUUUAUCUACCGAAAUCCCAGCACUGAGAUGCUCGAUGAAUUUGACGGUCAUGAUUCCGCAAGACGUACUGUGAGACCAAUAAGUUGGGAAAUUAGAACUGCAGUUAUGUAAGAUUUGGAUAAACUGCACUAAAUUCACAAAGCUUACCCAUCUCGUUGUUGUGGCACAUCUGCAAUGCUGCAAACUGAGAAUGGCGUAAACGUCAACAUCUUCAGCCCCUUUUGCUUAACCUUUUCAACCUCAGAAUCUUCAUAAAAGUGCAUAUCGUACAGCACUCGUGCCAGCGUAUCGCUAAUAGGGUGCAGAAGUGUAACCAGCUUCGAACAUUUGGUAAAAGCAACAUAUGAGUCAUACACAGUUGCAGUAUGUCAGACGAAAUCAAUUUCGAUUGCAACCCAGUAAGACCCUUUAAGAUUAUAUGGAAUAUAGACCUUCCGGACUUUUGUCCAAGCUUGGCCAUACCCGUGUUGCCACGUACCGCGUACAAAGUAAUGUAUAUUCUGCAGCUUGCUGGGUGGAAGGUCAACGGUGUUUGAAGCAACUGCCUUCUUCGAUCCACGUUUCUUGGCAGUCGGUUUGAACGGAUCUAGAAAUUGCUGCAUAAAUUGAAAUGAAGGCAUAUUAGAAAAUCACAACCGAAAGCAAAUGAAGCAGCGAAUGUAACAUGGUAACAUGUUUACCUGCAAGCAACAAUCUGCUGUUGUCCAGUCAGUUCCAAAUACCAACGGAUGAGAGAGUUGCCUUUUCCAGAUAAGAAAGGUUGCCAUGUCCAGGUGCUGAAAGUUGACACACAUAAUAUCAGCACAAUUUCAUACAACUGUACACUUAAAAAAGGUGAGAAAACAAUUUAAUUAUCGCAAUAAAGUAGAGCUUUGUGUAUUCUUACCCUUGAGCUAAUCCAUUCCGUUUCAUCGAUAAGUCUGUAGAAAAAAUCAGCGCCCACUGAAAAUAAUUCCAGCUGCACCUCCGCACUACAAAAGGCAAACUUGCAAUGGUUACUUUUAUAGUCAUCUCAUAAUUCUGACUUUGUUGAUGACAAAAAUACACAUGUAUAUUAAAGCAAACUCUACGUUUUCUCAUUAGUCUAUGACUACAUACUAGAAUAGGAUGAAGAUUGGAAUUCAAAGGUAAAGAAUCCUAACCUGAUAUCGUUUUUCCAGGCAGUACAAAACUCUAUUACUGCCUUCACAUCUUCAAUGGGCACGGAUUUUGAUGGAUCAAAACAUGGCGGGGUUGCAGUCGCAGCCAACACACUCAUCGUCCUCUUCUUCCUCAAAGGAUCAGUAAAUGGGCUCAACAAUGUCUGCGCCGGGCGCUUCUGUCUGCACCCUUUACCUUCCACUUCUUUUUUUUCCACACUCGAACUACCUUCUUCAUCACCAGCCAUACUAACUGUGGGUAGACUUGGAGGAUUCAUCGGACCUCCCGAUGGCAUACUCUUAGUCACUUUCCAAUCUUCUAACAGAGACAACACUUUUUGGCAGAUUUCGUCACACCCGGCCACAUCUUCCGGGGUAGGCAGCUUCUCGGAUUGUGCCUGCUCAGCUGCUUCAUGCACUUGUAAGUGAGGAACUGAAGCGGCCAUUUCUGCCUCUUCGACUACCAUGGCUGCGGAAGGUUCGGCUCCAUCACCGGGAACUUGUGUUUCCAUUACCGCCGGUUCUGUAGGCGGACUAACAUGGUCAUGUAAUGGCGACAAGUGAUUGUCGCCUCCUUCAUUCAUAUGAGGACUACUGAGGUCCUCAUGUCCUUUCCCACCUUCAUUCACCCCACCAUUUCGUUUUUUCAGCUGCUCUAUCUCCACAUUAAAAUAAUGCUCCAUUAAAGCCAGGGUGUUGCGGAAAUCCUCCACACACUUUUUAUUUUUUUCGAACUCUCUUUCAACUUUCAAUGACUCCUUCCGUACCAUGUCUUCCAACUGAUGCACUCUGUUGCGAAGCGCUCGAUUUGAUAUGGCAACUUUGGCCAAUUCAUCCUUUGUCCUUUGAAAGUCACGCUUCAAAGUGCGUAACUCUCUGGACGCGACUGUACCCUGCAUUCAGUUAUAAUGCAAGUGUUACAAUAUUUUCAAAAUAUAUUGCAACAAUACAGCAGUUAUUUUCCUAUUGUAUUAUGACGUAUAUCUUGGAAAAAAAUGUAAUGCUUGCCUUAGAAGACGACGGAAGGCUAGCAGUUUCGUCAAUGUCCUUAUCUUUUUCUUCUACAGAGGCAGAAGUGCUGGUUUUUUGUUCAGCGUCAUCGCCAAACAACUGAACAAGUUCUUCAGUGUCGUCAACACUGUCACCCCAAGUCCAAUACGGCUGCUGCUUGUCGAUUACAGAUGGCCGGAGAAGUUGCACAUCAACCUGCAAUUUACACAUACAAUAUACAUAUCAGUAAACUUAUUAUAUUAUAUUUUCAUAUGCCUAACAUUAUCAUUAAAAACUUAACUAACCUCACGGUUCUCGAAUACUUGGCUCAUUAGCUCAUAAAAACACGGCGAACUAUUGCUCCUCCAAUGUAGUAAACGAGGGAUGUAGGCAUUAUCUUCGUGCACCACCAAAUGUAGUGCAGCCAACGCUGGAAAAACCUCAUAAGCCCAAAUCUGGUUUGAGGAAUAAAACGUGAGUCACUGUAAACAAAUGAAAUUUAACUUCAACAUGAAUGGAAAUUUGCUCACCUGAAGUGCAUAGGCAAAACCUUUGAGGUGGUACUCUCUUGGUCUACCAGUUGCCGUUGUUUUUGCUUUCUUUUCAGAUUUUUUUGUUUUUGCAGCUUUUUUGGGCACUUUCACUCGCUGGUAAUCUGUACAAAGUGCCCUCAGAAGUGACACAAUUGUCUUGGCAUAACACACAGCACCCCAUGGAUACUUCCCAAACUCUUCAAGGUCUUCCACCAACUUCAAAUAUCGCAUGUCAAUCUGGACAUGUUUUUCACUGCCCAACAGCACAAACACAGCAAAGUAUACAAAUCUGAGCUUCAAUACAUCGUCCGCAUCAACGCAUUUGAGGAAGGCCUUUUCUAAUUCCAAAACAUUGACAGUUUUAUAGUUGCCAAAGUACUUCCUUUUCAAUGAGCAGUUCUCAUUAGUGGGAAUCGGAAUAAAGGGAAGGUUUCCAAACCUUAGCCCUGUCACGAUGCAAAAUUGCUGCGCCGUGAAUUGGAUCACCUUAUUGCCAACGAUGAAUUUGAUCCCGUUGAGUUGGGAAACUGUCUUUGGAUCAGCUUUCCUCAGCAGCAAGCCGUGGACAAUUGGCGAAGUCCACUUGAGGUCCUCAAUCAGUAGGAGAUGCCCAAAACAACUCUCUUCAAACCUUUGUAGCUGUUGUUCACUGAAUUUCUCCUUUAUCGUGCUGAUUGCAGUCUUCGUAUGGGAUAGGGACAAUGCUUUUCCUUGGAACUUUUCUUCCUCUGCAAUCAUCAACUUCAUUUGAGCAACCAUCUUUCCCUGCAUGCCAAUAUUAUAAAAAAAAAUUCAGUCCGUUGCAAUCUAGACAAUAACAAGCAAUAAACAAUCAGCACUUAUCUACAGCCUAUUAUAGGAUAUUAAGUGAAAACAAAAAAACAAAAAAUACAGGGCAUAAACAAAACCCCAGCUAUUUACAACUGACCUACUAAUUCAAUAGCUCAAAGCCACAUCCCAAGACACCCAGUACUCUACCACUCUUGCAUAAUAUAAUAUCUAAAGACACAUCUCAACACACCAGAUAAUCAUGACACAGCUUCAGCUAGAAUGGGAAUGUGCGGUAGCACAAGCCUAAUUGAGAACAAUUCAAGACUAACGAUAGAAAUCUAUCUGACUAGAAAGAGUUUUAAAAAAACAAGAAGACAUCGGGAAAGAAUUGAUUGACUUCAAGGUAUAAUGUAAUGGAACAUCCUAUGAAUUAGUGGCAACCAUAAUAAUGACUCCACUAUGGCCCUCCUUUCAAAUGUAAGAAAAUGAAUGAAAUUGGCACCAUCCCUUCAGUUUUUUCUUAACAAAAUAAGAGAUUUGUAUGUAUUCUCUGCUUUAUCGAUAUCAAAGAUAAAUUAAUAAAUAAACCAUCAAAACUGUAUAAAAUGUUUGUUAGACAUGUACAAUUACAAAAUUAUAAGUUCUCCUCAGAAACAAAGUUCUCUAAGUACGCAAACAAGAAAAGCAAAAGCUUAAAGAGUUAGCUUAUAGCAAAAUCAAUGUCCCCAUUUCUCUAAACCACACCUGCUGGUGGUAGGUUCCCAUCUUCACUCAUUUCCCGCUUUCUUUUAAACAGACAAUGAUCAAGCACAAAAGAGCAAACUUUUAAAUAACUCAUAUUACACCACAAAUAGUUCUAAAGAAAACUUAUUCAUAUCCAAUAUGCAACCCCUAAAGUUAGUAAACAGAGUUAUAAAAAAAUAUGUCAAAUUAACAAGCAUUAUUCUCAAACAAAAAGUAUGAUAUGGUUGGGAGUUUACAAGUUCAAAAUGAUAUACACAGGUUAAUUGUCUUAGACUUUAGAUAUCAUCUUCAACAAAGAAAAUAGAUACCGAUUAGACUUGUAAGAAGGUUAAAUGCAAUGGUCAUAAAGACCCAUAGUAAGCCACCAAAUACCAAUCAAUAACUGCUAUAAAAACCAUAAUAAAACCAUAAUAAACUAAAAAUACAACAGCACUAAAAUGCCAACACAACAUCACUACAUUAGCAAUAUAGUAGCAACAAAACCACAAUACGACAUCAAUAGCAACAGCAAAACAACAGCAGUGCAAGCAUCAGUCCACAAAGAACAAACCCAUUCACUGUUUCAAACAAGGAAUCAUCAUACUAAGAUCAUUUCAGAGAAACCCCAAAACCAAUUUCAGUGAAACCCCUAAACCAAUUUCAGAGAAACCCCUAAACCAAUUUCAGAGAAACCCCUAAACCUUCAACCAAUUUCGAACAAAUCCCUGAACCAAUUUCAUAGAAAUGCAUAAACCCUAAACCAACUUCAAAGAAACCCUAAACUGUAAGAAAAUGACGAUGAACAGUACCUGUUCAAGGUGAACGAUGGAGUUGAGCUUCGAUGAACAAAUUUCGCUCGGAGAGGAAGAGAGAAGAGAGAGUCAGAGCUGAGCGACGAGAGAUUAAGGGCUGAGCGACGAGAGAGUGAGAGCUGAUCGACGAGAGAUGAGAGAGUGAGAGCAAAGUGACGACAGAGUGAAGAGAAAUUGAGAGAAGGAGCCAAGAGAGAGAGCUGAGAGAGAACUUCAGCAAAACUGAUAGAGAACUUCAGCAAAAGUGAUAUGUGUACAAUAAGGGGACAAUAAAUAUAUAUUUAUAGGUUAUAGUUCCAAAUUUUUUUAAAAAGAGUGGUAUUUUCAGUUACAAUUAUAAAAAUGGUGGCAUUUUGAGCUAUUUCCUUAUUUUUUAUUCAACAUGGACGCAGAAACUGUUGCUAAACUGCAAACUUCUUAAAAUAUUUGUCUCACUUUCUCAACCCUAUAUUUGUCUAACUUUCUAGAUCCAUGUACUGAGAUUUAUUAGGGAAAUAUUGUAGAAACUGAUUAUUUUGAAAUAUUAAAUGUGAAAAACUGAACAAAAAUUUGAUGGGUUACAUAUUUCAACUCAUUUCAGCAGCUUAGAUUUUGAAGACCUCGGAAGAGGCCAUGCAGUGAGCCUAGCUAGUGCACUGUUGAUCACUUCAGUGUCUACCGAUCUGUAAUUUUUCCAGAUUGGUUAUAUUUUCCUUUACAUAUUCUUAUAUUAUUCCCAGCUGUAAGUGUUUUACACACUUGUCUAUUAGAAAAGGGGAGACUUAUAAAUAAAUCCAAAAUGGGUACAGUAUUUAUAAAGAAUGACAAAAUUAAAGUGUUUGGGCAAUAAUGCCCUUAUUCAUUUUGAGAUUGCCUAAGGAAUAUUUUUUCUGAUUUUCAGAAGAUGCCAAAGGACCGUUGUUUGAUGAUUGCCGUAAGGAGCUAAGAAAACUUGCUUUGAUAGUUUUGGACAGAUGCAUGCUACUGUUGCUGGGAUGAUCUCUUCACGUGAAAUGAGGAUGAUGAUGCUUCUACACUACACAAUCCAACGAAUUCACAUGUCUAUUUCAGAUACAAGUAUAAACUAACAAGGCUUUAAAAUAUGGGCUGAUGCACUGUUGUUGAUGUUGCUGACACUGUUACUGUGUUGUUGAUACUGUCACUGCGUUGCUGUUGGAAAAAGCACAAGGACUUCACAUGUUGCUUUCGUCUUUUGUGGAGGAGAGAGACCUAGGACUUGCAUGUCUUAGAUAUUUAAGAUAAGGGGCUUUCGUUCCAUUUUGAAAAUACUUUGGGUGUUUUUGAAAGGUGAUUGUUUCUUUUGGGUUUCUCACUAAAUUUCGCUUUAGAAGGGAAAAUAAUAAUAAUAAUGUCAAACAAAGUAGGGUAAAUAUUCAGAUAUGCUCAUAUUAUUAUUCUUCUCCAAUAUUGAGGUAUUUAUACAAGUACAAAGAUGUGUUAACCCUAAAUAAAAUAGGAAAUAUAUCUAAAUUAUAAUAGGCAGUAAAUCUCUAUUACAAUAGGACUAAAUAAUAAUUGGUAAGUAACCAAAAUUCUAAUGAAAUAAGGAAUCAAAAUCCUAACUAAGUAAGGACUCGCCAACACUCCCCCUCAAGUUAGGGCAAACAUAUUUCGCAUGCCUAACUUGACAAGCGAGUCAUAGAACACCAUACUUGAGAAGCACCAAUUGUAGAGAAGGUCUUUUCGUCAACCACGAGUGAAACAAGUGACAAACUAAAGCAAAGUUCGCAGCGGAAACACAAGAGCGAAUCCUAAAAAAUAGGGCACAUAGCAGAACACAAAAAUCCUGGAGCACGACAGUAGAUAAGGCAGAACACAGAAACCCUGUUAGCACGGCAAUAGGUAAGGCAGAAAAAGUCAAGAGCAAAGGCAAGGUCAACAGGCGUGACCACAACGAAAACACACCAGCAAAGACAUGAGCAACAAUAUUAGCACCAUAAUAGACAUGAGCAACAAUACUGGUACCAACAACAGCAAUACAAGGCACUGGCACCAGCAAGAGCAACAAGGCAUGGACAUAACAUGCAUAAUCAAUAGUAAUCAACAUUGUCCCCAACAAGAGUCAUAAUAGGCAUGAGCAAUAACAUUGUCCCCACUAAGAGACUUAACAGGUAUGAGUAACAGUACUGGCACCAGCAAAGGGCAUAGUAGUCAGCAGCAAUAACAAUGACAAAUACUUCUAUUAUUGCAGAGACAACUUCUCUUCACUCCCCAUCUCCCCUUGAAGAGAAGGGGUCAUCGGAACCAUAAGAAAAGUGGCACUUAAGAAACAGAAGUUGACUGACGCUCAAAUGUAGAAGAAUCAGCCAUGGCAAAUAGGUAGCUGAAUUGCAGCGGAAUAGAUGAGCAGCGGUGUCACUCCCCCUCAUAUCUGAUAAUGUAUGAGAGUCGAGAUUUGGAGAAAGCAAUAUCGAAAAAUAAAGUUGCAGAACCCAAAUAAAGUUGCAUCUAUCUCCCCAUCAAAUCCGACACUGGUAAAGGGUCGAGAUUUGAAAGAGGAGAAAUUGAAAUAAUAGUAAAGAGACUCAAACAUGCAGUCUCAUGGCAGAAACAAAUGCAAGAGGGGAAGAUGGUAGCAUACGGUUGUCCCAUGAAGAAAAAACUUCAGAAAAGGAGAAUAGUAAGGGAGGAAACCUAGCAAAUCAUGAACAGAGACAAAGACAAAGAUGCUCAAACUGAGAAGCGGAAAGGCAACUCAAGAGAGCAACCGAAGAAGACAGAGGCCCGCAGAACAGUCAAAGUUAAGGCUCGGCGAGUGGUGACGAUGCUCGCGGAGGAAAGCAACGGCUCGGUGAGCGGUGAUGAGGCUCACGGAGUAAAGAGACUUGUUAUGAAGUUUCAAAGAUAGAGAAGCUGAGACAUCAAGAAAGACCAUCUGGCAUACAAAGAUGAAAAAUAAAAAUUUUGGAACAGUAGCAAAGAAGCAUGUGAAGGCUGGUGCGGUGAAAACACAUAUGAAAGGAUGAACAAAAGAAGAUGACUAUACAAGAUGAAGACCCAUGAUGGGUUAGGAAUGAGGAGUGCCAACGACUCUCAAUUUGGCAGAGGUUAUCGCAGGUUAGGAACCUGGCUCUGAUACCAUGUCAAACAAAGUAGGGUAAAUAUUCAGUUAUGCUCAGAUAUGCUCAUAUUAUUAUUUUUCUCCAAUAUGGAGAUAAUUAUACAAGUACAAAGAUGUGUUAACCCUAAAUAAAAUAGAAAAUAUAUCUAAAUUACAAUUGGAAGUAAAUCUAUAUUACAAUAGGACUAAAUAAUAAUUGGUAAGUAACUAAAAUUCUAAUGAAAUAAGGAACCAAAAUCCUAACUAAGUUAGGACUCGCCAACAAAUAAUAGUACAACUCUUAUUAGCAACAGGUUACAAACUUCUUCUACAACACACCAACAUGAAUCUAGCCCUGAUCCACUCUUUUACAUACUUGAAAACAAAACAAAACACGAAAAACAAAAAACAAGAAACAAGAUAGGGAGAAAAUGGCUACGGAGAGACUUCCUGCUAAUCAGGGGCGGCCCUGGGGUGGUGCAAGUGGCGUCACCGCACAGGGCCCCCGAUUCUUAAGGGCCCCCAAAAAAUAAUUCUUUAUAUUAUAUAUAUAUAUAUUAAUAUUAUAUGAAUCGUAUAUAAAGUAUAGCGUCUGGAUGAUAAAGAGACUCAUUAUCAUUAUCUUAGUCAUAAGAUUCAAAAUGAAUUGAUACUUUUGUUAGCUUCUGAGCUCAAAAGUGCAAUCAUUAAAAAGAUUGAAGAAGCUAAAUAUUUUUCUGUGAUUCUUGAUUGUACUCCAGAUGCUAGAAACCAAGAACAAAUGAGUUUGAUAGUAAGAUGUGUGGAUGUCUCUACUAAUUCAAUAAAGGUUGAAGAAUUCUUUUUGGAAUUUUUGAUUGUGAAUGAUACAACAGGACAAGGACUUUUUGAAGAGUUGCAAACGGUGUUGCAAAAACUUAAGCUUGAUAUUGAUAAUGUGAGAGGACAAGGCUAUGACAAUGGAUCAAAUAUGAGUGGGAAAUAUCAAGGUGUCCAAAGAAAAUUUUUGGAUGUAAAUCCUAGAGCAUUGUACACACCUUGUGGUUGUCAUAGUCUUAAUUUAACACUUUGCGAUAUUGCAAACUCUUGUGGAAAAGCAAAAGAUUUUUUUGGAAUCAUACAACGUAUUUAUACAUUGUUUGCUAAUUCUACAAAGCGGUGGAAGAUAUUGAAAGAUAAUGUUAAACACUUAACUCUGAAAUCAUUGUCAGUUACACGUUGGGAAAGUCGUAUUGAAAGUGUGAGAGCAAUAAGAUUCCAAGCUGCAGAUUUAAGAGAAGCUUUACUUCAGUUAGCAGAAAGUGACGGUGACUCCAAAAUAACAAGUGAAGCUAAUUCUUUGGCAACAUAUGAACUUGGAAAUUUUGAGUUCUUAUUGGGCAUGGUUAUUUGGUAUGAUAUAUUAGGUGGUGUCAAUGUAGUGAGCAAAAACUUACAAUCUGAAGACAUGCUUAUUGAUGUUGCUAUUGAUAAAGUGAAAGGGUUGAUUACUUUUUUUUUGAAAAGUAUAGAGAAAAUGGGUUUACAGAAGCUAUGUGUACUGCUAAAAAAAUUGCUACUGACAUGGGAAUUGACCCGGUGUUUCCUGAGAAGCGAAAAAUUCGUAGAAAAAAACAUUUUGAUGAGAAUACUUGUGAGCUAUCCCAAUCAGUUCCUGAAUCAACUGAAGAAAAGUUUAGAAUUGAUUAUUUCUUGUAUUUAGUGGACCAAGCUAUUGGUUCUUUACGAAGAAGGUUUCGACAAUAUCAAGAGUAUGAGAAUUUUUGGGUUUUUGUUUACUUCAGAGAAGUUAAAUUCAUUGGAUGAUUGCGAUUUGAAGAAUAGUUGCAGUCAUCUGGAAAGCAUUUUGAAAAAUGACAAGUUUUCUGAUGUCGAUGGGGAGGAUUUAUUUGUUGAGUUGAAAGUUUUACAAGAGCUUUUACCAAAAGUAAAUACCACAGCUACUGCAAUAUUAAAUUUCUUGAAAAGAUUAAAUUGUUUUCCAAAUGCAUUCAUUGCAUAUAGAAUCCUAUUGACUAUUCCUGUUACUGUUGCAUCUGCGGAAAGAAGUUUUUCAAAAUUAAAAUUGUUAAAAUCAUACUUGAGAUCAACUAUGUCGCAAGAAAGAUUAAAUGGACUAGCUUUGAUUUCAAUUGAAAGUGAACUUCUUGAAAAACUUGAUUAUGAACAUUUGAUUGAUGAUUUCUCUUCUAAAAAUUCAAGAAGAUCAAUUUUCAGACAUUAGUAUUGUACUAGCUGUGUUUUUUUUUUUCUUCUAGGGUAAAAGCUCUCAUAAUAAUUUUAAUUCUUCAAAUAAGACAGCAAAUACAAUGUGAUGAAUUUUGGAUAAUCAGGUAUGUUUUUGUUGUUGCUUUUGUGUUUAAUGCAAUAUAAUCUAAUUUUUUUAAUGACAUUUGUGUGCAACUACUCUUUGAUUUGUGAUUGCCAAUUUUUUUUUCUUUCUAUUAAACACAGAUUGCUUAUUGGAGGCAGCAAGAGACCUUAUAGGGGCACAAGGAGCUUAUUUUUGUACAAAACAUUUAACUUUAUCAAAUGGAAACAUUUAAAUUUUUAUGAAUUUGAUUUCUGAUUGUCAUUGCAUAUUUAUUGAUGGUGAAUUUUAGUUAUAAAAAAAAAAUUGUUUAUGACAUUAAGUUAUGGCAAAUUUUUAUAGUAUUUUCGUAUUAGAUUAUGCGAGGUCCCAAUUUAAGUUUCGCACAGGGCCCUCAAAAUCUCAGGAACGGCCCUGCUGCUAAUACUUGAUCAAUAACAGAGAUAAUAGAGCACACUGUUUGUAUGACAAUGAGUAUCAGAAGAAUAAUAGCUGCAAAGAGAGAAAUAGCUGCCCAAGGUGUGUUGAAAUACUUUUGUCUCAAAUUUGCCUUCCGUCUGUUCGUGGUCUUCUUGCAGUACUCGUUUAGUUUGCCAGCAAGAUCACCAAAAUAGUAGUUUCCGUGGUUCGGAGCAACUUUACUGCAAAGCUUGUUAAUCAUAAUGGAAACCUUAUUGUUGUCACCUAGCGUGUUUACAACAAUUCCAUUGUCAACAAGCAACUCUACAUCCUUUGGGGUGUUUACAAAUUUAUCCAGGAUGAAAACAUAAUCGCUUAUGUAUUUAUCCACGCAAUGGCCUUGUUCAAAGGCAAUGAGAUUUCUAUGUGUAAGCUGUGUAAUCAUGUAUUUCAAUUUUUGGAAUUUCCAAGGUGUUUUUCUUGAACUGUAUAUCGAAUAAGUUCUUGCUUGAUCCCACGUUAAACUUAACUCCGGCCUGGUGUAGUUUUGUCAUGCUGGGUGUACUUUGGAGCCCUCCAUUUUUUUUUCUUUUGGCAGAUGUAAAGUUCUAAUAAAAUCAACAAAAUGUAAAGGUUUUUUAGGAUCAGGAGGCAUAAAAGACUUACGGAAGGCUGGUGAGUUCUCCAAGUUUUCUAAACGCAGUGCCUGUUGGAAGAACUUGUAAGAGAGUUCAAUUAUUGAAGGCUCCCCAGUCUGAGCACCUGUGAGAUUGUAAAGAUCCUCGAGAAUGAAAAAUGGCAGCUGAUUUACGAGCAUAAGCAUGUCAGGCAAUAUAUUUUGUAGCACCCAUGGUUUUUUAAAUAUCCAAGCAUCAUCAUCCUGCAAUUUUUCUUCCUGAAAUUUUUCUUCGGAUUUAUUCCUCAACAAUAGCUCAAUGACAAAGGCGGCAUCAACUAGAAUGAUAUUCACAAAAGUAGCAAUGUUAAACUUCUUAGGGCUAGUUUGGCGGCGUUGUGCUUUUAAAAAAAUAUGCUUCUGCUGUGCUGUGAAAAUAAUUAGCUGUGAAAAAAAGCUACUAGGCGUUUGGUAAACUGUUUUUGAAAAACUGCUGUGAGUAGUCAAAGUGUUUGGUAAAUUUUUAUCAGAAGUACUUUUAGUGUGUAUAAUGACCAAAAAGGACAUGAUGAUGAAAUUGUUUGUUAUUUUCUUCAUUCUUUUUCUACUUUAAAAAAAAAAAAAACCCAAUUUCACUACAUAAAUUUUUAUUCUUUUUUAAUUCACACCUUUUUAUCAAAAAAUUUAAUCUACAAUUAACAUACAUAUUUUACCAUAAAUUAUAAAUUACUAUUAUAACAAAAGUAAUUCUAAAUAUUGUUAUAUUAAUAUGGGCUUCGGACAUGACAAAAAUACAAAAAUUGUUCAAUUUUAAAAUGCCCCAAUAGAUCACUACAAUAUAAAAGAAGCUAAUUAGAUGCAUUCAUUAAACUUGUAGCGAUGCUAUUUCUUAAUGCAUUCAUUAGCUUCUUUUUUUGGUUUCCAAUGGUUCUCUAACAAUUUUAACUAAAAAAACAACCAUAAUGCUUUGUGAACAAUAAAUUCAAGUCCAAAUCUGCUAUUGCCCACACCAUACAUAUAUACAUAAUUGUUCCUUUCAUAAAACUUGAAGAUUCAAUAGUAAUUACACAGUUUACCAAUCUUGAUUCCAACUAUAUCCAUAAAAUUAAACUAUAAUUAGAAAUAGAGGAGCUACAUGUGAUUACUCAUAAAUGCUUCCCACUCUCAUCAUCAUCAUCAUCAUCAUCUUCCUCCUCUGUACUUUGCCUUUCACAAAUGGACAAGACCAGAUGGUAACGUACACGACAUGGUCCACAUAUAGAUAAAUUUUGGGUUCACUGGAGAACAUAAAAGAGUUUUUACACGAAUACAAAGUUAGUUAAGUAGUGAAUAAAGUAAAACUAUUCUGUACAAUUCUAGCUGAUGCAGUCCAAAAAGAAUAUAUGUCUAAUAACUUAAAUAACAAUAAAGAGAAACAAAAGCCUCAUGAAAAAUGCUAGAGUAAAAGUUACAUAACUGAAUCGAUGGACAGAGAACUCCACAGGCAGAGAAACAGCAACAAAAAUUGUCAAAACAGUAGCAAGACCAUGUUGGAGUCAAGGCCAAAGAUCAUAUUUCCUGUGUAUCUUCUUCCAUUCUGAAUUAUUCUCGUAUUCAAAUACUGUAACUCUAUUUCAAGUGCACCCCAAAAUACUUAUCUAAGGCCAGUACAUAGGACUUCAUAAAGGGUGCGAUAAAAAAUAUUGCCCCUUAAUUGAUAAACAGAACCAAGAUCCCAACAGCACACCAAAACUAUACCAACCACACCUACAUAAUAUGGACAGAAAAUCCUGUUGUUCCGAUCUCUAACCACACCAAUGACAUUCAUUAGGAAAAUACAAAAGAUGGGUACCCUGCAUUUCUAACAUUUAAGAUAAAAUUCACUGCCAGCUAAUCACAAAUUUGAAAAGAUGGCAAGAAAAUUGGCUAAGCUUUAACAAAAACCAGAGCAGUCCUUGCAUAGACCUGACUUUUUGCUCCAAGCUUUAGCAGAUCACUUACUGGUAGAGAGCAGAGAACAUGUAUGUGAAUAUCUGAAGUUGGAAGGGUAAGCCAUCACAAACACCAAGAGAUCUGAUUCUCAUCUCUUGUUACAACAACAAAUCACAAACACCAAUACAUCUGAUUCAGAAUCUCAUAAACAAUGGAGGAACAAACACAUAUUCACACACAUAUAAAUCCCUAAACAGAAAAAAUAAAAAAUAAAAAAAAAACCAUGAAAGUCAUAGGAGAAUCAAAUUGAUUUGGGCCAAAAUUGCCUAAAAAGAAAACACUCCUAAAUAAACUUCAAUUCACUUUUAAAAACAGUAAAACAUGAUUGAAUCAUUCUUUAAAACAAUUCCCUAAUAUACAUGCAUGAUAAUGACAUCAUUUACCCCUGAAUCAAAUGCCUUUCACUGGUCAAGCCACAAGUCUGUGUUUUGGGAAUUGCUGAGCUGCAUCAAUCCUGCCAAUGUAAAUUCUGCCCCUAGGCUCUCUCAAAGUGCGUUUACAACCUAUGCUAACAUAUACUAGAGUUUGUUUUAGUAUCUAGAAAAUGCCAACACUAAUUUCGUAACACGUAGAAAUUGUUACAUAUUGGAAGUUUUUAUCAUUUUUUCUUCCAGUCUCUCCACCACUCACUAAUACAGAUUACUCAUGUGAUGAGUUUACAAAACAUAUUUCUCUACUCCCACAAAGACCAUACUUUUUCUCAAAAGACUAUAUCACUUUAUCUCUAUCUUUGUGAAAUGUAAAAAGUUGAAACUUUAAUGUCAAACCUCGACAAAAGAUGAACAUCCAUCAUCAAUUACAUUGAAUUUGAAUUUGUUGAACUUAAGUAGUUUUACUUCUCUGUCAGCGUUUGAUGACUUGAUUUGUUAUUUACUUCUUCUUUUUUCCUUGGAAAUGUGUUCCAUCAACGUGAGGAAGAAAAAUAUGCACAAAUUAAUAUAUUUAAUAGAAGCAAAAAUUAAUAUUUACAAAAAUAUGCACAAAUCAAGUAAAAUUAAUAAAGCAUAAAUUGGAAAGGGAAAAUAUGUAGAGGAUGCAUUGUAGGAUUGCUCAUGCCAAUAAUUGUACCCUCUAAAUAUAUAGGGACAUAUUUUUUUUUGUUUUCAUGACAUGUGGUCCUAAAAUUAUUGUUCUUAGCGGGCUCUCCACCCCUCUCGACUGAAAACCUAUUGUGUAAAUCUUCAAUCCUGAAUGAUGCACCUAAAACUCAUGUUGCAAUACACAUCCACCCAUUCUCAGGCCAAUUAUUACUCCUAGUGGGCUCUCCACCCCCUCUCAAAUUUAAGUGGUCCAUUAUUAUUAACCGUAUAUUUUAUGGACCAGCCAGCUGUGAGGUUUUAUCUCAAAAACCUUUCUCCCACAUGCCACAAUUUAUGUCUGAUACAUCACAUCAUGCCAGUUGUCUCAAAUGAAUUUAAGUGAGUGAGGCAGUGUUACUUCUGGGUACCCCUCAUUAUUCGUCUAUAAAUUGGUGAAGCCAGUUGCUACUGUUACCAUAAGAGCCAGCUCCGACUUUCAAAAUAAAAAUUCCAACAACGGUCUUAGUGCCUUCAAUUGUAUGAGUCAUUGAACAUGCAAAUGAAUAAAAUAUGAAUGAUAAAAGUGUUUGAUAAAUCACCAAGUUAUAGAACACUUGAUGAUUUAUCUCAAAUAAAAAUUCAGCUUUCUAAAGUUUGUGAAUUGAAAAUAUAAUCGUUAAAGCUCUCUAAACAAAGAAGACGAAAGUCUUAUUUUAUAGAAUUUUUCUUUACAAGAAAGAAAACAUGUUGAAAACCAAAUCUCCAAUUUCCAAGGCUUGACAGAAAAUCAAAAAAAUAUCUUUCCUAUUCUAGAGAUUGGUCACAUGUAGUUCAACCAAUAGGAAAUGAGAUAUUUAAGAAAGCAAGAUUUUGAUCAAUACCAAUAUCAAAUGAAUUCUUAUACGCCUAGUCAACUAUUAAGGGUAUCUUGACUCCUUGAUAUUGUGAUAUGAUUGAAACAUGAUUUCCAUGUUAGAAAAUUAAGGGGAUGUUAAAACAUGAAAGUAAUAGGAGAAUCAAAUUGAUUUGGACUAAAAUUGCCUAAAAAGAAAACACUCUUAAAUAAACUUCAAUUCACUUUUAAAAACAGUAAAACAUGAUUGAAUCAUUUUUUAAAACAAUUCCCUAAUAUACAUGCAUGAUAAUGACAUCACUUACCCCUAAAUCAAAUUGUCACGCCCCGGACCUGGGGGUCAGUGGAAACCCCACGUUCGGUGCGUGAGAAAAUAAAAAGUAAAAUAAAAUAAAAAGAAUGCCGAAACAAGGGUUUAAAAUAAACUUCUCUUAUAAAAAUAACUCCAAAAUCUUACAACUUUACAAGAAAUAAAUAAAGCCCUAUCAUUCUUAUCUAAUUCAGCCUCAACUGGUUUAGUCCUUGUCUUGCCCACUAAUUCAUCUAAAAAAUGAAGAGUGUUGCUAAACGAACCCUAAAAUUAAUUGAGUACACCCUACUACCAAACGAUUUAUUGAAUUUGUCACAUCUCGGGAUCAACUCCGCCGUAGCACGAUAUUGUUCGCUUUGGGCCCUCCCUCUCUGGCUCGCAUGGUUUUGUUUCUGGGAACUCACGAGUAACUUCCCAGUGGGUCACCAAUCCUGGGAUUGCUCUAGCCCACAACUCGCUUAACUUCGGAGUUCCUACGACUCCGAAGCCUGUGAGCUCCCAAAAGGUCUCGUGCUAGAUGGAUGCGGGUGUGCACAUAUAAGGCACAUCACCCCCUCUCCGUUGGUUGAUGUGGGAUCUUAUAGAAUUACUAAUUUAUCCUAAUAUAAAAUGACCAAAGAAGAUAAAAUAAUAUUGGUAUCUAUUGCUUUGAAUCCAUGCCUUCAAACAAAUUGACUUAAUUUUUAACAAACAACACGGAGUCCAGGAGAAGUGUAUUGAUCCAAGUUGAUUUUUGUAUGCGUAAAACUUAAACAAUCAAUAACACAAAGCAGUUCAUGCUGAAAUAUUGGAAACCCACACCCAAAGAGUUCUCCGCUGCGAGGUUGAAGGCAGGAGAGAUGGGUGACAGAUUUUACUUCCACUGCGAAGUUGGAGGCUAGGAGAGUCUGUGACUGCCAUGGUUGAGGGAGAAGAUGCGUUCAAAAUGCCUAUUGAUAUUUUACAUUAUUGGCUUUUUUCAAAAGUGAAAGUUUUUUUAUGGGUAAAACCUAAAUUUACUUUUUCUAUACAAGUUAACAGUGUUUGUGUAUUGUGAAAAGGUGGAGAGACGUGUCAAAAUUUUAGACAAAGGACAGGAGGAGAUAGGGAAUUUGGGGACAGCAGAUCUCAACUCCCUUGAGACCCUAUUCUCUACGCCACCCCUCCCCCUCAACAACCCUAGUCACCAUUUCUCCUUCAACUCCAACGGCAACUCAUUAAAACCCAAUUCUCAAAUGCAACAAUCUAAUCCCAAUCCCAAUUCAGAUGUUUCUAAAAAACCCAUUGUCGUGGUGGAGAACUGCAAUUCCAGGUGGUGGUGGUGGUACCACAUGGGAGAGAGAAAAAAGAAGAAGAAGAAGCAGGAGAGAGAGAGUUUUUUAUUUUAUUAUUAUUUUACUGUAAUUUUUUAAUUUAAAUAAUUAAAAAAAUUAAAAGUUAAAGAGGAUGUACCAUGGGUAUUUUUGGUAGUUAAAUAAGGUGUACUUAGGGUCAGUUUGGCAUUGCUGUGCUGUGAAAAUAAUAGCUGUCAGAUUUGCUGUGAGAGAAAUCAGCUGUGAGAGAAAUCAGUUUGGCGUUUGAUAAAAUUUUUGUUAAAAGUGUGUUGAUAUUGAUUUUAUGCUUAAUCCGAAAAUGAUUGCUGCAUAAUCAUUAAACCCAGCGCCUCUUCGAAACUGAUUCCUAUAUAAUCAGAAAAUGAAAGCACCUCAUUAGCUGCUUUCCUUUAUAGCUUUCUCUCACAGCAAUUUUUAACAAUAAGUGAUUUUCUCACAGUUUACCAAACGGGUUGGGCUUCUCAAAAUUUUUUAAAAAUCACUUAUUACCCCAAAUAAGCAAUACCAAACGGGCACUUAGUUAAUUUUACAUUUUAAUUUAAACAUUAGGGUGUACUCAGUUAAUUUUAGGGUUCGUUCAGCAGCACUCAAAAUUAAACAAGGUGAGGGAUGAGCAAGUAGGGACAUGAGACAUUGCCACAGUAGAUUGAUAUAACUAAAUAUUAUUAUAAACAUAGAAAUAUAUAAGUAUUAUUAUAAUAGGAUUCAUAAUAAUUAAUAUAAAAGUAUAACAACAAUAUUUACAUUUAUGUACCAAGAUAAUUACACAUAUAAAUAUAACCAAUAUAUAUUUUUAUAUAUUUUAAAAUAUAAGUCUUUACGUAAAUGCCUUUCACGGGUCAAGCCACAAGUCUGUGUUUUGGGGAUUGCUGAGCUGCAUCAAUCCUGCCAAUGUCAAUUCUGCCCCUGAGCUCUCUCAAAGCACGUUUAAAACCUAUGCUAACAUAUACUAGAGUUUAUGCUGUAUCUAGAAAAUGCCAACACUAAUUUCGUAACACGUAGAAAUUGUUAGAGAUUGGAAGUUUUUAUCAUUUUUUCUUCCAGUCUCUCCACUACUUAUUAAUACAGAUUACUCAUGUGAUGAGUUUACAAAACCUAUUUCUCUACUCUCGCAAAGACUAAACUUCUUCUCAAAAGACUAGAUCACUUUACCUCUAUCUCUGUGAAAUGUAAAAAGUUGAAACUUUAAUGUCAAACCUCGACAAAGUGUUCUACUUUACAAACUUCUUGUGUCUACCAAUUUGUACUAAAAUUAAUUUCUCUACAGUGCUCAGAUUCAUCAUAUGUGUGUCCUUAAUUUUAGUGGAAAUUGGAAGUUUCCAUAAUUUUUGCUUUAAGUCACUCUUCUGAAGGAAGUUGAGGUUCCACUUCAUAAUCCAAAAUGUCAGGUUGACUUAUGGCAAACAAUGUAAAUAUGUAGGAGUACUAUGACCUUUUAUAGCAUUUUUAGUUUGAAUUUGGGUUUUAUACAUAGAUUUCAAAAUUAAUAGGUUGAUGCCUAGGAAAUAGAAAUUGUAAGGGCCUAUAUUAGAGUAGCCCUCUUAAAAAUAAUAUUAAUUAAUGAAUAUUUGUUCUUCUUGUUGUUUUGAAGUAGUGGUGGGAGGCAGACCAACAAAAAAAAAAUAUAGUGAAGGCUUAUAAGAGCAUUUACAAUCAUGCUCCCUAUUUUUUAGUUAAAAUUUAGCUAAAAAUAGAAAAAAAGUUAUUAUAGGAGCUCUUUAUAAAGCUCCUUUAUAAAAUUUGAACUCCAAUCAUACUCCCUAGUUUAGGGAGUCAAAAAUACUAUAGUUAUUUUUUAAUUCAAUUUGAUUUUGGUUAAUCUCUAUAAAUAUGAAAAAAUAGUUAGCAUUAAUUAAAAGUUUAAACUAUGCAUAAAACAAAGAAACAUUAAAUUAUAGGGAGCCACUAUGAGUCAUUACUCUCUCCUCAGAUUUAGGAGCUCCUAAAGGUCUCCCUAUUUUAUGAGGUGGAUAAGGAGCAUGGUUGGAGUUGUAUUUCUUCAAUUUCCUCCCUAAAAUUUGUCUAAGGAUGUGGUUUAGGGAGCCCAUUGUGAAUGCUCUAACUCUGGUAAAACACGAGUGACAUGGACAACAUAUGUUACGUCGUACUGAAGAUUUUUGGGUUUCUUUAAUUGGUUAAGUAGCAUCCACACAGCUUCCUAAAUCAUCUCCUUAGACAAAUUUUAGGGAGGAAUUGGAAAAGUACAACUCCAACUAUGCUCCCUAUCCACCAACUAAAAUAGGGAGACUUCUAGGAGCUCCUAAAUCUGAUGAGAGAGAAAGGACUCUUAAUGACUCCCUAUAAUUUAAUGUUGCUUUAUAUUAUUUUGUAUACAGACGGGUCAAUUAUAUUAAAUUAAAAAAUAAUUAAAGUAUUUAUGACUCUCUAAACUAGUGAGCAUAAUUGUAGAUCAUCUUAUAUACCUUAAUUUGAAGAUUCUUUAUUUGGGUUUCUUUCAAGACUUAUCACCUUAGCCACGCCACCUACACGUCUGCAAGCUUUCCUAACAAGGAAGGGGAGGCUGCGCAAUACUUAUCACCUUAGCCACACUACACCAAAUUGACGUCUGCAAGCUUUCGUAAUCUAACAAGGAAGGGGAGGCUGCGCAAUACUUAUCACCUUAGCCACACCAACACCACAAGACCAAUAUGUGUAGUCCAGGAGGCUUUCCCAUUUUAAUAUAUAUUAUCAAAUAAAAUAAAAAUCAAUCUAUUAUCAUAUAUAUUAUAAAAUAAAGAUUAUUGCUCCAUCCUCCAUGCACUUGCAUGCCUCUUACAAAGUGUGAAGUAGAUUUUGUGUGCUCCAAGUCAUUGACGAGAGCUGUAACAUGGUUAGCUGGAUUUAUAAGAUCUUUUCUUUUCUGGGAAUUUUCUGAAUCAAGAAAAAUUAAGUAAAAUUAAUAAAGCAUAAAUUAGAAAGGAAAAAUAUCUAGAGGAUGCAUUGUAGGAUUGCACAUGCCAAUAAUUGUAUCCUCUAAAUAUAUAGGGACAUAUUUUUUUGUUUUCAUGACAUGUGGCCCUAAAAUUAUUGUUCCUAGCGGGCUCUCCACCCCCUCUCGAUUGAAAACUAAUUGUGUAAAUCUUCAAUCUUGAAUGAUGCACCUAAAACUCAAGUGUCCCAGGCCAAUUAUUGCUCUCAUACCACUUGUUGUAAUAAACAUCCAUCCAUUCUAAAGGAAAGAUAACCAUCGAUAUUAUCUCAAAUUUAACCACUUAAGUUCAUUAUGAUUAACUAUGUAUCUUAUGGACCAAUCCAAUCAUGAGGUUUUAUACCCAAUUAGAUCGACUAAUACAAAGUUCACACGUGGAUUGAAAAGCGCUAUCAGUAGGGGAGUGUUCGGCACCCUUUACUGCCGAACGCAACACAAGACCCCUUGCAUGCCUUCACUAAGUUGAGCCUAUCUAUUUUUUAGCAUUAACAAUAUAUAUAGAUUGAAAAAAUAAAAUAAAAAUCAAUCUAUUAUCAUAUAAAAUAAAUAUUAUUGCUCCAUCCUCCAUACACUUGCAUGCCCUCUUACAAAGUGUGAAGUAGAUUUUUUGUGCUCCAACUCAUUGACUAGGGCUGAAACAUGGUUAGUUGGAUUUAUAAGAUCUUUUCUUUUCUGGGAAUUUUCUGAAGCACGGAAAAUCAAAUAAAAUUAAUAAAGCAGAAACUGUACCCUUUAAUUAUAUAUGGACGUAUGUUUUUUUGUUUUCAAGUCUUAGAUGACAUGGGGACCUAAAAUUAUUGCUCCUAGUGGACUCUCGACCCCUCUCAAAUUUAAGUGGUCCAUUAUUAUUAACCACAUAUUUUAUGGACCAUGCAGCUGUGAGGUUUUAUCUCAAAAACCUUCGGUACAUUUCUCCCACAUGCCACAAUUGUAUAUUCACAAUUACGGCUGUUACGUCACAUCAUGCCACUUGCCUCACAUGCAACAAGUCUGUGUUUUGGGGAUUGCCGAGCUGCAUCAAUUCUGCCAAUGUCAAUUCUGCCCCUGGACUCUCUCAAAGCACAUUUAAAACCUAUGCGAACAUAUAUUAGAGUUUAUGAUGUAUGUAUCUAGAAAAUGCCAACACUAAUUUCGUAACAUGUAAAAAUUAUUAGAGAUUGGAAGUUUUUAUCAUUUUUUCUUCCAGUCUCUCCACCACUUAUUAAUACAGAUUACUCAUGUGAUGAGUUUACAAAACCUAUUUCUCUACUCUCGCAAAGACUAAACUUCUUCUCAAAAGACUAGAUCACUUUACCUCUAUCUCUGUGAAAUGUAAAAAGUUGAAACUUUAAUGUCAAACCUCGACAAAGUGUUCUACUUUACAAACUUCUUGUGUCUACCAAUUUGUACUAAAAUUAAUUUAUCUACGGUGCUCAGCUUCAUCGUAUGUGUGUCCUUAAUUUUAGUGGAAAUUGGAAGUUUCCAUAAUUUUUGCUUUAAGUCACUCUUCUGAAGGAAGUUGAGGUUCCACUCCAUAAUCCCAAAUGUCAGGUUGACUUAUGGCAAACAAUGUAAAUAUGUAGGAGUACUAUGACCUUUUAUAGCAUUUUUAGUUUGAAUUUGGGUUUUAUACAUAGAUUUCAAAAUUAAUAGGUUGAUGCCUAGGAAAUAGAAAUUGUAAGGGCCUAUAUUAGAGUAGCCCUCUUAAAAAUAAUAUUAAUUAAUGAAUAUUUGUUCUUCUUGUUGUUUUGAAGUAGUGGUGGGAGGCAGACCAACAAAAAAAAUAUAGUGAAGGCUUAUAAGAGCAUUUACAAUCAUGCUCCCUAUUUUUUAGUUAAAAUUUAGCUAAAAAUAGAAAAAAGUUAUUAUAGGAGCUCUUUAUAAAAUUUGAAUUCCAAUCGUACUCCCUAAUUUAGGGAGUCAUAAAUAUUAUAGUUAUUUUUUAAUUCAAUUUGAUUUUGGUUAAUCUCUAUAAAUAAAUAAAAAUAUGAAAAAAUAGUUAGCAUUAAUUAAAAGUUUAAACUAUGCAUAAAACAAAGAAACAUUAAAUUAUAGGGAGCCACUAUGCCAAUAAUUGUAUCCUCUAAAUAUAUAGGGACAUAUUUUUUUUGUUUUCAUGACAUGUGGCCCUAAAAUUAUUGUUCCUAGCGGGCUCUCCAACCCCUCUCGAUUGAAAACCAAUUGUGUAAAUCUUCAAUCUUGAAUGAUGCACCUAAAACUCAAGUGUCCCAGGCCAAUUAUUGCUCUCAUACCACGUGUUGUAAUAAACAUCCAUCCAUUCUAAAGGAAAGAUAACCAUCGAUAUUAUCUCAAAUUUAACCACUUAAGUUCAUUAUGAUUAACUAUGUAUCUUAUGAACCAAUCCAAUCGUGAGGUUUUAUACCCAAUUAGAUCGACCAAUACAAAGUUCACACGUGGAUUGAAAAGCACUAUCAAUAGGGGAGUGUUCGGCACCCUUUACUGCCGAGCGCAACACAAGAUCCCUUGCAUGCCCUCACUAAGUUGAGCCCAACUAUUUUUUAGCAUUAACAAUAUAUAUAGAUUGAAAAAAUAAAAUAAAAAUCAAUCUAUUAUCAUAUAUUUUAUAAAAUACAUAUUAUUGCUCCAUCCUCCAUACACUUGCAUGCCCUCUUACAAAGUGUGAAGUAGAUUUUUUGUGCUCCAACUCAUUGACUAGGGCUGAAACAUGGUUAGUUAGAUUUAUAAGAUCUUUUGUUUUUUGGGAAUUUUCUGAAGCAAGGAAAAUCAAAUAAAAUUAAUAAAGCAGAAACUGUACCCUUUAAUUAUAUAUGGACAUAUGUUUUUUUGUUUUUUUGCUCUCGACCCCUCUCAAAUUUAAGUGGUCCAUUAUUGUUAACCACAUAUUUUAUGGACCAUCCAGCUUCGGUACAUUUCAAAAAGCUUCGGUACAUUUCUCCCACAUGACACAAUUGUAUAUUCACAAUUACUUCUGGGUACCCCUCAUCAGUCGUCUAUAAAAUGGUGAAGCCAGUUGCUACUGUUACCAUAAGAGCCAGCUCCGACUUUCUUUAAUUUCUUGCUACAUCUGUUGCUAAGUUAAUUUCAGUCCUAAUGGGGUUUCAUCUCCCACUCAUCUUUGCUAUUCUCAGUGUAAGCUCUGCAAUUUGAUUAACUUUUCCAUUCUCUCUCAUUGUACUCUAUAUAUAUAAAUGAAAGUUUUGUGUUCCUAUAAUUCUCUCCGAUUUUAUUUAGUACGUACUUAAGUGUCGUCCACUAAUUAAUUACACUUUGUGAGAUUUGAUUUUAAUUAGAGUUCGAAUUAAUGUUGCAGCUAGCAGCGGUUGCACUGGCAAACAAUGCUGCUCAACCAGCACCUCAACUUUACUGGAACUCCGUCCUGCCAAACACACAGAUGCCAAGAUCUAUCAGUGAACUUCUGCAUCCUGGUUUGUGUUCAGCUCUUUAUAAUCUUAGAUAUCUCUUCUACCUGCCAUUUUACUAAAAUAUGUUCGACCACAUAUUUAUCAGCUAACUACUGUGAUUACAAGAAUGACACUUAUUUUCCAAUAUAAUUUGCAGACUCCACAAAUGAAGAAAAGAGCAAACCUGAAAUUUUCCCAUUGCAGGGCAAUAGAGUUUACACUCAAAGCCAUUAUAAAAAACGUCCUCCUCCUCCAUCUGACGAGGGCAAACCUGAAACUUUCCCAUUGGGCAAUAGCCAUUACACUCAAACCCGUUAUAAAAAACGUCCUCCUCCUCCAUCUGACGAGGGCAAACCUGAAAAUUUCCCAUUGGGCAAUAGCCAUUACACUCAAACCCGUUAUAAAAAACGUCCUCCUCCUCCAUCCGACGAGGGCAAACCUGAAAAUUUCCCAUUGGCCAAUAGCUUUUACACUCAAACCCGUUAUAAAAAACGUCCUCCUCCUCCAUCUGACGAGGGCAAACCUGAAAAUUUCCCAUUGGCCAAUAGCUUUUACACUCAAAGCCAUUAUAAAAAACGUCCUCCUCCUCCAUCUGACGAGGGCAAACCUGAAAAUUUCCCAUUGGCACGUUCUCCUCCAUCUGACAGUCAACUAAAGCAUUACAAAGACUUAGCUAUUUUCUUCUUCGAGAAGGACAUGCGCCCGGGCACAACUAUGAAGUUCCAAUUCCCUAGAAAUUCAAACACGGCUACUUUCCUGCCACGCGAAAGUGCUCAAUCGAUCCCCUUCUCCUCUAAGAAACUACCAGAAAUUUUCAACCAUUUUUCAGUGAAGCCAACAUCUGAGGAAGCCAAAACAAUUAAGCAAACAAUCGAAGAGUGUGAAGCUCCAGGCCUUAAGGGAGAGGAAAAAUAUUGCGCCACAUCUUUAGAAUCAAUGGUUGAUUUUAGCACUUCGAAGCUUGGAACAAGAAACGUUGAAGCAAUCUCAACGGAGGUAUUGGAAGAAGGAGCCACCAAGUACAUGCACAACUAUACAACAAUGCCGGGACUGAAGAAGUUGGAAGGUGACAAAGUCGUUGUGUGUCAUAAGGAGAACUAUCCCUAUGCUGUGUUUCUCUGCCAUGCAAUAAAACAAACAGAAGCUUAUGUUCUCUCCCUGAAAGCCGAUGAUGGGAUGAAGGUGAAAGCAGUAACCAUCUGCCAUCUAGACACAUCAGAAUGGGACCCAGAGCAUUUGUCCUUCCAAAUCCUCAACGUUAAGCCCGGAACCACUCCCAUCUGCCAUUUCCUUACCACUGAUGCUAUUGCCUGGGUUCCAAAACACAAAUCUGCAUGAUCAUCACUUAGCACUGUACGUGUAAUAAGCUUGGUCGGGUUGCACCCUAGGCCUGCAUAAUUAUCUCCCUACUUAUUUCUGCCUCUUCAUCAUGCGGUGUAAGAUAUAUGAUGAGAUGAAGUUUUCUCUUGUAACUAUGUAGACUACUUCAACUUGUACUCAUAAUAAAGCACGCUGUUGGGGGGUUCUACUUAAUUUCGUUCUCUCCAAUGUUUGAGUGUUGAAUUGUUACGUUGGAAUAGGCUGCUAAUGCAUGUAGUUAGAGAAGCCUUCAUUUAUAUCAAAGUCCUCAAACUAUCAAGAAUUAAUGUAUCCAGAAACAUAUACCAAGACGCAAAACAACAUAUUUUCCAUUCUCUGUCUGUAACACCAAAGCAAACUUCCUUUAUCACAUCAUUUAAAGGAUCAAAUUCCAGUACUAAUCUAAUCCAUCAUGUAAAGCAUACAAGUGCCUACCUAAAUUUGUCCAUUGGAUAUAUAUGUCACUUUUUAUUUUUUGAUAGAGAUAUAAAUGUUGAAAAAAUUAGAGUACACAACUCUUAUAGACACUACUACGAUUUACUAUUUGCGCGACGGAAGUUUGCGCGACGAACAUUGUUUCGUCGCGCAAAAAGCACUAUUGCGACGAAAAAAAAAUACCGUAGCGCAAACAACAUAACACAAGCGCGACAAACAGUUUCGUCGCGCAAACAAUCUAUGCGCGACCAAUAUUAAUUUCGUCGCGCAAAGGUAGGGGAAAAAAACCCGGUUUUUUUUUUUUGGCGCCAUAAUCUUGCGCGACAACAACAAUCGUCGCGCAUGACAAUAUUGCGCGACAAUUCAAAGAAUUCGUCAGGUAAAGAUGGACAGAAAAUUGUCUCAUUUUUUUGGCGGUAAAAAACUUUGCGCGACGAAAUUUUUCGUCUCAAAAGACAACUUAGCGCGACGGAAAUAUGUACCGUCGCGUAAAAAAACGAGGGAUACUUAUUUUUGGCGCCAAAAUGCAGGGUGGAUAAAAAAAAUUUUGCGCGACGGAAUUACCUUCGUCGCGUAAAGUGUAAUGCCGGUGCUUUCUUGCGCGACGAAAUAAAUAAUUUGCGCGACGUAAUUUAAACCUUGCGCGACGAAAAGUAUUAUUUGCGCGACGAAAUUUUGUGCGACGAAUAAUAUGUUUCGUCGCACAAAAAAGCAGAUGUCGACAGGUAAUUGCGCGACGGAAAUGUUGUUUUGUGCGAUGGAAAAGUGGGUUUUCGCGACGGCAUUUUGCGCGACGGAUAUUGGUGUUCGUCGCGCAAAGUCCUUCUUCUUCAUAUUAGUAUCUGCCAUUGCAGAGGCAGAAUGCAGAAAUUGCAUUCUGCCUCUCUCUCACUCUCCCUGCCGCUGCUCUGCUGUGAAUUCAAUACGUUCAUUGGGUAUGUAUUUUUUGUCGUUAGUUUAAAUGUAUUAAUGUAAAUUCGUAGUAACGCUAUUAAUUUUGUUAUCGUUAGGGAUAUUUGUGAUUAGUGAUUGGUGGAGAACGAUUGAGAAGGUAUGUUAUUGUAAAAGUUUGUUUGUUAUGUUUGUAAUUUUUUUGUGAAGUUAUAUGUAUAUAAUGUUGUGAAAUUGUGCGUGACAUAGCACAAUGUGUUGUGAUGUACGAAGUUAAUUGAAAUUAACUUCGUACUUUUAUUUUUAUGUUUAGUAACACGUAGUUUCCCGUUCGAGAUUAGUUGGAUUUCGUGCAUGGAUGAGUAAUGCAUGACUGCGGUCCAAUUAAUUCUUGAAUUGUCCCAUUAUUUGGACAGUUUGGUAAUGCAUAGUGUUGUCACAUAAUCUUCGGCUACAGGAUUAGGUUUCGAUUGUGGAGAUUUCGGUGUCAUCUCGGUACGUUCUUCGAGUGGUACGUAGGUAUUUAUACCUAUGCCCACUUCAAGAACUGUGUCGAGAUGCUGCCGAAAUUAAUCCACGUCGAAAUCUAAUCUCAUGUAGCCGUAGGUUACGUGACAGGACUAUGCAUUCCCGAAUGGGAUAGGGCCCUUACCGGAGGCAUAAGGUGACAUUAUAACUUCGUAUGAAGUUGUUGUGAUUGUUGUGUCGUGAUUGUGGUUUCAUGAAUUAUGAGCAGAAGGUGGAUACAUAACCCGAAUAGAUGCGCAGACGAAUACUUGGAUGGAAUCGAGGAUUUUAUUGAGUUUGCACAUAGACACAACCCGGGUGCAAGUAGAAUCCGUUGUCCUUGUAGGAGGUGUAACAACACGUUGUGGGAGACAAUUGAAAAUGUUGGAUUUCAUUUAGUAAGGAAUGGAAUGAUUGAAACAUAUAGCAUUUGGAACCUUCACGGCGAACAUGUAGGCCAUGCUUCGUCUUCAAAUGCCCCAAGAGUGGACAAUGUUGAACCUAUUGUGGAUCCUAAUGAUCAAGUCAUGGGUAUUAUACAGGAUGCUUUUCCAUUCGCAUCGACCAACAUCAAUCAGGAAGGGGAAGAUAACGUGCCUACACCAAUAGACAGUGCGGAGUUUGAACAGUAUGAAAAACUGUUAAAAAAUGCCAACCAAGAGUUAUACCCGGGGUACGAGAGCUUUUCCGUUCUCACUUCUAUUGUGGAGCUAAUGCACGGAAAAAUAAAGUAUCGUAUGUCGAACUUGUGUUUCGAUUACUUUUUGGGGGUUUUCAAGAGAAUGCUUCCGACGGAUAAUUAUUUGCCGAAAGACCAGAAACAUGCACAGAAGGUGUUGCAUGGUCUUGGAUUGGGUUAUGAAAAAAUCCACGCUUGCAAAAACAAUUGCAUGUUAUUCUACAAAGAGCAUGAAACGUUGGAUACAUGCCCUAUAUGCAAUGAGUCGAGGUUCAAAAUGACAUCCCAGAAUAGAACGACUAAGAUACCACAAAAAGUCAUGCGUUAUCUGCCCCUUAAACCUGGGUUGCAGCGAUUGUAUAUGUCGACGCAUACUGCCACAGACAUGAGAUGGCAUAAGGAAAAACGGGUAGACGAUGAUGUGAUGCGGCAUCCUGCAGAUGGGGAGGCAUGGAAAGAGUUCGAUCGAACGUUCCCCGAGUUUGCUGCUGAUCCCCGAAAUGUAAGAUUGGGACUUGCCACUGACGGAUUCAAUCCGUAUGGGGUUCUAAACCAACACCACAGCACUUGGCCGAUUUUCGCAUUCCCAUAUAAUUUGCCGCCUUGGAAAUGCAUGAAAAAAGAAUACAUGAUGAUGACUGUUUUGAUAACUGAGGAUCCUGGCAGGUCAAUUGAUGUGUACUUAAGGCCUCUGGUUGAUGAGCUGAAAGAUUUAUGGACAAACGGUGUUCGCACGUACGAUAAAUCAACUGGGAGGAUGUUCACUUUGCGAGCAGCAAUUAUGUGGACUGUGAAUGAUUUUCCAGCAUAUGCAAUGGUUUCUGGGUGGAGCACAAAAGGUUAUAUGGCAUGUCAUGUAUGCAAGGAAGAUGUAACUUCUGGUUGGCACGCGGGAAAAGUUUGUUACCUUGGUCAUCGGAGAUGGUUGCCAUGGGACCACGAGUGGCGAGAAAAAGAUAAAGAGUUCAACGGGAACACAGAGCGUCGCCUCAGACCUGGAGAAUGGUCCGGUGAUGAGAUCUUGGAACAGCUGAACCGUUUGGAUUUUGGUCCGUUCGGAAAAACAAUUAGUCGGACCAGACCUUCUACACAUUUGAACUGGACGCACAAGCCUAUGUUUUUUGAGCUCCCAUAUUGGUCGAAACUGAAAUUGAGGCACAAUCUAGAUGUGAUGCAUGUUGAGAAAAAUGUAUUCGACACAUUGGUGGGCACGAUUCUAGAUAUCGAGGGGAAGACGAAGGACACGAUCAAAGCUCGUCUUGAUUUGGAAAGAAUGGGCAUACGAAGGGGUUUAUGGAUGAAUAGGGACAGUGAUAAAGCUAGAAGGGAUCUUGCAUUCUUUUCUAUGAAACCGAAUGACAAAAAGGAGUUUCUAAAGUUUGUAUCGUCUGUCAAAUUUCCCGAUGGGUAUGCUUCUAAUAUCGCACGUUGCGUGAAUGUCGAUGGGGGUAAAUUUACUGGACUUAAGAGCCAUGACUGCCAUGUUCCUGUGGGUAUUCGACACCUACUGCCGGAAGAUGUGGUGAAGCCAAUCAUGUUGUUAUCCAGAUUUUUUUCCCAACUGACGGCAAAAACAUUGCGAAGGACAGACAUGUUUCAGUUGCGCCAUGACAUUGUCCAAGUCCUAUGCAAGUUUGAGAUGAUAUUUCCUCCGGCUUUCUUUACAAGUAUGAUGCACGUAAUGGUUCACUUGCCAGAAGAGGCAUUGCUUGCUGGUCCUGUCAACUAUCGCUGGAUGUAUCCAAUAGAAAGGUAUAUAAUCUUUAUCAUUUGUGUAUGCAUCAUUAUCGACACUUUGCUAAUUUGUAUCAUAUCGUUUUAUUUUGGCAGGCUUCUCGGAGAGCUGAAAAAAAGUGUACGCAACAGGGCAAAGCCCGAAGGAUUAAUUAUAGAGGCUUGGGUUCAAUAUGAGUCGCUUACUUUCUGUGGAAUGUAUUUAAAAGAUGUGGAGACGGUUUUCAAUCGUCCUCAACGCAAUAAUGACGGAGGUAUGAGAAAUGAAAAACUUUUUGUUUUUGCCCAAAGCGCAUGACCAUUUGGAGAUCCUGGACGAGGAGAGUCGUUUUCUAGAAAUGACAUGGAGGUAGCGCAUUGGUUCGUACUGAACAAUUGUGAUGAGAUAAUGGCCUACUUAGAUGAGCAUGAACAGAUGAUGAAGCGAGAACAUCCAUCACAUUUGGUUGCCCGGAAACAUCGUGAAUUAUUUCCACAAUGGUUUUUGGAUUCUGUAAGUUAUAACUGUUUUGUAAUUGACAAAUAUAAAUUGUAGUAUUUAAUUUUGUCAGACUAACAUGUAAAUGAUUUUGUAUACUAUUAGGUGAAUAAAUUGAAAUCAUCGAAUUCCCCCACUUACAGUGAUGAGUUAUAUAACUUGGCGUUCGGCCCAAUUCGUGCUGAGUUGUUCUCGGGUUGUAAUGUUAACGGCGUCAAAUUUUUGGGGGCCGCACGAGAUGACAAGUUGUGUAUGCAAAACAGCGGUGUCCAUGUCCCAGGUGGAGGCGAAAGUACGGACAUUGAUUUCUAUGGCAAACUGACAACUGUCGUGCAAUUGCUUUAGAAAGAUCGAUACCAAGUCAUCAUGUUUAAGUGUCGAUGGUUCGAUACCAACCCAAAUAGGGCGGGAAGUGUUAAAAUCGACCAUGGAGUACUGUUUGUGAACAUGGCGUCCCAAAUUGUGUAUCUAGAUGACCCUAAAGCCGGGAGCGGGUGAAAAGUUGUGCAGAAGAUGGAUCAUAGGAACGUGUAUGAUAUACCAGAACUAGACCCAAGUGACAACGACGUCGACAAUGUGGCUGACCAACGUUUAGAAUCUUCAAUGGAAAAUGAUGCGGAAACACUUCGAGAUACAAAUGUUAUACAAGAACCGUUUCAAAUAGAAGGAGUGUCUUCAGUAGAAAUACCGAUUCAGUCAAUUACAAUUGACCUCGGUGAUCUUCCCCGAUACGAUGUUGCAGUGGGUCCUAGCAACGCCGAUGAUGCAGUUAUAGAGGAGGAGGAGGAAGAAGAUUGGGAGACCGAGAGUGAUGAUAGCGAUGAUAACGAAAGUUAUUAUAGUUCAGAUGAUGAAUAAUGAAUUUAUUUGUAAAGUUAUUAUGUUAGUGUAUUCAUUUUGUGUAAUACAAAUCUUUGAAUAUAUGUAGUUGUCCAUAUGUAGUUGUGUAUUCAUUCUCCAUAUUUCAUCACAAACUUCAUUGGAAUGUCAAUACUUUAGUCAAUACUUAUUACGACCCCAUGCUUGUCGAUUGGUUUUUAUUUAUUUAUUUAUUAAUGUCUUUAACUCUUCAAUUAUUAUUUUUUUCUUUUGAGAUAUAGUUAUUUCUUCAUGUUUAAACAAAAAAUAUAAGUUAUUUCUCCAAUAUUAUCUGUGUGCCACUUAUUUUUCUUCACUUUGGUUCAUGAUUAGUGGCAUCAAUCUAGUCAAACCGAUAAAAUCGGUCGAUUCAAAUCUUAAUUAUCAAUUUAGUUUGGUUUUGAUGAAGAAAUACAAAGCCUUUCCAAAAAAUACAGAGCAUAAAAAAUGAUGAAUACAAAACCUUUCCAAAAAAUACAAAGCAUACACAAUUUGAAUUAAAUGAGGAUUUAUGGCGCCAAAUCCUUGCGCAACGAUAAGGAGCCCUUCGUCGCGCAAAUAUAUAUUAGGUAACGUUAUAGUAUAAUAUAUACCCACAUAUAUAUUUAAAAUUGGCGAUCGAAGUAGUUCAUUGUAUUCAUAUGAAGUGUAGGACUGUAGCUGCAAAAAAUCAUCAACAUCGGAGUUAAAAUAACCGUUCAAUCAUCACUUUUUAUUUAGAACCGUCGAAAAGUUUUACCCCGUUACUUAAUCUCUGAAUGUUUUUUUUGUCUGAUUUUUGCUGUCUAUGAUCUCGAAGUAUAACAAAACAAGUUUGACGGCUGGAUGACUGAAGCUAGUUUCGUAGACUGCGUGUGCUAUCAAAAUCAUAUAUUCACCAAAAACUCAAAAAUUUGUUCAUACAUUUGUGAAAAUGUAACUUAAUGUUUAUGUGGUAUCCCCUAGUGUAAAAAUAUGAAAUUGAAGAUCAAAUUCAGUCAUUGUAUUCAUAUAGGGUCAACAAAUGUUGCUGUAAAAAAUGAUCAAAAUCGGAGUUAAAAUAACCGUUAAAUCAUGACUUUUCAUUUAUAACCGUCAAAAUAUUUUGUCCUGUUCCCUGAUAUCUGAAUGUUUGGUCGUUUUGAUUUUUGGCGUAUACGAUCUCCAAGUAUAAACAAAUAAGUUUGCCGGUUGGAUCAUUGAAACUAUUUUAGGGUUUAGGGUUUAGGGCUUAGGGCUUAGGGUUUAGGGUUUACAUUUUAGGGUUUAGGUUUUGCGCGACGAAUAAACAUUCCUUUCGUCGCACAAAGUGAAAGUGACAAAGAUUGCGCGACGGAUAAGUCUUCCAUUCGUCGCGUAAUCUGGGACACACAUUUCACCCCUCCAUACCCUUUGAACACUUAGUGAAAAUUUCAACCGAAUGAAAUUCUUGAACCCGCGCGACGAACAAAGCAAAUACGUCGCGUAAAGUGGACGUGAACAAGAUUGCGCGACGGAUAAAUCUGGUAUUCGUCGCGCAAUCUGGGCCACACUUUCACCCUUCCAUCCCCUUUGAACACUUAGUGAAAAUUUCAACCGAAUGAAAUUUUUGAACUCGCGCGACGAACAAAACAAAUACGUUGCGCAAAGUGGACGUGAACAAGAUUGUGCGACGGAUAAAUCUAAUUUUCGUCGCGCAAUCUGGGCCACGCUUUCACCCUUCCAUCCCCUUUGAACACUUAGUGAAAAUUUCAAGCGAAGCAAAAUCUUCAACUCGCGCGACGAAUAAAAGUAUUCGUCGCGCAAAAGGCACAGGCCUCUGAUUUUUGUUAGCAAACAUUGCGCGACGUUUACUGUCUUCGUCGCGCAAAAGGCACAGACCCUUCAGUUUCAGCCUCCCGCUAAACCCAAAAUUUUCCCAAAAUUUUGGCGGAACGACAGCGUUUUGCGCGACGAACAUAUGACUUUCCGUCGCACAAGGUUAACCUUGCUCGACGUUUACUAUCUUCGUCGCGCAAAAGCACAAACCCUUCAGUUUCAGCCUCCCGCUAAACCCUAAGUCCCAAAAUUUGGGCGGAACGACAUCGUUUUGCGCGACGAAUAUAUGAUUUUCCGUCGCGCAAGGAGAACCUUGCGCAACGUUUACUAUCUUCGUCGCGCAAAAUCACAGUUUCAGCCUCCCGCUAAACCCUAAAUCCCAAAAUUUUGGUGGAACAACAGCGUUUUGCGCGACGAACCAUGUAUUUUUCGUCGCGCAAAAGGCACAGACCCUAAUCCCCAUUCAAAAUUUGGCGUUCUGGGAGACCUUGCGCGACGGAUAUUUCAUCGCGCAAGAUUCAUUAAUACCAUUUUGCACGACGCAUUCUGUUCUUCGUCGCGCAAAGUCGAAUAAAUUUGCAGAAACGGCCCGAUGCCUCCUUCUUCCCCAUUUUCUGGUUUCUCUCCGUUUCUUCCUCUCUCUCCGCCGUCACCUUAGCCCUCUCUCUCUGCCAUCACCUCAGCCACCUCCGCUCGUUCCGUAGCCUCCCUGCCGUCACCGUCGAGCCUGCCGUCGCAAUUUCGUCAGUUUUUCCCGAUUCUUCGCCGGCCGAUUUCUCUCUCCUCCGGCCACCAUUUUCGACGCCUAAGGUAUGAUUUCUCGACUAUUUUUUGUGCUCUAGCUGAUGGUUGGUUAGGAUUUCUUGAAUUUUCGCUAUAGGAAAUAGGAAUUAAAACCCUAGGUUUUGGCCGCUUUGGGAAUUUCAAAUCCGGCCACUUCCGGCCAUUUUUCGGGGUAGGUCCGAGAACAAAAGUGGCUCCAAUUAAUGUUUUCAACCUAGGGUAGGAACCUUGGCCCUUAGUUUUUAGAAUUUUCCGACGAAUGUUAUCGCUUUGGACACCCACGCGCUGCCGGCGCGUGUGGUGGCGCGUGGGAUGUUGUGGCAGUGGGGCAUUGGGUCCCAGAGCAAUCCCCUGUUUGUCACGAGCGCGUAGGUUUGCUCGGAUUUGAAUUUGGUUAUCGUUUGAGUCUUGAUCGGAUUUCGGCUAUUGUGCGAUUUCCAGGUUUGAUAUGUUCGGACCGUUGGAUCGAACUCAAACUCACGUAGUUGUACCUUUGUGUUUCUACGAUCGUUUAGGAUUCGACCGAUCGUUGAUCGGUGUCCCGGAUACUUCGAAAUUCCAAACCCUAGGUGAAGCUAUGCUUUUAAUUAAUUAGUUUAAAUUCUUAAUGAAAUUAUAUGUGCAGAUGUCAGAUUUGAUUAGACGUGGUAGGUCGAUGAUGACUGCACCGAGUUCGGAUCCCCCUGCUCAGUCGGCAUAUGCUGCCACUGCUCCAGCUUUGAUGGAGCACGUGCUGGUUGGUCCCGGGGCGUCCCAGGCGCCUGCGUCAUCUGCGUCAUCCGUCGCGCAGCCAGCUAGUGCUAGGCGGCGGCACCGGCCCGCCGACACGACAUCGACCGACGGUACUGGUGCCUCGGGAUCACAGCCAGAUAUAACUACCAUUUUGUAUUGUUAAUUUUAUAUUGAAAUUUGACAAUGUUGUUUAUUUAACAUUAAUAUCUUUUUUCUUUGCAGCGAAGAAGAACACCUGAGGGCCGUGUCGUCAGCUGAAGACGGCGAAGGUCACCCGGGUGACCAACAGUCGUAUCAGCAUCGGAUACGACGAGCGCCAUCGGGCUGCACCGACGGCGGAGUUGCAUAGCUCCUUGGCCCACGACAUUGGCCACGUCGUGCGGACCCAUUGCCUGAUGCAAUGGAAGUCUUGGAGGGUCAUGCCUGACGAGAUCAAGGUGGAGGUUCGCGGCCAGUUGUCGGUAUGUACCUUACAUUUUCAUUAAUUUUCUUUAAAAUUGUGUAUAUUUCUAUUACUUAACGUAUCUAAUUAAUUGAUUGCAGACGAACUAUAACUUGGAGGAUCUCGACGAAGAGUCGUUGGCGUACGUCAACAGACUCUUCGCUGAGAGGUACAAGCAGUGGAAGAGCGACUUGCACCAUCAUUUUCAGGCCUUUGAUGAUCCGCAAGUCGCUCUUCAGGAGGGUUGCCCGAAGGAGCUUGAGGGGCGGGAGGAUAGUUGGGAGUGGCUCUGCGCUCAUUUUCAAGCGUCCGAAUAUGUGGUAUUUUUUUAAUAAUAUUUGUUUAAUUAUUACUUAUUUCUUAUUAAUGUUUAUUUCAUUUUUUUUAUUUCAUUAUUAUUUAAUUUGUUAUGUUUUAACUAAUACGUUUCAUUUUUUGUAUAACAGAAUAAGGCCCAAGUGAAUAAGGGUAAUAGGAAGAAGAAGACCCUUCUCCACCAUUCCGGCUCCAGGCCCUUUUCGUAUAGGAUGGAUGCCCGGCGACGGGUAAUAAUCACAUAAUUUAUAUUUCAUUUUUAAUGUCAUUUUUAUUAAUUUAUUUUUUUCAUACUAAUAUUUUUCUUCUCUUGUUCAAUUUAGGAGGGGUCCAAGUUCCCAGAGAUCGACGUCUUUGGUGACGUUUAUGUUCGACCCGGGAAUGAGUUGGCCGAGUCCCUUCAUGUAAGUAUUAUUUAAUUUUAAUUCUUAUGUUACGCAUUCAAUUUAUAUGCAUGUUUAAAUUUAUAUUUUAUGUUAUGUUCAACAGACGACGAUGGUGGAGAGGAGCCAGUUGGUUCUUCAGGAGUCCGCCUCCCAGCUUCCUCCCGAGACUCCGAUCGAGUCUGUGGCUCCUCCACAGGAUGCUGGAUUUCAGAUCUUGACGGAGACGUUGGAUCAGACUCUCGGGAGGAGGCCGGGGACAUAUUGUCGAGGGAUGGGGAAUGCCCGGCGGAGGGAACCUAGACCUCGUUCAUCGGCCCAGUCAAACAGUCAGGUGACUGCUUUGACAGCACAGGUGGCCGAGCUUCAGGGUCAGAUGUCGGUGAUUCUACAGUCCCUCGCACAGAGCGGCUUUCCAAUCCCGCAGUUUCGUGCGUCAACCUCCCAGCCCGUCCACCCCGAGUAUGCCCACCAGACCACUGCCCCGGUGGACGCCCAGACCUCCGAGCCGCAUACUGGCGACGACCCGAUUGAUUUUGCUUCAUUAUUUGAUUAGUGUAUUUAUUUUCAUCAUAAACAUUUAUUUUAUUUGUAAUACAUUUAUUUUAUUUUAUAACAAAAUUUUGUUCUAAUUUAUUUUUAUUGCAAUUUCAUUGUUUAAUCAAUAAAAAAACCAAUUUUAUUUAAAAAAAAUAAAAAUAAAUAAAAAACAAAAACAAAAAAAACAAAAAAAAAUUGUAAUAUUAUUUUUGCGCGACGGAAGACAUUUCGUCGCGCAAAACCACAUGUAACAAAAAAAAUUAAAAAAAUCAAUUUUUUAUUACUUUAAUUCUUGCGCGACGAAUACAUACGUCUCGCAAACAUUUUUUGCGCGACGAAAUGUUUCGUCGCGCAACAGCUUUUGCGCGACGACUGAAAUUUUCGUCGCCAAAUAGAUGAGCGACGAAAACUUUCUCAUCGCGCGAAUAGUUCUGCGACGAAUAUAUACGUCUCCCGGACUAGUUUUGCGCGACGAAUUAUUUUCGUCGCGCUAUUCGUUUCGUCGCGCAAAUAUACGUGCGCCGAAUACUUUAUCGUCGCGCAAAUAUUUAUGCGACGAACAGUUGUUUCGUCUCCACACCGUUGGUGCAACGAUGGUUUACCCGUCGCACAAUUAUGCGCGACGAAGUGUUGUACCUCGUCGCGCAAAGGCUUUCUUCACGAUCUUCGCGCGACGGAAGGUGCGCGACGAAUUUUUUGUCGCGCUGAAAUUAGGGCGACUAAAUAAGACUUUGCGCGACGUUUUGUUAUUCGUCGCGCAAAGAGUAAAAUGUAGUAGUGAGACUUGUUGGAGACAAAACAGGUAAACAAAUUACUUGUAUUAGACUCACAAAAUAUUACAACAAGACAACUCUCAAAGAAAAGACAAACUCUCACACUUCUCACAAGGACUACUUAACUUUAUAGCUUAUUGCAUAUAGCAUAUGCAAACACAAUUAGAACAUACCUACGUACACUAUGGGAACACUCGUGUAUAUUUCAACACAAGAAAACAUGUGCACCGUGCACGGUUCACAUGAAGUAAGAAAUGAAGAGGAAAUAAAGAAGAAGAAUACAAAAGAAAAUGGAGAUGAGAAAAAAAAAAAAACCGAAUAAUGAAAAAUGAAUUGACAAUUAUAUAUGGUUGACAUUAGAUCUAAUAUUAUAUGUAACAACUAUUGAUCUAAAAUAAACAUUAAAUCAAACAAUAAUUAAAAGAUUUGACAAUAUAAAAAUUUAUUGAGGACAAAAAAAGGCAAAAACUUAUGAAAAAUGGAAACAAUAAAUAUGAACUGAGUCAUCAACUCACCAUGGUAAGUUUGCUGACGUAUAAAAAUAGUCAAUGGACAUCGAAAAGUAAUUGGCUUACAUCAAAAAUUAAAAUCACGUGGGUUAUUCCUAAGAAACCUUAAUAUUUGCCUUCCAUUUGUUCCAGCAAAAUAAAAGUCAUUGCUACUUAUUGUAACCCCUUUUCCAAGCUUAUUAAUCAAAGUAGACACCUCACUGCUGUCACCUAGCCAAUUUUCAACAAUGUCAUACUUAACAAGCAACUCCACAUCCUUUGAGGUGUUCACAAAACGAUCCAUGAGACUAACAUAAUCACUUAUGUACGUCUCCUCGUAGUGGCAUUGUUCAAAUGCGAUGAGAUUUCUAAUUAAUACCUCUGUAUGAUCGCUUAUUUUCAAUCUUGGAAUUUCAAGAGUCCGGCCAGCAAAUCUAAUAAGGUAUUCAUUGAUCCCUCAUUCAACUUGAACCCUGCCCUGUGUAGCUCUGUGAUGCUGGGUGUGUUUAUAGUUAUGAGUUUCCCGUCAUUAGUUUUUAGGGUUAUUCGUUAUAUGAGUCCCUGAACUUAGACCCGAUUUGCAUUUUAGUCCCUCAAUUUCCAAAAUCGUUCCAGUGGUCCUUCAACUUUAGUUUCGUUAGGACAAAUGGUCCUGCCGUCAAAUGAUUAUAAAGUGGAAAAAACAAGAACAAAAAAGGAAGUGAGUUAAAUUUGCACCUGCUAUGUUCAAACGACAAAGUUCGUUUCCGUUUGGUCGAUUACAAGAGAAGCUCAAUGCAGCUUACUUGGUUCCUCUUGGUAGAUGGAAAUAUAAUUUUUCUCCUAAUAACAAAGGUUUAGUGCAAUCAAUGAUGGGCUGUAUAGAACAACUUUUUUGUUUUAUAUGUUUAUGUGAGACAAGUUUUGCCAGAUUGAAUUAAUGUCUUCUAGCUAUGUACCUUAUCUUUUUGCCGGGCCAUGAGUUGAAUGUAGAGGCAGAGCAUGGCCUUGGGUUUGUAAAAGACAAAAGACUGAACCAGACGUAAUUAUUUAGAUUUUGGAUCCAGUUCCACAUCCCAAAGAGAAAACCACAAGUUUGCAAGCAAGUUUGUCCAUAUUAACACUACGUAGAGUAUAGGCAGUGUGCUACUCAUCUCACUUUCUCAACCUACCCUAUAUUUGUCUAAAAGAGUUUCUAAUUUCGUGUACUGAUUCACUACUACAUUUUACACUUUGUGCGACGAAGAGAAUUUCGUCACGCAAAAUACAUUGGUCGCGCAAAGUUUAAAAAAAAUUUUAAAAAAAUAAAAAAUUCCCGCGUCCAAUUUUUGGUACUUGUCCAAAUUUUUUGAGUUUUGCGCGACGAAUACUAACAUCGCGCAAAUAUUUGCGCGACGAAAUAUUUUUUGUUUUAAAUUUUUUUAAUUUAAAAUAAACUAAUUUAAUAGUUUGCGCUACGAAAUAUUUUGUCGCGCAAGGUUUUUGACUUUUUGUUUUAUUAUUUCUUUAAUAUGAAUUUAUUUAUAUGAAUUUUUUGAAAUUUUUACUUUUUAAAUUUAAUUUAAUUGUAUGAUUUCUUUUUAAAAUUACUUUAAUUUAAAUUGAUAUUAAUUUUUACUUUUUAAAUUUAAUUUAAUUGUAUGAUUUUUUUUAAUUACUUUAAUUUAAAUUGACAUAUUCAAAAUAAAAUUACAUAUGAAAAAUAGUGAUUAAAUUAUCCAAUAAAUAUAUAUAUAUAUAUAAUAUUCAAAAUGUACACAUAAAUUAACAAAGCACAAUAAUAAAAUCCUAAUACAAGCGUAUUGUGGUGGUAGUGUCGGAGGAUAUGUUUUGAUAGCUUCCUAAUCCUCAACUUUAGCCGUCAAAGUCUCGAUGAUUCCCUACAAAAAAAAUAAAUAUGGUCAAAUAACCACAAACAAAAAAAAAAAAAAAAAAAAAGGCAUAAUCUCCCCUAAAAUUGUUAUACCACAAAUCCAACCCAAACUCCAAUCCCUCCCCUUUACUCAACCCCAAAACCCACACAAACUCAAAAUUAACUCCAAAAACACAUAUUAAUGAAAAAAAUUUAAAAUUUGGAGAGAAUAUACCUUUUGGCAAGAUUGAGAGUGAAUGAGAGGGAGAAGUGAGUGUGAGAGAAUUAGAGAAGAUAGUGAUAGAGAGAUGAGAGAGAUGAGAGAGUGAGUGAGAGAGAGUGAGAGAUAGUGAAGAGAGAGAUGAGAGAUUAAGUGAGAGGAGUGAGUGAGAGAAAUGGUGGGAUUUGGGGAGAGGGAAAGAGAAAGGAGAGGUAAGAGUAGAGAAAGGCAUUGAGAAAAUGGUGGAUGAGUUAUUUCGGUUUUAAAAACCGUAUCACUUUGCGUGACGAAAAAUAUUGUUGGUCGCGCAAAGGUUUGCGCGACGAAAAAUAUUGGAAUAUUGAUCGCGCAAACUUUUGAGCGACGAAACAUAUUGGUCGCGCAAAGUCUAAAAAAAUUAUUUAAAAAAAAUAAAAAUCCCCGCGUCCCAUUUUUGGUACCCGCCAAAAUUUUUAAAUUUUUGCGCGACGAAUAUAGGAAUAUUGAUCGCGCAAAGUCUAAAAAAAUUAUUUAAAAAAAUAAAAAUCCCCGCGUCCCAUUUUUGGUACCCGCCAAAAUUUUUAAAUUUUUGCGCGACGAAUAUAGGAAUAUUGGUCGCGCAAAGUCUAAAAAAAUUAUUUAAAAAAAUAAAAAUCCCCGCGUCCCAUUUUUGGUACCCGCCAAAAUUUUUCAAUUUUUGCGCGACGAAAAAUACAUAUUGGUCGCGCAAAGUCUAAAAAAAUUAUUUAAAAAAAUAAAAAUCCCCGCGUCCCAUUUUUGGUACCCGCCAAAAUUUUUAAAUUUUUGCGCGACGAAAAAUACAUACUGGUCGCGCAAAGUCUAAAAAAAUUCCCGCGUCCGAUUUUUGGUACCCGCCCAAAUUUUUGCGAGACGAAAAAUAUAUAUUGGUCGCGCAAAGUUUUGAGCGACAAAAAAUAUUGGUCGCGCAAAGUCUAAAAUUUUUUUAUUUUUUUUUUAAAAUCCAGCGUCCCAUUUUUGGUACCCGUCCAAAUUUUUAGAGUUUUGCGCGACAAACUGUUGGUUGCGCAAACUUUUGAGAGACGAAAAAUUGGUUCGUAACACAAUAUUUAUAAAAAUAAUUGUUAUGAAUAAUAAAAAUAAAAUUAUUUUAUUUUACAAUUUAAAAUAUAAAUAAGGUUAAAGCUGCUUAAGAAAUAUAUAUACUAUUCAAUUUCUUAAGUGUUAUACGUACAAAAUAAAUAAAUUUAAAGGUACUUAAUAAAUAAAUAUAUAUACACACACCAUUCAACGAUCCAACCGUCAGACUUAUUUGUAUAUACUUCAAGAUCGUAUACCCCAAAAAUCACAAAAAACAAACAUUUAGAGAUCUAGUAACGAGACAAAACUUUUCGAUGGUUAUAAAUGAAAAAUUACGAUUUAACGGUUAUUUUAACUCCGAUUUUGAUGAUUUUUUUUUACAGCUACACUCCUUGACCAUAUAUGAAUACAAUGACUGAAUUUGAUCUUCAAUUUAAAAUAUUUACACUAGUGGAUACCACAAAAUCUUAUGUUAUAUCUAACGAACGUAUAAAUAACCUCUUAAUUGUUAGUGAAUAUAUUGUUUUGAUGGCAUAUGCAUUCACCAAAACUAGUUUCAACGAUCCAACCAUCAAACUUGUUUGUUUAUACUUCGAGAUCAUAUACGCCAAAAAUCAGAAAAAAUAAACAUUCAGAGAUCAAGUAAUGGGACAAAAAUUUUCGACGGUUAUAAUGAAAAAUCACGAUUUAACGGUUAUUUUAACUCCGAUUUUGAUGAUUUUUUACAGCUACACUCCUUGACCCUAUAUGAAUACAAUGACUGAAUUUGAUCUUCAAUUUAAAAUAUUUACACUAGUGUAUACCACAAAAUCUUAUGUUAUAUUUAACGAACGUAUAAAUAAACUCUUAAUUGUUAGUGAAUAUAUUGUUUUGAUGGCAUAUGCAUUCACCAAAACUAGUUUCAACGAUCCAACCGUCAAACUUGUUUGUUUAUACUUCGAGAUCAUAUACGCCAAAAAUCGGAAAAAAUAAACAUUCAGAGAUCAAGUAAUGGGACAAAACUUUUCGACGGUUAUAAUGAAAAAUCACGAUUUAACGGUUAUUUUAACUCCGAUUUUGAUGAUUUUUUACAGCUACACUCCUUGAACCUAUAUGAAUACAAUGACUGAAUUUGAUCUUCAAUUUAAAAUAUUUACACUAGUGGAUACCACAAAAUCUUAUGUUAUAUUUAACGAACGUAUAAAUAAACUCUUAAUUGUUAGUGAAUAUAUUGUUUUGAUGGCAUAUGCAUUUACCAAAACUAGUUUCAACGAUCCAACCGUCAACCUUGUUUGUUUAUACUUCGAGAUCAUAUACGCCAAAAAUCGGAAAAAAUAAACAUUCAGAGAUCAAGUAAUGAGACAAAACUUUUCGACGGUUAUAAUGAAAAAUCACGAUUUAACGGUUAUUUUAACUCCGAUUUUGAUGAUUUUUUACAGCUACACUCCUUGACCCUAUAUGAAUACAAUGAACUAAUUCGAUCGUCAAUUUAAAAUAUAUAUUUUCUAACAAAAACCCAAUCUGAACAACAAUAAUAUAUUUUUCUAACAAAAAUCCGAUCCGAUCUAAAAUAAUAAAUUUAAAGCUACUUAAUAAAUAUAUAUACUGUUUAAUUUCUUAAGUGUUAUGCAUACAAAAUAAAAAACAAAAAUAAAUUAGUAUAGGCGACAAAAUGUUUGGAUUACGUCAUGCAAAGAUUUUAAAAUAUAUAUAUAUAUUAUUUUUAUAAGGACUUUGCGCGACGAAGUUCAUUGUUUCGUCGCGCAAAGUCACUUUGAGCGACGAUGUAUUGUUGUCGCGCAAAAGUUUGUCGCGCAAAGUUACUUUGCGCGACGAAUUUUUUUUCAUCGCUCAAAAUUUGGUCGCGCAAGACUUUGAGUGACGAUGUAUUGUCGUCGCGCAAAAGUUUGUCGCGCGAAGUGACUUUGCGCUACGAAUUGUUUUUCGUCACGCAAAAUUUGGUCGCGCAAGACUUUGAGCGACGAAGUUUUGAGUUUCGUCGCGCAAAGUGACUUUGAGCGACGAAUAGUUUUUCGUCGCGCAAAAUUUGGUCGCGCAAGGGGUUUUUUUUUACUAGUAUGAGUUUUAUAUACAAUUUAUAACAAUAUUUUCAGGCAAAAAAAUGUCUUGGCAAGAAAAUGUACAAUUUGUUACGUACUUAACUGGAACGAUUACCUUCAAAUUCCUAUGGCCAAUUACCUUCUUUUUUCUUCCUUUUUUUUUUUUUUUUUUUUUUGGUUGUUGUUGUUCUUUUGAUCAAGUUGCAUAUUCCAAAGAACGAAAACCAGUACAGGCUCUUUUCCAAUGCAAGCUCUUUUCCCAUGUUUCCCUCUGUUUUUCUCCUAUUUUUCUUAUAUGGAAGUGAUUAAAAUACACCUCUAAGCUUGUUUUGCGUUUGGUAACCGACUGUAAAAGCUCAAUGCAGAUAGUUUGAGGUAGAAUUUUCUCCAAUUUUACUAGCACAGUGAUAAGCUAUACUAUAUGUAACAACAAAUUGCUUUAAUAAUGAUAAUGAAAAAAGUGUGAUCCAUCGAAUAUUUGCGGGGUUUUGUUCCAAGUCAACACAUCAAAUUCUUUUACACCAUGAAAUUAAAAAAAAUUUAUUCAACCAUCUCGACCUUAUGCUCGAUCAUUUUGCACAAGCAACCGUCCACGUACCCCAAUAAUUUAAAAGGGCUGAUGAUCUUUAAUUUGGCGAAAGCUUCUAUCUACUUCUACCGCGCUAUAUAUGAGCUAUGCAAUUGUGACGGUGUUACAUGACGUCACAAUGUCGUAGGGAUAAAAAAAUAAUAGUCAUGGUUUCUUAUUAAUGUUAAUACAGGCAUAGCAAAAAGCUUGUAUUUCUAGUGGUUAAGAACAAUUACCCAUGCACUUGAGAUAUUAUGUGCUUAAAUCCCCUCUUCCCCAAUAUUUCUUGUAUAAAAAUAAAAAUAAAAAUAAAAAUAAUAAAGAUAUUGAUAUUGUAUUCUAUAAAGUGUUGGACAUGUUUUAUACCCCUUUACUGCAAAUUACAGUUUGACACAUGUACAAAAAUAAUAGGUAAGUGUUGGACAUCAAGAGUACUUACAUAUAGGUUUAAUAGGUAAGUUUUGAAUAUUUCUGUCUUUAGCUUUAAUUAUUGAAAAUCAACCUAUUAUCAUAUUAAAGACUUAUCCAUGUUCAACGUACAUUCUCUUAUUUUUCUCUCAUUGAAGUAAAUACAAAACUAAGCACAUAGUGGAAAAGUAGGUCACGAUUAGGGGUGGGUUUGGUCUGGGUUGGUUCAGUUUUGGGCUCAACCCGAACACCGAACCGUAGACCUCGAUUUGGCUAUUUUGGAAACCAAAACUAAACCAUAAUUAAUGAAAACCGACCACUUCAAUUACCUUCUGGUCUUCCAACCAGAAGAAAACUCAAAACUUUAACCAUACCAAGUGCAACAGAAUUACACCAGGCUGGAGUCAAGUUUAUGAUGGUUAAAGAUAAAAACUUAUUUGACAUACAAUUUGAGAAUGGAAUCCUCAAAAUUCCACACCUGCGAAUACAGGGUUAAACAGAAAUUUUCUUCCGCAAUUUUAUUGCCUAUGAGCAGUGUGAGCUCCAUGAUCAUUACAUCAACAACUAUGUCUUCGUCAUGGACCGCCUGGUCGACAGUGCCAGGGAUGUGGAAUUGCUUGUGAAGAGUGGAAUUCUUGAAUCCAUGCUACCGGACAGCGAGGCAGCAGGGGAAUUUAUUAAUUCUCUUGACUUGGGGCCUAUUUUAGGCAAGCUUGAAACAAGACUAUUUCAGUUCACCAUGGGCUGGCCUGUCUAUUAUUGUAGCCGCUAUACUAGUUGUGCUCACAUUUAUUCAAACAGUGUGCUCCGUAAUGGCGCUGUAGGUUCUUCAUUUCCUCAAUUUCAUGUUUAGUGGUUGCAGAUUUGUUGCUCAUGUACGUGUUUAUCUAAAGUUAAAUAAGAGUGAUUGACUGAUAGUCUGUUAGUUUGUUUUUCUGGGGUUUUUCCCCUGUUCGUCAAAAAAGAAAAAGAGAAAGAGUGAUUGCUUGUGCCUGUUUGGGCCUAAUUUGACACACCCAAUCCAAAAUCAAAAAGUCCAUGUCAAUUUUGGACAGCCACCAGCAUUCCCUUUGUAAUUAGGCCAAAAACUGCACACCCAACCUAGCACUGGAGCCUAGAACAAACAAGGUAAACUCAGGACCCAAGCAGUUUGAUUUUUUCAUUUAAAUUGGAAUCAAGGGCCCCAAGUCAAAAAAGCCCAAGCCCAAGGCAGAUUUUUUACCAAAAAGACCCAAGGAAGCCCAGUGCAUGCGAAUUGCUUAGCCCACAAUCCCAAAACUCAAAACUAAGUUUGGCAUGAUUAAAUAAAGAUAGAGAGAAGCCCAAAAUUGAAGAAACCCAAAACAGUUUUAUCAAAAUUGUCAGCUCUCUACCCAAGACCUAAAAAGGGUCAAAAAUACCACUAUUGGCAAAAUUGACGCACUCAGCCUUGGAUCACAAAGAAAUCCACGUGACUAUUUGACUUUGAGAAGUCAACAAUUUCAACUAGUCACAAGAGAAGUUGAUUGGAAUUAAUGUAGGCAGGUCAUUACAGAAAAGACUUCUUUGAAACUCUGUAGCCAAAAGAUCAAAAUCCCUUUCUAUAUAAUUCUGCAUCAGAGUAGGUGGUCUUUCCAAGAGAUAAGCAGACUACGUUUUCAAGAGAUAAGUAGAGAAUGAGGGAGUUGUUCAACAAGAAAAGCAAACUAACCAUCAUGAUAGGUUGUGUUCUUUCUCUCUACAAAAAACAAUAGGGAACAAAGAAGAGUUGGUUUUUCUUUCAGAAAAAGGAAGGAAAAGACCUACAUGAAAACUAAUUAUUGAUGGUUCUUCUCUGCCAGAACAGAUAACUUCUCAUUUUCUUUGACAUUUAAAAAUGAAAGGUCUCGCUUUUACAAAAUCUGCCGCCCAUUAUUUAAAGAUUAGAAAACCCACUCCAGCAUUUCCUAUAAAUAUGAGAGGAGGUGAUGUCACAUCACGGGAUUGGCUCUGCCGUAGCACGAUAUUGUCCACUUUGCGCCCCCCUCUCUACCCUCACGGUUUUAUUUUUGGGAACUCACGAGCAACUUCCCAGUGGGUCACUCAUCUUGGGAUUGCUCUAGCCCCCAGCUCGCUUAACUUCGGAGUUCCCAUGACUCCGAAGCCAAUGAGCUCCCAAAAGGCCUCGUGUUAGAUGGAGGCGGGCAUGUACAUAUAAGGCACAUCACCUCCUCUCCGUUGGUCGAUGUGGGAUGUUACAGGUGAACAUAUCAAAGGACAGCCAAAAAAUCAAUCAAAGACAAAAACUCAAAAUGAUCACUUGAUCUCAAAAGCCUUCAAAACACUGAAGCAAGCAAAGCUCAUUGAGCCACAACGAACAAGUCAGCUAGAAUUCAGAAUCUUUAGAGUCAGUUCAGUUUCAGAGAAAUAAUCAAAGAAAGCGAGAUCUCUCUCGUUACAAAUUUGGUUCAGCUUAAAGCCAAAACAAGCAGAGUUCAGGUUCUUACAAAUAUGAAAACCUCAAUAAAUUUAUGGAGAGCCCUGAUCAAGCAAAACAGGUACUACAGUGCAGUUCUAGCUUAGUAAUAAUCAAAUCCACCCACUUCUGCCCCUUCCAGAUUGAGAAGGUCCCAAUUCUGCCCAUUCAAAAAGCCUUCCAAGACUUGAAAUAGAUUAAAGCUCUGCCAAACUCAAAUGUUGGAAUCAAUUCGCAGCUGAAACAUGACAGUUGAAGGUGUUGAUAGUCCAGUCCAGCACAGACAUACCCAGUCUAGCCCAGAUCAGAAGCAUUCACCGAGGCAGAAAUUGAAGUCCAAAGCUCUUUUUGUCUUUUUAGAGUUGGUCUUCCUUUUCUGAGCUUUGUAAAAGGCAAUUCUGCCUAAAACAGUUCACUUUCUUAUCAUUUAUUCUGGCCAGAACUACCAGUUUUGUACUGUGAAAAAUUAUGAAGUCCUCACCAGUCUAAGGCAAGAAAAGAACUUACUUGGGAGAUAUUCCUCACCAAAUUCACAACCGUUUGUUUAGAAAUCAGUAACUUGGUGUAACGACCCGGUCCUAAAUAAAUUGGUAAUUAUUAAUUUAUUCAGAUAAAAGACCAUUUUGCCCAUAGAAUAUUUUAAUAGGUUUACAUGUUGACCCGGGAGGCUUCGGUGAAAUUGUUACAUCUCGGUCCGAAAAAGUGUUAAAAUAAUUAAAGUAGAGUGCUGCUAAAAGAACCCUAAAAUUAACUGAGUACACCCUAUGAUCUAAGUACACCCUAAUAUUUUAAUUAAAAUAUAAAAUUAACUAAGUACACCCUAUAAAACUAUCAAAAAUAACACUGAUACACCCUAAUACUUGUAGCAUUAUUUUAUAGUUGAUUAUUUUAAUAGUGUUUAUAAAUCUUUGACUUUUCAUAUGGAUUUAUGCUUCUACUAAAAUUGUUGCCACUUUUUUUCCAAUUCCAAGUUCUUGCAAUCACCACAUCUUUCGUUAAAAACACAAUAGGACAAGCAAUCUCUUGAUUAGGGUUGAAUAUGGUUAGUAGGGUGUACUUAUUAAUAUUAUAUUUGUUUCACAAUUCCAUAUAUCCUUUUUGGUCAUUUUAUAUUAGGGUAAACCAGUAAUUCAAUAUAUACUUUUAUAGUAGGGUGUACUCAGUUAAUUUUAGGGUUCGUUUAGCAGCACUCUUAAAGUAAGAGAGAAUAAAAUGAAAUAAACAUUAAAAUAAAAUGAUUUGAAUUAAUUAAGGUUUUUGAGAAAUUAAAAUAUUAUUUAAUAUUAUAAGGGGAAAAAGAUCAUUUUAAGUUUGGGAAGGAAUUUGGAAAUUCCAAUUGUACCGUUGUGUAGAGCAUGUCGAAACGAGUCCGUAGACACGUAGUGGACUCGAAUCGUAGUUAUAACGGAGAAAUGGCGAUCAAAAGAAGUUCAGUGGCAUAGCCAUAAAUAUUUCGAAGUUCAGUUUUUUUAAAACCCAAAUUUCUUCUCUCUGGGGAGUGGGAGAGCCAACUUCAAAUGGUGAUUUCUCCCAACUCCGACCACCACACUUCCCUCUUCCUUCAGUUUUGGCAUCAUGAUGGGUUCCAUCCCGGAAUGACACAUUUUCGACGCUAAGGACGUCACAAAUGGUAUUUGAGAUGCUUUGUAAAUUUGUAACCAUGGAAAACACAAUGAACUUUAUGUUCGGAGUUGCAAGAGAACAUUAAGGGGAAUAUGGAGAGUGGGAAAAUAGUAAUAAGUGGAGAUCUGUAUGCUUACUUACUACUGAACUUCCGUCGUGGUGGUUAGUAUGAAAAAGUGUUAGAGAUUAUAGAUUUUAUGGAGGAACAUGGUUGUACACUGAUAAGUAGUCGGUAGGAGUUGAUUUAAGUUCCAAGAGAAAUUCAUUAUGAACUGGGAUGAAUUACUGCAAGAUUCUUGCUGUUUUGAAGUUAUUGAUUUUAGGGGCAUCACCUCUGAAUGAUCAUAAUAACCAUGCGUGGGCUCUGCAUGAGGUUUCUUUGACAUUGUUUGAUUUUGUGUAUUGAUAAUUACACUUAGGGGUGUCACGUUUCUAGAAACGUGUCUAUCCAAAUUGUUGUAUCUCAAUAUCCUAUGGAAGGAAAGCUGAGAAGCUGAAAAUACUGGAUUUAUGGUGGUGAGAUAAAAAUUGUCAGGAACUUUCAAAAGUCAAAUUAUUUCACAAAGGGAAAUACUGGAGAGAAGUAUUAGAGAAUUUUCUUUGGAUAAGUUAUAUAGGAGUGGAGGAGUUGCGAGUUUAACCAAGGAGGGUUGUGACAAUUUAAAUUGAGAAGUAGUGGUGUUGGGUGAAGUAUUAUUUCAUUCGCGUGGGCUUGAAUGCCGCGAUUGACAGGAAUGGAACAUUAGGGUUCUUCUUCCUUGCUCUCUCACGCGAGCUCGCCAUAGAGAGUAUUUCUUGGCGUGGUACUGGCUUCGUCCGACCUCCGAUUACUGUGAUUUUUGAAAGGACCCGGCCCAAAUUUCUCAAAAUCCGAGGCGAAUCCUGUGAAAUUCCCGACAUCACUCCGAUGCCAGGCCCACUUACUAAAGACCGAGACUUUCUGCCGAACUUUCGGCAGAGUCUCCCCUAUAAAUUGGACAUUUUCCAAAACUACCACCUGCAUAAAACACAAUUUAUAUCCCCAACUGGCAGCAUGCACAAGAUAAUUUCAUGCAAAUCACAUAAUCGGCCUGCGGCCUUCAAAUAAUUCAAAACGAAACCACCAAGCACACUAUCAAAUUAAUUCCUACCUUAAACAAGGCAAACAAUAAAUUUAAAUAUGAAUUAUGACUACUAAAUUUCAACAUACGAGGUUUUAACCUCCUAACACAAUCACAUCUAUGUCCGCGGCUGCACCUAAUAACCUUAGGCUGCCUACGUACCUUCACUGAGGGAUCAAGCCACACGUAGUUCUUCCGUAAAACCCAAUUCCACACAUAGGCAAUACCUUUAUUCAUUUCUCUGUAUUUCACAUAAUCUCCCCAUACGCCAGUACUACCAUUGCCACGUAUGGGACUUGUCAACAAGCCGGAUAACCUACACCACGUGCGAUCUCAACAUAAUAUCACAUAAUCUCCUCAUACGCCGGUACAACCAGCGCCACGUAUGGGGCCUGUCAACACGCCGGAUAACCUACGCCACGUGCGACCUCAUCAUACUAUCACAUGAUCUCCCCAUACGCAGGUACAACCAACACCACGUAUGGGGCCUGUCUCAACGCCGGAUAACCUACGCCACGUGAGACCUGAACAUAAUAUCACAUAUCUCCUCAUACGCCGGUACAACCAAUGCCACGUAUGGGGCCUGUCAACACGCCGGAUAACCUACGCCACAUGCGACCUCAAUAUACUAUCACAAUAUCUCCCCAUACGCCGGUGCAACCAACGCCACAUAUAGGGUCUGUCUCAAAUUGGAUAACCUACGCCACGCUAGACCUCAACAUCAUAUCACAAUAUCUCCUCAUACGCCGGUACAACCAACGUCACGUAUGGGGUCUGUCCGCAUGCCGGAUAACCUACGCCAUGUGGGACCUAACUUUCACAGAGUGGUACUUGUAGUGUAACCAAAAUCUGGGGAGGUGCCUAAGGUAGUGCAUAUAGCACUUCAAACUGACAUUCUCUCACUUAUCUAAACUAAUACUAGAGGUCUUCCCAUUUUAAUGGUACCAGUCUAUAGUAGAUUGUAACGUAAUUUAAUCAUAAAAAUAAUAUUAUUUCUAGACCAACGAUUAUUCACAUAAACAUGAAUUUCAUAAUUUCACUAUUUAAAAUAAUAUCUAAAAGUUUCCUAUAAUACAAAUAAACACUCUAAAGAUCCCAACUUAGUCAACACAGCUCAACAAUGCUCAAGACCUGUCAUUAGGGUCAUUAUGAUCCUUCUAGGAAGGUAAAACUACCUCGAAAGACUCAAGGUCAACCAAGGGUCAAACCACCCACAAUUGGUCAAACGGGCCCACGGGGCCCACGACCUCCAAAUUCCAAUCCGAAGGUUCCUAUGGGAUCUACAAGGUAUAGGACACUCGUCUUGCAAGUUAAGCCUAGAUCGGAUGGUCAGAUCGCUCACGAUCGCACAAUCUGAUGGUUAAUAUAAAACAUAAACUUUAAAUUAUUUAAUCGGAACAUCCGGGGCUCCCGAUUCACGAUCUGUUCCUACACGAUCCUAGAAAUACAUAGAUUAACAUAUAUUAAAUUUGAGACCAUCCAACGGUCCUAACCUAUCGAACCCGGAUAACGCGCAAUAGGCGAUAUUCGUUCGAUAGUCAAACGACGUCCGAAUUGAGAUUUACGAAAUCCUACGCACUCGUGACAACCUAAGGAUCUCAUUGAGACAUAUUGCUAUCCCAAAACCGACCGAAAUCCAAUUCGAAAAUCGAGUUACUUACGUUAAGAAUCGACCGAAUCCUACCCAACAGGCAGCUAGAGCAUGAAAAGUAUGUGAGAAACCAUACCUCACUCGUCGAAAUCAGUGGCCAAAGGAGGGAGAUCGACGAUAGAGAAGUUCGGACGAACUGACCGCUUCUUCUCCAUUUUUCAGCGAAACCACGGUAGCUGGUGGCGGGACCUAGCUGGGGUUGGAAGAGGAUGACGCCCCGGUCAUUUUGGUAUCGGCCUCGUGGUCAUCGGUGGCCGGAUGAGAAAACAGCCGGCGAAAAUGUGACCGGCUGCCGUUGCGCACGCGAGAGAGACCACGAGAGAGAGAGAGAGAGAGAGAGAGAGAGAAAUCUGAUUGUGCCACUGAGAUUCUUUUGACCAUAUCUCUCUCGUUACAACUCCGAUUCAAGCCCACCACGUGUCUACGGACUCAUCUCGGUACGACCUAUCCAAAAAUACCAAUCACUACCCCAAAUACUUUUUGGAUCAGAAAGUGACCAAAUUACCCCUACCUCAAUGGUAACUUUGUAAUUUCACUUAAAUAAUUUAAAUAAGGGAUUAAAUUUGGAGUCGGGGUGUUACAAUUUUUGUUGCUAAAUGUUGUCAUCAUUUCUCCUCUACAUCACUCAGUGAUCAUUCACUCCCAUUUCUCUAGUUUACACGGUGAAUUUUAUUUCUAAAAUUUCUUAAAAUUCCGGCCACUGUGAGUUUGACCAGCGACUUGGGUUACUUUUGCCCAUCUUUUUGGAAAUGGAACCGAUUUGAGGAAGAUUAGGAGGAAAGAUACAUAGGCCGCUGAGGCAGAAGUAAAGCCGGAGCUUUACCAUAGACAGAAGUUGUUUUAGAAGUCCUGGAAGAUUGUGAACAGGAAUUGGAAGUUUGCAUGGGGUGAUAGGAUUUUUAGUACUUGUGCAAACAGUGUUAAAAAUCACAUAAAAUACUUGCAAGAAUACAAGGCUAUUGUAGUCUAGAUGCUCAUGCAAGGUCGUUUUCCUCAAGGACUAAUUAGCAAUUUAUGUAAAAAUAAAUUCCAAUUACUACUUAAAAUAAAAAGUCAAGAAAGAUGAUUAUAAAUUUGGUUGAUUCUAAAAAACAAAUAUUAAACAAAAACAAAUACGAUUGAAAGAAAGAGUUUUGAAUAUCAAUUUAUAAAAACACUAGGGUUUCACCAUCACCUAGCAAUCCUAUGAACUUUUACCAAUUACUUAUGAUUUGCACAUGCCACUUUGAAGGUUAGGUUUUCCUAAUGUAUAUUCUACUUAGAACCUCCAACACAGAAUGUAUAUCCAACAUGCAACCCGUCCGGACGUUCGGAUCAAAUCUGAACAUGAAAGACUCAUUAAGUUUUGUGAAAACCCUUUGAAAAACCAUGCAACCCUUAAGACGUGGUGUUCAUCUUAAGUGAAAUUACAAUUAUUAAUCAGAAGAAGCUAGCAUCAAUUUCAGGGAACCUUCCGACCAAAAUUGCAUCCAAUUACUUUUCUAAAGAUCCUAAUGGUGAUCAGGCAUUAAGACAAUUAGAUAGUUUAAAACAGUGAUUAACAAUUCAAAAUACGCAUGCACUCAUCAUAAGCAAUUAAAUAAAAAUCACAUAUUCAUGCUAAGGUUCAAGGCUUCACCCUAGCAAAAGAAAUUUAGUUACGCAUACUCAUAAUUGAAAUCCAAGAAAAUAUCAUUAAGAAGAAAAGAACGAAAACACCUGAAAGUUGUGAAAACCCAAAACCCUAGCAAUUGCUCUCCACAAUGCAAAGUUCAAAAGUGAAAAGGGAGUCCUCCAUUCCUUGUGAGAAAGAGCUUAAAUACCCCUUAAAACCUAGCUGCCAAUGUACAGCUUUUCUAUCCCCACAAGGAAACUAAUUAAAAUAAAAUAAUACUAGGAAAUAAAGUCCAAAUUGGAAUAGGAGAAUCUGCUCAAAAUCUGCCCAGCCACGUUUUGGCCCCAAAUCUCCUCCAAAUCUGGCCCAAGAUAGCUUGUUUUAAAGAUAAAAAAUGUUCUGAACACUUCUUUAGAAGGCCACGAACCCAUCCGAGGUCAUCUUGGGCUCCAAAAACGCAAUAAAAGCCCAACACGUCACUAUUCCAGCACCGCGCACUGCUCCUUUAUUUUGUUGCCAGAAAAUAACCGCUUGGAAGAAAAAUCUGAAAUUUUGAUACGAUCAAGCUAAGUGACUCAAGAACGUCCUCCAACUGGAAUUACUCCAAAAUUCCUCAAUUUGAUUAUGUUUUGCUCCAGAGAGAUUCGAAAGUCCUAUAUUGGAAAUAUAAUUCAAAGUAUCAAAAGUCUUCCAAAAUAAUAACCAAAAUAUACUAAGAAUGAGGUUAAAUAUAUAAUAUAAAAUAUGUCCAUCAAAAUACCCCCAAACUUAGCUUUUGCUUGUCCUCAAGUGAAACAAGACUCAAACAAAAAUAAAAACUUAACAGAUUAGACAUCUGGCUAACACUUAACUAGGACAAAAUUUCCACCUUCAAGUUGCAAUCCAUAGAAAAUUUUAAAAACUAGAACAUCCUUUCAAUAGAUCUAAGUAAUCCCACCACAAAGUCUAAGCUAUUUAGACUCAAUUAGAAAAGAAUUCACAAACUUCUUUCGGUGCAAAGUGAACCAUUAUGGUUAUGGAGACUUGACUAAAACCCUUAACUCUCAUCCCUUUUAUUCAUACUUCACACACUCCACACUUUUUGUUUUUUUUGUUUUUUGUUUUUUGUUUUUUUGUUUUUUUUUCUUUUUGUUUUUAUAGUAACAGUAGUGGUUGUGCAAUGUUGGUUCCCUUAAGCUUUCAAUCCAACCGUGUAGCCAGCUUUAGGUCAAUGUCUCCCAAACCACUCGGGUUUUAGGGCACUAGGUGUAGAACACCCCUAAGGACUUAUUAACUCAAGCUGAAAAGGCUACGAAACCAACUAACCACCCUGCCUCAUGCCAAAACUCUACCUUUUGUCUCGAGAAUCACUGCUGAUUAGGCAGGAUUGACCCGGUUACUAGCAAAGCUUCGGGUGAGGUAAUUAUUACUUUAUAACACAAACUAACUUUAUUUAUAUUGAACAUAAAUUAAAACACAUUUGGACAAAAAGUAAGUAUUCCAAUCUCACUCCCCAAAAACCAUGUUGGUGUGAUGUGCAAAUUUCAAAGUAUAAUUCAUGAAUUAAUGUCUAAGCAACAAUAAAUAGAAAAUACUCUACCGUGGGAUUGAUUUUCACCAUGUCCAUUUGUUCUAACGUUUAAAAUAAUCUAUGGAUAUUGACUGAAAAACGAAAAUUUGUAAACAAGACUCAAAAAAUGAAAAAUAAAAAAAAUUACGUUCCCACCCCCUAACUUAAAUCACACAUUGUCCUCAAGGUGGGGUAAAUAAUCAAAAGAAACAAGAGCAGAAACAAAACGACUAAAACUUAGAAAAUGGAAAUCAAAAAUAAAGAAAAUACUCUAAGAAAAGAAAUUAGGAAGGCAAAGGAUGAGAUCCAGAUGGAUCUGGUAAUCCUAUCCGUAGAGAUGGAAAGAUUCUAUACACGCCAUUGAGACUGGAUUUGGAGAUGAGGAUUUGACCCUACCUUGUUCGACGAAUUCCCUCAAGGGGAAUUAUAGCAAUAAAAUACAUAUGCUUCUACAAACAUUUAAUUGCACUGCUACGACGUGGAAAGAGUGCUUUGGGGUCUCAUCUCAUGUGAACCCGUUCGAGUAGAAAUCUUUCAUUAGAAUCAGAAAUGGGUCAUGGUAAAGAGAGGUAGAUGAUGAUUACAGUUCGGUAAAAAUGAUCAUUUCUGACAUUCCUCUCAAAGAACCGUGUUGGCAAUGUCGUUUAUCGAUUCUAAAGAAAGAAGAAAAAUAUCAACAAGUCAAAGAACGUGGAUUUCUUUUAAGGGGAGAGCUAGAACAAAAUCAAAUCACGAAUGGAAGAGUUUAGCUUUCAGAGGAAGAUUGAGCAUUACAGCAGCUAUUAAAGGAUAUUUUUAGUUGAAGAAUGAGAUUUUUCUUCCUCUGAUUGUUUAGCUAGAGCUUUUGGCUUGACUGCCAACGUGGUUGUGGAGGAAGAAACUUGGGAACCCGAGUAGUAGAUGCGAGCCCACUACCCAUACCCCUUUUGAGUGACAGGUAUGAAAUUUCAAGGAUGAAAUUUUUAUAAGAGGGGUAGAUUGUAACGACCCGGUCCUAAAUAAAUUGGUAAUUAUUAAUUUAUUCAUAUAAAAGACCAUUUUGCCCCCAUAAUAUUUUAAUAGGUUUACAUGUUGACUUGUUGACCGGGGAGGCUUUGGUGAAAUUGUUACAUCCCGGUCUGAAAAAGUGUUAAAAUAAUUAAAGUAAGAGAGAAUAAAUUGAAAUAAACAUUAAAAUAAAAUGAUUUGAAUUAAUUAAGGUGUUUGAGAAAUUAAAAUAUUAUUUAAAAUUAUAAGGGGCAAAAAGAUCAUUUUAAGUUUGGGAAGGAAUUUGAAAAUUUUGAUUGUACCGUUGUGUGGAGCACGUCGAAACGAGUCCGUAGACACAUAGUGGACUCGAAUCGGAGUUGUAACGAAAAAAUGGCGAUCAAAAGAAUUUCAGUGGCAUAACCGUAAAUAUUUUGAAGUUCAGUUUUUUUAAAACCCACAUUUAUUCUCUCUGGGGAGUGGGACGUGCCAACUUCAAAUGGUGAUUUCUCCCAACUCCGGCCACCAAUUCAAGUAAGACCGGCCCCGUUAGAACCACCACACUUCCCUCUUCCAGUCCCAGCCCAUCUCAGUCUCGAUCCGCCGUCGUAGUCGCCGAAAAUCGCCACGAAACAAGGUGGUUUGGAUAGUUUUUGUCGAAAUUUCGUGGAGCUCGUUCUCCCUCCUCCGGCCACCGUUUCAGGCGAGUGAGGUAUCAUUUCUCACCUAUUUUCUAUGAUAUAGCUGAUGGUUGGAUAUGAUUUGAUAAAUUUUGAGCGUUGAUAGUUCGAUUUUCGAAUCAAAGUUUGGCCGAAUUUCGGGAUGAAAUUCCGGCCACUUUCGAUCACUUUUUGGGGUAGGCCCAAGAACAAAAGUGUCUUCAAUUGAUGUCCUGAUCCCAGGGUAAGAGCAUUGGUCGAAAAUUUUGAGAUUUUCCUGCUGGUGGUAUCGCUUUGGGCACCCAUGCGCUGAUGGCGCGUGUGGCAGCGUGUGGGCACUGUAGCAGAGGGCCAUUGUGUCCCAAUGCGACCCCCUUGUUGUCACGAGUGCGUAAGGGUGCUCGGAUUCCAAUUUGGUUGAGGUUUGAACCCCGAAUGGAUUUCGUAUAUUGUACAUUAUCCGGGUUUGAUAGGUUUGAACCGUUGGAUAGUCUUGAAUUUAAUAUAUGUUAGUCUAGACAUCCCUAGGAUCAUAUAGGAUUUCGCGGAUCAUGGAUCGGAGCCCCGGAUGUUCUGAUUUAAUAAAUUAAAGUUUGUGUUUUACAAUAACCGUCCGAUCGUGCGAUCGCGAGCAAUCCGACAGUCCGAUCCGAACCAAACUUGCAGGACGGGUAUCCUAAAUCUUGUAGAACCCAUAGGAGCUUUCGGAUAAGAAUUUGGAGGUCGUGGGCCCGGUUGACCAAGAUUAGGUAGUUUGACCCCUCGGUUGACCAUGAGUCUUCCGAGGUAGUUUCACCCUUCGAGGAGUACUAGAAUGACCUUAUUACAUAGUCUCGACCUUUAAUUGAGCUAUGUUGACUAUGUUGAGAUUUUUAGAGUGUUUAUUAUUAUCGUAUGAAAACUCUUGGAUAUUACUUUUAAUAAUUGAAAUUAUGGAUUUGAUGAGCGUGGGUAAAUUGAUUUGAUGAGUGGUGAAAAGAAGUCGUGGGCUUGGCUAUGACUAUUAGGAAGUGAGGGGACAUUUAUGUUGAAUAUGCAUUAAUUUCAACAAUUGAAAGAACAUGCAUGGAAUGGGUAUAUAUAUAUAUAUAGAUAAAUUGGAUUAAAGAUUGAGAAAUUAAUAAGUUGAGAUAUUAGUAAUAUUUAAUUGAGAAAUGGAUUUUGAGGUGGAAAUUGGAAGGUUGAAUUUGGGGAAUUUUGGAAUUGAGAAUUAUGGGUUAAUACUGAAAGAUGUAGGAUUAUACUAUGUAAGUACCAUCCCCUAGUUACUAGGCUUCCCAUACGUGGAGUUGGAAUUUCUGGCGUGUGGGAAGGAUAUAUGAUUAUUAGAUCUCACAUGCCGUUGGAUUUUCCAGCGUGAGACAGACCCCAUACGUGGGGUUGGAUUUUUCGGCGUAUGGGGAGAUUAUGUGAUGGUUAGGUCACACGUAGGGUGGGAUUUUCCAACGUGUUGACAGACCCCAUAAGUGGCGUUGGAUUUUCCGGUGUAUAGGGAGAUUAUGUGAUGGUUAGGUCACACGUGGCAUAGGAUUUUCCAGCGUGUUGACAGACCCCGUACGUGGCGUUGGAUUUUCAGCGUAUGAGGAGAUUAUGUGAUGGUUAGGUCCCAUGUGGCGUAGGAUUUUCCGGCGUGUUGACAGACUCCAUACGUGACGUUGGAUUUUCCGACGUAUGGGGAGAUUAUCUGAUGGUUAGGUCACACGUGGAGUAGGAUUUUUCAGCGUGUUGACAGACCCCAUACGUGACGUUGGAUUUUCCGGCGUAUGGAGAGAUUAUGUGAUGGUUAGGUCACACGUGGCGUAGAAUUUUCUGGCGUGUUGACAGACCCCAUAUGUGGCGUUGGAUUUUCCGGCAUAUGGGGAGAUAAUGAGAUGGUUAGGUCACACGUGGCAUAGGAUUUUCUGGCUUGUUGACAGACCCCAUAUGUGGCGUUGGAUUUUCGCGCGUAUGGGAAGGAUAUGUGAUUAUUAGGUCUCACAGGUGGCGUUGGAAUUUCCGGCGUAUGAGACACUAACAGUGAGAAGAGAAUGAGAUUAUUUUUCUAUAUCAGAGAAAGGUUAGAGUAUAAAAAGAAAUAUGUUUGGUGUGUGGUAAUUUAAAUUAAAACAGGGAAAGAUAACUUACCUGUACUACUGAAACAGUUGUGUAACAUUUGGAGCAUGAUUAUGGAGUGAAAGAACUACGUGUGGCUUGAUCUCUCAGUAAGGGUACGUAGGCAACCUAGGUGCAGUCGUAGACUAAACGUUAUUUAUGUUGUUUUAUUGAGAUUGGUUCUGACCCUGUCGUUGGUCCUGAAAUUCGGUUGAAAACUAGAUGCGAGUAAAUAAUUGUUCAUACUCCCGUUUCGUUGAGGGAGGAUUGUGUAAAUGUGUUCUGGUCAAGACAGGUAUAAGAACUCGUUUAGGAUUGAUGUACGAUUUGGGCUAAGGCCUUAAACUACUUGUUGUUGUAUUAGGAGAUUAAAACCUCGCAUGUGGGAUAAUUGGGAAAGUUAGAUGAUGUAAAGUGCACUUAGGCAUUCAUAUAUAUGUUUAAAUUUAUUAUUUGUCUUGCUUAACGUAAUUGUUUGACUUAUGGGCUUUAUUGGUGAUUUGCUUCAGAUUAUUUAAAGGCCGAAGGCCGUUUAUGUGAAUUGCAUUUUGAUACAUUGUGCAUGCUACUAGUUGUGGAUAUUAAAUGUGUUUUAUGCAGGUUGAAAUUUUUGGGAUUGUUCAAAUUACAGGGGAGACUGCCAAAAUUUUGAUAGAAAGUCUCGGUCAUUAGUAAGUGGGCCCGGCAUCGAGGUGAUGUCGGAAUUUACACAAGAUUCCUCUCGGGUUUUCAGGAAUUCGGGGCGGAUCCUGUUACUUGGGGUGCAAAUUAUCCAUUUGUUCACCCGUUUUCGUGUUUUACUUCUGAGGUGGAAGGGCGAAGUUUCCCACUGGCUUGGAGACCACUUGUUGGUCGACAAGUCAGCUUUCUUUGGUGUGUGUGAGCGUGCCACUGCUAGCAAUGUAAAUUCUAGCAGACUUAUUUUUUAGAGUGGAUAACUUGCGCCUCAAGUUACUGACUUCUAAAACAAAUGAUUGUGAAUUUGGGUGAGGAAUAUCUCCCAAGUAAGUUCUUUUCUUGCCUCAAACUGGUGAGGACUUUCACAAUUUAUCUCAGUAUCAAAUGGUUGUUCUGGCCAGAAUAGAUAAUAAUAAAGUAGACUGUUUCAGGCAGAACUGCCUUUUACAAAAUUAAGAAGGGAGAAAUCAACUCUAGAAAGGAAAAAAGAUGGCUGGAAUCCCAUUUCUGCCUGGGUAGAAACUUCUGAUCCGGGCUGGACUGGGUAUGUCUAUGCUGGACGGUGCUGUCAACAACUUUAGCUUGCUCGGCUUUAGUUGUAAAUCGAUACCAAAGUUCAAUUUUGGCAGAGCUUCAAUCUACUUCAAGCCUUGGGAGACUUUUGAGUGGGCAGAACUGCAGCUUCUUCAGUUUGAAGGGACAGAAGUGGCUAUUCUCGAGGAUUUAGCAAGCUGGAACUAUGCUAUAAAAUUUGUUGAGGUUUUCAUAUUUGUGAAAACUCAAACUAUGUUUGUCUUGGCUUUUGCUGAACCAAAUUUGUAACGAGAGGGAUCUUGUUUUCAGAAGACUUAUUUUCUAAGUCUGAACUUUGGAAUUCUGAUCUAAAGCUGUUUUCUUGUUUGUUUUUUUUUGAUUGACUGAUGAAUUGAGUGUCCUUUGUUUCUUUGCCUUCUUUCGCUUUUAUAAGAGAUCCUCCUAAGGAGGUCAUUUUUAAUCCUAAACAAUGGGCGGCAAAAAGAUCUCUUAUAAUGUAAAGUAAGAAGGGUUUCUUAUCAAUCAAGGCAGAUAGGUUCUGAGCAGUCACCUCCUAAAAACAGUCCAUUCCCUGGUUUCCUGGGUGGCAGCUUUCUAAUUCAACCAACGCCACCGUCUGUGUGGGCUUUUUAUGGCAGUUUUGGCUCUUUUCUUUUGUAUUUUCUGAGUGGUUCCCUGUUUCCCGUUCUAAUUUAGAAAGCGUGAUUCGUGAAUUCCUUGGGAGAUGGUGUAUUGAUUUGGAGCAAAAUCUUGAACACAGAUGGGUUUUUGAUCUUCAAUUGGCAGUGUUUCAGAGACGUCCCUCUCACAUUUUUAAACUUUAGUUGGAAUUGCUGACUUUUCCAAAGUUGAGGCAAUCACGUGGGUGUGUCUUUGAUCCCUUGGUUUUGAAUCUAUCGAAAAUUACGGGCUGAUCUUUGAAGCCCAUUUCGAAAGUUUCCACAUCUGGGCUUUCUUUGGGCUGAGGCUUUAUUUCCAACAUUCUUGGUGUGAAGCCCAAACUGUCUGGGUCUUAUUUUCGUUUUUCUCAAGUCUCUGGGCUGGGCAGGCAAUUUUAUCAUGGGCCUGUCUUCUGGUCUUGGGCGUGCCGAAUUUGGGCCCAAACAAUGCCCCCUAAGUCUGAAUCGUUUUGGAAUGGUUUCAGACUUAAUGUUUUGCCAUUUAAUUCACGUGCCAGUUUCUUCCGUGUUUUCGCCCACGUCUGCCACGUUUGCCUGCUACGAACUAGAGUUCGUGGGAAAACGGCUAGUUAUUAUCUAGUUACUAGCUAAUAAUCAUCAGGUGCCGUCCCAUCUUCUUCUUCCCACGUUUUCGAGCCCCUCUUUAAAAGAAAUUCAAAUUCAUAGCUUCUGAAAAAAGAAACCCUAAACCUUCCAGCUCUUGUUCCUGCGAGUUCUUUCUUCGAGAUUUCCAAAGCCUUCUUUAGACCUUCCUUUCUUCUGCUUCUUCCCUUGAAUCAGAAAUGUCUUCCCCAAGGUCCCGCGCUCAGUCUUCUUCCGCUUCAGUUCCUCCCGAUUAUAUCACUGGGAGCGGGAUUGAUGCUCACGCGAUAGAAAUCAGGAGCAAGCUUCAUCCCUUUGCCCAGAAGAAUCUGGACGAGAAUGUCCUCCAUUUGUUUGAGAACACCCUGGUGUUAGGGCCUCACUGGUUUGGUCCUGUUCCAGCUGAGAUGGCAGAAUUGCUAAAAAAGGAUGCCGAGGCUCCUUUGUGUUUUGAGAGCUCUUCUGCCCUGGCUUCUUAUUCUUGGGUUAGCAAGAAUUUGAGCCGGUCCUUCCCGUCCAGCGAGGUGAGGAAUAGUCUGGUCAAAUGGGCAGACUGGAUUGAUAGACUUCUCCCGAGAUAUGGGGGUCACUGGAGGAGAGCUGGGAUUUAUGACGCCAUUUUUCUGUCCAAACAAUCGAUUAACAGAGAUGAGAAUCUGCUUGCUGCUGCUUUAUGCUUCUGGAAUUCUGCCAGCAAUACAUUUGACUUCCGCGUGGGUCCUAUGGCGCCAACCUUGCUGGAUAUGGCUCAGAUUUUUGGGUUCAGGCCCCAUGGUAGGCCUGUUGAUGCCAUUGGAGAUUAUCACAGGCGAAGGAAUCAAGAGAAAGUGGCCACCCCUUUUACUAUCCCUCCAGCCGUGAUCAACCAGAACUGCUCUUUCUCCAACUAUCUGAAGAAGUUCAGUGCUGAUAAGGACAAGGAUCAGCAACAUAUGUUGUUCCUUCUGUAUUGGCUGAAUUGGUUCGUUCUCCCCAAUCGGUCUUCUGCAGUUCUGCUAGAGUACAGACACUUGGCAGAAGCACUCCACAAUCACACUGAUGUGGGGCUCGGGCCUACAGUUCUGGCUCACCUUUUCAAGAAUCUGCAUACUUCCACCCUGGAGAACCCAUUGAACCUGUCAGCCCCUGGCGCAUUCUGGAUGAUCCAGAUCUGGCUGCAGGUUUAUUUUCCAGAACUAAGGUUCCCAGACAUAGUUCUGCCUGAAGAUCAAGUCCUGGCUCUUCCUCUGAUGUCGGCAGAAGUGCCCAAGCAUUCUAUUGAGGAGUAUUUGAUGCUCUUCAGGCAUUGUACAAAGAGGUCGGCAGCUCAGUGGCAAGUGGUGAUCAGGAGGACCUAUCCUUGGUUCCAGACCGGAUUUCGGUUGUUUGAGAAGGAGCCAGAAGAUGAAGCUGCCAGAACAGAUUUCAGGAGGAAAUUUCUGAGCAUUACUCUGCCCAGAGAUCUACCCCAUGGUGGGGGCAAACCUCCAAACUAUCAUCUGGGGGCAGAAGUCUACCAUCCCAACUUCUGCGCGAGGCAGCUUGGUUGUCCCCAACUCAUUCCGCUGAAAUCAUAUCGGAGUUGUAACCGGGCCUCUUCUUGGAGGGAUGCAGAUGAUCUGGAGGUGCACAAGGAUGCCCGGUGUGCAGUGAACAAAAUCAACAACAGCACGGAUGCCCUCUAUCCCUCGUGGGAGCUGAAUUCCUGCAGUUCUGCCGACUUUGACGCAUGGUGGAAAGCCAGAUUCCAAAGUCUGCCUGCUUCUGUCACUGCCCUCAAGGUGCUGUUUGAUGGUUGGGAAAACUGGGUCGUUUUUGCGAAUGGGGAUGCCAAGACGCAUAUGAUCCAGACCAUCAAGGAUAUUAACGCGCAAAUUAUAGAAGGUAGAUUUCUGAUUCUGUAUGGGGUUCGUUCUGUCCUGAUGAUUGAUUUCUAAUGUCUAUUCUGCCUGUAUCAGAUCCUUCUUUGACCAGCGUAGGUGGGCAGUCUGUUCAUGCUGGGGAAGUGAUUGGUAAGUCUUUUCUUUUAAUUCUAUUCUGUCUUUUCCUGCUGGAUUGGUCUCUAAUGUCUAAUGCCUUGGUGCAGUCUCUUCCGUUAUUGCUGCCGGGGACUUGGAGCUCCCUUCUGCGGAUGAAGGAGAUGAGGUCCAGACAGAACAAACACCUACCGAGGCCGCUCUUUCUGGCAGAAGAAAAAGGAAAGGACCUGCCCCUCCUUCGGAUAAUCCCACGCGGCCUGGUAUUUCAGGUAAGCUCGUGAUGUUCCAACCAUUCUCUUUAAAUUUAUUAUGUCUUGCCUUCUUUUCCCUAAUACUGCUUUUUGUUCUGUGCAGCUGGAAGUCCUUCCCCUCCUCCUACCAAGUUGAAAAAACUUAAAAAGAGGAGUGAGGAGGAGUAUGUCGCCGCGGAAGAGACGGCAGCAAUUCCCACCACUACCUCCGGGACGGAUGAAGAGCUGCGAGAGGCUUUUGAGGAGGUGGAGCAGGAAAAAGAAUUGGAAGAGCUGGAAGAAACGCCUCAGGAAAAAACGGCAGUGGCGGAAGGAGAGGUAAGUUUUAUUUCUGUGAUUCGCAUCAGUUCCCUUCUCGCCCUGUUUCUUCCGUUCUGACCCUUAUUUUGUAGGAGAAGAUCCCUGCUGAGGUGAUUGCAGAGAGCAUUGCCUUGGCGCAGAAGCAACAAGGGGGUCCAAGGGCUGAGCGGACUAGCUCAGAACUAGCCCUAUUUGAGGAUGCUGAGGCAGAGCAUUCUACUGCCGUUCCAGCGGCUGAGGAUCAGGCGGAACGGUCUGCAUCAGAGCCUGUGGAUCAGGCAGAGCUGUCUGUUGUGGUUCCGGAGGCUGAAGUGGAAACAACCGCCGCUGCCCCUGUGGUUGUGGUAACUUUCUUUCUUUAUCUGUCCACACUCUCCUGCAUUUCUGCCUUGUUCUUUAUUUUUAACUGUUGUAGCCUUUUCAGGUAGAAGUGCCUAAAGCUGUUGGCGUCCUGGCAGCGGUUACCAGUCCCCAGAAGCCUCCCAUUGUUGCUGUAAGUUUUCAUAACUUUUGGGCCUUUAUUUUCCACUUUCUGCCUGGUCUUACCUUAUGCUUUCUUCUUGCAGAUGCCAAUUCAUUCCCUUCCAGGAUCAUCUGCCACGGCUUCUUUUGCUGAUCCAGAACUCGAAGAGUUUGAAGCCAUGGAUCUGGAUGCCCAAUUGGACAGAUUGGAGAAACUCAGCUCUCCUCCAGGCAAGGCAAAAUCUAGGGCAGUGGAGGAGGCCAUGGAGAGGUUGAAAAUCUGGCAGUCUAAUGAGCUGGAGUUUGAUCAAGACAAUGAAGCCUUAAAUCAGCUGAUGAAGGACCUGGACCUGCUUCACAGACAGAACAUGGCUCCAAAACCUAUCCUUGAGAUGGGCCUAAGCUUGGCCAGAGAUGUGCUCAAUCUGCAUGAUCGCUAUGAGGAUCUCAGGCCUACUUUCAAGACUUCUGAAUUCUGCAAGGCCACUCAUGAAGCCAACCUGGCUGAUUUUGCAAAGCAGAAAGCAGAACUGGAUCAGAUGGUGGCCGGAUAUAAGGAAGCCAGGGCCACUGCGGACAAGCUGGAGAAGCCGAUGGAAGAGCUCCAAAAACAACUGGCAGAAUGCAGGGAGGUGCAGAGCAGGCUUGGGGCUGGACUGAGUUCUAAAACUAAGGCCACUUUCCUUGUGCAAAGUAUGGUUGCAGCUUCCAGGACAGCCUUGGAGAUUGCAGAGGCUUCAAUUCACCAGGGGGUGCUGCUCCAGAAAGAGCUUUCUGUCAAGAAAGCGAACCUGCAGGAGACUCUUAGAAAACUAGGAUUUUAGCUUCUUCUUUCCUUUUAUUGUUCGAAUAAUUUGCCGCAAAGGUGGCUAUUUUUAUAUAAGCUUUCAAAGCAUUUUACUGCUUUUCAUUUAUUCUUGAUGCAAUAACUGGAUACGGCUUUGAAAGUAAAAAACAGAACAACUUUAAAGCAAAAAUAAAUCUAAACAAAAUUCUUUUCAAGAAACAAAAAGGUCAAACUUGUUCCUCUUCUAUCCCGGGAUCUGUUUAUACAGCCUGCGAAUCCCACGUGGUUGGAUAGAACUUCUUUAACCAUUUACCAUUGAUUGGGGCAAAAUGAACAACUCCAUCUCGGUCCUGCAACCUGUAUGCCCCCAUUCCGAGGAUUUGGUUAAUUAUAAAAGGGCCUUCCCAUGUAGGUGACCAUUUCCCAUAUCCAGCUAUGUGUGCUCCAAGGGGCAGAAUUGCCUUCCAGACUAUCUCUCCCUCUUCAAAACUCUUGUUUUUGACUCUUUUGUUGUAGGCCCUUGAUACAGCCUGUUUUCCUGCUAAGAGUUUGUUGAGGGUGUCAAUUCUGCUUGCAUCCAAUUCUUCCAAUUCCAGCAACAUGGCUUGAGAGUAAUCCUCCCCAGUGAGACCAUGCUGGUGAGCAAUUCUAAGAGACUGGACCGCUAUCUCCAUGGGAAGAAUUGCAUCGUGGCCGUAGGUUAGAGCAUAGGGGGUCAUGCCAGUUGCUUCUCUCUUUGAAGUUCUGUAUGCCCACAAAGUUUCUGAUAACUUCUCAUGCCAUUACUUUGGAUUCUUCUCUAGCAUCUUUUUGAUGAUAUUGAUAAUCACCUUGUUACUUGAUUCCACCUGUCCAUUAGCUUGAGCAUAGUAAGGAGUAGAUUGAAGCAGUUUGAACUUGAACGUUUCUGCCAUAUCUAGCAUGUCCCUAGAUAUGAAAGAAGAACCCCUAUCGGUUGUGAUUGAUUCUGGAAUGCCAAACCUUUGUAUGAUCUGUUCUUCUAUAAAGGUGAUGAUCUCUUGAGAUGUUGUGGUUUUUACUGGCUUGGCCUCUACCCACUUGGUGAAGUAAUCUGUGGCAACGAUAAUGAAACAGUGCUGCUGGUUGCUGGCUGGAUAGAUUUUGCCAAUGAGAUCCAUUGCCCAUCCCCUGAAAGGCCAUGGUUUUACUACUGGAUUCAUGGGAACCGAAGGAGCCUGCUGGAUUGGGCCGUGCCUUUGACAGGCUUCACAUCCUUUGGAGUAGUUGAUGCAAUCCUUCAUCAUGGUUGGCCAGAAGUAGCCAUACCUUCUGAUUAACCAGCACAUCUUUCUUCCCCCUUGGUGAGCUCCACAGAUCCCCUCAUGGGUUUCUCCCAUGGCUUUCAUAUAUUCUGUCUUCCCGAGGCACCUUAAUAGUACCUCAUCCUUACUUUUUCGGACCAAAUCUUCAUUCCACAUGAGGUAGUUUGUAGCCAUGAUUCUGACUCUUUUCUUAGAGGGCAGAGUGGGAUAUCGUAAGUAAGUCAUGAUAGGCUCCCUCCAAUCAUCUUCAGUGAUCAAGGCAGAAUUGACUUCUAUCUCCAUUCCUCUCGUCAAAACAGAUGGUAGACUUUUCCUUCCUAUCUUGAUGAUCCUUUGGACGCAGUCUUCGGGCAUUUGUAUGCCUGAUGCCACCUGAGCCAGUUCAUUGGCUGCAAAGUUUUCCUCCCUUGGGAUGUUCUCCCAAGUAGCUUCUCUAAAUUCUGUUAGCAGAUUUCUAGCUGCUACUAGAUAUACAGCCAGAGAAGGAUUCAGACACUUAUAUUCUCCAGCAAUCUGUUUUAGGACAAGCAUGGAAUCUCCCAAGAUCUCCACGGACUGGACUCAUAAUUCUACCAACAUCUCGAGCCCUAUAAUCAAAGCCUCAUACUCGGCCAUGUUGUUGGUGCAUUGGAAAUCUAGCUGGAAGGAAUAGCAAUGUCUGACCCCUAAUGGUUCUUCCAGAACAAUCCCUGCUCCUGAAGCCUUGUCUGUCUUUGAUCCAUCAAAAUAUAACUUCCAAGGUGUGAGAUGAAUCGAGUAGAUUGGAUUGUUAAGGCAAACAUGAGCUCUAGUUAGCAGAUCUGCAUUUGCUAUGUCCAAAGAAUCCAUGUUUUCAAUUUCCUCUCCCGAGUGAUCUACCAAGAAGUCUGCCACAGCUUGCCCUUUGACAGCUUUCUGGGGGACAUACCUGAAGGUGAAUUCUGUCAAAGCCAAAGUCCAUUUCCCAAUUCUGCCCCUCAGCAUUGGUCUUGUUAGCAUGUAUUUGAUUAAGUCUGUUUUGGCAAUGAUGUAGAUAGUAUGUGGCAGCAUGUAGUGCCUGAGCUUUACAGCAGUGAAAUAUAAGGCCAGGCAAAGCCUUUCUAUUGCGGAAUACCUUCUUUCCACUUCUGUCAAUGUUCUGCUUAGAUAGUAGGCUGCCUGUUCUUUUCCUUCUUUGUUAUCUUGAACUAUUAGACUUCCAAUGGAUACUUCUGAUGCAGAUACAUAAAGCUUGAGGGGUCUGCCCCUUUUUGGUGGGGACAGAACUGGUGGAUUUGAGAGGUAAUGCUUUAUUUCCUGGAAAGCCUGUUGGUGCUGUUCUUCCCAUUUGAAUGUCUGUUCCUGCUUCAGUCUUAACAGGGAAGAAAAAGGUUGGAUUUUUCCUGCAGAAUUGGAUAUGAAUCUCCUUAGAAAAUUGAUUUUUCCUAAGAGACUUUGAAGUUCCUUCUUGUUCUGAGGUGGUAGAGCUUCUAUGAUGGAUGUUGCUUUAUUUCUGUCAACCUCUAUACCUCUCUGGUGGACCAAGAAUCCUAAGAAAUUCCCUGCUUGGACUCCAAAAACACAUUUUUUGGGGUUCAUUUUCAGUUUGUGCUGCCUCAUUCUUAGGAAUGCCCUUCUCAGGCUUGCUACGUGAUUUCCUUCCUCAGGGGAUUUAAUCACCACGUCAUCUAUGUAUACUUCCAAGGAAUGUCCUAUCAUAUCAUGAAAAAUAGAAUUCAUUGCCUUUGGUAGGUGGCUCCCGCAUUUCUCAAACCGAAAGGCAUUACAGUAUACUCGAAAGCACCUAUAUGUCCUGGACACAUAAAGGCUGUCUUGUGGAUGUCCUGUUCUGCCAUCAUGAUCUGGUUAUAACCUGCAUUGCCGUCCAUGAAAGAUAGCAUCUGGUUAUGAGUGGCUCCAUCCACUAGCAUGUCUGCCAUUGGCAUAGGAUAUUCGUCUUUAGGAGAUGCCUCAUUCAGAUUUCUGUACAAUAUUUGCUAACCAAUCGGAAUAGACGGCUGGCCUGAUGAAUCCUGCCUUGAGCAGCCUUUCUAUCUCUUCUUUGACCUUUAGUUCUGUGUCCAUAGACAUUCUUCUUCUGGCCUGUUUGACUGGAAGGUAGCCAUCUUUAAUUGGCAGCUUGUGCUCCACUCACUGCCUGUCCAAUCCUGGCAUUUCGUGGUAAUGCCAGGCAAAACAAUCUCUGAACUCCUGUAAAAGUGCCAUGAGUUCAGUCUUGAGUGGUUCCUUCAAAAGUGUGCUGAUGAAAGUAGGCCUUGGAUCUUCUUCUGUUCCUAAGUUUAUCUCCUGUAGAGGAUCCUCUACUUCUGGCAGGGAGUCAUCCAGUGCUGCUGGUGCAAAAUCUAAUACUUCCUCCUGUAAAAUUUCCUCCUCUUGCUCUUUUGUGCUUUCAUGGGUGAAUUCUGCCAUAUUGAUGGCUGGAUUCUGUAUGAAAAGCCUCCUUUCUCCCCAGUAUAUCAACAAUCUUUUUGUGAUGGAUCGGAUUGUUGCAGCUCGAUCCUUGUCUAGUUGAUUCGGACUAAACAUCAGAGUUCUGGAAGUUCAGCACAAAAAGGUCUAUUCCAGUCCUCUAGAGAACUGGCUAAACCUUCUUCAAUGAGUCUUUGGGCCGUGACACCAUGUGGACGGCCGUUCUGAUUGACUCCAAGGAAAGUGAAAGGACCGAGGUCAUCAUGAUAAUACCUUGUUUCAAAGCACAUGGCAGAGGGCAGGAAUGGCCGUGGAUCAGCCUCUAUAAUCUCCAUGCAGCCUUCUUCAUUCCAUAGUGCUAACUGCGGGUGGAGGGUGGAAGGAAUACAAAGGCUCUGGUGAAUCCAAUCCCUGCCAAGUAGUGCAUUGUAGGUGGUGGAAGUAGUGUCUAUAACAAAGAAUGCUAUUUUCAACUCUUUGCUUCCGAUUAUGACAUCCACAUCUAAGAUGCCAUGUAUUUUGGUGAUGCAACCAGAAGUUGGUGACGGUCAAUCGUGUUGGAAUCAGAUCUUUCUCUGUCCUGCCCAGCUUGGUCAGCAUUCUGUGGGGUAAUAGAUUAAUGGCUGCACCUCCAUUUACCAUGAUCUUGGAAAUAGGAAUACCCCCAAGAUUUGCCGUUAUAAACAAAGGUCUGAGGUGAAACAAGGUUGCUCUGUAGCUGGUUUAUUGGCUGUUCUGCCUGUCUUGGGGUUUUCUGCUUGUGGUUCUGGUGGCUCCUCUGCUUCUGCCAAUCUACAUUCAAAGCUUUCCUGAGAGAAAACAUCCCCUUCCAGAGUGCUUUCUUGUCCUUCGGCUGCCCUGAAUUUACUUGGUAGGAUGAAUACCAUGUUAAUUCCCAGAUCACCCUGUAGGAGGUCUUCUAAUUCUGCGCCAAAAGCUUCUGUUUCUGGGUCCAAUUCUACACCAAAUUCCAUUAAUUCUUCCCCGUAUUCUUCCGUCCAGUCAUCCUGUUCUGCUACUUCGAGGGGCUCUUUCUGAUCAUCUGCGGAAGGUUCAUAGUCCAAUUGCUCUUCUUCAUAUUCCUCAGUGUAGUCGUCUUCUCCUUGUAACGGGGUAGACCCAGAUUUCUCUGGUGUCUGCGUGGUGUCAGGACGGCUGCUGGACGACGAGGCCACAUGGAUAGGAGACCUGGCUGGGGGUUCUGUUUUCAGCAAUUCCCUUGACUGGCAAGCUUUCUGUUCUGUCUGGGGAAGUGUUUCAGGAUUUUUUCCUUUCCUAGCAGAACUGGGUUGUGAACGUACCUGCGUAUUAUCUUGGCUCUUAAGAUAUGUGCAGUAUUGCCUCUGGAUUCUCCUUUUCUGGGUUCUGGUUAGCUCCAGAGUCGGUCUACCGCUUCUUCCUACGGAAUACCAUCUCCCUUCUAUGAUCGUUGCCAAGGAUCUUUCGUUUCUGGGCAUCUUGACUGGUAUUUCCUUUCUGGGUUGCUCCAUCCUCCUCUCGCUGUAUUGUGUAGGCCUAAGACAGCUCUUCUGCCUUGUUUUGUCUCGGGAUGAGGUUCCAAUUCUGUCAAAGACACUAGGUGUGGGCUGAUUUUGUCUGUCUAGAACCACCUCUAGCUCUGUUUCACAUUUGCACCUACUGCAGAGCACUACCCCAGCCGAGAUGGUCGCUCUUGGUAUUUGACUGGUCUCCCUUAUGAUUCUUCUGCCUCUGCUGCAACCAGCAUCUGUGAUUGGCUCGGUUUUCCUCUGUUCUGGCCAAUUUAAGUUGACCAUAUUGACUUGUGGUUGAGGAAAAGGAUCCGUUGUGACGGAUGGUGGUUUUUCUGCCAGUUUCAACCUUCCUGCCGUUAUCCCUUCUUGUAUUACGUCCCUGAAAACAACACAACUAUUGGUAGAAUGGUUCCAAGAGUUGUGCCACCUGCAGUACUGUCUGCCCUUGAGUUCUUCCGGCUUCGGUAUUCUGUGAGGCGUCUCUAUUGCCUUCUACAGUAGCAUUUCGUGGAACAAGGCAUCAACCUUGGUUAAGUCAAAAGAGUAAACCUUGUUUUACGUUGGUUUGUUUGGAACGAAUCCUCCUGUGAAUGGUGGUGGCUUUUGGUCUUUAGGUGGCUUUGUGAGGGCUUUGCAACUAAUGGGAUGUUUUAGUUUUGCCAUUUCUGCCACUGAAACCUCUUUCUCUUCUGAUUCUUCUGCAUCUUCUUGUGAUUCCACCUCGAUCAGGUGGACUGAAGAAGAAGGGGUUUUAUAGUAUGUACCUUUGGAGGAGUUCCUCCUUUGCUGUUCCUCCCUGAGUAACUCCUCAUAUUUGGAUGCCUUAUCAGCCAGUUCUGCCAGAUCUCCGAACAAUAUCCCGUCGAACCUUUUCCUGAGAGAGAUUUUAAGGGCAACUUGGGCCAUCUGGAUGAAGUGUCUUUCUUCCAUCGGGAUUCGGCACUUCAUUUUGAGCUUUCUGAACCUGGUUAUGAAAUCUUGGGCCGGUUCAUCUUCACUUUGCUUGAGGGCAGCUAGAUCACUGAUGGUGACUUCUGGCUGAAUCCUGUAAUAGUAGUCAUGGAAGACAUUUUCCAUCUGUUCCCAGGUUUGAACAGAGUUAGCUGGCAGGCUGGUGUACCAGGUAAAAGCUUGCCCAAAAAGAGAGUUGCCGAAAAGCCUUAAUUUCAGCAGAGGGUUGCUUUCUAUAGCUAUGCAUUGGACGGAGAACCUGCCUAUAUGUUCAACUGAGGAAGAAUGGGGGUCUUCCCCAUUGAACAAAGUGAAGUUUGGCACUUUGAAACCUGGAGACAACAGUAUUUGAUCGAUAUAGGCUGGGUAUGGCUUUCUGUAAGUAGGCCUUUCCCCUAUUCUAGCCUCGGGUUCCAUGAUUUCUCUGAUCAUUCUUUGCAACGCUCCUAUGUCAUUCAAAGCAUUGACUGGGGGAAGAUUUUGUCCCUGUUCUGGCUGAACGUAAUCAAACCUGGGCUCUGCUCUGUGUGGUCUGGGUGGAACUUCCUCCCUGUGUUCUUCCUGCUCUUCGACUUCUGGAUGAUUCCUCCAGUUUGCCCCCGGUCUAUUCCUGUCAUGAUUAGCAAAAAGGUUGUUCCCUCCUCGGCCUCUCCUCCUUCUUGCAAGUGGAGGGAAUGGAUUAGGGUCCAUCCUUCUGGGUCUAUAUGGCAAUACUGCCGGUGGUUCAGGCAGAAGCGCCAAAGGUUGAUCAUGUGGGAGCACAUGAAGUGGAAUGGGCUGAGGUUCUGGCUGGUUCUGAGCCAGUGCCAGGUUAUCUGGUUGAGCUGGGGCUUCAUGUUUUUGAUUAGGAAGGGCUCCUUCCCUCGGACCAGCCUGAAUUUCUCCGUGGUCUGGCACUCCAGCCAUCUGUGCAACUAGGAAAUUUUCCUGGUAUGGCCAUAUUAGUCCUGGCGGAGGGCCAUAAGGGAGAUCCAACUGCUGGAUUACAGGAUCUGGGUUUGGGUUUCUGGCCAUGGCGGAUUCUCGGUCCUUCCGGAACUGUCUGUUUACCUGCCAUUACAUCAUGGCUGUCAUGUUAUUGAGAGUGUCCUGGCUCCUUCGUACUGUGAUCUCUUGUCGGAGUACUGACUCCUGUAUUUGAUUCAUCCUUUUGGAGCCAGUCCUGGAACGUCUACUUCCUGUACUGCCGUGGGCAGAUUGCCUAGCAUCGCUUUUUUCUGAUUCGAGGCCUUCCCUGAGAACCAUCUUGUUUUUCUCCAUAUCUGGUGUGGGUUCUGACUAGAUCUUCCGGUAUUUGUGAAUCUGUGAAUGAUUCUGUCAGAGUAUAUAUACUGAGAAGUCCCACUGGGUGUGCCAAAUUAUUCACCCGUUUUCGUGUUUUACUCCUGAGGUGGAAGGGCGAAGUUCCCCACUAGCUUGGAGACCACUUGUUGGUCGACAAGUCAGCUUUCUUUGGUGUGUGUGAGCGUGCCACUGCUAGCAAUGUAAAUUCUAGCAGACUUAUUUUUUAGAGUGGAUAACUUGCGCCUCAAGUUACUGACUUCUAAAACAAAUGAUUGUGAAUUUGGGUGAGGAAUAUCUCCCAAGUAAGUUCUUUUCUUGCCUCAGACUGGUGAGGACUUUCACAAUUUAUCUCAGUAUCAAAUGGUUGUUCUGGCCAGAAUAGAUAAUAAUAAAGUAGACUGUUUCAGGCAGAACUGCCUUUUACAAAAUUAAGAAGGGAGAAAUCAACUCUAGAAAGGCAAAAAGAUGGCUGGAAUCCCAUUUCUGCCUGGGUAGAAACUUCUGAUCCGGGCUGGACUGGGUAUGUCUAUGCUGGACGGUGCUGUCAACAACUUUAGCUUGCUCGGCUUUAGUUGUAAAUCGAUACCAAAGUUCAAUUUUGGCAGAGCUUCAAUCUACUUCAAGCCUUGGGAGACUUUUGAGUGGGCAGAACUGCAGCUUCUUCAGUUUGAAGGGACAGAAGUGGCUAUUCUCGAGGAUUUAGCAAGCUGGAACUAUGCUAUAAAAUUUGUUGAGGUUUUCAUAUUUGUGAAAACUCAAACUAUGUUUGUCUUGGCUUUUGCUGAACCAAAUUUGUAACGAGAGGGAUCUUGUUUUCAGAAGACUUAUUUUCUAAGUCUGAACUUUGGAAUUCUGAUCUAAAGCUGUUUUCUUGUUUGUUUUUUUUUUAUUGACUGAUGAAUUGAGUGUCCUUUGUUUCUUUGCCUUCUUUCGCUUUUAUAAGAGAUCCUCCUAAGGAGGUCAUUUUUAAUCCUAAACAAUGGGCGGCAAAAAGAUCUCUUAUAAUGUAAAGUAAGAAGGGUUUCUUAUCAAUCAAGGCAGAUAGGUUCUGAGCAGUCACCUCCUAAAAACAGUCCCUUCCCUGGUUUCCUGGGUGGCAGCUUUCUAAUUCAACCAACGCCACCGUCUGUGUGGGCUUUUUAUGGCGGUUUUGGCUCUUUUCUUUUGUAUUUUCUGAGUGGUUCCCUGUUUCCCGUUCUAAUUUAGAAAGCGUGAUCCGUGAAUUCCUUGGGAGAUGGUGUAUUGAUUUGGAGCAAAAUCUUGAACACAGAUGGGUUUUUGAUCUUCAAUUGGCAGUGUUUCAGAGACGUCCCUCUCACAUUUUUAAACUUUAGUUGGAAUUGCUGACUUUUCCAAAGUUGAGGCAAUCACGUGGGUGUGUCUUUGAUCCCUUGGUUUUGAAUCUUUCAAAAAUUACGGGCUGAUCUUUGAAGCCCAUUUCGAAAGUUUCCACAUCUGGGCUUUCUUUGGGCUGAGGCUUUAUUUCCAACAUUCUUGGUGUGAACUGGACUAAACAGUUAGUCGGACCAGACCGUCUACACAUAUGAACUGGACUCACAAGCCUAUGUUUUUUGAGCUCCCAUAUUGGUCGAAACUCAAAUUGAGGCACAAUCUAGAUGUGAUGCAUGUUGAGAAAAAUGUAUUUAACACAUUGGUGGGCACGAUUCUAGAUAUCGAGGGCAAGACAAAGGACACAAUCAAAGCCCGUCUUGAUUUGGAAAGAAUGGGCAUACAAAGGGGUUUAUGGAUGAACAGGGACAGUGAUAAAGCUAGAAGGGAUCUUGCAUUCUUUUCUAUGAAACCGAAUGAUAAAAAAGAGUUUCUAAAGUUUGUAUCGUCUGUAAAGUUUCCUGAUGGGUAUGCUUCUAAUAUCGCACAUUGCGUGAAUGUUGACGAGGGUAAAUUUACUGGACUGAAGAGCCAUGACUGCCAUGUGUUUAUGCAACGCCUACUUCCUGUGGGUAUUCGACAUCUAUUGCCGGAAGAUGUUGUGAAGCCAAUCAUGUUGUUGUCCAGAUUUUUUUCCCAACUGACGGCAAAAACAUUGCGAAAGACAGACAUAUUUCAGUUGCGCCAUGACAUUGUCCAAGUCCUAUGCAAGUUUGAGAUGAUAUUUCCUCCAGCUUUCUUCACAAGUAUGAUGCACGUGAUGGUUCACUUGCCAGAAGAGGCAUUGCUUGCUAGUCCUGUCAACUAUCGCUGGAUGUAUCCAAUAGAAAGGUAUAUAAUCUUUAUCGUUUGUGUAUGCAUCAUUAUCACAGACUUGCUAAUUUGUAUCAUAUCGUUUUAUUUUGACAGGCUUCUCGGAGAGCUGAAAAAAAGUGUACGCAACAGGGCGAAGCCCGAAGGAUCAAUUAUAGAGGCUUGGGUUCAAUAUGAGUCGCUUACUUUCUGUGGAAUGUAUUUAAAAGAUGUGGAGACGGCUUUCAAUCGUCCUCAACGCAAUAACGACGAAGGUAUGAGAAAGGAAAAACUUUCUGUUUUUGCCCAAAGUGCACGACCCUUUGGAGAUCCUGGACGAGGAGAGUCGUUUUCUAGAAAUGACAUGGAGGUAGCGCAUUGGUUCGUACUGAACAAUUGUGAUGAGAUAAUGGCAUACUUAGAUAAGCAUGAAGAGAUGAUGAAGCGAGAACAUCCAUCACAUUUAGUUGCCCAGAAACACCGUGAAUUGUUUCCACAAUGGUUUUUGGAUUCUGUAAGUUAUAAGUGUUUUGUAUUUGACAAAUAUAAAUUGUAGUAUUUAAUUUUGUCAGACUAACAUGUGAAUGGUUUUGUAUUAUAUUAGGUGAAUAAGUUGAAAUCAUCGAAUUCCCCCACUUACAGUGAUGAGUUAUAUAACUUGGCGUUCGGCCCAAUUCGCGCUGAAUUGUUUCGGGUUGUUAUAUUAAUGGCGUCAAAUUUUUGGGAGCCGCACGAGAUGACAAGUUGUGUAUGCAAAACAGCGGUGUCCAUGUCCCAGGUGGAGGCGAAAGUACGAACAUUGAUUUCUAUGGCAAACUCACAACUGUCAUUCAAUUGCUUUACAAAGAUCGAUACUAAGUGAUCAUGUUUAAGUGUCGAUGGUUUGAUAGCAACCCAAAUAGGCCGGGAAGUGUUAAAAUCAACCAUGGCUUACUAUCUGUGAACAUUAACAGAACUUGGUAUGAUGACGACCCUUACAUUUUGGCAAACAUGGCAACACAAAUUGUGUAUCUAGAUGACCCUAAAGCCGGGAGCAGUUGGAAAGUUGUUCAGAAGAUGGAUCAUAGGAACUUGUAUGCUAUACCAGAACUAGACCCAACUGACAAUGACGUCAACAAUGUGGCUGACCAACGUUUAGAAUCUUCAAUGGAAAAUGAUGCGGAAACACUUCGAGAUACACAUGUUAUACAAGAACCGUUUCAAAUACAAGGAGUGUCUUCAAUCGAAAUACCGAUUCAGUCAAUUACAAUUGACCUCGGGGAUCUUCCAAGAUUCGAUGUUGCAGUGAGCCCGAGCAACGAAGAUGAUGUAGUUAUAGAGGAGGAGGAGGAGGAUUGGGAGACUGAAAGUGAUGAUAGCGAAGAUAACGAAAGUUAUUAUAGUUCAGAUGAUGAAUAAUUAAAUUUUUUAUAUUUUUAUUAUGCUAGUGUACAGACUUUGUGUAAAACAAAAGUUUGAAUAUAUGUAGUUGUGAUAUCCAAACCUUAUAUAUGUGGACAACUGAAACAUUAUUAAAAUAAAUUUAGUUAUAAAACAUCGGUAAAUCAAUAUAUCCAAACCCUUUUAAUAUUCAUUUAAAAUUUUUUUUUUUGACAAAAACGUUUACAAAAUGAAAAUGAUAAAAUAUUUGUUAUAAAACAUUGAUAAAUAAAUAUAUCCAAACCAUUUUCAUACAAAGUUUGAAAAUUAUUGACAACAAACAUUUUUCAAAAAUGAAAAUCCUUGCGCGACGAAGUACACCUCGUCACGCAAAGUUUGCGCGACCCAGUAAACAGUCGUUGUGUAAAGUUAAAACAUUGCGAGACAAAUUAUCAUCCGUCACGCGAUAGAAUUUUGCGCGACGAAUAUUUACUCUCGUCGCGCAAAUGUAUAUUCUUUUAUAAUAUAUUUUAUAUACACAUAUAUAUUCGAAAUUGACGAUCGAGUUAGUUCAUUGUAUUCAUAUAGGGUCAUGGAGUGUAGCUGUAAAAAAUCAUCAAAAUCGGAGUUAAAAUAACUGUUAAAUCAUGACUUUUCAUUUAUAACCGUUCAAAAAUUUUGUCCCGAUACUUGAUCUCUGAAUGUUUUUUUUUUCCGAUUUUUGGGGCCUAAGAUCUCGAAGUAUAAACAAACACGUUUGACGGCUGGAUUAUUGAAACUACUUUCGUAGAAUGCGUAUGCCAUCAAAACUAUAUAUUCACCAACAAUGAAUAGUUUACUUAUACUUUCAUUAAAUAUAACAUAAGAUUAUGUGGUAUCACCCUAGUGUAAACAUCUUAAAUUGAAGAUCAAAUUCAGUAAUUGUAUUCAUAUAGGGUCAAGAAAAGUAGCUAUAAAAAAUCAUCAAAAUCGGAGUUAAAAUAACCGUUAAAUCAUGACUUUUCAUUUAGAUUCGUCGAAAAGUUUUGUACUGUUACUUGAUCUCUUAACGUUUUUUUUGUCAGAUUUUCGGCGUAUACGAUCUCGAAAUAUAAAAAAACAAGUUUGCCGGUUAGAUCAUUAAAACUAGUUUCGGGUUUAGGAUUUCUGCAGUUUAGGGUUUAGGGUUUGCGCGACGAAGCCAUUUCGUUGGUCGCACAAAGCCUGCAAAGAACAGUCUUGCGCUACGAAACUAGGAUUCUUUGUCACGCAAUCUCAACCAGCCCUUUCACCCUCUUCCUCCUUGGACACUUAGCCAAAAAAAGUUGCGAGUUUACAGAAAGCGGCUUUGCGCGACGCUGCCGGUAUUCGUCGCGCAAUAUGUAUGCCAAUAAAACCUAAAUCCCAAAUUUUGGCGAAUUACAACUUUGCGCGACGAAUAUGGGAAGCUUCGCGCAAAGUUUUCAAUCUUUCCCGCUAAACCCUAAGUCCCAAAAUUUUGGCGGAUUGACAACAUUGCGCCACGAAAGAAGGUACUGUGCGUCGCACAAAGUUUUCAAUCUCUCCCGCUAAACCCUAAGUCCCAAAAUUUUGGCGGAUUGACAAUAUUGCGCGACGAAAGAAGGUACUGUGCAUCGCGCAAAGUUUUCAAUCUCUCCCACUAAACCCUAAGUCCCAAAAUUUUGGCGGAUUGACAACAUUGCUCGACGAAAUAUGGUACUGUGCGUCGCGCAAAGUUUUCAAUCUCUACCCAAUAUUUUGCCGGAUUGACAACAUUGUGCGACGAAAGACGAUACUGUGUGUCGCGCAAAAACUACCCUGAUACCAAAUUUUGGGAUUAACAAUAUUGCACGACAGAAGUUAUACUUAUGUCGUCGCGCAAGUGUCAAUUAAAAUAUUUUGCGUGACGCUUUUGUUUGUUCGUUGCGCAAAAUCGAAUAAAAUUGCAGAAACGACGCGAUAGCCUCCUUCUUCCCCAGAUUUGUUUUUCUACCCUAACUCUCUCUCUCUCUCUCCGCCUUCAGCUCAGCCCCCUACCCCAGUGGAUUUUGGACGACGGCGCCACAACAGUGGUACCCCGGAGGUUUCCCGCCGUCACCGUCGAGCCAGCCGCCCUAAUUCCUCGAUUUUCACCGAAUCUGCGCCGCCGUCGUUCUCUCUCCUUCGGCGACCAAAUCCGACACCUGAGGUAUGGUUUCUGUCCUAUUUUUGAUGCUUUAACUGAUGGUUGGGUAGGAUUUGUGUAAUUGUUGCAAUAGGGCAGUGGAUUUGAAACCCUAAAUUUCGACCGAUUUUUGAAUUCCAAUUCCGGCCACUUCUGGCCAUUUUUCAGGGUAGGUCCGAGAACAAAAGUGGCUCCAAUUGAUGUUUUGAACCUAGGGUAGGAACCUUGGCCCUUAGUUUUAAGAAAUUUUCGACGAUUGGUAUCGCUUUGGACACCCACGCUCUGCCAGCGCUUGUGGUGGCGCGUGGGGUACUGUAGCAGUCUUGCAUUGGGUCCCAGUGCAAUCCCAUAUUUGUCACGAGCGCGUAGGUGUUUUCGGAUUGGAAUUUGGUUACCGUUUGAGUCUCGAACGGAUUUUGCCUAUUGUGCGAUUUCCGGGUUUGUUAUGUUCGGACCGUUGGAUCGAACUCAAACUCACGUAUGGUGUACCUUGUAUUUCUUGGAUCGUCUAGGAUUCGACGGAUCGUGGAUCGGAGUCCCGAAUACUCCGAACUCGCAAACCCUAGGUCAAGAAUCUUAAUAAAAUUGUAUGUGCUUUCAAAUAUUCGUAUGUUUUAUUAAUUUGUAUGUGUAUUAAUGAAAUUGUGUAGAUGUCAGACCUGAUUAGACGUCGUAGGGCGGUGACGACUACGCAGAGUUCUGAGCCCCCGGCUCAACUGACAUCUGCUGCCACUGCGCCAGCACUGAUGGACCACUUGGCAGUUGGUCCCGCGGGGUCCCAGGCUCCUGCUUCAUCAGCUUCAUUAGUGGCACAACCUGUUAGCGCCAGGAAGCGUCAUCGGCCUGCCAGCACCACCGACACCACAUCCACUGAUGCGUCGGGGUCACAGCCAGGUAUAGAUUUCCUUAAACUCCAGUUAUUUAUAUUUUUGUUUUUGUUUUUAUUUUUGUUUUUGUUUUUGUUUUUGUUUUUAUUUGUGUGUGUAUUUUAUAGUUAAAUUUGUUAUUUAUUUAACAUUAAUGUCAUCUUUCUUUGCAGCCAAGAAGAACACCCGAGGGCCGUGUCGGUAGUUGAAGACGGCGAAGGUCACUCGGGUGACCAACAGUCGUAUCAACAUCGGAUACGACAAGCGACAUCGGGCUGCACCGACGGCGGAGUUGCAUAGCUCCUUGGCCCACGACAUUGGUGAUGUCAUUCCGAGCCAUUGCCCGAUGAAAUGGAAGUCUUGGAAGGUGAUGCCUGACGAGACCAAGAUGGAGGUUCGCGGCCAGUUGUCAGUAUGUAGGCCUUUUAAUUCUUUUUCUUUCAAAUUUUAUAUUUCUAUUAUUUAAAUGUAUUUAAUUAAUUUAUUGCAGACGAACUACAACUUGGAGGACCUGGACGACGAGUCGUUGGCGUACAUCAACAGACUCUUCUCUGAGAGGUACAAAUAGUGGAAGAGCGACUUGCACCACUAUUUUGAGGCGUUUGAUGAUCCAGAAGUCUCUCUUCAGGAGGGUUGCCCGAAGGAGCUUGAGGGGCGGGAGGAUAGUUGGGCGUGGCUCUGCUCUCAUUUUCAGGCGCCCGCUUUUGUGGUAAUUUGUAAUAUGAAUUUCAAAUUUAUUAUAUUUUUCUUACUAAUGUUUUUUUAAUGUUUUAUAUUUAAUUUCAAUUUCAACUAAUACGUUUUAUUUUUUGUAUAACAGAAUAAAGCCAAAGUCAAUAAGGGCAAUAGGAAGAAGAAGACUCUUCUCCAUCAUUCGGGUUCCAGGCCCUUCUCCUAUAGGAUGGAUGCAUGGCGGCAGGUAAUCAUAAAAAAAAUUUUAUUUAAUUUUUAAUAUUUAAUUAUUCUUAAUUUAUUUUUUUGUACUAAUAUUUUUCUUCUCUUGUUCAAUUUAGGGGGGUCCAAAUUCCCAGAGAUCGACGUCUUUGGCGACGUUUAUGUUCGACCUGGGAAUGAGUUGGGCGAGUCCCUUCAUGUAAGUAUUAUUUAAUUUUAAUUAUUAUGUUACGCAUUCAAGUUUAAAGGUUAUUAUAUGAAUGUUUUAAUUUAUAUUUUAUGUUAUGCUAAACAGAUGACGAUGGUGGAGAGGAGCCAGUUGGUUCUUCAAGAGUCCGCCUCCCAACUUCCUUCCGAUACUCCGAUCGAGUCUGUGGAUCCUCCACAGGAUGCUGGGUUUCAGAUCUUGACGGAGACAUUGGAUCAGACUCUAGGGAGGAGACCGGGGAUAUAUUGUCGAGGGAUGGAGAAUGCCAGGCGGAGGGAAGCCAGACCCCGUUCAUUAGCGCAGUCAAGCAGUCAGGUCACUGCUUUGACAGCACAGGUGGCCACUCUUCAGAGUCAGAUGUCGGACAUUCUGCAGUCCCUCGCACAGUUCGGCAUUCCAGUCCCGCAUUUUGAUGCGCCGACCUCUGAGCCCGUCCAUCCUGAGCAUCCCCACCAGACGACGGCCCUUGUAGACCCCCAGACCUCUGAACCGCAUGUGCCAGACGACAAUGUAGAUUUUGGAACAUUAUGAUUAGUUUUUUUAUUUUCAUAAUUAUUUUUUAAAUAUUUCUCUUGCAGCAUACAUUUAUUUUAUAUAAUAAAUAUGUUCUUUACAAUUCUUUUUUUUAUUGGAAUUUCAUUUUAUUACCCAAAAAAAAAAAACCAAAUUUAUUUUUUUAUAAAAUAAAAUAAAAAGUAAUAUUAAAAUUAAAUAAUAAUUAUAUAUAUUAAUUUUGCGCGACGAAAUCUUUCUCGUCGCGCAAAUUUAUAUAUUACGAAAUAAAAAUGUUUCAUUUUUUUAAAUACAUAUAAUUUAUUCUUGCGCGACGAAUAUUUUCGUCUCUCAAAAAGGAUUUGCGCGACAACAGUUUUUCGUCGCGCAAAAUGUGUUGACACGAAUUGCACGACGAAGAUAUCUUUGUGCCGCAAAUAUCUACGACACGUAUUGCGCGAUGAAAAUGUUCGUCGCGCAAAAAACGUAUGCGCGACAACAAUGUUUCGUCGCGCAAUACGUGUAGACAUGAAUUGCGCGACGAAGAACUCUUGGUGCCGCAAAUGUGUACGAGACGUAUUGUGCGACGAAUAUUAUUCGCCGCGCAUCGUUGUGGCGACGAACCCGCUUUCGUCGCGCAUAAGUUUGUGCGACGAACUAUUGCAUCGUCUCUGAACCUUUUGUGCAACGAAGGGUAACCGUCGCACAAAUUUGCGCGACGAGUGAUACAAUCAGUCGCGCAAAGUCUUUCUUCACCAUCUUUGCACCACAGAUUACGCGCGACGAAUUUUCUGUCGUGCUUGAGUUUGUGCGACCAAAUUUAACUCUGCGCGACGAAAUUGGCUUCGUCGCGCAAAUCGUAAAAUGUAGUAGUGGAAGUUAUCAACAUCUAUAGGAACCCCAAUGAAAAGGCUGUUAACUAAUAAUGAAGUAAACCCCUCAAUGUUUCCGCGUAUCAGAUAUCUCUCAGAAUAUGCGAUUCCAUACUCAAUAAGCAACUCCACAUCCCCUGAGGUUUUCACCAAACCACCCAUUAAGGAAACAUACUGACUCAUGUGUAAUUAUCAUUACUCAUCGGGUAAUGCAAUUGUUCAAAGGCAAGGACAUUUCUCAUUAUUUCUGUAGUGAACCCCAAUGGAAAUGGUGGGAUCUUCAGAACCCCAUUGGUGCUACUGAAUUGUAUGUCAAAUAUGUUUUCACCUUGUCGCGCCUCAAACUUGACUCCAGCGUGCUGUAAUUCUGUCAAGCUGGGUAUGGAUGAUGGGAGUUCCCCUCCAGCUUUUGAUUCCAACGGUUGAUAGAGUUUAAAUAUUUUCCUGUAAAGAUCAACAAUAUGUGCCACUGAUCUAAAAGUCUCCAAAUUGUCUUCCAUUUUGUCAACAGGCAAUAGAUGUUCGAAGAAACUGAAAGAAAGACUAAUUAUUGAAAGCCCCUCAGUAAUGCAGUUAUUGUCAGCAUCAGCAGGGAGUGUAAUUUUCUGUGGGUCGAAAAGAUCCUCGAGAAUGAAGAAUGGCAACUGAUUUUCAAGCAACCACAUAUCUGUCCAUACAUCUUGCAACAUACCUGGUUUGUCAAAUAUGCGGUCAUUUUCAUCCCAAAAUUUGAAGUAGUCCUUCAAUAAGAGCUCAAUAACGAAGGCGGCAUCCACUAGAAUGAUUGUUACAAAUUCAUCACUGCUAAACUUGAUGGGUUCUCCAUAACAACGUCUCAAUCUUGCUUCGUGGUCCUUUAUUUUCUUAAUAUAAUCCUCCAAACUCACAUUGGUCCGACCUAUAAAAUCUUGCAGGUAUCUCUGUUUGUGCUCUUCCUAUACGACAUUCAAGCCUUCCUUUCCAUGGUGAAGUGGGCCUAUAGAGACCACCUGAGGUGUGCAGAGCUUUUCAUUCACACUUCGUAGUCGUUGAGGAACUCUGUAGAUACAGCACUUGGAGGAUGGGGGAGACAAGCUAUUGAACCCUUUUCUCAUCGAAUUUGCUAAUGAAAUGUAUGGGUUUUCUAUGUCAUUUUGAGCAGAUUGAUGGCUUCCUGCCAUUUUCCAGCUCCUGACUAUAUGUGGUGUUCCGAUUGUAACAGAUUACAAUAAUGAUGAGUAUGGAUAACUGAAUUACUGAUAAAACAAUCAAGAAACAUUUCGUUAUUUUCCAUUCCCAAUAACGAAAUCAAAAUGUUCAAGGAAAUAUAAUCAGGAUAUUGCAAUUAUAUAGCCAUUCAUAAGCUGCCUGGCAUGGAAUAAGAGGUGGAAACCAAAUCUACUUAUUGGCCAAAGUUCGAAUUCACUAUAUAUAGAUAUAUAUUUUGCCAAAAUCUAAAACUGACCAACCUUAGAUACAAAAACACGGUACAGCCCGGUUAAAGUAAUUCCAAGUGCGAAGAAAGAAAGGAAUUGAGCGUUUGUACCUCUACAGCUAGCCAAAUUUUCUAUUGAUUCUUUAAAUUUUAGAGAGCAAUUACUCUUAAUUUGGUAGGUGUAGGACUGUGCAACUUCAAGCUUUAAUGAAAGAAGCCAAGUUUAUUCUAAGGGGACAAGUCAGAGACAACGAAAUUUUGCUCAGCUUCAUUUUCAAAUUUGCUGCUUAAGAAGGAAAUUUAAUAUGUUUGUUUCACAAAUUGUAUUGUCAUCAAUGAAACUCGUGCACACCCAACGAAAUUUGCAUGGCUUAUUUUCAAAGGAGUACUGCUAUUUCCAUCCUCUGUCCUAUUUUUCCACUCACCUUAUCUUCAAAAUUUUAAAGACAAAAAUAAACCCCUUUGUAAAAUGCUUAAAAAGAAAUUUAAUAUGUUUGUUUCAAAAAUUGAUAUUGUCAUCAAUGGUUAAAGAAUUGCUGGUGACAACAUAUACUUCUUUUCUACUGUAUUAAUUUCUUUCUUUAUUUUUUCUUCAGUAUAGUUCUGCCUUUCUUUUACAUGUUUAUGCGCAUAUUUGACACGUUCAAGUAUACUUAUAUAACAAAUGCAAUGAGUUUGUAGUCACAAAAAUCAAGGAUUGAAAACAAAAAGUAAUAUUAUGUGCAAGAGAAACUUACCUGCAGAAACUGAAGAACUCCUCUAGUUUCUUCUCUGUCGCUAUGUACUCCCGCGUUCAAGUUAUUAUUCUUACAAUGUACAUACACUAUUAUAUAAUGGCGAGAAGGCUCUGAUUAACCUCCUUUUUGCUUCAUUGGAUGGGGCAAGAAUGGAAUUGUCACCGUGGGUGUGGAGGUGAUCUACCAUUUGAGCAAGAAAUUCCCACAUAUUCUUUAACUAUUUUUCAAGCAUGCAUAUUCCUCCCUAUCAAUCUUUGGUCUCUUCUUUUACUAUUUUUCAAGCAUGCAUACUUUGAUUUUAAAUCAUCUUUUCCGCACUAAUUUGCUUCAAUCAAGAAACAGUUAAUAUAUUUUGUAUCAUCAUUAGAGAACACUUGAAACUGCAUAAGUUAAUUUUGAAGAUGAUGGCAGAACCAAAAUGUGUAUAGCUUAUAACUAUAAUUUCUUGAUUACAACAAGAGGUUUCAAGUUUUCAACAACACAAAUAUGAAUCUCCCAAGCAAAGAUAAACAAUAAAGCAAGCAUACGGAUUGUCAAAUUGCCUUCAAUCACUCUAAAAUACUUCAUACCGUCCGACACUGGCUUCAAUUACUCUACAAUACUUCAAUUCAUAUAUUGUCCUAUUUUCACAUGUACAUCCUGCUUUUACUUAAGGGUUAAUUGUUGAUUUACCCCUUGAACUUGUACUCUACUUUCAAUUUGCACCCUCAACUUUUUUUUUUGAAAAUUAGGUGCAUGAACUAAUUUUUAUUGCCAAUUCCCCCUACCAACAUGUCAUCUAAUAGUCUGUCAAAUCAUUAAAAAAUAUAAUAUUUUUGGAAAAAAUUAAAGAAAAAAAAAUUCCUAAGGACCCACAGACCCAGAACCCACCCUCCGUUGCCCCCGCUUGCUGUUUUCUUCUCCUCCCAGUCCCCCAUGACCACCACCCUCCACUGCCACACCAAUCCCCUACCCAACAGACCCCUCACCCCUUCUUUUUUUUCACCCCCGAACCCAGCAUGAGUUAUUGGUUAAUACCAUUUUCUUAAUUGCCAAAUAAAAAAAAAAAACAGAGUUAACCCUCUGUUAAGCUAGCUGACUAGUGGGGCGAAAUGGAGGAAAAUCAAUAUGGAGACAGCGGAUCCGGUCCCGUGUAAGUGUAUCUGAUGGAAUAAAAGAAUGAUAUUAUUGGUGGUGGGUACGGUUAUGUGGAAGUAAUAAUGGGUAAGAGAAGAAACUUGUUCUCUUGUGAUAAUCAAAAGACAGAAAGUAGUGGGAAAAGACAGAAAGUAGUGGGACACUAUUUUAGAUAUGAUAAUGUUCCUUCCUUGAUUGAUGCAAAUGAAGAGAAAAGGGUGGCUUUAUAUAAUAGCCACUACCGACCUAACACAUUAAAAACACAACUAACACCAAACAUAGUUAAUUCAACUAACUUCUACCACACCAUUAAUUUAACACACAACUACUAACAAACUGCCAACUAUUUCAAAGUUACCAGCCGACUAUUAAUGAAGUCUAGAUUACUUUAACAUCCUCCCUUAAGCUAGACUUCAUUUACGCCAAUUAAUUUUCUCAUCUUGAUGAGCGGCUCUUUCUUCAACGGUUUGGUGAACAAAUCUGCCAGCUGAUCUUGGGACUUGCAAUACAGAACCUCAACUUCUUUAUCUUUGAUUAGCUCUCUGAUGAAAUGGAACUUGAUCUUGAUGUAACACCCCGACCCCAAAUUUUCCCAAAUUUUACCCUUAUUUAAUUAUUUAAUUAUUUAAGGGUAUUUUAGUCAUAUUUUUAACCGGAGAGAGUUUGGGACCGUGACUAGUAUUUUUGGAUAGGUCGAGCUGAGACGAGUUCAUAGACACGUAGUGGGCUCGAAUCGGAGUUGUAACGAGAGAGAUAUGGUCAAAAGAAGCCCAGUGGCACAAUCGUAAAUAUUUCGAAAUGGGAUUUUUUAUAAAAACUCAAAUUUUUCUCUCUCUCUCUCUCUCUCUCUCUCUCUCUCUCUCUCUCUCUCGCGACUCCUCUCUCUCUCUCCCGUCGGCCUCUCCUCUCUCUCUCUUCGUAACUCCGGCCACCGGCCGCGGCUGCGGACGGGGCCGGUGUCAAAAGAACCGGCUCGACCUCGGCAUCACGACCCAGCCCAUCCCCGCCAUCGGCCGCCGCUCCAGCCGCCGGAAAAUGGCGAUUUUCGCCCAGAUGUCGCCGGAACUUCAACGCCGUCGAUCUCCCUCCUCCGGCCACCAAUUCCGUCGACCCAGGUAUGGAUUUUGAACCUCUCGAGCUGCUCUAGCUGAUGGUUGGGUAGGAUUAGAUCGAUUCUUAGCGUAGAUCACUCGAUUUUCGAAUUGAAAAUCGGCCGAAACUUCGGCCGCCGUGAUCGGCCAUUUCCGGCCACUUUUUGGGGUAGGUCCAAGAACAAAAGUGGCUCCAAAUAGGGUGUUAUACCUAGGGUAGGAGUUUGGAGCCGUGGUUUUGAGAUUUUCCGGCGGAGCGUUAUCGCUUUGGGCACCCACGCGCUGCUGGCGCGUGCGGCGGAGCGUGGGCACUGUAUAAAAAGUAGCGAUGUAUUCCGAUGAGAUCCUUAGGUUGUCACGAGUGCGUAGGAUUUUGCGGAUCUCAAUUCGGACGUCGUUUGACUAUCGAACGAAUAAUCGCAUAGUGUGCGUUAUCCGGGUUCGAUAGGUUGGGACCGUUGGAUGGUCCCAAAUUUAAUAUAUGUUAAUCUAGGUAUUUCUAGGAUCGUGUAGGAAUUCACGGAUCGUGAAUCGGAACUCCGGAUGUUCCGAAUAAUAAUUUUAAGUUUAUAUUUUAUAUUAACCAUCAGAUCGUGCGAUCGUGAGCAAUCCGACCGUCCGAUCUGAACCAAACUUGCAGGACAAGUGUCCUACACCUGGUAGAACCCAUAGGGACUUCCGGAUCGGAAAUUGGAGGUCGUGGGUUCUGCAGGUCCGUUUGACCAGGGUUAGAGUAGUUUGACUCUUGGUUGACCGUGAGUCUCCCGGAGUAAUCUCACCCUUCCAGGGGGAAUUAUCGGGAGCUAGACUAUUGUGGAGGGUUACACAAUAUUAGAAUUAUUUAUAUAAAUUAUGUGGUUGUACAAGGGUACAACAGAGUCUAGAAUGUCAGUUUGGAGUGCUAUACGCACUACUCUAGGUACCUCCUCGGACUUUGGAAUUUCUACAAGUACCACCAAGUGAAAGUUAGGUCCCACGUGGCGUAGGUUAUCCGGCGUGUCGACAGACCCCAUACGUGGCGUUGGUUGUACCGGCGUAUGGGGAGAUUUGUGAUAUGAUAUUGAGGUCCCGCGUGGCGUAGGUUAUCCGGCGUUGGGACAGGCCCCAUACGUGGCGUUGGUUGUACCGGCGUAUGGGGAGAUAUUAUGAUAGUAUGGCAUGGUCGCACGUGGCGUAGGUUAUCCGGCGUGUCGACAGACCCCAUACGUGGCGUUGGUUGUACCGGCGUAUGGGGAGAUUUGUGAUAUGAUAUUGAGGUCCUGCGUGGCGUAGGUUAUCCUGCGUUGGGAUAGGCCCCAUACGUGGCGUUAGUUGUACCGGCGUAUGGGGAGAUAUUAUGAUAGUAUGGCAUGGUCGCACGUGGCGUAGGUUAUCCGGCGUGUUGACAGGCCCCAUACGUGGCGUUGGUUGUACCAGCGUAUGGGGAGAAUAUGUGAAAUACAGAGAAAUGAAAUAAGGUAUUGCCCAAGUGUGGAAUUGGGUUUUAGGGAAGAACUACUUAUGGCUUGAUCCCUCAAGGAGGGUACGUAGGCAGCCUAAGGUUAUUAGGUGCAGCCGCAGACUAAAUAUUAGUCAUAAAUUGUAAUUGAACUGUUUGGUAGUCGUUUGAGGAAGUAUUGAAAGGCCGAAGGCCAUUUGUGUGAAUUGCAUGAAAUUAUAUUGUGCAUGCUGCCAGUUGGGAAUAUUAAAUGCGUUUUUAUGCAGGUAUAAAUUUUGGGAAUGUCCAAUUUACAGGGGAGACUCUGCCAAAAUUUCGGCAGGAAGUCUCGGUUUUUAGUAAGUGGGCCUGGCAUCGGGGUGAUGUCAGGAAUUCCAAAGGGUUCGUCUCGGGUUUUGAGAAAAUUCGGGGCGGGUCCUUUCACUUGAUAUGCUUACUCUUGCUGUGAAACAUUGGAUUUUUGGAAAGACAAAUAGCUGAUUUGUUGUUGCAGAACAGCUUUGUAGGUCCUUCUUGAACUUGACCCAUCUCUUCUAAAAUACUUUUCAGCCACCUAGCUUGACAACCUGCUGAUGCAAGAGCAACAUACUCAGAUUCUGUAGUUGAAAGUGCCACUAUAGAUUGCUUUUUGGAGGACCAUGAAAUCGCACUUGAGCCAAUGCUAAAGACAUAACCAGAUGUGCUUUUGCAAGUAUCAACAUCUCCACCCAAGUCACUGUCACUGUAGCCAGUCAAAUUUAGAUUCUGAAUAGGAUAAUAAUGCAAACCAUAAUUGAUAGUUCCAACCACAUAUCUUAGGAUUCUCUUUCCAAGCUCCCAAUGAACAUCUUUUGGUGACUCCACUAAACGGCUGAGGAAGCUUACUGCAUAUGUAAGAUCUGGCCUUGUUGUAGUUAAAUACAAGAGGCCACCCACUAGACUUCGAAACAAAGUUUGAUUUACCAUUGUGCUUCCAUCAUUCUUACCUAUCUUAACACCAACCUCCAUUGGAGUAGCAAUUGACUUUGCAUUUUCCAACCUGAACCUUUUCAACAAUUCCUUUGCGUAUUUCUUUUGAGAAAUAUAGAUACCAUUCUCAUUUUGUUUGACUUCAAUUCCAAGAAAGAAAUGAAGCAAACCAAGGUCUGUCAUUUCAAAUCUUUGUGACAUAAUCAUCUUGAAAUUAUCACACAUUUGAGCAUUACUUCCAGUAAAUAUUAAGUCAUCCACAUAUAAGCAGACAAUCAAAAUCUCACCUUGAGAGUUCUUCUUGGUGUAAAGAGUAUGCUCAUAUGGGCAUUUGUGAAACCCAUACUCUUGGAAGAAUGCAUCAAUCCGACUGUACCAAGCUCUUGGAGCUUGUUUCAAACCAUAUAAAGCCUUCUUCAAUCUACACACUUUUGUUUCUUCAUUUCCCUGCACAUAACCUGGAGGUUGAGCAACAUACACUUCUUCUUCCAAAAAACCUUGCAAGAAUGCUGGUUUAACUUCCAUUUGAAAGACUUUCCAACAAUUUUGGGCAGCAAGAGCUAACACCAUUCGGAUGGUGUCAAAGCGUGCAACUGGAGCAAAAACUUCAUUGUAAUCAAUUCCAUAAUUUUGCUUGUAGCCUUUAGCUACCAAGCGAGCUUUGUAUUUCUCAACUUCUCCUUGAGCAUUCAGCUUGGUCUUAUACACCCAUUUUACUCCUAUAGGCUUCUUUCCUUGAGGAAGAUCAACCAGCUCCCAUGUGUCAUUUUUCUUAAUGGAAUCAAUUUCUUGAUCCAUAGCCUUCACCCAAUUUUCAUCCUUUGAAGCCUCUUCAAACAUAAUUGGGUCUGCAUCUACAAAUAGAGCAAAAUUUGUGCCACCAUUAGUGAUCAAAACAUAAUCACUAGAUGGGUACCUUGUGGAUGGUUGAUGAGCUCUUGUUGAUCUCCUUUGUCCUCUGCAAAUUUCUUCUUCCUCACUGCUAUCACUAGAAGAAGUUGAUGAUGACCCUUGUGAUGAAGAUUCCUAUGAUGAUAGAGUUGUUGGUGGAGUUAAAUCUGGAUUUUCAAGGCCAAUGUCCAACAGUAUUGGACUUUGAUUUUCAGCUUCACUCCAAUUCCAUGCUUCUUCUUCAUUGAACUUGACAUCACGACUAACAAUAAUCUUGUUAGUCAAUGGAUUAAACAACUUAUAUGCCUUGGCCUUUUCACUAUACCCAACAAGAAUGCACUUUUCUGAUUUGUCAUCCAAUUUUCUCCUUGUUUUAUCAGGAAUAUGAGAAUAAGCAAUGCUGCCAAAUAUCCUUAAGUGACUAAUACAUGGCUUGAGGCCACUCUAAGCUUCUUGAGGAGUCUUGCCUUCCACACUAUUGGACGAUGCACGGUUCAAGAGAUAUACAGCACAUGCCACUGCUUCUGCCCAAAAACGAUUAGGCAUUGCUUUUGCCUUCAACAUGCUUCUUGCCAAUUCCAUAACGGUCCUAUUUUUUCUCUCGGCCACACCAUUUUGCUGUGGGGUGUACCGAGCUGUGAACUGAUGCUUAAUCCCAUUUUCUUUUAGAAAAUUUUCGAACACAUUGGAUGAGAAUUCUCCACCUUGAUCAGACCGCAAGGUUUUCAAUGCAAAUCCACUUUGCUUCUCAGCCAAAGCUUUGAAAACUUUAAAGUAAUCAAACACCUCUGAUUUAUAUUUGAGAAAAUAGACCCAUGUCUUUCUGCUAUAAUCAUCAAUGAAUGUAAGAAAGUAGCGGUUACCUCCUGUUGAUGUUGUGUUCAUGGGCCCGCAUACAUCUGAGUGCACCAGCUCAAGAGGAUGGGAUGCUCUCCAAGAAUUUCCUGUAAGAAACGAAUUUCUCUGAUGUUUUCCCAGCACACAUGCUUCACAAACUUGUGUUUGAUGCUGUAUCGUUGGUAGGCCUCGUACCAUAUGUUGUUUCCCCAUCAAUGAUAGUGUAUUGAAACUCAAAUGCCCAUAGCGUAGAAGCCACAACCAUGAGGAAUCCUUGAUAAGUGCACUUAAGCAAGCAAAAGAUUCAUACUUUAUGUUCAGAGAAAACAUAUUGUCUCCUGACAUCUGCACCUUUGUAAUUAGAGAGUUGUACUUGUCUCUAAUUACACACUGGUCUUCCCUGAACUGAAUAUUAUGGCCUUUAUGAAGAAGUUGCCCCACACUAAGGAGAUUGUAAUUUAAAUCUGGAACAUAUAACACAUCAGAGAUUCUUUUUUGUUCUCCAGACUUGGAUAGAAAAAGAAUAUCUCCACAUCCUUUGGCCACUAGCUUUCCACCAUCACCAAUCCUUACUUCUGAGUUGUUGGUAUGCUUGAAAUUGACAAAGGCACUUUUGUUGCCUGUCAUGUGAUUACUACAUCCGCUAUCAAGAUACCAUUUUUCUGCACACACGUUUCCUUCCCUGGCAGCUGCAUAUGCAAGUAGAACCACAUUAUCAUUUUCCCUUUCAGAAGCUUUUUCAUGCACAAAGCUUGAUUCGGCUCCUCCAUUUGUUUUGUUUUUGCAUGUUGACUUGAUGUGCCCAUAUUGCUUGCAAUUGUAGCACUGAAUAUUAGAAAGAGAGGAACCUUGUUCUCUUCCUCUUCCUCUUGAAUAACCACCAUAAUCUCCUCUUCCUCUUGGAUAACCAUAAUCUCCUCUUCUUCUUGAAUAACCAUAAUCUCGUGCAGAGCCUUCAUCAUUAGUUUUUUUUAGGUCAUUUGCAUAGCCACGUCCUUGAUUAUUUCUUCCUCGUCCACGAGUAAAGCCGCCUCUUCCUCUUCUAGAACUUCCUCUGAAUGAGACUUGAGAUUGAAAAGCUUGCUCAACAGGGCCAGAGUCAAACUGCUUCAGUCGUAACUCAUGGGAUUGAAGAGAACCCAUUAAACUGUCAAGAGACAAAGUAGACAGAUCUUUGGAUUCUUCAAUUGCCACCACAAUAUAUUCAAACUUUCGGGGACAUACUUCGAAGAAUUUUUUCAGCAACUCUCUGAUCUUCAAUUUUUUCUCCAUUAAUUCUCAGUUGGUUGACUAGAGAAAUGACACGAUUGAAAUAGUCUUCAACAGAUUCUGACUCCUUCAUACGUAACAUAUCAAACUCACCUCUUAGAGUUUGCAGUCUUGCCAUCUUCACUUUAUCUUCUCCUUUAUAUGAUGCAAAGAGAGUGUCCCACGCCUGUUUUGAUGUAAUGCAUGAUGAGAUUCUUUCAAAGAUAGCUUCAUCCACUGCUUGAAAGAUAAAGAAUAAAGCUUUUUUGUCCUUCUUACGUGUCUCCUUCAGCUCUGUGAGUUGUUGUUGAGUGAGGACUGCUUGAUCAUUUGGCUCCACAAAGCCAUUUUCAACCACCUCCCACAAAUCUUGAGCAGCAUACAACACCUUCAUUUGGAUGCUCCAUUGACUAUAAUUCUUCCCUGUAAACUUUGGAAGCUGGGGCUGUAACAAGUUGUUGUUUGAAGCCAUAUGAUUCUGAGUUUCCAGCUCUGAUACCACUUUGAUGGAAUAAAAGAAUGAUAUUAUUGGUGGUGGGUACGGUUAUGUGGAAGUAAUAAUGGGUAAGAGAAGAAACUUGUUCUCUUGUGAUAAUCAAAAGACAGAAAGUAGUGGGACACUAUUUUAGAUAUGAUAAUGUUCCUUCCUUGAUUGAUGCAAAUGAAGAGAAAAGGGUGGCUUUAUAUAAUAGCCACUACCGACCUAACACAUUAAAAACACAACUAACACCAAACAUAGUUAAUUCAACUAACUUCUACCACACCAUUAAUUUAACACACAACUACUAACAAACUGCCAACUAUUUCAAAGUUACCAGCUGACUAUUAAUGAAGUCUAGAUUACUUUAACAGUAUCGAAUCUAGCUUUAAUAUGUAUUGGGUCCUCUGGACAAGAAUUCUAUCCUUUUCGUCCUAACUAAUAUGUAGGGGAAAAACAAUACAUCAAUUAUCCUUUUCGUCCUAACUAAUAUGUAGGGGAAAAACAAUACAUCAAUUAUGAAUUUUUUUUAUCUGGGUUCGAAAUUAAAUAUGAAUGGAGUUUUGGAGGCUUAAAAGUUAUAAGCUCAAGAAAGGAAGGAAACUAUAUGUACAUUUGGGUCGGAGGCAAAGGUCCAGUCAUCUACCGUCCAGGAUAUACAGUAUCAAAAAAGGCUUAAGAAUUGUAAUAAGGUGACAUACGCCCACAUACGGCCAACGCUAGCAUAUUUCGUAAGUGUAUUAUAUGUCUUCUAAGUAUAUCAUAGUUAUGUGUCAAUUUUAGAUCCAAUUGCACACCCAAAAUACAGAAACAAAAUCAUUGAGAAUACACUUUUUUUCACUUAUAUUUUGAAUAUGCAUUGCCUGUAUUUCAUGUGUAUGAUAUAGGGGCUUCACUUAUAGUUUUUGCACAAAACCUCCCUUGAUGAAGGAUGUCUUAGAUUAAUGACAUCAAUGAUUUGUUACAUUUGGAGUACCCAACAUAACAGCUCUCUGAUUAACAAUAAAGUUAUAAAAUUUCAACAGUUUCAUACCUAACAAGCAUAGAGAAACAAAUAAAACAACCACAUUGCUUCGAUCACUGUACAUGCACACAGCUCACUUUCACUAACUACAGAGGCUAUAUUUUCUACAUAUACACUAACUUUUUCUUUCUCCAGCUCUCUUACACCACCAGGCUGGUGACAAACCCAGCUCGCGUCAUGUGGAGGACCAAAAGGAAAUGACAAGGAGAAAACGGCUAAGGAGAGACUUACUCUCAACACUUAGAAGGCAGAGCAGAGAUAACAGAGCACACUGCUUGUAUAAAAGUGAGUAUGAGGAGAAAAAUAGCGGUAGCAAUUGAAAUAGUUGCCCAAGGUGUGUUGCAAUAGUUUUGUCUCAAGUUUGCCUGCCAUUUGUGCCAAGACGUUCUGCAGUACUUGUUGAGGUCUGCACAAAGAAUAGCAAAAUAGAAGUCAUUAGAGUCCACAAUGACCCCAUCUGCAAGGUUGUUGAUCAGAGUAGACCCUCCACUACUGUCACCGAGCAUAUUUUCGACGAUUCCUUGCUUAACAACCAACUCCACAUCCGUUGCGGUGUUCACAAAGCGAUCCACGAUGACAACAUAAUUGUUUAUGUAAUUCUCCAUGCAAUGGCAUUGUUCAAAGGCAAGGAGGUUUCUGAUUGUAAGCUCUGUCUCAUCACUUAUUGCUAAUUUUGGAAUUUCUAGAAUCCCAUUAGCGAAUUGUAUGUCGAAUAAGUUUUUGGGUGAUCCCACCUUAAACUUGACUCCUGCUCUGUGUAACUCUGUGAUGCUGGAUGUGUUUAAGAGUUUCAAGUCGCCCCUUAGCAGGUGGUUUCAAUGGUAGAGGUAGAUACAAAUUUCUACAAAAAUCUACAAAGUGUUCUACUUUAGAAGUACAUAAUUUCUCCAUAUUGCCAUCCGUUCCCUCUAUGUGCAUUAGAGUUUUGAAGAAAUUGUGGCAAAGGUUAAGCAUCGAAAGCCUCUCAAUAUUGUUAUUGUUAGAAGAGACUUUGAUUUUUUCGGGGUCAAAAAGUUCCUCAAGAAUGAAGAAUGGCAGCUGAUUUUCAAACAACCGCAUGUCAGGCCAUACGUCUGGCAACAGCCAUGGUUUGUUAAAUAUGCGGUCAAUUUCAUCCUGCAAUUCAUCGAAACGAUACCUCAACAAGACCUCAAUGAUGAAGGCGGCAUCCACUAGAAUGAUUCUCACAAAUUCAUCACUGCUAACCUGAAUGGUUUCUGCAUAACAACUGCGCAGUUUUGCUUCUUGGUCUUUUACUUUCUGUACAUAAUCGGCUAGGCUUACCCUGGUCCGACGUAUAUAAUCUUGUAAGUACCUCUUUUUGUGAUCUUCCAUGGCUUUUAGGCCUUCCUCGCCAUGAUGAAGUGGGCCUAUAGAGACUACCUGAGGUGUGUAGGCCUUUUCACUCACACGCCGUAGUCGUUCAGGAACUCUAUAAAUGCAACACAAGGAGGAGAGGGAAGACAAGCCAUCCAACUCCUCACUCAUUGAAGUUACUAAUGGAAUGCAAGGGUUUUCAAUAUCAUGUGGAGCUUGAUCGCUUCCUUCCAUUUUCCGCUGAUGUGUUUGUUGUUGUCAAUCAUAAUGGAUGAUAAUGAAAUGAUAGUCACUGACACAACAAUAAACAAAUUUUUCAAGAUGGCUGAGAAAAUUAAUACAAACAUUGCAAUUAUAAGACCAAACACACAAAGACUUUUGAUCCUUGUAACUCUUACAUACCACACUAGUGCCUUAAGAAUUCGAUUUGAAUGCACCAAAUUCAUUCAAAACUCUUCUGGUCAACUCUGUUUCUUGUAAUUAUUCUUGGAAGAUUCUAAUACAUUUUUGAUUGAAAAAUUCCUACUAAUCAUGUGAAUCAGUACCAAAGUUUAUUUCAAAUUAACAUACAAACCCCACUUUUUUUUUCCUACAUAUAUACUUCUUUAUUUCCCCUCAACUUAUUGGAGCUUCUAAUAAAGCAAAUUCUUUCUGUGAUGAUAUCAGAUAGUAGAUUAUGCUUCCAGUCAAAACAUAGACAAACCAAAAUCCCAUUAGAAGAGAAGAAAAUAAUAUACGACAUUCACAUAACCUUCUGCUCAAUUCCAAUUUCCAACUACAAUGAAACAUAAGACACUUAAAAGCUUCAAGAAAUUGGAUGUGCAAGCAAACAUAGCGAAAUUAUGAAAGACAGAGAAAGGUGUUGGGCAUUGAAAACAUACCUGAUACGUAUUGAAACACAAUUUUUUUUUGCCUUUGGUAGAUGGAGUAGCUAGAAAAGCUCAAUGCACUUGCUCUUCUGCUACAUUUCAAUAUAAGAACAUUGUUUGGAAGUCCGGUCAAUUCCUCAAAGCUUCCUUGCCUUUGUUUUGACAUGCCGAUGCCCGUCUUGGGGAAGUUUGAAUAAUCCAUUGCAGGCCCCAUGAUAGGAUUUUUAGUACUUGUGCAAACAGUGUUAAAAAUCACAUAAAAUACUUGCAAGAAUACAAGGCUAUUGUAGUAUAGAUGCUCAUGCAAGGUCGUUUUCCUCAAGGACUAAUUAGCAAUUUAUGUAAAAACAAAUUCCAAUUACUACUUAAAAUAAAAAGUCAAGAAAGAUGAUUAUAAAUUUGGUGGAUUCUAAAAAACAAAUAUUAAACAAAAACAAAUACGAUUGAAAGAAAGAGUUUUGAAUAUCAAUUUAUAAAAACACUAGGGUUUCACCAUCACCUAGCAAUCCUAUGAACUUUUACCAAUUACUUAUGAUUUGCACAUGCCACUUUGAAGGUUAGGUUUUCCUAAUGUAUAUUCUACUUGGAACCUCCAACACAGAACGUAUAUCCAACAUGCAACCCGUCCGGACGUUCGGAUCAAAUCUGAACAUGAAAGACUCAUUAAGUUUUGUGAAAACCCUUUGAAAAACCAUGCAACCCUUAAGACGUGGUGUUCAUCUUAAGUGAAAUUACAAUUAUUAAUCACAAGAAGCUAGCAUAAAUUUCAGGGAACCUUCCGACCAAAAUUGCAUCCAAUUACUUUUCUAAAGAUCCUAAUGGUGAUCAGGCAUUAAGACAAUUAGAUAGUUUAAAAUAGUGAUUAACAAUUCAAAAUACGCAUGCACUCAUCAUAAGCAAUUAAAUAAAAAUCACAUAUUCAUGCUAAGGUUCAAGGCUUCACCCUAGCAAAAGAAAUUUAGUUACGCAUACUCAUAAUUGAAAUCCAAGAAAAUAUCAUUAAGAAGAAAAGAACGAAAACACCUGAAAGUUGUGAAAACCCAAAACCCUAGCAAUUGCUCUCUACAAUGCAAAGUUCAAAAAUAAUUAAGAAGUCCUAAAUUCCUUGUGAGAAAGAGCUUAAAUAUCCCUUAAAACCUAGCUGCCAAUGUACAGCUUUUCUAUCCCUACAAGGAAACUAAUUAAAGUAAAAUAAUACUAGGAAAUAAAGUCCAAAUUGGAAUAGGAGAAUUUGCCCAAAAUCAGCCCAGCCACGUUUUGGCCCCAAAUCUCCUCCAAAUCUGGCCCAAGAUAGCUUUUUUUAAAGACACUACUACAAAAAGUGAAAAAGACGACCAGAAAACAACGACGGUCUAAGUGAAAACCGUCGUGGUUUUUAAAAAGACGACGGUUCUAAAAACACCGUCGUGUAAUACCACCUUAGACAACUAAAAAAUGGAGAUUCAAAUGGCUGUUCAAAAACAACGACGUACCUAAUUAAACAACCGACGUCUAUUUGAAACAGAUUUCCGCAGUGUAAAAUCAAAGCAAACAAAGAACGGCAGAAGUUAUGAAUAGACCGACGUAGAAAGUAAAGACGACGAUUUCAAUAAAAGCCGCCGUUUUUACUCAUAAAAUAACACGACGAGGUUUUCGUAUAAGACGCCGUAUAAUUACAAACAAAUCCACGGCUUUAAAAUACAAAAUAAUCUUAACAGAUGACACAGAUUUGCAAUCAGAGAGACAAUUUUUUGGAAGUUGAUCAACGUCGUUGAAAAUUUGCAAUCAGAGAGACAAUUUUCAACGACGGUUAUAUUAUACCUAACGACGUUUAAAAACAAAUCAACGUCGCUCAACAAAUAUAUUACGUCGUCUUAGUCUUACUUAAGACGACGAAAAACGACGACAGUAGUAAAAAAACAGUCGUUGUUUUUAUAUUCUUAUUUUAUUUAAAUCUGUCGUGUUAGUUAAAAACGACGGCAUAACAAAAAACCGUCGUUUUGUUUCAAACUGAAUUAAUUUAAAAUUUCUUCAGGAAAGCAAAAUCUAUUUAUAAUUUCCUCGGGUUAGUAAUAUUGUGUCGUGUUAGUUUACAAAUUCUAGAACAUUAAUUUCCCUCAUUUUAAAUUUUCUCGGGAAAGAAAAAUCUAUUUAUCACGCUUUGUAAUUGAAAACUAAAACUGAAAGAAUUCUGGAAAAAAAACUCUAUUUAUAAUUUAAAAAUAAAAUGCACGUCGGUUGUAGUACACUUAACGACGUUUAACAAAAUAAUCUACGUCGGUAAUUAUAAAUCUACCGCCAUCUUACCCUAAUAUAGACGACGAGAAAAGACGACGGUAGAACAGAAAACCGCCGUUGUUUCAGUUUCUUUAACAGUUUGGUCCUUUAUCUUUCUGCAGGACUUGUAUAGUUCAAAGCAUUGACAAUGUCUUCAUCAUAUCUCCCAGCAACUACUGAUUCGAUUGCUCAUGCUUUAGAGGCCAUCUGAAGCCAUUUCUAUUCUUUAUCGCAUUCUUGAAACCCAUCUUCUUCUUCUGAAGCUCUACGGAUAAAGGAANNNNNNNNNNNNNNNNNNNNNNNNNNNNNNNNNNNNNNNNNNNNNNNNNNNNNNNNNNNNNNNNNNNNNNNNNNNNNNNNNNNNNNNNNNNNNNNNNNNNNNNNNNNNNNNNNNNNNNNNNNNNNNNNNNNNNNNNNNNNNNNNNNNNNNNNNNNNNNNUUUUUUUUGGGGUUGGUUUUUUAUAGUAACCAGUUAUAACAGUAGUGGUUGUGCAAUGUUUGGUUCCCUUAAGCUUCGAUCCAACCGUGUAGCCAGCUUUAGGUCAAUGUCUCCCAAACCACUCGGGUUUUAGGGCACUAGGUGUAGAACACCCCUAAGGACUUAUUAACUCAAGCUGAAAAGGCUACGAAACCAACUAACCACCCUGCCUCAUGCCAAAACUCUACCUUUUGUCUCGAAAAUCACUGCUGAUUAGGCAGGACUGGCCCGGUUACUAGCAAAGCUUCGGGUGAGGCAAUUAUUACUUUAUAACACAUACUAACUUUAUUUAAAUUGAACAGAAAUUAAAACACACUUGGACAAAAAGUAAGUAUUCCAAUCUCACUCCCCAAAAACCAUAUUGGUGUGAUGUGCAAAUUUCAAAGUAUAAUUCAUGAAUUAGUGUCUAAGCAACAAUAAAUAGAAAAGACUCUACUGUGGGAUUGAUUUUCACUAUGUCCAUUUAUUCUAACGUUUAAAAUAAUCUAUGGAUAUUGACUGAAAAACGAAAAUUUUAAACAAGACUUAAAAAAAACUAAAAAUCUAAAAUUUACUUUCCCACCCCCUAACUUAAAUCACACAUUGUCCUCAAGGUGUGGUAAAUAAUCAAAAGAAACAAGAGCAGAAACAAAACGACUAAAUCCUAGAAAAUGAAAAUCAAAAAUAAAGAAAAUACUCUAAGAAAAGAAACUAGGAAGGAAAAAUAGAAGAAUAAUAAAAUAAAAUAAAAUAAGAAAGAAAAGGAGAAAAACAACAAUAGAAAAGAAAUAGGAAAGAAAAUACCCAAAAAUGAGACACCUUGGGGAUUCAAAGGCAGGACCAGGCGGAGUGUUGCGAAAAAGCGCUGACCAACUCAACCACGUCCACACUGGCAUCAAAUAGGAGCGACAGCUACAAUAUAACCUGCUGUAGCUGCUGCAUCUGUCAUUUGAAAAAUAUUGGAUUCCCUUCUCCUACCCCGAGCUCAGAGCCGAAAGGCUCUCUUCUGUCCAUUCCCAUUUUGCAGAAGAAAAAAGAAUAUUGCUGGAUAAACCAAAGCCUCCGCUGUGUCCAGAGAAUCAGAAAAGGUCUCUGAUUUCUCUCUUCUCAAGGCCAUCCAUCUCCGCCUUCACUCUUCUUCAUUCUCUCCAACACUCACGAUCCUUUCCUCUCUUUCAACCCAAUUACACCAGCGUUUUCAUCUGCGUGAGGAGGCCACAUUUGCAGCAAACACAACCAGUGAGGUUGAAUUAUCUGAUGCACCUGAAUUUUUGGAUGGUUUUGGAGUCCCUAGAUUCCUCAAAUUCAGAUCUGUCUCCAUCCAUGUCACCAGAUGCUAACUUGUUCCAAGAUGAAAACAAGCUGAAGCCGAACAAGAGUCUAUUCUCCACCAGUAAGGACCCCAGAUCUGUGCAUCCCGUAGGUAAACUUUCGAACCCCAGAACUGGUUUUUUUUUUUUUUUUUUUCCGUUUUUUUUUUGUUUUGAAAAUAAAAGAAGUAAAGAGUUUAGAAAAAUUGGGUUGCCUCCCAAUAAGCGCGCUAUUUUAAGUCUGUAGCUAGACUUUGCAGAAGCCUGGUGGUCAAAUCACUGGUUCCUUCAGAGUCAAAGACUCGGCUGCAAUGUCAAAGGGUGUCUCCACGUAGGGUUUUAGCCUAUGACCAUUCACCUUGAACGUGUUGCCUUUAUCUUCAUUAGUGAUUUGAACUGCUCCAUGAGGAAAAACUUGAGUCACUAGGUAGGGUCCAGUCCAGCGAGAUUUUAAUUUCCCUGGAAACAACUUGAGCCUUGAACUAAAUAACAGAACCUUUUGCCCUGGCUGAAAUUCCUUCCGUAAAAUUUGACUGUCAUGAAAUGCCUUAGUUCUUUCCUUGUAGAUGCGAGAACUAUCAUAAGCACCUUGACGAAUUUCCUCUAGCUCAUUUAACUGCAAUUUCCGCUUUUCCCCAGCUGAGUCAUAUGCAAAAUUUAACUCUUUAAUGGCCCAGUAAGCUUUAUGCUCCAGCUCCAUAGGUAGAUGACAGGCUUUCCCAUAAACAAGUCGGAAUGGUGACAUCCCAAUAGGAGUUUUAUAAGCUGUCCUGUAUGCCCACAAAGCAUCAUUUAGUUUGAAACUCCAAUCCUUGCGUGUAGAGCUCACUGUUUUCUCCAAAAUACGCUUUAUUUCUCUGUUUGAAACUUCAACUUGACCAGAUGUCUGUGGGUGGUAUGGUGUAGCCACGCGAUGAUUAAUCCCGUAUUUUGCCAGUAGGUUAGCAAAUGGUUUAUUAAUAAAAUGCUUCCCCCCAUCACUAAGAAUAACACGCGGUAUUCCAAAACGUGGAAAUAUAACCCCCUGGAGGAACUUCAGGACCACUGAUCCUUGAUUAGUUGGUGCUGCAAUGGCCUCGACCCAUUUUGAAACAUAUUCCACAGCCACUAAAAUAUAUUGGUGCCCAUUAGAAGAUGGGAAUGGCCCCAUGAAAUCAAUACCCCAAACAUCAAAUAGUUCAACAAUUAGGAUACUUUGUUGGGGCAUUUCAUUCCUUCUGGAUUGAUUGCCGACCCUUUGACACCGAUCACAUGCCUUGCACCAAUUCUGUGAAUCUCUAAAAAGUGUUGGCCAAAAUAACCCACUCUGUAGGAUUUUCUCUGCUGUCCUUUUCUGCGCAAAAUGUCCUCCUCAAGCAUAGUGAUGAGCAAACUUUAAAACACUUUCUUGUUCAGCCUCCGGAAUACACCUGCGAAUAAUCUGGUCUGCACAAUACUUGUAUAAGUACGGUUCAUCCCAGAAAUAGUGCUUUACAUCAGAUAAAAACUUCUUUUUCUGCUGGUAGGAAAAAUCUGGAUGCACCACACCCUUAGCCAAAUAAUUGACAAUAUCUGCAAACCAAGGUGUGUCAAUUUUGACAGCAAAUAGCUGUUCAUCUGGGAAACUUUCACUCAAUGGUAGAGAAUCUGCCUCUGUAGCUGCUGGAAUAAUUAAUCUAGAUAAAUGAUCAGCCACAACAUUCUCACUGCCCUUCUUGUCUUUAAUCUCUAAGUCAAAUUCUUGAAGUAAGAGAACCCAACGAAUCAAUCUAGGCUUUGCAUCCUUCUUAGACAACAAGUAUUUUAGUGCAGCAUGAUCUGUAUAGACAAUUAUUUUAGCCCCAACCAAAUAAGACCGAAAUUUCUCUAGUGCGAACACAACUGCCAACAAUUCCUUCUCUGUAGUUGCAUAGUUAAGCUGUGCAUCAUUUAGAGUACGACUUGCAUAAUAGAUGACAUGGGGAAGCUUAUCUUUUCGCUGCCCUAAAACUGCCCCGACAGCAUAAUCUGACGCAUCACACAUUAGUUCAAAUGGUAAAUCCCAAUUUGGUGCAGCAAUGAUGGGUGCCGAAGUUAGGAGUGCUUUCAACUUGUUGAAUGCUUCUAAACAGGCCUUAUCAAAAUUAAAUGGUGCAUCCUUAGCCAAUAAAGUGCACAAAGGUCGACUAAUCUUGGAGAAAUCCUUGAUGAACCGACGAUAAAAACCUGCGUGUCCUAAGAAGGACCUCACACCUUUUACUGAUGUAGGAGGUGGCAGCUUUGCAAUAACUUCAAUCUUUGCCUUGUCAACCUCGAUGCCUUUGCUAGAAAUUGAAUGACCCAAGACAAUUCCCUGUUCAACCAUGAAAUGCCACUUUUCCCAGUUUAGCACUAAAUUUGUCGCUUGACAUCUCUGAAGAACUAAUGAUAAAUUCUGUAAGCAUUGAUCAUAUGAAUCCCCAAAAACAGAAAAAUCAUCCAUAAAAACUUCCACAAUAUUUUCGACCAAGCCAGAAAAAAUACUCAUCAUACAACGUUGAAACGUAGCAGGUGCAUCGCAUAAUCCGAAUGGCAUCCUCCGAUAAGCGUAAGUACCAAAUGGACAAGUGAAAGUAGUCUUCUCUUGAUCCUCUGGUGCUAUUGGAAUCUGAUUAUACCCAGAAUACCCAUCAAGAAAACAGUAAAAAGCCCGCCCAACCAACCUUUCUAACAUCUGGUCAAUAAAAGGCAAUGGAAAAUGGUCUUUUCUCGUCCCUGUGUUAAGCUUCCGAUAAUCUACACACAUUCUCCAACCCGUAGUCAAUCGUGUAGGAACUAACUCAUUAUUAUCAUUUUUCACCACUGUAAUACCGGUCCGUUUAGGCACAACUUGAGUCGGGCUAACCCAUUUACUGUCAGAAAUAGGAUAAAUCAUACCUGCAUCAAGUAAUUUCAUAACCUCUGUUCUAACCACCUCUUUCAUAAUUGGGUUAAGGCGGCGUUGAGCAUCAACUGUUAGCUUUACGUCGUCUUCCAUUAAUAUUCUGUGCAUACAUAGUGCUGGGCUGAUUCCCUUGAUAUCCGCAAUUGUCCAUCCCAAUGCAUCUUGAUAUUUUCUCAAUACACGAAGCAAUUUAUCCUCCUCUGUCGGUGUUAAAUCUGCUGCAAUUAUAACUGGCAACGUCUCUGCAGCUCCUAAAUAUGCAUAUUUAAGAUGUUGUGGUAAAGGCUUCAGCUCCAAUUUUGGCGGCUGCUGUCUGGAUGGUUUAAGGGGCUGUUUGGGCUCCCCUAAACUCUCAUACACAUUCCUAAAUUUUGGCAACACUGUGGGCAGACUGUUCAAUGCGUGUAUGUACUCAUGAACACCUUCAUCUUCAAAAUCUGUCUCAAAUGCCCCCUGUAAAACAUGCAACAACUGAUCUGUUUUUGAAUUAGCAUAAAAUCUGUCCUGCACCAUACUGUCUACCAUGUCAAUACGCAUACAAUCUAGCUGUUCAGCAGGACGUUUUGUUGCCGCAAACAAAUUAAACACCACAGAUUGGUCCUGAACCCGUAAAGUCAAUGUUCCAGCUUCCACAUCAAUUAAGGUCCUAGCUGUUGCCAUAAACGGCCUCCCCAAAAUAAUAGGUGUUUGAAGGUCUUCAUCCAUGUCUAAAACCACAAAAUCUGCCGGUAGAUAAAGAUUAUCAACCUUAAUAAUUAGAUCUUCAAUAACACCUCUUGGAUAAGUGAUUGAACGGUCAGCUAGUUGAAGUAUAAUUGAUAUAGGCUUUAAAUCUCCUUGCCCCAAUCGCUGAAAAACAGAAAAAGGCAUCAAAUUAAUACUUGCACCCAAAUCAAUUAAAGCACUCUUAAAAUUAGAAUUUCCAAUAGUGCAAGAAAUAUUAAAACUCCCUGGAUCUUUUUUCUUAGGUGGUAGUUUGUGUAGCAAAACUGCAUUGCACUGUUCUGUCAAAAUAACUUUUUCCAAAUCUGAAAGCUUCUUUUUGCUGCUGCAAACUUCCUUCAAAAAUUUGGCAUAUGAUGGAAUUUUCUUGAUUGCAUCCAGUAAGGGAAUGUUGAUUUGAACCUUGGAUAAUGUCUGCAUAAAGUCCUUGAGUUGCUGAUCUUUUACUUUUGGCUUCAAACGUUCUGGAUAUGGAAUUGGGGCCUCAUAAACACGCUCAGGUACUUGUUUUGGAACAGUUUCUAGAUCUGCCAUAUUAUGUUUUUCUACAGGUUUGGCAGGUUCUGCUGCUGCAAAAUUUUCUGUAUGAUCCUCCACUGCAUGCUGCUCCUUUUCAAUGUUAUUUUCACGAUUGUCAUAGCUUUUUCCACAUCGUAAAGUCCGAACAACUUUGCAAUCUUCACGUCCAUUUGGAUUAGGAAUUGUUUGACUAGGAAAUUUGCCCUUUUAUCUGUCUGAAAUCUGUGUAGCUAGUUGUCCAAAUUGUUGCUCCAAACUUUUAAUAGAUGCUUCAACAUUUUGAAAUCUUUGAUUGUUGCCCUCGAUGAAUGAUUGAGUUGUUGCUGCCAGUUUAGCAAGUUGAUCUUCCAUAGAUGGUUUGGAGGGAACAAAAGGUUUUUGUGCAUGCUGGAAUGGUUUGGCAUUAGUCUGAUUGUCACCCCAUUUGAAAUUAGGGUGAUCCCUCCAUCCAGGAUUGUAAUGAGUUGCAUAUGCAUCAUUCCUAGGCCUUUGAUAGCUGUUCAUCAUAUUGACAUGUUGUUCAACAAGCUCUGGGUAAGAGUCUCUAUGUGGGCAGCCCAUUAUGUCAUGUGUAGCCAUACUGCAUAUAGUGCAAACUGUUGAUGUAGGUGGCUGCUGUGUAGAACUUGCUAUAUGUUGUAGAAGCAUAUCAAACUUUGCAUCAAUUUUCUUAUCCAUUUUUUCCAUUUGUGCAGACAUGUUGGGAGAACCUACUGAUAACUCAAAAAUGCCCCUUUUCUGUGAAUGUUCUGCUGCCCAUUGCUGAGAUUCUGUAGCCAUCAUAUCAAACAGUUCAAAUGCCUCUCUUGCAGAUUUAUUUGAUAAUGAUCCUCCAGCUGAUGCAUUCACAUGGCUCUUAGAUGUAGGAUUAAGCCCAUCAAAGAAAAUAUUCAUUUGUGUAUCUGAAUCAAUUUUAACAUGUGGACACUUUAUGUACAUCUUUGUAUAUCUCUCCCACGCUUCAUGAAACUCUUCAUUAGGCUUCUGUGUGAAUGUCAAAAUCUCCCUCUUGUAAUUCAAUGUCUUGGAUGCUGGAUAAUAUUUGUUCAGGAAUUUUGUGUGUAACUGCUGCCAAGUAGUAAUGCUAUUAGCUGGUAGAGUGAAUAACCAAGUUUCUGCCUUGUCCUUCAAAGUGAAAGGGAAAAGACGUAACUUAAUAGCCUCAGCAGAAAAACCCCUAAUCAAAAUAUUCUUGCAACCCACAAUAAAUUUUGCAAUAUGUAUGUUUGCAUCUUCAUUAGGCAAUCCCCGAAAAGUAGGUAGAAUUUCAAGCAUAUGGUGCCUGAUCUCGAACGAAUCACCCUCUUCUUGUUCAGGAUACACAAUGCAAUUGGGAACAUCAGUGGCACGGGCUUCCAAUGACUCCCUGAGUGGUCUACCUGCCGCAGGUAAUUCUAACGCCAUGUUACUCUCGUUUGCAAACAGAUCCUGCAGAAAAGUGCCCUGCAGUGAACAGUCCCAAGCCCAAGUAACUUCUCUCCGCUGUCUAUGCAGUGUGCGCUCUGGUUCUGGAUCAAAUUGUACAAUCUGUGUAGUUCCUGAUCUGGUCUGGACCAUGCAGUCUGCAAAAUCUGCAACAGAAACAAAAUUGUUCAAUUUCAAUUUUUUUUUUUGGACGAAAAUUAAAAAUAAAAUAAAAUGAAAUAAAUCAGAAAAAGGUUAAACAAAAAUUGUCUAAAAUAGUCCCCAGCAACGGCGCCAAUUUCUUGAUAGGAUUUUUAGUACUUGUGCAAACAGUGUUAAAAAUCACAUAAAAUACUUGCAAGAAUACAAGGCUAUUGUAGUAUAGAUGCUCAUGCAAGGUCGUUUUCCUCAAGGACUAAUUAGCAAUUUAUGUAAAAACAAAUUUCAAUUACUACUUAAAAUAAAAAGUCAAGAAAGAUGAUUAUAAAUUUGGUGGAUUCUAAAAAACAAAUAUUAAACAAAAACAAAUACGAUUGAAAGAAAGAGUUUUGAAUAUCAAUUUAUAAAACCACUAGGGUUUCACCAUCACCUAGCAAUCCUAUGAACUUUUACCAAUUACUUAUGAUUUGCACAUGCCACUUUGAAGGUUAGGUUUUCCUAUUGUAUAUUCUACUUGGAACCUCCAACACAGAACGUAUAUCCAACAUGCAACCCGUCCGGACGUUCGGAUCAAAUCUGAACAUGAAAGACUCAUUAAGUUUUGUGAAAACCCUUUGAAAAACCAUGCAACCCUUAAGACGUGGUGUUCAUCUUAAGUGAAAUUACAAUUAUUAAUCACAAGAAGCUAGCAUAAAUUUCAGGGAACCUUCCGACCAAAAUUGCAUCCAAUUACUUUUCUAAAGAUCCUAAUGGUGAUCAGGCAUUAAGACAAUUAGAUAGUUUAAAAUAGUGAUUAACAAUUCAAAAUACGCAUGCACUCAUCAUAAGCAAUUAAAUAAAAAUCACAUAUUCAUGCUAAGGUUCAAGGCUUCACCCUAGCAAAAGAAAUUUAGUUACGCAUACUCAUAAUUGAAAUCCAAGAAAAUAUCAUUAAGAAGAAAAGAACGAAAACACCUGAAAGUUGUGAAAACCCAAAACCCUAGCAAUUGCUCUCUACAAUGCAAAGUUCAAAAAUAAUUAAGAAGUCCUAAAUUCCUUGUGAGAAAGAGCUUAAAUAUCCCUUAAAACCUAGCUGCCAAUGUACAGCUUUUCUAUCCCUACAAGGAAACUAAUUAAAGUAAAAUAAUACUAGGAAAUAAAGUCCAAAUUGGAAUAGGAGAAUUUGCCCAAAAUCAGCCCAGCCACGUUUUGGCCCCAAAUCUCCUCCAAAUCUGGCCCAAGAUAGCUUUUUUUAAAGACACUACUACAAAAAGUGAAAAAGACGACCAGAAAACAACGACGGUCUAAGUGAAAACCGUCGUGGUUUUUAAAAAGACGACGGUUCUAAAAACACCGUCGUGUAAUACCACCUUAGACAACUAAAAAAUGGAGAUUCAAAUGGCUGUUCAAAAACAACGACGUACCUAAUUAAACAACCGACGUCUAUUUGAAACAGAUUUCCGCAGUGUAAAAUCAAAGCAAACAAAGAACGGCAGAAGUUAUGAAUAGACCGACGUAGAAAGUAAAGACGACGAUUUCAAUAAAAGCCGCCGUUUUUACUCAUAAAAUAACACGACGAGGUUUUCGUAUAAGACGCCGUAUAAUUACAAACAAAUCCACGGCUUUAAAAUACAAAAAUAAUCUUAACAGAUGACACAGAUUUGCAAUCAGAAGAGACAAUUUUUGAAGUUGAUCAACGUCGUUGAAAAUUGCAAUCAGAAGAGACAUUUUCAACGACGGNNNNNNNNNNNNNNNNNNNNNNNNNNNNNNNNNNNNNNNNNNNNNNNNNNNNNNNNNNNNNNNNNNNNNNNNNNNNNNNNNNNNNNNNNNNNNNNNNNNNGGAAGUUGAUCAACGUCGUUGAAAAUUUGCAAUCAGAGAGACAAUUUUCAACGACGGUUAUAUUAUACCUAACGACGUUUAAAAACAAAUCAACGUCGCUCAACAAAUAUAUUACGUCGUCUUAGUCUUACUUAAGACGACGAAAAACGACGACAGUAGUAAAAAAACAGUCGUUGUUUUUAUAUUCUUAUUUUAUUUAAAUCUGUCGUGUUAGUUAAAAACGACGGCAUAACAAAAAACCGUCGUUUUGUUUCAAACUGAAUUAAUUUAAAAUUUCUUCAGGAAAGCAAAAUCUAUUUAUAAUUUCCUCGGGUUAGUAAUAUUGUGUCGUGUUAGUUUACAAAUUCUAGAACAUUAAUUUCCCUCAUUUUAAAUUUUCUCGGGAAAGAAAAAUCUAUUUAUCACGCUUUGUAAUUGAAAACUAAAACUGAAAGAAUUCUGGAAAAAAAACUCUAUUUAUAAUUUAAAAAUAAAAUGCACGUCGGUUGUAGUACACUUAACGACGUUUAACAAAAUAAUCUACGUCGGUAAUUAUAAAUCUACCGCCAUCUUACCCUAAUAUAGACGACGAGAAAAGACGACGGUAGAACAGAAAACCGCCGUUGUUUCAGUUUCUUUAACAGUUUGGUCCUUUAUCUUUCUGCAGGACUUGUAUAGUUCAAAGCAUUGACAAUGUCUUCAUCAUAUCUCCCAGCAACUACUGAUUCGAUUGCUCAUGCUUUAGAGGCCAUCUGAAGCCAUUUCUAUUCUUUAUCGCAUUCUUGAAACCCAUCUUCUUCUUCUGAAGCUCUACGGAUAAAGGAAGAGGCUAUCACAAAUCUGACGGAUCUUCUUAGUCAAAAAAAUCAAGCAGAGGAUCAGGCACAUCUGAUCUUCAGAUUUCCCUGAGAAGCGAACUUUCCUUCGACAGCGAGUGGAGGCCAGGCUUGCAUCUCUUUUGAUGGAAAGCAAGGAGUAUUCAGAAGCACUAAGUGUCCUAUCAGGCUUGAUCAAGGAAGUGAGAAGGCUAGUUGACAAGCUUCUUCUUGUCAACUAGCCUAAAUGUAAGCUCAAUUUCUCUUUGAGAAAGACCUCCAAAUUAUUGUCUUUGAGAUGUGAGAGACAGUGUCUCUGAGAGAGGAAGAACUUGGAACCCUAAAUGUAAACCGCGAAAAUGAAUGAAAGCGACAAAUUUAUAGAAUAAAUUUUUAAAACCAACGGCGGUACUUACCAAGAAACCGCCGUUUCAAUUGUAAAAUCAACGUCGGUAUUACUGACGUAUAUUACAGAACUCCACGUCGGUACAUUAAUAAUCACGACGUCUUAAAUAAUCUACCAUGACGCGAGUUAUUACUUAUGUACUUUAAUUUUUGAGUUUACUACGACGGUACCUACAACACUACUGUCGUAUUUAUUUACCACGUCCGAAGUUAAAUUUACCGACGUAUUUUGUACUUUAUACGUCGUAGUUAUAUGUAACCGCCGUAUUAUUUUUUUGAAAUGGUUUUAUAUGUAAGCAACUUUUCGUCUACUUGACUUACACAUUAGUUGUUUUUAUAUUCUUAUUUUAUUUAAAUCUGUCAUCCAAAAAAGAAACUUUACAUAUUGCAGAAUAUUAAUUUCCUUCGUUUUAAAUUUCCUCCGGAAAAAAAACUCUAUUUAUAACGCACUGUAAUUGAAAAAUAAACUGAAAGGUCACGGGAAAAAAAAUUCUAUUCAUAAUUUAAAAAUUAAAAUCCACGUCGGUUAUAUUAAACCUAACGACGUUAAAUGAAAUGAUUCCACGUCGAACGAAAAAUAUUUCGUCGUGUUAGUUAAAAACGACGUAGUUAAAUGUAACCGCCGUAUUAUUUUUUUGAAAUGGUUUUAUAUGUAAGCAACUUUUGGACUUACACAUGCACUGUUUCCAAACCCGAUUAAAAAUUUCAAUCUCCAGAGAAACCUUUUCGUCUUUUUUCCUUGUCAGAGCAUUAUCAGAGUUUCUCAUCGUCUUCCUCUCGUCUUCUUCGUCGUCCUUGAACUUAAACAUCGAUCAUCUUCCUCUUGCUUUCAUUGCACGCAAAAGGUAAGCUUUCAUUUUCACUAUUUUGGUUACUGUUUUGCAUGCUCAUACGUUUUUUGUUUGAAAAAUCUUUUUACCUUUUUUCUGGCCAAAAUCAUUUUACUUCUUUCCAAGUUUGAUAAAAUAUACAGACAAAAAGGGAAAGUUUCCAACUUUGAAGACAACUACCUCAACUAAAUGAGACGACGGUAGACCACGACGGUUCGUCAGUUGUUCUAGCGUCGUCUGAAAAUUGACAAAGUUGUUUUUAAAAUAAUAGUCUUUUUUUAUAUGCUUGUUUAAUUGCAGGUUUGAUUUCUCUGAACAAUGGUUUUUGUUUUUCCCUUAUUUGAUAAAAUAUAAAGAAAAAGAAACUAGGGUUGGUAUCUAAUAUAGACGACAAAAUAUCUUAUUGUUUUACGUCGUGUGAAUGUUAAUACCACGACGGUGUAUUACUAUUAACGUCGUAUGAACAUAAAUACCACGACGUUAUAUAAAUAAUAGUUUACCACGACGGUGUAUUACUAUUGACGUCGUGUGAACAUAUAUACCACGACGUUAUAUAAAUAAUGGUUUUAAACAUUUAUUACGUCUGAGAUUAUUUCAUUGCGUCGUCUAAAAUCAUAUCAUACGUCGUAUUUUUUUAAUACCGUCGUUUGUGUUCUUAAUGUUUUCCUGAAAUAUUUUCACUUGCAGUUUUGUCUGUUAAAAUGGUUUCUCAACAACAAACUAAGGAUUCUGGCUCCAAGAAGCUUGGAAUGGUAGCUCCUCAAGACAAGUCUUCGAAGGAGAUGAAGUCUUCGAAGAAGAUGAAGUUUGCUUCAUCAUCUGCUGAGACAGAACCAACCAGCCAGACAACAAUCUCUGAUGAUUCAAAGACUGGUCGAGGCAUGAGCACAAUGCCUCGUGUUGUGAAGAGAAAGCUUCAGAAACUGAGGCCAAUUGUUGAGUACAAUAAAAGGGGGAAAGGUGUUGGCCAAGCACAUAUUGAGAUGCAGUCGUAUAUUGGUGUGUUGGCACGCUCCAGGAUCCCACUUGUGGACAAGAAAUGGUCCCAAAUCCCCAAGGAUAUAAAGGAGCAGAUUUGGGAAGCAGUUGACAUGGCUUUUGUCGUAGGCCAAGGGGGCAAGACCUCUGUUUUAGCUUCUGCUUCCAAGAAAUGGAAGGAUUUCAAGUCUACACUAACGAGGCAUUAUAUCCUUCCAUACACCAAUGACAGGGAGAAAUUAAGCCAACCCCCUGAAACAUAUAAAUUCAUAGAGAAAGCACAAUGGGAUGCCUUUGUAGCUUCAAGGCUAUCCAAAGAUUUUGAGUCUGUGCAUUCUCAACAUGCACAGAUUAGGGAGAAACUCGAGUACAAUCAUCGAUUGUCUCGAAAAGGAUAUGCUGGAUUGGAGGAUCAAUUGGAGGAAACCAUGCCUGGGGUAGAAAUUGAUCGAUCUACCUUAUGGAAGAGAGCUAGACAGGACAAACAUGGUAACAUCCCUGAUCCAAAGGUGGCAGAGAAAGCAAAAUUAAUUGUAAGCCUACUAUCACUCUGUUUUAAAUUUUUAUUAAACUGUGAAUUAUUCUUAUUACGUCGUAUGUUAUAUUUUUCGUCGUGUGAAUGAUAUUACCACGUCGAAAAGUUUUUAAAAACGUCGUUAAAGGUCUAAAUAGGAAUCACUACUAAUUUUCUGUAAUUAUAGCAUAAGACGUCGGUGGUUCAUUUUCGCGUCGUUUGAAUGAUAUUACCACGUCGAAACUUUUUUAAAAACGUCAUUAACGGUCUAAAUAGGAAUCACUACUCUGUUUUCUUUAAUUAUAGCAUAAGACGUCGGUUGUUUAUUCAUUUCGUCGUUUUAAAUAAAUAACCACGUCGGUAUAACUACCGUCGUGAUAAGUUAUAAUAACGUCGGUUUAUACGUUAUUGCGUCGUGUGAAAUUAUAUAAUACGUCGUUUGUACAUAAAUAACCGUCGUGUGUUUUUUUGUUUAUCUUUGUUUUAGGAUGAAUUGCAGAAACAAGUCUCGGAAGGCAAAGUCAGAGUAGAUGGCAGCAAUGAUGUGCUGACCAUGGCUUUGGGCCCCGAGCAUCCAGGCAGAGUGAGGGGAGUUGGUGCUGGUGUUUCCCCAAGGCAAUAUUUCAAUUUGCCCAAACCACAGAGGGUGAGCUUUGACGACCAUUUGAAGGACAGUUUAAGAGUUCUCCUUCAAGAAGAGACUAAAAAGAUGGAGGCUAAGGCAAGGGAAGAGGCCUUAAGAAUGGAGGCUAGGACAAAACAAUUGGUAGAGGCUGAGAGGGAGCAUUUCCUGAGUCAGCUUUCCCAAUUAAUUCCCAAUUUUGAUCCAAGCAUGCUUAAACCAAGAAUUAGCCAAAGCCCCAAAAAUCCAAUGUCUGACAAAGCUAGCUGCUCUGGAGGUGAUGUGAGAUCCCUACAUUUGGAGGAUGAUACUGCCAAAAUGGGGAAACAUCAGCCAGAUGAAGAGAAGGAAGAAGAAAAAAGAGAUGAAGAGAAGGAAGAAGAAAAGGAGAAAGAAGAUGAAGAAAAGCAUGACGACAAGGUAUGUUCACAUAACUUUGCCUUUUUUAUUUGUUUUUCAAAAUUUCAGACGUCGAUAUUUUUAUUUAAUCCGUCGUUUGUUUAAAACUUAGACGGCGGACUUUUUUUAAGACGUAAUAAAAUAUUUAAACGACGGUUUUUGCACCGUCGUUUAAAUGGUUUCAGACGACGCUUUAUUCAUAAAAUCGUCGUCUUUAUUGAAUUACCACGACAGUUUUUUCACCGUCGUUUAAAUACUUUUAAGACGACGUUUUAUUCCUUAAACCGUCGUCUUUGUUGAAUUACCACGUCAUUUUUUUUAUUUCUUUAAACAGGUUAUUGAAGUUGGUGCUUAUUCAAAUAUGGAGGCGCCAUCUUCUUUAAAAACCCUUUGUCGUUUUGUGGAAACGACACUCCUGCCUGAGGAUAAGACACUCCAAUUUACAAUUGAUAAGGAGGUGUUUGGUGGUGAGCGCGAUACCUUCCUCCUGCCUGAAGAUAUUACACAAUUUGCAGGCAUGGAAGAAAUUGGAGCUACUGUAUUGGCUGUAUAUAUGAGGUUUGUACUUCUAAAAUAAUACCUCGUUGGUUUAUAUAUUGCGUCGUCUUAACUAACUAACCACGUCGUCUUAACUAACUACCGUCGUGAUAAAUAUAUUAUAACGUCCUCAUCUAUUUCAGUACGUCGUGUGAAAUAUUAUAAUACGUCGUUUUUUUAUACAUAACCGUCGUGUUUGUUUGUGCUGACUUGUUUAUAUUAUUUUAUGUAUUUAGGUACUUACACGAUGUUUUGAAACAAGCCAAUAUGUGCAGCAUGGUUGGCUUUAUCGACCCUGCUACAGUUAGUGCCAACUCUGGCACAAUAACUGAAAGAUCACGACUGGUAGCAGCUCGACUUCAGAAGACAGACGGUGAACAGAUUUUCAUGAUGCCUUACAAUCCAGGGUUAGUCUCCUUAGGAUUUUGUUUUUAUGAUUUUCAAUAAAUGACAGCUUAUAAACUAACCACGUCGGUGUUUUAUUUUAUUUAGUCGUUUGAAACUACUAACCACGUCGGUAUUUAUUUAUCGUCGUGAUAAAUAUAUAAUGUCGUCGUUAUCUACUUUAUUUCGUCGUGUGAAAUACUAUAAUACGUCGUUUUUGUAAAUAACCGUCGUUUUUAUAUUCAUUUUGUGCAGCCGUCAUUGGAUCUUGCUGAUUGUAAGAGCAAAGAAGGAGACCGUCUAUUUUCUGGAUCCUCUGCCAGGUCAUCGUGUGGUCGACGAAGAGGCGAAAAACAUCGUGAACAGUGCUUUAAAAAUAUAUAAUACCCACAUAGCCCGAGCACGACGUAAAAAUGUAAUUUGGAAAACUCUCUCAGGCACACCAAAGCAACCCAGCAAUGUCGAAUGCGGGUACUAUGUGAUGCGCUUCAUGAGGGACAUCAUCAUGGAUCCUUCCUUGGGGUUUGAGAAUAAGGUAAGAAGAAAUUACCUUCAUACAUUUCACGUCGUUUUUUGUAUUAUCAACGACGGUCAUGUAAAAUUAACGUCGUUGAAUGGAUAUACUACGUCGGUUAUGAAAAAUAUCGUCGUCUGUGAUUGAAUUUCUUUUUAUUUAUAAACCCUAAUAGUCAUUGUUUAUGCAGUAUGCCAAGGGAAACCAGGAAGCUUCAUACCCCCAAGAAGCCAUUGAUGAAGUCCGGAAUGAAUGGGCAGAGUUUGUUUUCCAAAUUAUUAAACAGGGCAAUUAUUGAACACUUGAUAUUUAUGUAUAAUGUACAAAUUUUCUCUAUAAUAUGUAAUGUAAAAAUUUGUUGAGGUUUUCUUAAAUUAAAAAAAAAACAAACAUACAAAUUGCUUAACCGACGUGUAAUACUUUUCCAACGACCUAAUAAAGUCAAAAACCGUCGUAUUUUGUUGUUUCGUGUUUUAAACAAAUACGACGUAAAAAUAUAGUUAGACGACGUUCUUUGAACAAUUGAGUCGUUUAUGGUUUACAACAUCUUCAAUUUCUUAAGGGUUCAGGGUAUCAUCGACGACGUUUAUGUAACGACAGCGGUUAAGUCGUGGAAUAUAUAUUUUACGUCGUAUAGUUAAAUAGCCGCCAUGGUUUCUCAUUUUAACGACGUCAUUUUAACGACUUAGUAGUCUAUUACAAUUUACAACGUCUACAAUUUAUUAACACCGACGUGGUUUGUUGUUGUGGUAAGAAUAUUUUAUUAUUUUUAUAUCAAAAUAUUCAAAAUAAAUUUAAAAUAAAUCAGAAAAUUGAAAAGUCAUCUCCUAUGAAGUCAUUGAUAUAUUUUCUUCCACAUAAACCUUGAAAAAAUUCAUUUUGAAUAACAAAAAUUUAAAAUGACCAUCCAAAACAAAAUUGUUUUGAUGAGUCAUAAAAUCACUUCUAGUUUUAUGGUUUAGGGUUUAGAGUCUAGGGUUUAGAGAUUAGGGUUGUUAUUUGUUGGGGUUUAUUUUUAAAGUAUAAUUUUUGGGUAGUCUAGGGUAUAUGUUAGGCUUUAAAACCAUAAAACCUUUUAUAAACUUAAUUUUUUAAAUUGUAUAAUUUAGUUUUAUGGGUUUAGGGUAUUAAUUUUUAACGACGGUGGUUGCGUCGUGGAAUACAUAUUUUACGUCGUACAGAAAAACAUACGACAUGGUUUACGCUUUAAACGACGUCAUUUUAAUAUGUAAGUCGGUUUAUAUAAUUUACAACGUCUUUAAUUUCUUAACACCGACGUGGUUUUUCAGUCGUCGUUAUAUAAAAAAUUCAAAAUAAAUUUAAAAUUAAUCCGAAAAAUGAAGCUUCAAAAUGAACGGCCUUACGUUCUUAAUCCGAAAAAUGAAGUUUCCGUCGUGGAAUAUUAAAUUUACGUCGGUACUUGUAGAACUUUCGCCUUGGUUUUUCUUUCGACGUUUUAAAACGCGCGAGCUCUAAAAAUUUUCGCGUGACCUAAAUUUUUUUAGAUUUGGCUCUUAUUCUUAUACUUCGAACCCUGAAACCUAAAAUUUUCAGAUUUCGCUCUCUCACUUCUGCUCUAAUUAAAAGUUGCACUCUCCAGGCUUCGUCGAAUCUGUGAGCUCGUCCAACCUGUAAGUACAAACCCUAUCUUCCCCUUGUAAAUUCAUUGAAUGAUAUUAGGUUGUUUUGUUAAAGGGUUUUAUGUGUAUGCUUUGCGAUCUGUUAAUAAUGUGCUUAUAGGUAUGGGUUCAUAGAUUUUCUGUUUAAUGGGUUCAUGGAUUACAUUAUCUGUUAUGUUGAAUUGGGAAUGGAUUUAAUUUUGUCGUAUCUUUUAAUCACCCUAUGUUAUGUUGAAUUGGGAAUGGAUUUAUUGUUUUCAUGCUUGGUUUCAUGUAUAUGUUGGUUUCUUGCUUGGUUUCAUAUAUAUGUUGUGUUCUUAAUGGGUUUUGUGUUCUUGAAAAUAAACUGAGACACGACAAAUUUUAAGGCAUACGACGACGAUUACACGACGGUUUUUUUAAACUACCGUCGUUGUAUUACUUAUACAAGACGGUUUUUUCAUAAACCGUCGUUUGUAUUACUUAUAAUAGACGACGUCUGUUGAAAAUCCGUCGUCUAUAUAUGCCAAAUACGUCUGUUUUUGUUUAAAACCCGUCAUCUCUGUUGUGUAUUACUUGCGAUUAGAUCAUUGUAUAAUCUGCUAUAGUGAUGGUCAUUGCCUGUAUUUUCACUUUAUUAUAGAUAAUAGGUUAUAGUGUCGGAGAUGGAUAAGUCAUGGAUGCACUCGGAUAGAAGAUCGAAGGCAUAUGAAUUUGGGGUGGAAGCAUUUUUGAACUUUGCUUGAGAAGUACUUUCCCCCUUCAUUCUUUGAUAUCAUGGUUCAUCUAGUAGUACAUCUUGUCAGAGAAGUUCGUCUAUGUGGGCCAGUAUAUUUUAGGUGGAUGUAUCCGUUUGAAAGAUAUAUGAAAGUGCUGAAGGGGUAUGUUCAGAAUCGUACUCGUCCCGAAGGUUGCAUUGCUGAGCGGUAUAUAGCUUAAGAAGCGGUAGAGUUUUGUACUCAGCAUUUAUCUGAUGUUAGUACAGUUGGAGUGCCUUCAAGCCAAAAGAUGGGACUUUCAAAGCCAUUAUCAGGUUGCACAGUGAGCGUAGUUGAUCAGGACCUGUUGAAUCAAGCACAUCUAUAUGUCUUGGAGAAUACGGAGGAAGUCCUACCUUAUAUCGAGUACGUAUGAGCUUUAUUCUUUAAGUUUCCAUUUUAAAUUAUUUCUUAUGUUUAUCUUCUAUAUUUGGGACCGUAAUGCUUGAAUUUUUCGUGUCAUGUAGGCAACAUAUGAUCCACAUCAAGAUUGCUUAUCCAAAAUUUAGAAAGAGAACAAAGUGGCUGCAGGAUAAGCACAAUAGCACUUUCAUUCAAUGGCUACGCUUCAAGGUAUAUGUUGUUGAAUAACAUAUUUCUCUUUUAAUUUUCUUCUUAUUUAUAUGUUAGAUUGAAUUAAGAUAUGAUUAAUUUGCAGGUUCAAAGUGAACUUGAGGAAGACAAUCAUGGCGUAUCAGAAAAUUUAAGGUGGCUAGCAGCUGGUCCAAACAUGUCAGUGCCAUUAUAUAGGAGCUAUCUUAUUAAAGGUAUUAAAUUCAAUAUCAAGGCACAAGAUGAUGUGCGGACAACUCAAAAUAGUGGAGUUUAUUUACUUGCACAUACCAUGCAAGUUGCUAGUGCCAAGGAUAAAAACCCAAUUCUCUCAAACAUGGGUUUCUAUGGUGUCAUUCAAGAAAUUUGGGACCUUGACUACCAAAAGUUUACAAUCCCAGUCUUUAGGUGUGAUUGGAUAGAUAGUUCUGGUCUUGUAGUCGACGAACUUGGAUUUACCCUUGUAGAUUUGAGUAAAAUUGGACAUAGGAAUGACCAAUUUGUUUUGGCUUCUCAAGUCAAACAAAUAUUUUUUGUUGACGACCCGAUGCAUCGUGGUUGGUCGGUAGUGUUAUCAAUGCCUAAUAGAGAAUAUAAUGAUGUUAUUGGUGAUGAAGUCUUAGGUGAUGUGAUAAUUGAGUGUGAGCCAUUUACUAGAGGGAUGCCAAAUGUUGACACAUUUGAUGAACUGGUGGGUGAGUUAGGCGGUCAAAAUAUUCGAGAUGGGUGUGAAGAUAUAUGGAUUGAAUGAUGCUUAUGUAAUUGGCAGUGUAUGACAUUAAUUUUGUAAUAUAUUGUAAUGUGAUUUCUUCACUUUCUACGUUCAAAUAAAACACGACGUUAUUGUGAACCAGUUAUUCAGCAUAUUUACCGACGUCUUAAAGCAACGUAACAAUGAAGAACCACGACGCUAUUGUGAAGCAAUUAUUCAGGAUAUCACGUCGGGGAAGGAUUAAGAACCGCCAUGUAAUUCAAAAUAACACGACUCCAAUCCCAUAAUACCGACGUCUAAAAAACGAGAUAUAUAAUCUGAACGUUAAAAAAUACGACGUCAUCAUACAUUUUCCACAUCGCAAGUUCUUUUAUAAACGAAGAGGAACGAAAUGAAUUCCGACGGAAAUUCAUUAUAACCGCCGUCUAAUAACAAUUAAACGACGUUAUUUGUAAUACGGCUCUCAUCAUAAUCAACGCCGUCUAUAUGUUCUGUAAUACGGCUCUCAUUUAUUUGGAACCGACGUUGUUUAGAAGUUCAACGUCGUCUAUAUUAUUAAGUGCGUCGUGAGUAAUGAUGAUAGAUAUAAAUACAACGUCGACUAUAUAAAUGCCACUGACGUUGUUUCGCAUUUCAACGUCAACUGUAUAAAUACAUACGUCGUAAAUAAUGACACUGACAACUAUUUCCACGUCAUCUUUUUUAGAAAAAUCGAAGUGGAAAAUUUAUUUCACGACGGUUGUUUGUAAAUAAGAGACGUAGUAUAUUUCAAUAACGUCGUCUUCUCAUGUAUUUAAAGACGUCAUAUUUUUUCUUGUCGUGUAAAUUAUAUUUAACGGCGUAGUAUUUUAGUUGUCGUCGUUGUAUGUAUAUCUUGCGGCCUUGUUCUUUUAACAUGUGUCAUAUUUUUCCUUUUUAACGACGGUGAUUUGUUUGAGUUGGUCGUCUAUUCUCAUCCUCGACUAUUUUCUAGAACUUUAGCAGACUAAACACGUCUGUUUUUAUUGUUUUCCGACGUUGUUUUAUUUAACAACGUCUAAUAUUUAUCGUCGUUGUUUGUUUCUGAAAAUAUGACGUAUAAAUUUUGUAAUACGACUCUCAUAUAUUUGUAACCGACGUUGUUUCGUUUUUCAACGUCUACUCUAUAAAUACAUACGUCGUAAAUAAUGACACUGACAACUAUUUUCACGUCAUCUUUUAUCGAAAAAUCGAAGUGGAAAAUUAAUUUUACGACGGCUGUUUUUAUAUAUGCGACGUAGUAGGUAUCAAUAACGUCGUCUUCUAAUGUAUUUAAAGACGUCAAAUUUUUUAUUGUCGUGAAAAUGAUAUUUAACGGCGUCGUAUUUUUAUUUUCGUCGUUGUAUGUCUAUCUUGCGGCCUUGUUCUCUUAAUAUGUGUCAUAUUUUUCCUUUUUAACGACGGUUUUUUUAGAGAGUUGGUCGUCUAUUCUCAUCCUCGACUGCUUUUUUAGAUCUUUUUGCAGUACAAAGACGUCGUUUUGUAUUUGUUGAUGACGUUGUAUAUUUUAACAACGACGGUGAUUUUGCGUCGUGGUUUAUGAGGGAAAAGAUGACGGUGGAUUCCACGACCAUUGAAAAACCGAAUACACGACGGUGAUUUACCGUCGUCUUUUUGCUUUUUUGUAGUAGUGAGAUAAAAAUGUUCUGAACACUUCUCUAGAAGGCCACGAACCCAUCCGAGGUCAUCUUGGGCUCCAAAAACACAAUAAAAGCCCAACACGUCACUAUUCCAGCACCGCGCACUGCUCAUUUAUUUUAUUGCCAGAAAAUAACCGCUUGGAAGAAAAAUCUGAAAUUUUGAUACGAUCAAGCUAAGUGACUCAAGAACGUCCUCCAACUGGAAUUACUCCAAAAUUCCUCAAUUUGAUUAUGUUUUGCUCCAGAGAGAGUCGAAAGUCCUAUAUUGGAAAUAUAAUUCAAAGUAUCAAAAUUCUUCCAAAAUAUUAACCAAAAUAUACUAAGAAUGAGGUUAAAUAUAUAAUAUAAAAUAUGUCCAUCACCCCACAACAACUAAAGAACCAACAUUUUGUAGAAGGUUUUGUCUAUACCUUUGACUGUAAGUAAAUCUCUUGUAUCUGCUCCUGUGGUUCGGUGAAGUUUCUUUGUGUCCUUUCUGCGGAGUCUCCCAUGCUUGUUCCAUGAAAAUGUUCUAGGAGAAAAUACGGUUGUUUCUUACUAGAUUCAAAUGAUUAAGAAAAAUAAAAACGCAAGAAAAAAGGUAUUUUCUUGAUGGACUUGGUGAUGAAAAAUAUCACUCUCUUUAUAUGUCGUCUUCCUUGGACUUUGAGACCUUGGGUUUCGAUUCUUCUUGAGGAUUGCAUAGGGUUUCUAGGCCCAAGAAUACUUUGAGUUAGUUUUUGCGUUUUGGGCUUUGAGACUUUGAGACUAUAAUGAGUGGAAAGUUAUAAGGGGUAAGUUAUAAGGGGGUCACUUUAUAGCCAUCAGAUUAAUCCAAGGGCUGGGGAGAAUUGAGAUAAAGUUUCACAAUUGGGUAGGUGAGGAACCCAAACCCGAAUUGAAUAUCCAGCACGUCCAAAAAGAAGAAGAAGAGGGAAACACGUCCGAAAAAGAAGAAGAAGAGGCAAGUUCGAAGUUUGAACAGAAAGAACUCAUCUCUCUAAAACACAGAGGUCUGAGAUACCCAAUGAAGGCAACGGCUAACGACAGUUGAAGGCAACAAUUCGCCACUCCGUUCUCCAGACCCCGAAAAAGUAUUUAUUUGGAGUAGAAGGGGCAAAGGUGUGGAUUCCAAAUCAGUGAAGGGGCGAAGCAGUGGAAGGGGAAGGGGAGAAGCUGUAUUCGUUGGAAGUGUAGGUUCCAUUUGUGGAGCAAAGAAAUAGAAAGACCCCACACAGACACCUUGCAAUAACCAGCAUUUGGUGAGUAAUUUAUGGAAUUUGAGUUUAGGGUUAGAGUAAUGGUUUUCCCCAAUUUGUACCAUAAAUUUUGUUGGAUUUGGCAUCUCUUCGUUGUGCUUCAGUUGCAUGUUAAUUUUUGCUUAGGUAUAUGUUAAAAAAGGAAUGAAAAUUAAGUCAAUAACAAGUGAAUAACAUGUCAAUAAUGAUAUGAAUAAGAUAAUGGUGUUGAAUUGGAGGAGGCCCUCAAAACCUUCCACAUUUGAAGCAGUGCAUAGUGCAGAUUAAGAAGAGGCGCUAGAAUAUAUAUAUAUAUUUUAUGAAGUAAAUAUGAUUUCCUUUGUUACUAAAUUUGCCUGAGAAACAUUUGAACAGAUAAUAAUAAACUCAUGAAUAGAACUGCAAAGCAUUUGAUGAGCAAUGUAAGGAAUUUAAGUUUAGGGUUAGAGUAAUGGCAUCUCUUAUUUGUGCUUCAAUUGCAUGUUAAUUUUUGCUUGGGUAUAUGUUAAAAAAUGAAUGAAAAUAAAGUCAAUCACAUGUCAAUAACAUCUCAAUAACAUGUCAAUAACAUGUCAGUAAUGAUAUGAAUAAGAUAAUUGUGUUAAAUUGGAGGAGGCGCUCAAAACCUUCACAUUUGAAGCAGUGCAGAGUGAAGAGUACCUCUCUGGCACUAGAAUUUAUAUAUUUUGUGAAAUAAAUAUUAUUUCAUUUGUUACUAAAUUUGCCUAUGAGAAAUGAGAACAGAUAAUAAUAAACUCAUGAAUAAAAGUGCAAAGCAUUUGAAAUGAAGGUUGAUCUAUGACGAUUGUGGGUGACUGAAGAAAAAGGUAGAAAGAAAGAAGGAUGUGGCAAUUGCUUAGCAAGCAGAUAGCAGAGUACAUGCUUUGCUUUGCUUCCUUCCACUAUAUUUCUUAUUUAUUUAUUUUGGGUUGUGUAUGAGAUGACAAUAAUUGUCAUGUGUGUGAAGUGCAGAACUUGCCUACAUUGCACUCACACGAGUAUGGAUGCAUAAAUAAAACACGUGAAAUUGUUUGUAAUUCACAUAAUCAUUGCAUUAACAGGUAUUUGCACAAAAAUUGUCAUAUUGCUUUGAUGAUGUUAAAGGCUGUGAUGAGUAAUCCCUAUGCUCAUGUACUUUGUAAAAGUUGUAAUGUGCCUGGUUGACUAGUUGUGAUUGUGCAAAUACGUGGUAGUAUAUAUGUUCACGUUAUUUCACAUUGUAUUUGAGGAAAUGGGAUCCAACGUGGAGCUGGUAUGGCCAGAGGCAGAGGUAUAUUCGUCACGGGUGAACAACUGCUCACAUGCAAAUUCAUCUCUAGCUGCAAUUCGAGCGAAGUUGAGUGCGGAACAAUUAGAACAAUUCAAGACAUCAUGCUUUGGCCAUCUUCUGAAUAUAGAUAAGAUUCAGUUUAGCGGGCAGAUUGUGCAUGGGGUUGUGUUGCGUAGAGUAGCGGGGCAGGGUGUGAAAGACUUGGAUGGACUGAGUUUCUUAUUAGGGUGUGACGUUGCUCAGUUCACUCGUCAGGAUUUCUGUUUGAUCACAGGGCUUCGUUUUGGGGAAGUGCCUGAAGUUUCCAGUGGAGAGAGUGAUGAAAUCAGACUUCAGAAAAGAUAUUUUAUAGACGAAGGAAUUACAUGCAAUGCUUUAGAAGAAGCAUUUGUGAGGUGCACAGAGGAAGAUGACAUCUACAAGCAAGCUCUUGUUUACUUUGCUGAGUUAGUGGUUUUGGGAAGGGACAAACAUUUGAACAUCAAUCUAAAUUACCUGACCCUUGUAGAGGACUUGGAUGCGUUCAACAGGUAUCCGUGGGGUUCGGUGUCCUUUGACAAAACCCAAGACAGUCUAUUUUCUGCACCAACAAAGUAUGUGAAAAGCUUGGAAAAUGAAGAGGGAAGAGGGAAGGGGAAAAGUAAGGUAACGGGAACAAGCCGGAGAAAUGAGAAGGGCAAGAAGGAUAAGCAUGGUGAAGCGCAAAUGAGUGGCUGGAGUUUUAAAGGUUUCACGUAUGCUUUCCAGGUACAUGGUAAUAAUGUUCAUGUCAGUUAUGUUUUGUUUUUCUUUAAAACAUAAAUAAUGACUUUUGUCCUGUGAAUUGUGUAGAUUUGGGUAUAUGAAUUAAUUCCUAGAAUGGCGGACCUGAAUUACUGCAAGGUUGUUGAUCCGACCGUUGUCCCGCGUAUUUUGCGAUGGAGAACUACUACGUCUGUUCCAGAGAUGAGAAAGUUGAACAAUUAUUUUUUCCAGAGCAAAGAGGUUUGGUUUGCAGCCCUUGGAACUAUUGAUAAGAUUGAAUGAAAUUAUGAAGUAGAAUGAUUUGAUAUGACUCUUGUCUGUAUUCUGAAACAGUCAGUUCAGUUGCGGGCGCUAUGUCCGAGUGAAGAGGAAAUGAGACAGCCAUAUUGGAGUUGGCCACAGGAUCGCCCUGCUGUUGUCUCAGCAGAGUCAAUUCCUUCUUCAUGUGGUGAUCUUGAUGAGUUGAACAAGGUGGUAAGUUGGUUGAGGUCCGAGUUGUUUCAAGUAAAGCGGGAAAAAGACGUCCUUCACUUAAAGGUCAUACGGAUGGAAAAACUGUUGGACCAAUGUUUAGGUCCUCAGUUUGAGCAGGAAGUAAGGAGGGACCUAGCUUUACUGAAACAGAGGACGAAUCGUUGUGUCAUCUCACAUCUAUUUAAGGGAUAUGGGGAAAUGGAUGACAUUCAAUGGGAUGAAGGGCCAAGUAACAGAAAUGAGGGAGAGGAAAAGGAAGAUGAAGGGAUUGAAGGGGGUGAAGGGCCAAAUAAUAGAAAUGAGGGAGCACAUAAGGAAAAGGAGGGGAUUGACGGAGAGGAAAAGGAAGAGGAGGGGAUUGAAGGGGGUGAAGUGCAAGGAAAACCAAGUGAGGUAGAGGAAGGGCAAAGGAAAAGAAGUGAAGGAGAGCAAGUGCAAGUAAAAAGUAGCAAAGGAGAGGAAGCCCAGAGACAGAGCAGUGAGGGAGAGGAAGUGAAAAGAAAAAGCAGUAAGGGAGAGAAACUGCAAAGGAAAAAAAGGGAGGGCAAGGAAGUGAAAACACAAACAAGUGAGGAAAAGGAAGUGCAAAGAAACCAAUGUGAGAAAGAAGAUAAUGAAGUUAUGUUGCUUGGGGGUGACAUUGGCGAGAGCACGGAGGGGACACUGCUUGAGUUUACUGUCGGGGACAUUGAUUUGGAUGAACCUACAGCUGUGCUAUCUCAGUUGAACGUGUGGUUGAAUGAUAAAGGUAAAGCUCUGGCACAAGGGGUCCAAUUACGGAAAAGGAAGAGGAUCAUUCCUUUGUGGAAGAUCAUUGAAGGCAGUGAAUUGGUUCCAAAAAUUGGGGCACAGACAACCGGACUGAAGAUGUUAGACCCAAUGAAGGCGAUUUCGCAUGAUGAUCUGGUGAAAUUGCUGAAACUUUGUUGGGAAUGGCGCCAGGACCCAAAGUAAGUCCCUUGCAAUUAUAAGAUACAAGCAUGACUGUAUAUAAUUUUUUAUAUACAGUGUUCUAAAACUGUUUUAUAUUCAUAGUUUGGUGAUGCAAUUUGGCAACGUGGAAGCUGAGAUUGAAUUCUUCGCUUCCCUCGUGAAAGCUGAUGGUUGGCUGAAAGGAGAUGUAAGUGUAAUUGAUUAUGCAUUUGUUUUAAUGUACAUACAUUAUGAGAUUGACAAGAAAAACAUGUUGCAGCACAUUGAUUUGGGGUUGUAUCUCAUCCGGAAGCGACAACAACAGUUGGAGACAGAUUCGGUAGAAGUAGCGGACUGGACAACGACCGAUGUUUUUUUUAUGGUAUGUCAUCGGCCUUGACCAAGUGCCGUUAAUAAUUACACAUUUUCCAUACACACACUAGUGGAGGUGUUUAACCAUUGAUUGUUUUGUAUUUCACAGAAUCACAUUCGUACUUGCUUUGCGGAUAAUAAAAGAAAAAAACAGCAGCUUGGGUGGAAAAUCAGGAAAAGUUUACUAACCGUUGUAAAUGGGAAGGUUCCUCCGUGUGGGUUGGAUUGGCAGACCGUCUAUAAGGUGUAUACCCCAUUUAUGUUGACGAAGUACAAGCAUUGGGUGGCUGUAAUGAUUGAUCUGGUAUUGUGUGAAAUCAAAGUGUACGAUUCAAAGGUUUCACUAAUUCCAGAUGACAUCGUAAAGGAAGAACUCGGCCCGCUAUCAAUUACGCUUCCAAAUCUUCUCAACACCAUCGACUUUUAUGAAAAAGGUGUUUAUGCAAACAAUUGCAGCCAAGAUUAGUGGUGUCCGUGGCCAAUAGAGCGUGUGGAUGUUCCACAACAGUCUAAUGAGUAAGCACAACUUGCAAUUUAAUUUUAUUACUUUCAAUUGUCAAUUACGUUAGAAUGUCAUUAGUUGAAUUGAUCGAGUUCUUGUUUUGCUUCAGAGGCGAUUGUGGCAUGUUUGUGUUAAAGUACAUUGAGCUUUUCAGCGCUGAGCUUCCGUUAGCUACUUGCACCUCGCACAACAUGCCUUUUUUUCGGUUGAAAUUGGCUGCGGAGAUAACAAGGGGAGAUGCUUACUUCCCAUGAUAUUGGUUGAAGAUGACAAAUGGUACAUGAGAAGGUUUUGGGAAUGUCCAUUCUCAAACUAAUGUAAAUACACAAUAGAGAAGUACGGGUCCUUAUCGAAUUCUACCGCUAACUCCUUCAUGACAUUUACAUGUUUGUUAACCAAACUGCAUUGAAUUGGAAUUUUAAGACUGCAUAUGUGAAUUGGGAUUUGAAGAUGGCUUUUUAAGUGUAUUACAUCAUUGCAAAGUGAUAUGUCAUUGUUGAUGCAAGCCACCAUUAAUCGCAAUGUGUUGCAUCAUAAUAGGUGUCUAAACAUGCGAAAGGUUUUCCGCAGCUCAGUAGCAUAAAAGUAGAAACAAAGACAAUAUACACAAAAUGAACAACAAUUCACAAAUGCACCGACAAGCAAUACACACACAACAGACAAACAAUAUACACAAACUUGGCCUGCCAUAUACAGAGAAUAGACAUGCAAUAUACACACAGUAGACAUGCAAUAUACACACAAUAGACAUGCAAUAUACACACAAUACUCCCUUAACACACACAAUAGACAUGCCCUUGCCCACAAUAAUGAUGCAAUAUACUUCAGUCCCCAAGUACACCAACCAUAGGGAAGUCGUAUUGAAUAGGAUAUUAAACUUAACAGUUGUUCUUCCUACUAAAAGAAAGAAUAAGGUUCGUUUCCCCCCUUCAUUCUUACUUGAGUGAUACUUGUGGCCCCAAUAAACAUCCAAUUUUGGGGCAAUGAUAUUCCAUAUACAUGCAGCAAACUAUCAAUAAACCUUCAAUAAACCUUCAAUAAACAUUCAAUAUCGUUUCUAUAACAUGCGAAAUACAUGCAGUUACCAAAUAUUACAAAAUGGGUUUAGGGUCUCAUUGGUGGUGCGUGCAACAUGUCUUGUGCGGGAGAACUUUCACAAUCUUUUAAACCGUGCAGUUAAAUGAUCAUUAAAAGAACAAAUAAAAUGACAAUUGAUACAACUAAUAAAACUAAUACCAAGUCCUUAAUGGACUUCAGCAUGUUCAGCACUCUAGCAUCAUACGUGUCAUCUUGAUGUUCUGCUUCAGCGGAGGUUACAUCAACCCAUUCGAAUCCAUUGCAACUGGUGGCUCCCUAAUUGCAGGCAUCAUAUAUGGAAUAUAAUUCUGUCAGAGUUAGACAUAGGUUUUUUUUCACCCACAUACAUAUUCUUUAAAUUAAAACUUACAUAGGAGGUUAGACACUUCCAGAAUGGCUUCCCUCGAUUUUUGUCAGAUUUUGAAACCCGAAGCACCAUUGUAGCUCCACAAUACUGACACCUCUUUGUUUGAGCGGGAGAUGAAGAUGAAGACAUGUUUAAUCUUCUCAGUUGUACCUCUUCUCACUCAGAUCUUCUCACUGAAACCUCUUCGGACUCAUACCUUCUCACUCAUAGUUGUCAUUCAUACCACUUCACUCAUAACCCUAAACUUGUCACUCAGCUCUCUCUCAUCUCUGCCCAAAUCGAGUUAUAUUUCUUUUUUUUGGGAUCAUUUGGUGGGUUGGUCACGAUGUCGACACCUGUACCGUCAGCAUUGUGACAUCUUUUAGCCCGAAAAGCAAUAUAAACUACUUCACUACCAAAUAUAUUUUCUGAAUAAUGACGGGACACUGCUUCAAUUUUAUUAAUUUAUUUAUAUUUCAUUAAGGCAACUAGUUGGAUAAGAAUCCGUCAUUAUUGGUUCCAUUUUAAUAACAUUACUAGGGGUAAUUGGGUGUGGGAAAAUGAAAAAGUAUAUGAUGGGACCUUCUGUCACUAGUCAGUAAUCCAUCACAUUUGUAUCAAUGAAUUUGAUAGUGGGAUAAACCCAAAAAUGGCUAUGCAAAUAGCCAUUUAAUUAACUUUUUGACUGUCUGACUCUGUAUGCACCGUUAUGACGUUUUCCCUUCUUUUGUCUUAAGUUUUAAUUCACUGGGGUUCAGUUUCUUUCAAAAGGGUCAACUUGGAAAAACCCCAACUGGAAACACCUUUUCAAAACACUAUAAACAGAGGCUAAAACAAAACGUGUACCCCAAAUAUUAUCAUUUAUCCCCUCUGCCACUCCUCAAAUCGUUCCAUUCCAAAAACUUUUCAAUGAAUUCGAAACACUUCACUACAGUCGGAGGAAAGAGAAGGAAGCAUGUCCAUUUCGAUAUGCCCGAAGCCUUCAUCCCGGAGUCCGCUUGGUUUCAAGUCAUGUUAUACGUGGCAACCGAAUCAUCGGAAGAUCUCUUCCGUAUGGCAUCUGUGUGACGAUUGUUCCGAACUUUGGCAAACAGUUCACAAGUGUGGAACACCAUUUCAAUGGCAAAGUACCCAGACCAUCCUAUAUGGUACCGUGCCAGACCUGCGGUCCAGCAUUUCUUGCAACAAUGCAGGGCUUGCGAUAACCCUGAGUCCAUAUUUAGAGAAGCAUUCGAAGGUUUUUUCAGGCACGGUAAGGUGGAAGCGUUGUAUGGGAUGCGCAUUGCAGCCACGGCAGGCCAUAUGGAAGCGGCAUAUGUAGUUGGACUACUUGGUAUGUCCGGAAUUGGUCAGUCAAAAGAGGAUGCAUUACAAUUCUUGUGUUCUUUGAAUCAACGUAACAACAUUGAUAUGAAAGGAACCAGGGAUGCUUUGACAGGAAGAUUUCACGGAGCAUUUGUUGCAAGACAUAUCGUAGAUAUGUUUGACUAUGGGAAGAUUAAGUUCAAUCGGUGCAGCGCUUGUAACAACAAUGAAUGGUAUUUUGUUAUUCCAGGCUGGCCUAGUGAAGACAAGAUAAAUCCUGCGUUGUGGACUUGUUGCAAUCGAUGCAAAUGGCACCGUGAGAGUAUUUUUUGGUGCAAACUGAUGCGUGAGUAUGUUGUGCGAGGGAAUCACGUAUUUUUGCAUUAGUUUUAGUACGAAUUUACGGUUUUGAUGCAUUGUGGACUUGCUUCUCUUCACUUCUAGGUUGGCUGGCUACGUUAUACCUAUCUCAGUUUAAAUGUUGUUCAAAUGUUGGUAUUUUGUCAUAAACCGUUUUAUAUAUAAAUGUAUAAUAUUUAUUAUAUAGCGGAAUUAUUACUUACAUCAUAGACGGCUAGGAAUGACAUUUUACUGACACAGAUAUUUUGCUCACCGACCCCAAUCUUCAUAUUUGAUAAACGAAAAGUUAUGCAUGGAGUAAAUAGGUGUCUUUUCACCAGUGCUUGGGAAUGACAUUUUCCCACUUAGCAUAUCCGAAAGGAUUUGGUUACACGUUUCUUAACCUAGGGGGUUGAACAGUGAAUGACGUAGACUAUUUUUUGUGUGUGGAAGGAGUACAAUGGAUGACUUGUAUAUUUCCAUAUUAUGUUUCAAAACAUCCCUUCAACCUAAAAAAUAAAAAAAUUAACAAAUUGAAGAACAGAGAAACCGAUGAGCACUACAAAUGGCCUAUUCGCACGGAAAAUAAAAUUGUUUUCAACAAGUUGGACUAAAUAUAAUUAACAAAUGGACAGCCUAAAAAGUAAUAUCAUAAUAAUUAUAAUAAUUGUGGAUAAAUAAUAAUAAAAUACUAAUGUAACAUAACCAUUAAACAGGGAAUGCAGUAGGAAGAUGAAAUCGCAAUAAGUUCGUAGAAAUUUUGGGAUCGUUUUUCUAAUUUUUGUGUAUUUAGUUAUGAAUUUUCCAAGAAAAAAGGUAAUAAAAUAAUAAUUUAGGGUAAAAUGGGAGGAUGUGGCCAUGUUCGGUAACGUACACUUGUGCAAGUAGUCAAAAGUGACGGGCUGAGAUCGCGCCAGGUGUCAUAUUCUUGUUAAUUUUGGAUUCUUUUGUUAAAAAAUCUUUGAAACUAGGUAAUAAAUAGUAGGAAAAUCGUAAAAAUGGCCCAAAAAUUACUCCGGCCUCCUUUUGACGUCCUAAAACUAGGAGAACCUAUAAAUCAUUCGUCUCGCAAUGAAAUAAUCCAAAUUGUGUUACAUAACUCACUUUCCUCUUAACCCUAAGUAUUGAUGUUUGUUAACUUCAACUUGAAUAACCUACUUCAACAAGCAUCUCCCGUUAAUAUUGGGAAUUAAUUUUACAAAUGCGUAACAAUGAAUCGGAGAAUUCAGCAACGGAGAUGGAGUGUCAAUGAGUUCGUAGCAAUUUUCGGAUAAUUUUUUUAUUUUGUGUGUAAUUAGUUCUGAUUUUUGUAAGGAAAAGUAAUAAAAUAAUAAUUUAGGGUAAAAUGGGAGGGUGUGGCCAUGUUGACUGACGUACACUUGUGCAAGUAGUCAUCAGUGACGGGCUGAGAUCGCGCCAGGUGUCCUUUUGCUAUUAUUUUGGCUUUUUUAGUGCAACAAUCUGUGGACAUAGGUAAUAAAUUCUACGAAAAUCCAAAAAAUGCCCGGAAAAUGAGAAAAUGAAAAUUAUUUGUACAUAACUCACUUUCCUCUUAACCCAAAUUCACGUUAACACGUAUAUUUCGGAUAAUAUUCGAAAUAUAAUUUCUAAUAAUACAAUAUUUAGUUUCACUAUAUACAAUAAUAUGUUUUUUUUAUAAUAAUGUACAUAAAUAAUAAUUGCACAUGCUUUGAAGCCAUCAUUGCAACUACGCCUAGAGCUUUGAAGACGUCAGUUCGUAUUCAAUAAGUUGUCCACAUGCAACUGCACCUAGAGUUUUCAACACGUCAGAGGUAUUCAAUAAGUUGUCCACAUGCAACUGCACCUAGAGUUAUUAACACGUCACAGGUAUUCAAUAAGUUGUCCAUAUGACGCCGCAUUGGGAAUCAGUAAUAUAUUUUCAAUCAUGUCAAAUCACAUAAAUAAUGCCAUACUUUUUCUCAAUAACCUCACACAAGUGAAGCAAUUUUAAAACCCUUAGUGAAUAUUUAUCCUAGUCUAUAUGAGUGAUUAUAUAAUCAGUUGCAUAAUAUUUUUUUCACAGUAUAUGUUAACUUUGAGAGGGAUUCCACAAACAUAAAAUAUAAAGAAAGCAAGAAAUAGUAGGAAAUGAACCAGUACAAAAAACAAUAUAUAAAGUGUACAUAAUAAUUCCAUAACCUUGUCACAAACGCACUCACAAAAGCUUUUCCAUAAACCUUGUCCUAACAUAUAAUAAAUAAAGGCAACAUUGCAUAUGAUGCAACCAUGUCCAAAUCUGAUAAGUGAUCAAAAACAAAUGGACAUGGCAGCAACAUAUGAUUGAAGUAGAUGGGCUCUUUGCAUCUUCUGUUUUCGUAAUUAAAGACAUCAAAAUAUUAAGGUUUAAAUCUUCCAUAGUAGUUAGCAUCAAAAUAGCUUUGAAGCAGAGUGUAACGAAAAUUCCAAUUCCACUUAUUUGCCUCUGCUCAAACACGAGAACCAAAAUGGUUACUUCCCUUGCUGAGUAUAUUUGGUGACGUCGGAAACGGUAAUAGAUGACCAAUCAAACCCGGGUACGACGAGUUUUGCAUAGGAUCGGAAGUAGUCGAAUCCAGCUUGCAUCACACGCUUCUUUGACUCCACUACAUUAGAUGAGUUCUUGUAUUUUUGAACAGCUACACUCUGAAGUCGUUUGUGUCUACGCUUCAUGCGCUGCAACUUCGCCCUAUCCAGAUUGGCCUGCCUUUUGUCAUCUUCAAUUUGGCCUUCCACAAAUUCCAAACGUGCCCUUGCCCUUUGGAUUUCAUCACCAAGUUGAAGAUGCCUCUCCUUCCAAAAAGCAACAACUCUUUCAGACUCAAAACUUCCAACAAAAUGGUCAUUCUGUCUAGCAAUGUGACAUUGCUUGUCUGGUGACUCACUUGCGUGUCGAAGCCGGUCUUUGUUUGGAGGGGUGUUUAUUAUACUCACAUCAAACUUGGUUGUGCUUAUGCUCAUUCUUUGGGGGGAAUGAGUUUGUUUGCUUGAGAGAGUAUCGGUAGAUGGAGACAGAUUCGGUGGAGGAGUGAGUUUUGUGUGGAAGGAGAUUUUAUAUGAAAGGGGUGAUAGUAAUACCAAGAAAAGGGUUCCCGCCAAAAAAUAUUUGGUUGACAAAGUAGAAAUUAUUUUUUUAGUCUGAUACAAUCUAAGUUUAAUCCUAACUAGUUUGGUUGAGUUAACUAAGUAGAUGUCACUUCCAUUGACUUUCUUUCAACAACUAUCAGUGGUGUAAGGAGAGUGUGAGGUUGACAUGCUUGAAAAGCAAAAGCUGACACCUAUUUUUAAAAAAUUCCCGCCAAAAAGUACAUAUGUUGACUACACACAAGCUUUGGUAUGUUGGUCUAUAAACCUAUGUUCCCUUUCUCAAACGAAAUUGCAUAUGCAAUCCUCAUCCUCCCAAAACAAAGAGGAUUAUUCAAGCAUGUCAACCUCUUCAGGCGCCAACAACACAAUCGAACAUGACAAAUUGGAGUCACAGGUUCUAUUUCCACAUUGUACUCGCCGACCCCUUCCUUUUUCAACAUCAUUUGGGAGUGAGGGGGACUCCGAUGAUCCAUUAGAGGCAAUACAUGCAGUCAGUGGCAAGCUGGAUUAUAAUUCCAGACUGAUCAAUUCAUGGCACGAGAAAUGUGUUGAAGACGAGGCAAUUUUGGCUGAUCUUAACAUUAGGGUGAGCAAAGCGUUAUCCCAAAAGAACAAGUACUUGAAGCUGAGUCAUAGCAGGAAGCUGAAAGCUGAGGAGUUGGAUACAGUAAUGAAUGAUGAAAUGAAAGGUUGUUUGAUGAACCAUAUGCGAUGCGAACAGCACCAUACUGAACUGGAGUUGGCAUUCAACGAAGGAUUCGACAAAUUCCGAGCAUUUGCGGCAACUACUCAUACAAGUUAUGAUUGGAACUAUGUGUCCCCUGAUGCUGUGAGAGAGAUACUAGACGAUGGGGGUGACAUGAAUGAGCAUAAGCACGUCAAAGCUGCUCGGAAGAAGCCGACCGAUACGACUAAGUGAUUGCGGCUACCGCUGUUCAGUUAGUUGAGGGUGACCGUGGUAUUGCACAUAUACUCCCUUAAUGUCAUUAUCUAACUUAAAAUAACACAAAUAUCAGUUUCAUUUGCUUGAUAUAUAAUUAUUGGGACUAUGUAUUGCAAGUCAUCAUGUGUUAUAAUGUCUAACAUUAUAUUUUGCAAAUAUGGAAAUAUUAUUCAAGAAGCAGUCAAUAUCACAGAAAGCCGGGAAUCAGUAAAUGCUCCUUAUCAUGUCCAUUUACAUUAAAGAGCUGGAGUACUAAUGUGUUCAAAAAAAACUGACACGUGAGUCAUAAGUAACAUAACAUGUGCUAUACAUUGUUUACUGAAUGGUUUAUGGUUUAUUUGUAUAUAAUAAAAUUUCAAAUAUUGCUGAAGAUUUAUUUCGUGUAUAUCACUAGGGAUAUGAGUGGCCAUAAGCAUGUGAGACCUGCUAAGAAGAAGCUGACGAGUACGACCCAGUGAUUGGCUACCGUUGUUCAGUUGGUUGGGGAGAUCGUGGUAUUGCUAUGAGGAAGCACACAAUAUGUUUUGCAAUCAAAUGUUCUUUUGUGUGUGGAAUUAUGAGUAUUUAUGUAAGUUAGUGUACCCUUUAAUAUUUUUCACCUAAGUAUCGAAAUGCAGUUUUUGAAUGUUAUGUUUUUUUUUACCCGCUGCUUUCUAUUUGCUCUGUUCCAACAAAGUGCUUCAAGUAUCCUUCACUUACAAAAGUGUACAAAAUCGUGCCCCUAAUAACCAGUCGGAAAAAGUGGCUACUGCUGGAAAUGAUUACUGGUAAUGGAAACAACAGCUGGCUGCUGUAAUUGCUGCAUUACCGUGAGGAUUUGAAAAAUGAAUCUCUGUUAAAACAAAUUUCACCCUAAACUGCCCAUUUUACAUGGUAAAAGUCAUUGCUUCUUCAAAUCUUUUGCAGCUACACGAUGCGUGGUCAGAAUCUUUGACAUAUACGACUUCUGCCACUCUUGUUUCCCAAUUUUUUCUUUCGCUCACGUUGAACACAACUUUACAAGCAUCCUCUGUUUUGAGCUCUAGGAAACAUGCUGUACUUUGUAUUAGUUCUUGCUCAAACUUUUGAAACAUUGUCCUUGUGUACAAGGUAGCCAUUUGUUUGUUCAUUGGCAUCGGUAGAAGACAUUGAGCCACUUCAAAUGCAUCUGCGUGAUCAGCAACUAACUCUUUUUCACGUUGAUGAGAAAGUGCCCUCUCAAAUCGUAUUAUGAAAUCCAUCAACGAAUUUCUCCUUGAUAUGUAUUGCUUGAAAAAACCAUGAGAACCUUCCGCUCUUUGGCUGCUUGACAUUCCAGCGGCAAAAAAUUGUCGUGCGUAGGCUGGAACCCAAGAUUCCCUUAAAUCAAACAUUGAACUUAGCCAUGGAUGGUCAGUCAAACCAGCCUUUGUAACCACAAUAUUCCAUUUUGCAUCAAACUCAUCCUUAUUGUCAGUAUCCCAUAUGGCUUUCUGAAAUUCAGGCCAAUACUCCUUAUAAGCGUCACGUGGUAACUUAACAGAGAACUUUGAUGUGAUGUGCUAUAUGCAAAGUCGAUGAAAUGUACUCGGGAAGGCUAUUGAAAUCGCUAUGGCCAUUGCCGCAUCUUGAUCUGUAAUGAUCGUUUUAGGUUCCCCACCUGGCAUGGCUUUCUUAAACUCCUCAAACAUCCAAACAAACGACUCAGUCGUUUCCUUGCUCAAAAAUGUGCAUGCUAACACAAUUGUCUGACCAUGGUUAUUAACUCCCAACAUUGGUGCAAAUGUCAAGUCGUAUCGAUUCGUGUUGAAUGUGGUAUCAAAUACAACAACAUCUCCAUAAAACCCAUACGCCCGUCUAGAAGUUGCAUCUGCCCAAAAACAUCGACUAAACCUAUCAUGCCCAUCUCCCUCAAUCUUGAAAUAAAAAGCCUCAUUUUUUUUCUGUUCAGCCAUAAAAUACUCGGUCACUAGUUCAACAUCGUGGUUCCUCAGCUUCCCAAUCACACUACAUUCAAGAUUGUAGAUAUCUUUUUUGAUAAAACCGAUUUUAUCCAUUCCUCCGGAUUGCACCUCGAAAAUACUUACCUUCUGAUGAAUGGGAAUAUUAACUGAACCCAACUGUUUUGUGAGUACUUUUGUAGAAUCUGAAAUAUGACGGUGUGAUCUCAAUAAAUGCAUUCUUUCUAAGGGUGUCAUCUUAUGAUUGUGUCCCUCUGCAAAAAGAGAAAUGUUAUACUUGUUGCUCCCAUUUGUCUUCACAACCACAAUCUUUGCUUUGCAAUUGCAUCUACUUAUUCCCCGUUGUCUUUUUCUCUCCCGAGUUUCAUCCUUCCUGUAUGCACCUUGUUUGCAACAUACAAAUUCUUUCCUCAAAAUCUCUUUCUUAUUUUUCCCCCAAAAGCUAGAAUGAAGUCGAAUACCAAAGCCAGCCAAGAAUGCAUAUCUAUUAUAGAAAUUGUAAACGAGGUCAAGCGAGUCAAACUUCAUCCCAACUGCUGGUGUUUCCUCAUUUCUUACUUCAGGAAUAUAAACCCUCCCAUUAGCUGUUGCACAUUCAUCACUCUCUGAGCCCCCAGACAUUUUAUCUACGUAUAUUAUUGAUCCACUUCUAUAUUACUGCAUAGCAAUUAUUCAUUCAUUAAUCAGUCAUUACUGCAUCACAACAUAUCAAUGCAUUCCACUUACACAAAACAUUGCCCAAAUUGACACAAAAUACGCAUAGCCUAACUUCCGAUUACACAAAACACAAGCAAAAUUUCAUAAAAGUUACGUCAUCUCUUGUGAAAUAAUCUGGUCAAAAUAACAUUAGAACCAACAUGUUCAACUAAGAACACAAAUGUAAUUCAAACCACCAAUUACAGAACUUCACCCAAUAUCCUCUCCAACUGCUUACUCCUAAUGUCAUUAAGCCUAAGUUUAGGUUCUUUUACCUACAUUUCAUAAUUUUUCACCCCGACCAACAACAAUGAACUAAGUAUAUUGAAUAUUCACAAGGAAAUGACACAUUAUUGAUGCCACAAAUGACGAAUUUCCCACCCUCACAAAAAAUAAACCUAACCCAAUAAAAUCAAUCCAGCAAGUGAACUUACCUCUCAAAAUCAAUCGAGAGCUCUGAAGUCAGUCAGCUUGAAAGAAUGUGGUGGACAUUAGAGAAGACUCUUUGGUAUUUGAGACUCCAUCUCUAUCAAAAUCGAGGAACAACUGCUGCUGCGGCUUCUAGCUACAAAAACAGAUAUGCUACUUUGCUUUCAUCUAGAAUCUUGUCAGCUGAAUGAAAAAGAGAAGGGGUUUUCACUUGAGCCAUAGAAUCAAAACAGGGCAACAGCUAGGUAAGAGCCAUUCUUCGUAAUACCCAGGAUACCAUAGAUCGCAGGCCUCCCAACGAGCUAAUGACAGUGGAGUGACUAUAAGGUUUGGGAGAUUUGGAUCCUUCUAAUUGUGGGUUUGCUUUACAUUCAAAAAGAAAGGAUUGUGUUCUUCAGUUUUUCACAGAGAGGGAAAGAGGGGAACAACUGAAGUUGGGUUUCUAACGGGUUAGAUUUCAACCCGAUUCUACAUGCACCCUCUUUUAAAAACUCACCGUUGGAUGAAAUCCAACGGCUCUUACAUACCCCUCAAAAACACCCCUUAUAACUUCCCACUCACUAUAGAAGCUCCCCCAACUAAAUCCCAAAAGGGAAACAGAUUUGAACAACAUACAAAUUUGAAGGACACACAAAUAUGAAUCUCAGCACCGGUGAGAAAUUAAUUUUAGUUGAGGUUGGUAGGUAGGCAUUGGAAGUUUUUAUUGUUUUUGCUCCAAGUCCCUCCUCCACUCACUAAUACAGAUUACUCGCAAAUGAACUAAAGUCUGCAGGGAUAUAUGGACUCCCCUGUCCAUACGAAUGUUGGAAGAAAUGUGUGUUAAAUUUUAGAGAGACGGGUCUGUGACCCACCACUAGCAACGUUGAUAUUGUCUCCAACUUAACUACAUGUUUAGUAGAUGUGGGGUUUUAUACAAAAAGUAUUGAUGUUAUUGGGAAUGGAACCACUUAUUAUAAGUUAAAAUUUAUUUAGUCAAGUUUCCUAUGUGGGACUUUCUAUUCUUCAACAAGCCCCUUCAUGUGGGACCACCACAUAGUGGGCCACACGUAGAGCCAAGUCCACAUCGGAGUCAAUCAUUCAAGCCCAAUACCUAAACACCACGUAUUGUGUGAGGGGUAGGGGUAAACAUUCAAGCCCAACAUAUGAACACUGUAACAUCCCAACUCCAAAUUUAAUCCCUUAUUUAAAUUAUUUAAGUGAAAUUACAAAUUUACCCUUGGGGUAGGGAUAUUUUGGUCAUUUUCUUACCCGAAAAGAGUUUGGGGCAGUGACUAGUAUUUUUUGGUAGAUCGUACUGAGAUGAGUCUGUAGACAUGUAGUGGGCUCGAUUCGGAGUUGAAACGAAGAAGUUACGAGCAAAACAUCACCAAUGGCAAAACCGUAAAUAUUUCAAAAUGAAUUUUUAAUAAAAAAAACCUGAAAAACCCUCUCUCUCUCUCUCUCUCUCUCUCUCUCUCUCUCUCUCUCCUGCGCACAGCCCCUUUCCCCCCUUCGUUUUUUCUUUCCGUGGCUUCCAAGAGCCACCAUCGCCACCACGAAUCACCACCGGCCAUGAGGCCGGACUCGUUCGAACUGCCGCCGCAUCCUCUUCCUGUUCCGGUCGCUCCCAGUCGCUGCCAUCCGCUGUGCUGGCCGGAAAUCGAAGAAAACCAGCCGAUUUUUGUCAAACUUUCGGCCGCUCGUUCUCCCACUUCCGGCCACCAUUUUGGCCAUCCAGGUAUAGAUUUUGAACCUCUCGAGCUGUUCUUGCUGCCUGUUGUGUUAGAUUUGGGAGAUUUCCGCGUUUUGAAGGUCGAUUAAACGAUGGAAGUUUGGCUGGUUUUUGGCCUCCGAUUCCGGCCACUUUCGGUCACUUUUUGGGGUAGGUCCAAGAACAAAAGUGGUUCCAAAUAGGGUGUUAUACCUAGGGUAGGAGUCUUGAGCCGUGGUUUUGAGAUUUCUCGGUGAUGCGUAAUCGCUUUGGACACCCAUACGCUACCGGCGCGUGUGGUGGCGCGUGGGCACUGUAGAAAUGGGGUAUUGUGUCCCGAUGCGAUCCCCUUGUUGUCACGAGUGUGUAGUGUGCUCGGAUUCCAAUUUGGUUGACAUUCGAACCCCGAACGAAUUUCUCCUAUUGCACGUUAUCCGCGUUUGAUAGGUUUGAACCGUUGGAUAGUCUUGAAUUUAAUAUAUUUAAUCUAAGCAUUUCUAGGAUCGUGUAGGAAUUCACGGAUCAUGAAUCGGAACCCCGGAUGUUCCGAUUUAAUAAUUUAAAGUUUAUGUUUAUAUUAACUGUCAGAUCGUGCAAUCGUGAGCGAUCCGACCUUCCGAUCCGGACCAAACGUGCAGGACGUAUAUCCUAAACCUUGUGGAACCUAUAGGAACUUUCGAAUCAGAAUUUAGAGGUCGUGGGCCUAGUGGCCCCGUUUGACCAAGUGUGGAUAGUUUGACCCUUGGUUGACCUUGAGUCUUCCAAGGUAGUUUUCCUUCCUAGAAGGAUUAUAAUGACCCUAAUGACAGGUCUUGAGCGUUGUUGAGCCAUGUUGACUAGGUUAAGAUUUUUAGAGUGUUUAUUAUUGUCGUAGGAAACUCUUGGACAUUAUUUUAAUAAUUGGAAUUAUAAAAGUGAGUUUUGGGUUCGGCUAUGACUUUAGUGAAUGGACUUUAUUUUUAAAUGAAUAGCAUGGCUUUGUGAUGGAAUUUUUAGGCAUGUGAAUUUAAUGGUUUAUUGAAAUUCAUUUUUAUAAUUAAUAGUUAAUUUAGCAGUUUUGGUAAAGUAUUAGUGAUGUGUGGGGUACUUGGGAUUUUGUUGAGGUUUAUACAAUAUUAGAGAUUAACUUAUAUAUUUAAAUAUAGGUAUGAAUGUAUGAAAAGAGUUUAGAAUGUCAGUUUGAAGUACUAUACGCACUACCCUAGGUACCUCAUCGGAUUUUGAUUACACUAUAAGUACCACCCUGUGAUUGUCAGGUCACCCAUGGCGUAGGAUUUUCCGGCGGAAUGACAGACCCCAUACGUGACGUUGGAAUUUCCGGCGUAUGGGGAGAUGAUAUUAUGAUUGUUAAGUCACACGUGGCAUAGGUUAUCCGGAGUGCUGACAGACCCCAUAUGUGGCGUUGGAAUUUCCGGCAUAUGAGGAGAUUAUGUGAUUGUUAAGUCCCACGUGGCGUAGGUUAUCCGGCGGGAUGAUAGACCCCAUACGUGGGGUUGGAAUUUUCGGUGUAUGGGGAGAUGAUAUAAUGGUUAGGUCACAUGUGGCGUAGGAUUUUCCGGCUUGAUGACAGACCCCAUACGUGGCAUUGGAAUUUCUGGCAUAUGGGAGAUUAUGUGGUUAUUAGAGAGAUGAAUUAAGAUUAUUAUACUGAGUUGGGAACGAAUGAUGUUUGAAAAAGAUUUUGUUUGGGAUUUCUGCAAUUGAUUGCAUGUUGAUGGACUUGGAAAUUUUGUAUGAAAGAACUACGUGUGGCUUGAUCCCUUAGUAAGGGUACAUAUGCAGCUUAGGGUAGUGCCUAGGUGCAGCCGUGUGCUAAACUUUACUCAUGUUGUGUGAUGGAGAUUCGUUCGGACCUUGUUGUUAGUCCUGAAUUUUAGGUGAAAAUGAGAUGCAGUCUUGUUAGGAGGUUUAAAUUUUCUACGUUUAAUAUUUGGGAAUUUAGAUGAUGGAAAUCGCAUUUGGCGUUCAUAAAUGUGUUUGAGUUUAUAUUUGCAUUGUUUAGAGUUAGUUGGUGGUUUCGUUUCGAAUUAUUUGAAGGCCGAAGGCUGAUUAUGUGAUUUAUAUGAAAUUAUCUUGUGCAUACUGCCAGUUGUGAAUAUCAAAUGUGUUUUAUGCACGUUGAAAUUUUUAGGAUUGUUCAACUUACAGGGGAGACUGCCGAAAUUUCGGCAUAAAAUCUCGUGCCCUUAUUCCUUAUUGGGAAAAAUGAUUUAGUUUUAGAAGUGGGUUCGACAUCGGGGUGAUGUCGGGAAUUUUCACAGGAUUCAUCUCGGGUUUCGGGAAAUUCGGGUCGGGUCCUGUCAAACACCACGUAUUAGGUAAGGGUAAAGGCUCAAUUCAGGCCCAGUCAAUCAACCCAUUAUGAUAUCAUGUUAAAUUUCAGAUAGACGGGCCUGUGGCCCACCACUAGUAACAUUGAUAUUGUCCCCAACUUAACUACAUGUUUAGUAGGUGUGGAGUUCUAUACAAAAGAUCUCGAUGUUUUUAGGAGUGAAACCACUUAUUAUAAGUUGUAAUUUAUUUAGUCAAGUUUCCAGUCAACCUGACUUUGAUACCAUGUUAAGAUUUUAAAGGGACGAACUCUUGGCCCACCAUUAGCAAUAUCGACAUUGUCCCCAACUUAACCACCUGUUUAACAAGUGUGGGGUUUUAUCCUAAAGAACUCGAUCUUAUUAAGAGUGGAGCCAUUUAUUAUAUGAAACUUUCUAUUUUGUUAACUCUGUGUAUUCUUCAUCAAUGUGAACACCCCUAAACCAAUCAUACCUGAUACGGAUUGAAACACAAGUUUGUUUUUUGCCUUUGGUAGAUGAGUAGCUAGAAAAGCUCAAUGCACUUGCUCUUCUUCUGCUACAUUUCAAUAUAAGAACAAGGUUUGGAAGCCAGGUCAACUCCUCAUAGUUUCCUUGCCUUUGCUUUGACAUGUCUAUGCACUUCUUGGGGAAGUUUGAAUAAUCAAUUGCAGGCCCCACGACAACUAAGGAACCAACAUUUUGUAGAAGGUUUUGUCUACACCUUUUGACUAUAAGUAAAAUCUUUUGUAUCUGCUCUUAUGUUUCGGUGAAGUUUCUAUGUGUCCUUUGUUGAACGAAAAAAUGAGGUUGUUUCUUACUAGAUUCAAAUACUUAAAAGAAAAAAAGAAAUUAUUGUUUCUUAAUUGAUUUUAUGGUGAACAAUAUCAAACUCUCCUCUUAUACGUCUUCUUCGUUGGACUUGGGGUUGUUUUCCUUAUAUGUCCCUUAUAUAUAUAGGGCCUUUGGUUGAGCCCACAAAUACCUUCAGUUAGUUUUUGGGUUUAGGGGCCUACAGAACCUGCACUAAACAAUAAAAGAAAAUACCUAAUUAGUUUAGUACGAAUUCUAUAAUGAAGGCUUUAUUAGGUAAGAUUUUAUUUCUUAAUCGUUAGAUCAAAUUUGACAGGACCCGUUCCUGAAUUUCUCGGAAAUCAGAGCGAACCCCGUCCUUGUUUCGACAUCACCCCGAUGCAGGGUCCACUUACUAAAAACCGAGACUUUCUACCAAAAUUUUGAUAGAAUCUCCCUUGUAAAUUGAGCAAACCCAACAAAAAUUUCAGCCUGCAACAUACAUAAAAAUAAUCCCAACCAGCAGCAUGCUUACAACAUACAACAAAACGUACUAAAUGGCCUCCGGCCUCACAAGUAAAAUUUAACAUGGGUAAUCUACUGAUGUAAACGAUUCGGCCUUCGAACACUGCUUGCAACCUUCCUGAAGCGACUACUGGCUAAGGGGCGCAAAACAGAAAACAUGUGAGUGGACAAAAACAAGAUUCAAUUAAAACAACAUAGUAACCCCACCGUGUAAAAAUAAUGCUCAAGACAUGUAGGUUUACAAUUCAUAAUUAAAUAUUCAAAAACAAAUUUCAUUUAAAAUUCUUUAAAACCACAAAUCACUCCAUCCAUAAAACCUCAUGCCCACAAUUUUACUGCUCCUACCAACCCACUGUAUAGACUCUAAUUUCUUCACAAUCACAACUAUAUAUAAAUAUAUAAAUUGUAUCAUACAACAUACUCCUCACACUACUUAGGUACAGGGGAAACAAUCCAACCGGAGGAUCGUUUAACUAGCCCGCAGGAUUUUCAGGUGCUAUCCUGAGUCUAGGAAUGAGUGGUCCAACCAGGGGACGAAACUCUAUAGCUCACACACCGGAACAUCCAACGCCACGUGUAGCUCCAAUACUAAGUCCUACAGGCACAGACUGGAUCACCACACACCGGAACAUCCAAUGCCAUAUGUGAUAAUCCCAAGCAAUAUACAGAGUCUUCCCAUACGUCGGAACAUCCAACGCCGCGUAUGGAAAGUGUUCACACGCCGGAACAUCCAACGCCACGUGUGGGAAGCCUAUUAACUGGGGAAAGUACUUACAUAGUGUAAUCAUACAAUUUCUCUCAACAACUCCUCAUACUCAAGUUCUUCCACAAACUCACCUCAACAAUCCCAAGUACCCCACCUAUAGACAAUAUAUAUAUAACUUCCCCAAAAUCUAUACAAAACAUACUCUCGAUAUCCAAAUAUGCCAAACUCACAAUAUAUUGCCAAAGUGCAAUACAAACAUCAAAAUCAACACAUGAAUAUAAUAUAUAUUCAAUAUACCAUUUAAAACAUUAUGCGUAAAUCUUUCAUCAAUAAAACCAUGCGUAUGAUUGAAAACAAAGUCCACUCACAAGUAUUCCUACGCUGCUUGACCACGAGAGAGUCCUGCCUGCUGAGUACGUGCAGUAGGAGCACCUAUUUUGAGAUACAAACCUUUAAUUAAUAUAAAAUUACUUCAAAACGGAAAACACAAAUUAAAUACUUAAAUCCCCAAGUUCCCAGUACAUGUACGUUGAACGAGGUAUCCUAAGGUCUAGUUACAAGUUUGGGAAUCGCUCACGAUUGGACGGUUAUCGCUAACCCACAAAUUUUGAAUUAUUGAAUCGGAACAUUCGGGGCUCCGAUUCACGAUCCGUGAAGUCCUACGUGAUCCUAGGAAUACCUAAAACAACAUAUUUUAAUUGGAAAACGCACAAUAUGCGAAAAUCCGUUCGAUAGUCAAACGAUGUCCGAAUUGAGAUUCGCAAAAUGCUACGCACUCGUGACAACCUGAGGAUCUCAUCAGGACAAAGUGCAACUUCACCACCCUCACCCACGCGCCGGCAGCGCGUGGGUGUGUAGAGUAAAUUCCGGCGAUGGAAAAACUCCACACCUACUUGAGGUCAGGAUCUCAUCACUCAACUACAGGGAGGUUCAAUUAGGACGGCAACUGGCCGGAAUUUCACUUUGAAAUCCAGCCAAAACUUAGGUUUUCUAAUCGGUUCCUAGACAACAAAUCGAUCUAAACCUAUGCAACAGUCAGCUAGACUAAGGAAAAAGAGGAAGAAACCUCACAUUUUUCACUGGAAUCGGAAGGGAGAGGCGACGGGGCGACGUCGGGAAGACUCGGGUUUGAACCAGUCGAUGCCGUUGACGAUUCUCGCAUUUUUCGGGGGGACUUUGGGUGGUUCGGGUUAGUGGCUUCACGACGAGUCGAACGGGACCGGUCUCGGGGGCUGGGGUGGUCGGGUGUGGUGGCGGUGUGGUGGUUUUCGUCUCGGUGAACAGUAACAGGGGAGGGUUUCGCACGCGCAGAGAGGGACUCGGGAGAGAGAGAGAGAGAGAGAGAGAGAGAGAGAGAGAGAGGAGAGAAAAGAAAAAUUAGAUUUUUACUCUCCUCUUUUCAAAAUAUUUACAAGUUUGCCACUAAUGAUGUUUUGAUCGCCAUUUUCUUGUUACAACUCCGAUUCAAGCCUACCGCAUGUCUAGGAAUUCAUCUCAGUACCACCUACCCAAAAUUACCAGUCAUGGUCCCAAACUCUUCCCGUAACAGAAAAUGACUAAAAUACCCCUACCCCAAGGGUAAAUUCAUAAUUUCACUUAAAUAAAUUAAAAAUAGGAAUCAAAUUUGGAGUCGGGGUGUUACAAAAUUGGUUAGUACGAUCCAACGGUUAAUAGAUAAAACUUUACAUAAAAGUCAUAUAUAAGGCCCUCACUAUAGAAUGACUCGUUAGUUUAGUCUCUUGUUACAUAUCAACUGUUAGAGAUAUUUUUUUAAUAAGGAUCUACCAUACCACAUAGUUGGAUAAGACAUUAUACACAACUUUUGUAAGAGCAUCUCCAGCGAGCCAGGCCAGCCCAAGCAGCAAGGGGCCUUAAGCCCGGUAAGCAGCUCCAGCGCUCAAGAUUCAGCCCAGGCAAGGUGUGGAACCCACAAGGAGAUCUGGCCCGUCACCUUGCCUUUGGGUUUCAGUCAGGCUGAUGUCAACGAAAGAAUUUCAAAAAAAUUUUGCCGUUGCAAUGCACGCGCCAACGAUAAAUUUUCUUUGGAUUUCUUGCGUUGAUCCACAGCUACCAAAAACCAACGGCUACAAGCCACGUGGCUUCUCCAAGAGCCUCUGAUCCAAAAAUCUUGUCAAAUCUAACGGCUGUCCAUUUUUUGGCUAAAAAAAUAUCAAAAAAUUAUGGAAACAUUUUCUAUAAAUACCUACAAAUAUUAUUCACUUCCCACACCAAACCUUCAUACAAAUUCAUAUCCUUUCAAUAUUUUUCACUUUCCACACAAGAUUUUCUACUACUAAAUUUCAUUUGUGUAAAAAUACAAGUGGCCUCUUCUAUCAAAGCCGGAGGCGCGUGGACAACCGUGGAAGAUAUUUUGUUGUGUGAGUGUUGGGUCAAAGUUGGUCAUUGCCCGAUCACCGGCAAUGAGAUGAAGUCCUCUCGUAGGAGUUUCUGACAUCGCAGCGAAAGUAAGAUGUGAUAUGAGAAUGUAAGGAAUUUGAUGAGAGGAAUGGGAUUUGAGGAGUUUGAUGUAGGAAUUGAUGUUGAAUUGGAUUUGGGAGGUAUGUAUAUAUGAUUUGAGAGUAUGUGUUUAGGGAUUUUGAUAGGAGGAUUUGAGGAAUUUAGAUUUGAGGGAUUUGGAUUUGGGGAAUUUAAAUAUGAGGAAUUGAUUUAGGGUUUGGGUUUGAAUAUGAGAAAUUUGAUAUGAGAGUUUAGAGACAACUGAUGAUUGAUUGCUCUAAUACCAUGCUAAAAUAUAAAUAUGGUUUGAAUACUUUAGGUUGAGUUUUAUUCUUUUCCAUAAGGAGGUAUAUAUAGCAGUUUACAUGAGUGUUUUACAAGGAAAUAGAUACAGUAAUCAAUUAGGAUAAUAUCUCCUAAUUAUACAAUAAUUUGUCAACUAUAUAGAAUAGGAAAGUAAAUUCCUUAAUUAAUCAAGAAAAUAAAUCUCAUUGAUUAAUUAAGAGACUAACGUCAACAUUUAUAAGCCAUGGAAGAGCAGAAAAAGAGGUACUUAGGAGAUUUUAUACGUCGGACUAAGGUAAGCUUAAAGGACUAUAUCAAAAAAAUAAGGGACCAAGAAGCAAGACUGAGAAGUUGUUAUGCAAACCCAUUAAGUUUAGCAGUGAUGAAUUUGUAAAAAUCAUUCUAGUGGAUGCUGCCUUCACUAUUGAGUUCUUAUUGAGGUUCUAUCUGAAAGGAUGUAGACAUGAAGGAGACCGCUUAUUAAACAAAUCAGCUCCCAUUCUUUAUUCUUGAGGAUCUUUAUCACACAUACAUAAUAACCGACUCUUUUAGGAAUUAUUACAGUACUCAUGAUCAUGAGAGGCUUUCAAUAAUUAAUAUUUCUAAGAAUUUCGUCACAGCUGGAAUAUUGAAUUUGGAGGGGAAGGGAGACAAAUGGAACAGAAUAUCAUCUUCUUCUAGUGUUGGAAAUUUUAUAUUAUUUAAUAAUAUUUAAUUUCUAUUGUGAAUGAAAAAUAAGUUUCUUUAAGAAACGUGUGUCUUAGGCCAGUUUUUCUAACUGGUCGGCUUCCUUAGAUUUGUGCCUAUUGCUUUUCAAAGUAUAAUGAUGCAAUGGUUGUAUCUCGUUCAGGCAAAUGGAAGGUAUAUAGCAAUUUAUAGAACAAUACAGUAAUCCAGAAGAAAUAUUAUGAAAUGAAAAGAAUAAAAAGUAAAAAAAGAGAAGGAAAGGAAUUCCCACCUGCAAUGUAUAUGUAUGAAAGGAAGGACCAAGUUUGUUUUAAAAUGGUAAGAACAAGUUGAUUUAUAAUUGGGUUCAGAUCAACUCAUGGAUUUCUUGCCUUUUCUAUUCUCCUUCCUUGGACAUGAACUGUUUAAUCUUGGCUCUUCCCCAUCAUGUUGGGCCUAUCUUCUUCUUGAGGAUUGUAUAGGCCCAGGAAAUGCUUCAAGAUAGUUUUUGUGUUUUGGGCAUUGGGACCUAACUUCACAAAAAGAAAACAGAUUUGGCCAAAAAACAAAUUUGAAGGACAUUGAAAUUGUACCUGUAGGAUAGGUUAAAACACUGUAAGGGAGGUAAAUAGUACGUUUACAUAGUUUAAGUGUAAUAAAGGAAUAAAAACAUGCCCAGAGGAUUGAUAAGUGAUAUCAAUUCUUGAAUAUAGAGAACGUAAAAUAAAGGAACACGUAUAAAAUUAUUUUAUGUGGUAAAACCCCAUCUCUAGGGAAAAUCCACGGGACUUCUUAGUCCAAAACAAAUCUAUUAUAGAACGAUGAUUACAAGAAGUACUCACACACUUAUCCUAGACACAUUCUAGAUAAUGUUUACUGACCUCUUCGUAACUCAACUUCUGUCACAGGAUGAUCUUUCGACACUUCUUAUGUUGAACGCAAUACUAGUCACGAUUUCUUUCAAGCUCAUUGGAGAAAAACCGCCACAACAGUCUCGGUGCCCUCAAUCUUAUGAGUCACUGAACAUGCAAAUGAAUACAAUAUGAAUGAUAAAAGUGUUUGAUAAAUCACCAAGUUAUGGAACACUUGAUGAUUUAUUUCAAGUAAAAAUUCAGCUUUCCAAAGUUUAUGAAUUGAAAAUAUGAUCGUUAAAGCUCUCUAAACAAAAAAAACGAAGGUCUUAUUUUAUAGACUUUUUCUUUACAAGAAAGAAAACACGUUGAAAACCAAAUCUCCAAUUUCAAGGCUUGACAGAAAAUCACAAAAGUAUCUUUCCUAUUCUAGAGAUUGGUCACAUGAAGUCCAACCAAUAGGAAAUGAGAUAUUUAAGAAAGGAAGAUUUUGAUCAAUAUCAAUAUCAAAUGAAUUCUUAUAUGCCUAGUCAACUAUUAAGGGUAUCUUAACUACUUGAUAUUAUGAUAUGAUUGAAACAUGAUUUCCACGUUAGAAAAUUAAGGGGAUUUUAAAACAUGAAAGUAAUAGGAGAAUCAAAUUGAUUUGGACCAAAAUUGCCUAAAAAGAAAACACUCCUAAAUAAACUUCAAUUCACUUUUAAAAACAGUAAAACUUGAUUGAAUCGUUCUUUAAAACAAUUCCCUAAUAUACAUGCAUGAUAGUGACAUCACUUACCUCUGAAUCAGAUGCCUUUUACGAGUCAAGCCACAAGUUUGUGUUUUGGGGAUUGCUGAGCUGCAUCAAUCCUGCCAAUGUCAAUUCUGCCCCUAGGCUCUCUCAAAGCACGUUUACAAUCUAUGCUAAUAUAUACUAGAGUUUAUGCUAGUAUCUAGAAAAUGCCAACACUAAUUUCGUAACACGUAGAAAUUGUUAGAGAUUGGAAGUUUUUUUCAUUUUUUUCUUCCAGACUCUCCACCACUCACUAAUACAGUUUACUCAUGUGAUGAAUUUACAAAACCUAUUUCUCUACUCUCACAAAGACUAUACUUAGGGGGGGUGUAUUCAAUUAGGAGUCUAGAGCGUUUAAAAAGAUUUUGUUUAAGUGCCAGCUUUCAUAGAACUUGAUGGAACUUUAUAAUUCGUAUAGAACUUGAUAGACUUUCAGAAGACUUCUGUAUAAUUUGUUAAUAAAACUUUCUUAAGCUUUCAUAGAACUUGAUAGGCUUUUAUUCCAGAAUUAUGUAGACAGUAUAUUUCAUUUUAUCCCCAUCCUUGUCAUUUAAAGAAAGAAACUUGAAUGUUUUCAAUCAAAUUUGUUUUUGUUACCAAAGCAAAAACAAAAAGUACUUGUUUGCGAAGGAAGAACAUAUGCACAGUUCAAAAUGAAAAGAAUAAGAAGCAAAGUACCUAUUGGACCAAUGAAUGCUGUGUCAACUAGAGAAGCAAUUGGAUCGGCUGUCAAAGCCAAUGCUACAGGCAAUGCAUCGAUGGUCCAAAUUGCAAUAAAAAAUAUUUUGUAUAAUGGUUCUUGCAGACAAAGACCACAUAAAUUCUGGACUGGUCCAGCUUGAAUAAUAAGGUUAGAUUAGCCGAUGGAUGAGAGUAAAAGCAAAGAAAGUUGAUGAAUUCAUCACCAAUUAUUUAAUAACUGUAACAUCCCACAUUGACCAACGGAGAGGGGGUGAUGUGCCUUAUAUGUACAUGCCCACUUCCAUCUAGCAUGAGUCCUUUUGAGAGCUCACUGGCUUCGGAGUCAUGGGAACUCUGAAGUUAAGCGAGUUGGGGCUAAAGCAAUCCCAGGAUGGGUGACCCACUGGGAAGUUGCUCAUGAGCUUUAGAAACAAAAAUCAUGAGGGCAUAAAGGGAGGCCCAAAUUGGAUAAUAUCGUGCUACGGCGGAGCCGAUCCCAGGAUGUGACAAUAACCAAUAGAGUAUUUAAACAUAAACAACAAUGUUUGAUAAACAAAACAAAUAGUCCAAAUAUUAUCCAAAAAACAAUUCUAAAACCAAUCAUUCCAAACAAACUAGUCAUUCCCAAAAACUCUCAAAAAACCCACUCAUUCCAAAUUAUAGGAUAUCCAAUUUGAGCGCUCCUCAGGAGACAUUUUCAAAAAUGCAUCCUUUUUUGUGUUACUAUGCAACAAAGAGAGCGCUUUAUAAUGAGCACGUUCAUCCAAAUUUGAGGUCUCCUUAAUGGCAUCCCACAUAUAACUCUGCUGCUCUCGCUCUUUUCCCCUUUUUGCCAAUAGGUUAUGGACCUCCCGGAAGUCGGUGACAAUUGAAUCAAUGCUAAGGCUAAUUCUUCCCAUAGCUUGUUGGGUGGUCACAUUUGAGAUGGCAUUCCCUUCCAAAUCUAUUCUAGUUCGUUUCCUCUAGUAACAAGCAUAAAUCCUAGUAACAAGCAUAAACCCUAAUCCCAACCUAUAACCUAAUAACAAGAAAAACACGAUGAAAAAAAAAUCAUGGAAAAAGAAAACCCAACGAGGUAUUGAUCAAAAAAAAAAAUAGGGAGCAUACCUUCACAGAUGGAGGAAGGAAGCUGUUUGUCUUCACAGAGAGAAAAGCUAGGGAAAGAGAAAAACGUCUGAUGAAAUACUUUGGGGGGAGGUUGGAUUUCUUUUGGUCUUUGAUAUUUAUAACUCUCCCCUUAAAACCUACAAAAAUUUAUCACUUAAUGAAAUCCUUCCAAAUAUAUGACCUUUCGAAUACACCUAGAUUUGAUUCAACUUUUUUAUAAUCCUAAUUGAAUACACCCAUAUUUGAGUGGACUUUUUAAAAGUUCAUAUAAGUCCGAAUUGAAUACACCCAGACUUGUAAAACCUCUUUUAAAGUUUGUAUAAAUCCAAAUUGAAUACACCCGGAUUUUUAAAAUAUUUUUUAAACGCUUUAUAAUCCUAAUUGGUACAUCCCCCUUAUUCUCAAAAGACUAUAUCACUUUACCUCUAUCUCUGUGAAAUGUAAAAAGUUGAAACUUUAAUGUCAAACCUCGACAAAAGAUGAACUUCCAUCAGUUGCGUUGAAUUUGGAUUUGUUGAACUAAAGUGGUUUUACUUUCUCUGUCAGUGUUUGAUGACUUAAUUUGGUAUUUACUUCUUUUUUUCCUUGGAAAUGUGUUCCACCAACGUGAGGAAGAAAAAUGUGCACAAAUUAAUAUAUUUAAUAAAAGCCCAAGAUUUCGGAAGCACAUAAUUUCUACAAAAAUCUAGAAAGUGUUCUACUUUACAAACUUCUUAUGUCUAUCAAUUUCUACUAAAAUUAAUUUCUCUGUGGUGCUCAGAUUCAUCAUAUGUGUGUCCUUAAUUUUAUUGGAAAUUAGAAGUUUCCAUAAUUUUUAUUUUUUGGGAAUUUUCUGAACCAAGAAAAAUCAAGUAAAAUUAAUAAAGCUUAAAUUGGAAAGGGAAAAUAUCUAGAGGACGCAUUGUAGGAUUUCUCAUGCCGAUAAUUGUACCCUCUAAAUAUAUAGGGACAUAUUUUUUUUGUUUUCAUGACAUGUGGUCCUAAAAUUAUUGUUCCUAGCGGGCUCUCCACCCCCUCUCAAAUUUACGUGGUCCAUUAUGAUUAACCAUAUAUUUUAUUGACCAUCCAGCUGUGAGGUUUUAUCCCAAAAACCUUAGGUACAUUUCUCAAUUAUGUCUGAUACAUCACAUCAUGCCACAAUUGUAUAUUCACAAUUAUGUCUGAUACAUCACAUCAUGCCACUUGCCUCAAAUGAAUUUAAGUGAGUGUGGCAGUGGGAAGUAAUUACUUCUAGGUGCCCCUCAUCAUUCGUCUAUAAAAUGGUGAAGCCAGUGGCUAUAAGAGCCAGCUCCAACUUUCUUUUAUUCGUCUAUAAAAUGGUGAAGCCAGUUGCCAAGUUAAUUUCAGUCCUAAUGGGGUUUCAUCUCCCACUCAUCUUUGCUAUUCUCAGUGUAAGCUCUGCAAUUUGAUUAACUUUUCCAUUCUCUCUCAUUGUACUCUAUAUAAACGAAAGUUUUGUGUUCCUAUAAUUCUCUUUGAUUUUAUUUAGUACGUACUUAAGUGUCGUCCACUAAUUAAUUACAGUUUGUGAGAUUUGAUUUUAAUUAGAGUUCGAAUUAAUGUUGCAGCUAGCAGUGGUUGCACUGGCAAACCAUGCUGCUCAACCAGCACCUCAACUUUACUGGAACUCCGUCCUGCCAAACACACAAAUGCCAAGAUCUAUCAGUGAACUUCUGCAUCCUGGUUUGUGUUGAGCUCUUUAGAAUCUUAGAUAUCUCUUCUACCUGCCAUUUUACUAAAAUAUGUUCGACCACAUAUUUAUCAGUUAACUACUGUCAUUACAUGAGUGACACUUAUUCACAAAUCGGCUGAUCACUUAUUUUCCAUUUUACAUGAGUGAUAUAUAAUUUGCAGACUCCACAAAUGAAGAAAAUAUCGUGAAUGCUGUUGGGAAUGGAAAGCGCAAACCUGAAAUUUUCCCAUUGAGAAAUAUAAAUUACGUUCAAAGCCAUUAUGGAGUGUUAAAUAGAAAUUACGUUCAAAGCCAUUAUAAAAAACGUCCUCCUCCACCUGAAAAUAUCCCAUUUGCAAAUCGAAAAAAGUACGCACUAGGUUCUCCUCCAUCUGACAAUCAACUACUCCAUUAUAAAGAGUUAGCUAUUUUCUUCUUCGAGAAGGACAUGCGCCCUGGCGCAACAAUGAAGUUCCAAUUCCCUAGAAAUUCAAACACGGCUACUUUCCUGCCACGCGAAAGUGCUCAAUCGAUCCCCUUCUCCUCUAACAAACUACCAGAAAUUUUCAACCAUUUUUCAGUGAAGCCAACAUCUGUGGAAGCCAAAACAAUUAAGCAAACAAUCGAAGAGUGUGAAGCUCCAGGCACUAAGGGAGAGGAAAAAUAUUGCGCCACAUCUUUAGAAUCAAUGGUUGAUUUUAGCACUUCGAAGCUUGGAACAAGAAACGUUGAAGCAGUCUCGACGGAGGUAUUGGAAAAAGGAGCCACCAUGUCCAUGCACAACUAUACAACAAUGCCGGGACUGAAGAAGUUGGCAGGUGACAAAGUCGUUGUGUGUCAUAAGGAGAACUAUCCCUAUGCUGUGUUUUUCUGCCAUGCAAUAAAACAAACAGCAGCUUAUGUUCUCUCCCUGAAAGGCGAUGAUGGGGAGAAGGUUAAAGCAGUAACCAUCUGCCAUCUAGACACAUCAGAAUGGAACCCAGAGCAUUUGUCCUUCCAAAUCCUCAACGUUAAGCCCGGAACCGUUCCCAUCUGCCAUUUCAUUUCCACUGAUGCUAUUGCCUGGGUUCCAAAACACAAAUUUGCAUGAUCAUCACUUAGCACUGUGGUGUAAGAUAUAUGAUGAGAUAAAGUUUUUGGUAUUAGUGGUCGGGUUGCCUGAAAAACACAGAUUACAGAAACUGCUUGAAAUUAACCCGAUCAUGUUUUCUCUUGUAAGACUUCAACUUGUACUCCUAAAGCAAGUUAUAUUUAUGAAGAGAUAUUAAUCUAUAUAUAUUUUAUGUAUAUAUAUAUAUAUAUAUAUAUGCUUUGGCUUUGUGGUUCUACCCAGUGUUUGAGUGUUGAAUUGUUACGUUGGAAUAGGCUGAUAAUGCGUGUAGUUAGAGAAGCCUUCAUUUAUAUCAAAGUCCUCAAACUAUCAAGAACUAAUGUAUCCAGAAACAUAUACCAAGACGCAAAACAACAUAUUUUCCAUGCUCUGUCUGUAACGCCAAAGCAAACUUCCUUUAUCACAUCAUUUAAAGGAUCAAAUUCCAGUACUAAUCUAAUCCAUCAUGUAAAGCAUACAAGUGCCUCCCUAAAUUUGUCCAUUGGAUAUAAAUGUUGAGAAAAUUAGAGUACACAACUCUAAUAUGAUAGUUGUACACAACUCUAAUAUCAUAAAGCAAACAAAAUUUCUAAGUUAGUUUGCUUUAUGAUAGUUGUUUUUUGAAGGGGUCCUUAGAUCCUAUCUCAAAAAGUUUGGCUUUUAUUAGGUUUAACUCUGGUUUUUAUCUCUACCCACUAACUUUUAUCUCUCAUUUUUAUUACCCAUUUUACCCUUUAAAAUAAAUAGGGCAAUAAACUAAAAAUUCUGAUUUAAUGCAUGUUUUACUCAUAAGAGAACUAAAAACUAAAAAUUCUAUACUCUAACACAAAAAAUGAAAACUAAAAACUAAAAUUGAAAUGGUUUCAAGCAAUUGCAUGUCAGGCGCUAUAUAUAAUGUAUUAGCCAUGGUUUGUUUAAUACGCGGUCAUUCGUCAUUUUCCCAUUCAAAAUAUUGAAAUUACGAACUACAUACCAUGAAAGAUAAGAAACUAAAAGCUUCAAGCAAAUAGAAAUGUGCUACAAACAUAGUAAUGAAGAUGUGGAAGCAUUAUCUCAGACGAAUGAUUCUGAAGUGGAAAAAACAAGAACAAAAAAGGAAGUGAGUUAAAUUUGCACCUGCUAUGUUCAAACGACAAAGUUGGUUUCCCUUUGGUCGAUUACAAGAGAAGCUCAAUGCAGCUUACUUGGUUCCUCUGGUAGAUGAAAAUAUAAUUUUUCUCCUAAUAAUAAGGGUAUAGUGCAAUCAAUGAUGGGCUGUAUAGAACAACUUUUUUGUUUUAUGUGUUUAUGUGAGACAUGUUUUGCCAGAUUGAAUUAAUGUCUUCUAGCCAUGUACCUUAUCUUUUUGCCGGGCCAUGAGUUGAAUGUAGAGGCAAAGUAUGGACUUGGGGUCAAGUUUGACUUGUAAAAUAAUUAGGAAUUGAAUGGCUCCUACGUUCAAUUAUUUUAAUUUUUUUUCCCGAGCCAUUCAAUUCCUAAUUAUUUAGAUUUUCGAUUUAGUGAGCAUCCACAAUCAUGCUCUCUAUUUUUAAGUUAAAUUUUAGUUAAAAACAUAUAAAAGUUAUUUAGGAGCUCUCUAUAAAAUUUAAACUUCAAUCGUUUUCUAUAGUUUAGGGAGUCAUAAAUGUCAUAACUCUUUUUUGAUUGGUCCAUCUCUAUUAAAAAAUAAAAUAAAAAAUAGUUAGCAUGAAAUAAAGGUUUGAAAUACUCAUUAAAUAAAGCAGCAUUAAAUUAUAGGGAGCCACUAAGAGUCCUUUCUCUCUCCUCAAGUUUAGGAGCUCCUAGAGGUCUCCCUAUUUUAAGAGGUGGAUAGGGAGUAUGGUUGGAAUUGUAUUUUUACAAUUCCUCCCUAAAAAUUUUCUAUGGAUAGGUGGUUUUAAGGAACCCAUUGUGGAUGCUCUGAUCUCAAAGAAAGAAAACCUCGAGUUUGCAAGCAAGUUUUCUACGUAUGUAUAUAUGAAAAACUGACAUUUAUGAAAAUAAUAAAUCCAUAUUUUUAUGUAAGCCAACUUUCUAAAUCCAUGUACUAUAUUUAUUAGGGAAAUAUUGGAGAAACUGAUUAUUUUGAAAAAUUAAAUGUGAAAAACUGAACAAAAAUUUGACAGGUUACAUAUUUCAACUCAUUCAGCAGCUUAGGUUGUGAAGACCUCAGAAGAGGCUAUGCAAUGAGCCUAGCUAGUGCACUGUUGAUCACUUCAGUGUUUACCGAUCUGUAAUUUUUCCAGAUUGGUUAUAUUUUCCUUUACAUAUUCUUAUAUUUUUCCCAGUUGGGGAGACUUAUAAAUAAACCCAAAAUGGGUACAAUAUCUAUACAGAAGGACAAAAUUAAAGUGUUUGGACAAUAAUCCCCUAUUCAUUUUGGGAUUGCCUAAGGAAUUCUUUUUCUGAUUUUCAAUGAUGCAAAGGACUGUUGUUUGAUGCUUGCCGUAUGGAGCUAAGAAAACUUGCUUUGAUAGUUUUGGACAGAUGCAAGCUACUGUUGUUGGUAGGGGUGGGCACGGUCCGGAUUGGUUCGGUUUUACUCUCAAACCACAGCUGAACCAAUAAGAAAAUAACGGUUCGGUUUGGUUCGGAUUAGCCUAAAAUCAUAAUGGAAACCGAACCAAUCCAAACCACUUGUAAUCGGUUUGGUUCGGAUUGGUUCGGCCGGUUUGUGCCUAACACAAAACCAUGCAUUUUUCAACCUGCUCUUACAUUAUAAUGCUAACAUUUUGCCAUUAUAUCAUUCCAUUCCAUUCCAUCAAAGGCUAAUACAACAUCAUUCCAUUUAUUCAAAGGUUGUCCAAUGUCUAGCAUGCAUCUAAGUUCACAAUUUCCAUCAAAACAAACAUAUACAUAAUUUGCAUUAACCAAGUAGCAUUACAUUUACUCAUUGCAUUCAUCACAAUUCAUAAGAGAUGAGAACGAAUCAAUUUUACUUUAACAUAUUAAACAAAUGCAUUCUUUGUAAUAGUUAAACAUUCUCACAUCAUGAAUAUCGGCAAGCUUAUAAAGCUGCUGCACCAACUUGCUAAUUGAUUCGUCUGUACCAGGAACAACAGUAGUAAUGCGAGAGAACCCCUCAACUUCUGCAUGGCCAACAGCUAAACUCUGGAAACGAGAAACCAGCUCAAUUAUAACAAAUGCCUAAAACUUCUACCUUAACAGAAGACAAAGGAGGAAAUAACAGCAGAAGGAAACCAAAUUUCUCAAUUUAAUAACUGAUAUUUCCAAAGGAUUCUUAAGUCUAAAAUUCGACCAAGACUUGAUUAACUAUUCCAAUGUCUAGCAUGCAUCUAAGUUUAUAACUUUGUUCCUUCUUUAACAAAAAGAACAAGGAGAAAAAGCUAAUAAUAAGGUAUCCUUCUUUAACAGGCAUCAAGCAUAUCACAUAAGCAACAUUUUAUAUACAUUAUUCUAUGAACAAAACUAAAUCAAAGCAAGGUAUGCUACAGUCUUUUUGUACAAUAAAAUAGAUUAACAUAUUUUAUAACCAUAAAAAUGAAAAAUUAGGCCUCAUAGAAAAUACCAUUUUAUUUUUCAACUCUCUAACUUUUUAUAUAACCAGUUAUUGGAGACAAUACAAAAAAUAAAGUAGUAGACAGAACUAGCAUAUUUUACAAACCCAGCUGAUGAUGACGAUCCACCACCAACAAUAUUCCCAUAAUCAAUCCUUGCAUAACCUGAUGGUCGAUGAUGGAACUUGGGUUUUGUAGAGAUGGAUUUCGCUGAGGACAAAUGGGUGGGUUUCGCCGAGUUCGAAUCAUGUUGGCUUGAGUUAGCGUCGAGGGAGAGGGAGAGGGAGAUGUAGCAGAGAGACAAAGAGAGAGGGAGAGGUAGCAGAGAGAGAUGGAGAAAUAAUGAGAGGGAGUUGCGGCUAGGGUUAAGAGACGAAGGAAGGGAGAUAGGAGAGAGGCUCUUCUGAGGGAGAGAGAAUGGUUAGAUAACUUAGAUGUGUCCGUGAGUUGUAGUUUUGGAGUCCAAUCAAGUGUUGCAGGGUACAUGGUACACUCUUAAAUAACCACUCAAACCUUGCCACAUGUAAACUAAAUUAAAUAAAUAAUAAAUUGAUUUAUAAUCGGUCCGGUUCGGUUUAGGACAGUUUUUAAAACUCUCAAACCACAGCUGAACCAAACCAAACCGGUUCGGUUCGAUUUUUCAAAAUGUUGACUUUUUCUUUGGUCAAAACCAAACCAAACCAAUCCAAUAUAAUCGGUUCGGCUGGAUUGACCUGAUCGGCCAGAUUGAUGCCCACCCCUAGUUGUUGGGAUGAUCUUUUCACGUGAAAUGAGGAUGACGAUACUUCUACACUACACAAUCCAACGAAUUCACAUUUCUAUUUCAGAUACAUGUAUAAACAGACAAGGCUUUAAAAUAUGGGAUGCUGCACUGUUGUUGCUGCUGCUGACACUGUUACUGUGUUGCUGCUACUGUUACUGCGCUGCUACUGGAAGAAGGACAAGGACUUCACAUGUUGCUUUCGUCCUUUGUGGAGGAGAGAGACCUAGGACUUGCAUGUCUUAGAUAUUUAAGAUAAGGGGCUUUCGUGCCAUUUUGAAAAUACUUUGGGUGUUUUUGAAAGCUGCUUGUUUCUUUUGGGUUUCUCACUAAAUUUCGCUAUUAGAAGGGAAAAUAAUAAUAAUAAAAAUACAGCUCUUAUUAGCAACAGGGUUACAAAUUCUUCUACAACACACCAACUGUUGUAAAAGUUUGAAGGUGGAGCCCACAGAGGAAGUUUCCUUGCAUCUUCCAGGAACUUUCCCUUCCCUGUAUUUAUCAAUUCAGGAAGUUUCCUUGCAUCUUCCAGGAACUUUCCCUUCCCUGUAUUUAUCAAUUGAGGAAGUUUCCUUGCAUCUUCCAGGAACUUUCCUUCCAUGUAUUUAUCAAUUCAGGAAGUUUCCUUGCAUCUUCCAGGAACCUUCCCUUCCCUGUAUUUUACCAAAACCUUAGCCUAUAAAUAGGCUUGCUCAUUCACUUGUAAUACACACCAAAAUGAAGAGAAGAAUGAGUGAGGAAAGAAAGAAAGGAAGAGAAGGAAGAAAGAGGGUGAGUAAGUAGAGAGAAAAAUAGAGUGGAGAGAAAUUAGUGAGCCACAUAUAUUGUAAACACUAAAGUUGUAGCCCUAUUAUUUUACAUAGUGGAAAAGUUACUACUGCUGCUCUCCGGGGACGUAGGCAUAGCCGAACCUCGUUAAAUACUGUGUCUCAUUUACUUUACGUGCAGCUCAAUAUUCAUACAUAUUCCAGGUUAUUUUUAUAACACGUUAUCAGCACGAGAAGCUCUCAGGUAUAAUUUUUGUGCUGCACUAUUAUCUAUACUACUAACCACUAACAAAAAUGGACCCUUGGUAAUACUAAACAUAUUAUCAGUGGGAGACCGUUACUAAUACUAACUUUUUCUUAUUUUAUUCGGUGGUGGUUUUAACCCCACAUUUAUUUACUGUAUGGUGUAGGUUUAUUACCCAUACAUGCACCUUUACUUUAUCGCAAAUUUAUUUUACCGCAUAUUUAUUUUAUUUACUGUAUGGUGUAGGUUUAUUACCCAUACAACAGUAUUUAUUUAAAAGGGUGGUGCGAGUUUAUCGUCCACGCCUUUGCUUUUAUUUAAAUGUAUGGAGCAGAAUUAGUGCCCAUACAAGCACAAUUUACUUUACCGCACAUUUAAUUUUAUUUAAAGUAUGGUGCGGGAUUAACGUCCAUACAGCAAGCAAUUUAAUUUAUGAAUUUAAUUUACCGCACAUUUACAUUUAUUUAAAAGGGUGGUGCGGGUUUAUCGUCCACGCCUUUACUUUUAUUUAAAUGUAUGGAGCAGAAUUAAUGCCCAUACAAGCACCUUAACUUUAUGAAUUUAAUUUACUGCACAUUUACAUUUAUUUAAAGUGUGGUGCGGGUUUAUCGUCCAUACCAGUAAUUUAUUUAUCAGCAAUUUAUUUUAUGGAUUAAUUGUUUAUUUAUCAGCAAUUUAUUUUAUGGAUUAAUUGUGCUGUAUGAUGAGUUUUUCCAGUAUGCAGAUCAGGACCAGAAGUUCCUUGAUCCUCAUCAUACAAUUACAUCAGGACUUGAAGAUCCUUGAUGAUGAUAUUAAAAUGAGAGCUGGCAGUCUCACCGGUACUGUAUUUGUAAACAUGUGAUUGGACUUAAAGGUCCUUGAUCCCUGACAUGUAAAUAAGGACCUAGAGUUCCUUAAUGAUGUAACAGUACCGUAUUGGUUCAUAGUGCCGUACACAUUGAUGAUAACUGUACUGGCAGAUGAAUAGAUACGUAUUCAUGACUUGAUGAAUAGUACUAUUCACAUGAAUAGUGACGUAUGCAUAAAUAUUAACCAUUUUGGGUAAACCGUCACUAUAUACAAAAGGGAACCUGCAGUUCCUUAAACUCAUGGAUGAGCAAUUAAAUGAGAUGCCAGAAGUUCCUCAAAAUAUGGACAAUUAUGUAAGGGCUUGAAGUCCCGAAAUAUGUACAGAAAAUUGUAAAAAUGUCCAUACCAUGAGAAUAUGUGGCUUUGGCCUGAAGUUCCAAAUUUAACAGUGUUGAGAACCUGAAGUUCCAACAAUUAAAUGGACAACCCUUGAGGUAUUAUUGCAAAUUGUGGUAUGCCACAUAUUUCUUUGGCAUAAGAAGAUGAUGAAUUUAAUAAAGUUCGAUUUUGUUAUAAUCGACACCUCAAGGAAGAAAUAUAUUUUGUGAAUUCCGGUUGUUAAGAAUACACCGCGAAAUGGAUAAUAUUAAUAUAAACCUCAAAUAAUGAAUUGAGACUCCCCACAUAUUUUGUUAUAUCUGGGCCGGAAGCCCAUGGAUCCAAAUAUAUGAGAGAUCCUAAACUUGAAGUUGUGGGUAUAUAGUAGUUAAUGCUCUUCACUACUAUAUUGCGAUAUUAUCAUGGCUUUUACUCAAUUCAUAUUUCAUGUCCAUUUGAAAAGGGCAAAUAAAUUCUGAGUUUGUGCCCAGGCCAUAAGUUCCGGGCUACCAUACGUUGAAAUAUGAAAUUUGGGAGAGUCGAUGUGGUUAUUUGAACCUAUAAGGCACAAGGUUCCAAAUCGUCAUUUUGAAAAGACGUAAAAACCAAAGGUGCAAGUUUAAGAAUGUGCGCAAUUAUUAUUACAGGAACAUACAACAGAUAGAUUUUUUCCACUUGCAAUGAAGGUGCAGGCCCUGUAAAAUCUAUAAAAUUACAUUAUGUUCUGGAAGCCUCUGAAGGAAGAGGACGGCGCCUCUUAAGCUUAGCCAUGAGCUUCUCAUGGUCUCCCAAAAUUCUUUCAUUGGAGACCUGCAGCAUGUCUAGCCUUCUCAGUGUAUCAACAGAGUACGAACUCACCAGUUUCAACAAGGAAUUAUUCUCUCCUUUAAGUUUCUCAACCUCCUGUUGAGACUCAUGAAGCAUUCUUUGGAGAGACGAAUUUUCAGUUGUUAAAUUCUCAACCUCGUUUGCUCUGGCACGCAAACGAUCAGCCAUGUUAGAAACAGAAACAGCACUCUGAAUGCUAAAAGCCAUUGAGUCAUCAAUAGCCUCUUCCUCUGAUCUCCCCGUCAACAACAUUUCAUCCAUUGGAGUAAUGAAAUUCCUAGCUACUAUGACAGCAGUAGCAUCAUUCAUCAUCACAGAAUCAUUAACUGUGAGAUGACGAUUUUUGGAUACAAAGGAUGGACGCCAAACUUGGGCGUCACUGGUAGUUGUGGGAGUAUCAUUUAAAUUGAAAUAAUUUGGGCAGGAAGAAGAGGAAGCCAUUUUUAAGAAGGUUUCGAAGAAAGCCUUAGGAAAACUAAAGUUUCAUAAAAUGAAGGAAGUUAAGUUGAAACGCAAUUGCUCCAAUCAAGUUUUGCAAAGGCAAUAUCUAUAGACGAAAAUAUGGCAAUAUCUUCAGGAUUCCAAUAUCUUCUCGAAUCCCCAUAUUAUCUUUUUCUUUCCCAGAGUCCAAAACUUCACGUGGCCUCUAAUAAUGCCUGUCGGCACUUUCGGCGUUUUUCAAAGUAUUAUUUUCAAAGCCGAUCUUGCUUUACGGAUUUCACGGAACUACUUUUUCAAAAGUAUCCCGAGAAUCUCGCAAUUUUCCUAUGGUUAAUUUGAAAUUCACCGGUUCUACCUAUUUAUUGUAUUUAUGUAUAAAUGUGUUACUAACGAAAUUUUCUUUGCAAAAGACAUCCAGUUUUCUCCAUACCUAGUGAUGCGAUAUCUACUUAUUUUUCUUAUCAGUGAGCACUUAAUAUGCCUGAGAAGCAAGACUAUCUCUGAUCAUACAUUCAGGAAGCAAGACUAUCCCUGAUCAUGUUUCCGCUACAUUAGGGAACUGUGAAGGUGACCUUAUGCUCCAAUCUCCUGAGGUCUUUCUAGACUAGGAGAAAUGAGAGCUUGUUGUUUGCUCCCACCAGCUUCCUUCCUUGAUUGCUUACCUUACCUUGCAAUCAAUAUCACAAUCUUUUUGCAUUUUUUCUCUUUUUAUAACUCUCUGUUCAUAAGAGAUUUUAUUUCUUUAGAAUGAACAUCUGAAGAAUGAAUCCAUGAAGUAAUCCUAACUAUGAGGGUUAUUUGUUUUGACAGAGGCAAAAGAGUUGUGAUUUUUGCUCUUGCAGGAUAUAACUAGAUCAUCAAGCGCUACAUUAUAUUUACUGGGCUGAUAUGAGCUUGAAUGAUACUUGAGAAAAGUUUCUCCCACCUAAGGAUGUAAGCAAUACUUGUGUUAUUUUAUGCUUAUAUACCUAUUUGAUAUUUUAUCUUGAAAGGUAACUAAAUGGGGAGAUAAGUCCGUUCCAAAAGAAUGACUUGUAUGUAUCCAUGAAUUAUUAAUGCAAAUUUUACAGAUUGCAAGUUGGAUACAUUGAUAAUACACUGCACAGAUUAAAGUCCCAUAAGAACAGAAUAUGGGUAUAGCAGUGAUCAAUAUGAUGCACGCCUAUUGCGUAGCAAAUGAUAUGGAUUGAAGUCCCGAAAGGACAAUCCUUUGACAUUUCAAUAUUGAUAUUAUGCACGCCUAAUGCGUAGCAAAUUAUAUGGGUUAAAGUCCCAUAAUAUGGGUUAAAGUCCCAUAAAUUAAUUGACAUGUAUGUAUUAAUCUGUGGCAUGCCUGCAGCAUGACAGAUAUAUGGGUUCUAAAUGUUCCAACUCCCUAAAUGGAGAUUAUCCACGCCCUACUAUAAAAUAACGCUCCAUUGGAGGUUAUAAUCCACAUUCUCACAUAAUAAAAGCCCCCUGCAGUGGCUUGGGUACCCAAAAGCAAAGAAAUGCUUAUAAUUGAUGCAUGCGCAUGCACAUGAGAAUGGUGGGAUCAUGAAUUGAUGAAUGACAAUUUUUGAUCAUGAAUUGAUGAAUGACAAUUUUUGGUUUUAGAGUAGCUACUCAAAUCAUCAAUGGGCUGUGUUGAUUGGAACCACGUUCAAUUAUUAAAUGUCGACAAUAUCAUUGGCCAAAAUGGAACGAGGUAAUUCCAUUAUAAAUGAGAAUGAACGUGAAAGAACAAACCCACAAUACGAACCCCAAAAUUUGUUAAUACUAAAAGUUAUACUUGGGUGUUCGGAAUAAAAGGAAAUAUAUCUACUUUGUAUGACACACUGUUUCUGGCAGAAACAAGGAAUGUUGGGUUUUCUCCAUAUUUACAGAUUCAAUUGUGCCCCCCUUAUUACACAAUUACGGAGACCAACAUAUUAUCUUUAAGGGUUAUUAAUGCACAGAGCAUAUCGCCAGAAGCGAUUUCCUAAAGAUGUAUAAAUAGCUGGGUAAAAGCUAUAUAAUGUGUCAUAAAGUUUAAUCCCUUUUAACCAAAAUCUGUUGAGAGGAUUGAUAUUGCAUAGAGCAAGUCCCUAAAGAACAUGUGCUUGAAGCACAAAAUUUGUACUCAAUAUUAAUAUGCAUAAAUUACCUCAGUGAGUACAUUGAUUAUAAUGUGAUUGCAACACAUUAAAGCUUCUGCAGAAUUCAUGAAAUAUUUGUCUCGAUCGAGCAUUAUGCCAACGAGAUUCUUGCUUAUACUAAGAAAGUAUUAAAGUAUUUUUAUGAGGAUUAUCCGUUGGACACUUUAAUGAUUUUCCGGAAGUAUAUUGGACCGGACAUCAUAUUUUCCAGAUAGGGCUCAACUCCAUCACCAUCAUUUUGGGAUGAUGUGAGGUAUAUUUGAUGCUAUCUAAGCAUAACACCAUAUAGGGGCAUAUUUUUUUAGUGAACUUAUAAAUAGCCCAAGUGUUCUAAGAUAUGCGGACUCAGGAAAUCUCUAUGGUCGCUUACUGGAAAAAGCUAGUCAUGAAGUUUUCAGGGGGAGAUAUUCAUCAGGGAGAGCAUGGUAUUAAUAAAGACCUUCAUACACUAUUGACUCACAGCAGCAGUGUCAACUAUGAUAUUCAGACAGAUGAUCAACAGUAUGGCUUAAAGAUAUUUUGCCAAGCAUCAGGGGGAGCGUGCUGUCAAUACAGACCCUUACCCACUGUACUCUUUUUCCUUCGUCCAGGUUUUUAUCCCACUGGGUUUUUCCUGGCAAGGUUUUAACGAGGCAGUGUCGCACGCGCGUCAAUAUACACAGAAUUUUAUGUUACACGUGAUUAUGUACUCUUUUUCCCUUCGACCAGUUUUUGUCCCACUGGGUUUUUACUGGCAAGGUUUUUAACGAGGCAUAUUCCAUAUCAUUUGUGGUCUCCAAGGGGGAGUGUUGUAAAAGUUUUAAGGUGGAGCCCACAGAGGAAGUUUCCUUGCAUCUUCCAGGAACUUUCCCUUCCCUGUAUUUAUCAAUUGAGGAAGUUUCCUUGCAUCUUCCAGGAACUUUCCUUCCGUGUAUUUAUCAAUUCAGGAAGUUUCCUUGCAUCUUCCAGGAACCUUCCCUUCCCUGUAUUUUACCAAAACCUUAGCCUAUAAAUAGGCUUGCUCAUUCACUUGUAAUACACACCAAAAUGAAGAGAAGAAUGAGUGAGGAAAGAAAGAAAGGAAGAGAAGGAAGAAAGAGGGUGAGUAAGUAGAGAGAAAAAUAGAGUGGAGAGAAAUUUCUCCAAGAGAGAAAAAUUAGUGAGCCACAUAUAUUGUAAACACUAAAGUUGUAGCCCUAUUAUUUUACAUAGUGGAAAAGUUACUACUGCUGCUCUCCGGGGACGUAGGCAUAGCCGAACCUCGUUAAAUACUGUGUCUCAUUUACUUUACGUGCAGCUCAAUAUUCAUACAUAUUCCAGGUUAUUUUUAUAACACCAACAUCAAUCUAGCCCUGAUCCACUCUUUUACAUACUUGAAAACAAAACAAAACACGAAAAACAAAAAACAACAGGGAGAAAAUGGCUCCGGAGAGACUUACUGCUAAUACUUGAUCAAUAACAGAGAUAAUAGAGCACACUGUUUGUAUGGCAGUGAGUAUCAGAAGAAUAAUAGCUGCCCAAGGUGUGUUGAAAUACUUUUGUCUCAAAUUUGCCUUCCAUAUGUUCGUGGUCUUCUCGCAAUACUCGUUUAGUUUGCCAGCAAGAUCACCAAAAUAGUAGUUUCCCUGGUUAAUCAUAAUGGAAACCUUACUGUUGUCACCUAGCGUGUUUACAACAAUUCCAUUGUCAACAAGCAACUCUACAUCCUUUGGGGUGUUUACAAAUUUAUCCAGGAUGAAAACAUAAUCGCUUAAUUAUUUAUUAACGCAAUGGCAUUGUUCAAAGGCAAUGAGAUUUCUAAGUGUAAGCUCUGUGUAAUCAUGUAUUUCAAUUUUUGGAAUUUCCAAGGUGUUUUUCAAGAACUGUAUAUCGAAUAAGUUCUUGCUUGAUUCAACGUUAAACUUAACUCCGGCCUGGUGUAGUUUUGUCAUGCCGGGUGUACUUUGGAGCCCUACAUUUUCUUUUAGGGUUGGAUCUGGCAGAUGUAAAGUUCUAAUAAAAUCAACAAAUUGUACAGGUUUUUUAGGAUCAGGAGGCAUAAAAGACUUACGGAAGGCUGGUGAGUUCUCCAAGUUUUCUAAACGCAGUGCCUGUUGGAAGAACCUGUAAGAGAGUUCAAUUAUUGAAGGCUCCCCAGUCUGGGCACCUGUAAGAUUGUAAAGAUCCUCGAGAAUGAAAAAUGGCAGCUGAUUUUCUAGCAUAAGCAUGUCAGGCAAUAUAUUUUGUAGCACCCAUGGUUUUUUAAAUAUCCAAGCAUUAUCAUCCGGCAAUUUUUCUUCCUGAAAUUUUUCUUCGGAUUUAUUCCUCAACAAUAGCUCAAUGACAAAGGCGGCAUCAACUAGAAUGAUAUUCACAAAAGCGGCAAUGUUAAACUUCUUAGUGUCUUCAUAAUAAUGACGGAGUUCAACUUCUCUCUCCUUUAGGUACCUGAGUUUGUGAUCUUCCAUGGCUUCUAAGUUUUUGCUGCCAUGGUGAAGUGGGCCUAUUGAGACUACUUGUGGUGUGUAGGCCUUUUGUUUUACGUUCCGUAGUCGCUCAGGCACCCUGUAGAUACUGCAGGCAGGGGACAGGGCACGGAAGUUUGUCAACUGAUUUUCCAUGGAAGUUGCUUGGUUUUCUAUGUCAAAAGAAGCUUCAUUGCUGCUUUCUUCCACUUUCUUCCUCCGCAUUAUGUGUUGUUCUGAUUGUAAGUGACGAGGAUGGUGAUGAUUCUAGACACCAUAAUCAACAAAUGUUUCAAUCAUAAUUGACAUUUCAAGAUGCUCCGACAAAAAAUUAGAAAACAUUCAUCACAAAAUGCGAACUCAUACAACAGAUGGGUUGAGAAGAUCCACACAUUGCAAUCAUACAAUCCAAUUGAACAGGGAUUACUCCCUAUUCUCCUCUCUCUCUAAAAAAGAUUUUCAUAUCGAUAACAUCUUAUUGCAAGGGACUUGUACAUCAAGUGGUGAAGAACAGAAAUUCAUAUUCUUUCAAUCAACAAAUUUCGAAGAAGUUUGUUUGUUUUAUUUUUGGGGGAAAAAAAUCUGAGCAUAUAUAGAUGCAUAUUAUACGUAGACCUAAGGUGAAAACAUACCAGAUUUUUACUCCAUUUUUCAUGAGGUUUAAGUUCUUGAUGUAUAUAUUUAUCUCAAGUGUAACAUCCCACAUUGAUCAACGGAGAGGGGGUGAUGUGCCUUAUAUGUACAUGCCAGCCUUCAUCUAGCACGAGGCUUUUUGGGAGCUUAUUGGCUUUGGAGUCAUAGGAACUCUGAAGUUAAGCGAGUUGGAGCUAGAGCAAUCCCAGGAUGGGUGACUCACUGGGAAGUUGCUUGUGAGUUCCCAGAAACAAAACCGUGAGGGCAGAGAGGAGGGCCCAAAGCGACCAAUAUCAUGCUACGGCGGAGCCGAUUCUGGGAUGUGAUAAUUUGGCAUCAGAGCUACUCUGCCGUGUGGUGUGAGUGUGCCGACGAGGACGCCGAACCCUUGAGGGGGGUGGAUUGUAACAUCCCACAUUGACCAACGAAGAAUGGGUGAUGUGCUUUAUAUGUAUAUGCUUGCCUAUAUCUAGCACGAGGCCUUUUGGCAGCUUACUGGCUUCCGAGUCAUAGGAACUCCGAAGUUAAGUGAGUUGGUGCUAGAGCAAUCCUAGAAUGGAUGACCUACUGGGAAGUUGCUCAUGAAUUCCCAGAAAAAAAAAGCUGUGAGGGCAGAUAGGGGGGCCCAAAACGGGCAAUAUCGUGCUACGGCAGAGCCGAUCUUGGGAUGUGACAUCAAGAAUUUAUAUCCUCCCUUUUCAGAUCUCAUGUUCCAGUCAAUACAUAACGAAACAUAAGAAACUAAAGUCUUGUUUAUACCCAUCCUCCCACCCACCCACGGCCAUCCACCCCUACCCCCUAUCUCCAUUAAAUCUACAAGUAGCUCAUCAAUUUCUCCACCAUCCCAAGUUCAAUAUACCACCCAACAACCAUCUUACCCAUCUUCUCAUUGAUCUUCCACCCAACAUCCAACACUAUCUUCAUAAACUCUUUAGCUUAAUCUCUCUGUUGCUUUUGUUUUUUGUUUUUUAGAAAUUAAAUUUUUUAGUUUAUUUUUUUGUUGGUACAAAUUCAAUGAUAAAGAACAUCGAACUCGUCGCAACAUCCUGUUCUAGAUCCAAGCUCUACCACCAUCACAACCCUCUCUUGACCUCCGACCAACCUUAACACCCAACUUCAAAUCUAGGUUGUUUGAAACCCAGCCCCCAACAACCCCCCCAAGUCAUCCCAUUGCAACUGACUUGUAGAUGAAGUAGUAAAGAACAAAAAGUCAUAUUCUUCCAAUCAAAACGUAUCAAGUCAAACAAAAUUUCUAGUUAGUUUGCUUUAUGAUAGUUGUUUUUUGAAGGGGUCCUUAGAUCCAAUCUCAAAAAGUUUGACUUUUAUUAUGUUUAACUCUAGUUUUUUGCAAUUUUUUUUUAUCUCUACCCACUAACUUUUAUCUCUCAUUUUUAUUACCCAUUUUACCCUUUAAAAUAAAUAUAGUAAUAAACUAAAAAUUCUGAUUUAAUGCAUGUUUUGCUCAUAAGAGAACUAAAACCUAAAAAUUCUAUACUCUUACACAAAAAAUAAAAAAUAAAAACUAAAAUUAAAAUGGUUAUCAAACAGACCCUUAUAUUACAAAAAACCUUAACUGACCACCUUAUAUGGCAACUGAUNNNNNNNNNNNNNNNNNNNNNNNNNNNNNNNNNNNNNNNNNNNNNNNNNNNNNNNNNNNNNNNNNNNNNNNNNNNNNNNNNNNNNNNNNNNNNNNNNNNNUAGCAUUCUAAAAAAAGUGGCCUCAUGGCAGCAUUCAUUAAUUGACAUGGCAUGACACAUCAGUUGCCACAUAAGGUGGUCAGUUAAGGUGGUCAAUGUUGUGUGUCCAAAUAGCAUUACUAAAAAAAAAUCAAAUAUUGAACUCAUCAUAAGAGAACACAGAAAAACCUCACUGCUUGCAACUCUUACACCACCACUACACGAACAGAACAACUGCUAAUUAAAAUGAGUCACAUGUCACAUGUCACAUGUGGUACUUAACUCUAAAAACUUAUUUAGAUUAUAUAUCCAUAUUUAUAUAUCCUACUCCUCGAUCAAAACAACCAUGAAACAUAAGUGACUUAAACCUCUAGGCAAAUGGACGGUAUAUAGCAAUUUAUAGAACAAUACAGUAAUCCAGAAGAAAUAUUAUGAAAUAAAAAAAAUAAAAAGUAAAAAAAGAGAAGGAAAGGAAUUCCCACCUGAUAUGUAUAUCUAUGAAAGGAAGGACCAAGUUUGUUUUGCCUUUGGUUAAUGACUAGAAAAGCUCACUUGUAUAUUGCUUUCUCCGGCCGUAGAUGCAAGAGAAAUUUUCUCUUAAUAAUAGCACAAUGAUCGGGUAAUCGUAAGAACAAGUUGAUUUAAAAUUCAGGUCAACUCAUAGAUUUCUUGCCUUUUCUAUUCUCCUUCCUUGGACACGAGCUGUUUAAUCUUGGAAUCUUCCCCCAUCAUGUUGGGCCAGUCUUCUUCUUGAGGAUUGUAUAGGCCCAGGAAAUGCUUGGAGGUAGUUUUUGUGUAUUGGGCCUUGAGACCCAACUUCACAAAAAGAAAACAGAUUUGACCAAAAAAACAAAUUUGAAGGACAUUGAAAUUGUACCUGUAUGAUAGGUUAAAACACUGUAAGGGAGGUAAAUAGUACGUUUACAGAGUUUAAGUGUAAUAAAGGAAUAAAAACAUGCCCAGAGCACUACUACAAUUUUUCCCUGUCCUGGCAACCCUUUGUGAUCGGUAAAAACACCAUUAUUGACGGAACUUCGUCAGUAAUUGCUUCUUGACGACUGCAGCGACGAAAAUGAGUAUAGUCAGUAAAAGUCCCGUCAGUGUUACUAUUACUGACCAACUUUUGCAACUUAUUCGUCAGUAGAGGUGUGUCUCUGACACAAGUCAUGAAGUGACUCUAAAUUAUUACUGACAAAACAAAUAGCCACUAUUAAACAAGCUUUUGUCAGGAUUAUUAUUUUAGGAUGGAGUACUAGUGGCAAAGAUUUGUCAAUAUUGUUUUCAACAAAAAAAAAAAUUCAGUCAAUUUGCUUCUGAGCUGAUGCGCCUUUAGAUAUCCUUUUCUGAAAUGUCUUUUGUUUUCUAAUAUAAUGGAUGUUUUUCUUUAAUAAAAAUUUAAUGGAUUCUGAAAAUGUAAUAACAAUUAUAAAUACUCAUAGAUUGAACCAUUCAACCCCCAUCCUUAUAAAUAUAAACUACCAAUGUCGAUUACAAUAGCCAAAUAUUACAAAGUCUGCCUACAUCAGUAGAGUUCAAAAACUUUAGGUGCCCUUACUAUACAAAAGUAUGCAAUUCCAAAUAUUCAACAAAUACACUACAAAAGCAUGCAUACCCCAAUAGGGUCCAAAAUACAACGUCAGCAACUAUAUAUACCAAAAAUGCAUAACACUAAGUAACUGCAUCUAUUCAAGUCCAUGAGUACCUUGAUCUGAUUCUAAAAAGUCUGUCUCACUUGGGUAUGCAUCCCCCCUCAGCAAUCCAGUUAACCCACCAAUAGGAGUAACUGACCUGGCUUGAUAAGGCAUUUGAUGGAACAUCUGCGGCGAGUAAUAUGACAUAUGGAAUGGGUUUGGCAGCUGCUGGUACAAUGGGUGAUGCGAAGCUGACGAGCACGAUAACAUCUGCCUCAUUUCCUCAAUCUCUUGCUGGUUAUGCUUCAGCAACUCUUGCGUCGCCUUCAAUUCAGAACGCCAAUGAUCCUGGUCAUGUUUGUACCUUUCUUGUAACUCUACAUACUGUGACUCAAGGUGAACAUAGUCGUGCCCUCGCAAUCUCUUGGAUGACCCUGCUUUCGUUUGAAUCCAAGGCACCUGAUGGGGUUUCACCCCAAGUCCUUCACCACGAACACUAUUAUUUGUCUCAGGACCCAUUGCCUCAACAUAAGCCCUUCUUCGUGUCUCUAAAUUAUCAGGACAUUCAUCUUCAACCAAUUCCUUCAACUUUUCCUGCAUUUCAGCCUAACAAAAACAAAAUAUAUAUCCUUCUCCAUCAAAUUGUGGUCAUCAUAGAACUAGCCCAAUAAACUCUACAAUGAUGAAUUGCAUUAUGUAAUAAAAAUUUAGGCCAAUUAGUCUUCUGGACCUCUACUGUUUUGUUUUUCAUAUGCUUAAACAAAUAAAAGAACAUAAAGAAUAGUGAACAAGAAAAAAAAACUACCUCCAAACAACUUUCCAUAUGCUUAAAAAAAAAAAAAAAAAAAAGUCAACCAAAACAAAAUAAGAGAAACAUCCUGGACUAUGGCUAACAAUUCCUCAUGAAAAUGAACUUAUAUAUAAUUAUUCCAAUAUAUAGUCCAUAUGCUUACAUAUUUCUGCUCAGCCACCAAGUUAACCCAUGAUCGAUCUUCGUCACGCCGUGUAUGCUUAUCUUGGAAAAACCAAAUAGGAUCGGGGUCUUCACCAUGUUUCUUAUUCUUAGCAUGCAAUCAAUAAAAUAAAAUAAGAUAAUCAAUUAGCUAACACGACCUCAUAUGCUCAAUAUUUGAAUAUAGUAAAGAGUAAACAUUCAAGUGCAUCAUCAAAACUGACAUAUUGUGCUUUGCUGCGAGCAUAAGACUUUGUUCUAGAUGUGUGAUUCAAUGUUUGUUUACUCCGAUUUUCAACAUUUCUUUUAGCUUGCUCCUUUUAUUAGCAAAAACAAAACAUACUUAAUCAUUGCACAGAUUAUAUAUACUGAGUGUUGUGUAAUAAUACGUACUGCAAUCUCAUCUUUUUCCCAAUGUUCAACCAACACCCUCCAUUGAUCUGGGUCUACACGAGAAUCCCCACAUUGCCACCGUCUUUUACUUCCUGUGAAAGGCUUAUAAUAAGCUUUCUUCAAAUCACUCUUGAAACUUCUCCACAAUUUUUCAAUAUUCUUCAUUGUUACAUCCUUGAAGACAUGAAUCAUAGGUUGUUGUUCAGGACGAAAUUCAAUGGUGCCCUGCAUCCACAAUAAGGUAGUCUUACAUCAAGUUGAAAUAUACCUAUUAAACUCAAUUUCAUGCAAUAAGUAUUCAAUAAUUUUAGGAAAACCAAACCCGUAGAGUGUCCCAGACAUCAAGUUUGCAAGAGUCUGGUACUUUUUCCCAUUUUAAAUACUUGAUCGGAAUUAGAUUGGCAUCCCGCGCCAAAAUACCCAUGUAUCUAGAAAAAUGGGGACUAUUGUCACUAAUAACUCUGCCAAAUGGAGAUAAAUCAACUGACUCUUUUUUGUUAUUUAGAAACCAGUUGCAUUUCCCUUGACCUCGACCUUGCUUCGCCUCCUUGCCUACAUGAAAAGUUAAUUUUAACUGAUCAAUACAACAAGAAAAUAAUAAGAAACUGUAAGGUAAUAAGUUUCUCACACAUUAUUCAAAUGAAAAAUUAGCAUAGCUAUUUGGAGAUGAUGUGAUCGUGAAACAUCCCAUAUUCAAUACAUUUGUAUAUGAUUAAAACAUACCAAUUUAUUAAAAGAAAAAGGAAAAGAAAACCAACAUACCAGUAGCACUUAUAGAACCAUCUCCCUCUAGACUAUCCCUAAAGUCAGCGUUGGGCCCUUCUUGUGAACUAUCUUGAGAACUGCUCAUCUAAAAAAUUUGAUAUGCAUAACAGUGAAGGGGUAACAAAUUAAUCAGACAUCAUUGGUAAAAGAAACUAUUACUUCAACAUUCUAAUACAAAACAAUCUACUAAAGAAAUUCUUGUACAAUAUUCUUAAAAUUACGUAGUCCAUUUAAGCUGACAGCUCAUCAAAAUACAUGAAAAAUUCAAUACUCCAUGUCAUCAUAAAGCUCAUCCUCGUUUUCAGUAGAGAGAUCGUCUGAAGACUGUUCAUCUUCUUCAUCCUCAUUUCCGGGCUCAUGCUCAUCUACCAUCUCAUCCAUAUCAACCCUAAUAUGAAAUUCCUCAUUGUCUAGCAGCUGAUCAUCAAGAUUCGGAAUGGCAUAAUUAUCAGUAGCACUUAAAAGGGUUAUCUAUAGUUGGAGCUAGAUCACUAUCUUCUAGCACAUCAAAAAAAUCUCUUGGUUGAGUUUGGGUUGGCACAUGCCAAUGACUGUCUUCUGGAUCUACAACAUAAAACACUUGUGUAGCUUGAGAAGCCAAUAUGAAAGUGUGUCUUUCGUUUGUCGCAACCGAUUGAAACUAACCAAAGGGAAACCAUACCCAUCAAACCUCAUCCCCCUAUCACUAGCAGUAUCAACCCAAUCACAGUUAAAUAAUGUAAUUUUCCGACCAUUAUCAUUCUGUUCUAUUUGACCCCCGUAAUUAAGUUCAUAAAUCUCUUUAAGAACACCAUAAUAAUCAACAUUGCCAAUUACUGGAUUGCGAUCUCUUGCGCUUGAGUAACUAGAUGUCUCUGCACAUUGAAAUACACCACUAUUCUGAUUCUUCUUUUUAUCGUCUACUGAUUUAAUCCGGAACCUACACCCAUGAAUUAUGUGAUUCUUAUACUUGUUCACAAAUCUACUAGGACCAAUUGAUAGCCAACGCAAGUCCUCAGAUAUUGACAGAUCAUGGGCUGUGUACAAUUUAGUAACCUAUAAUUUAAAACAACAACUAAAGUAAAUAACUUUAAUUAAAAAUAUGGUGCAGCAACAUAAAAUGAAUCAUAUUACAACUAAACAUACUUACAUGAUCCUUGAACCAAGUUGGAAAUAUCUUAUUUCUCAUCCCCUCAAUUUCCUGUAUGGUCUUCCGUCGAUUACUUUGUCUCAAUUCUUGGAAGCAUUUUCUGUUUUACAAUAUAAUAUAAUGACUUGUUAGUUAUUAAUUCAUAAUUGAGGAUUGAAAAAAAAAAAUAUCAACAACUUGCUUGUUUUUAUUCAUAAAUAUCUUACUCUAAAAAAGGGGAAACUUCAUCGCAAUUGAACAAGACCACUCUGCGACAUUGGUCCCAAACAUCUUUGUCAAGAUAUAUUUGUUCAGCUGAACCCUUAGAAUGACAUGAAGAGUCAAAAACUUUUAGCUCCCCAAUGACACCACGACCAAUACCAUCAGCAUUUCGACCCUUUCGAUUCCUUCGAGUCUCAACGUUGCUAAGAUACAUGGUACACAUAGCUAAUCCCUCGUCGACAAGAUAUCCUUGUUCCAUACUUCCUUCAGGAUAACUCUUAUUCUGAACAUAUUUCUUUAAUGUUUGUAGGUAUCUAAAGAUAUGGCAAAAUUGAACAUGUUAAUUUACAAUUAAAAUGGAAAACUAGAAAUAAUAAAUAAGAUUUGAACUAAUUACCUUUCAAUGGGAUACAUCCACCGGUAUGGGGCAGGCCCUGCGAUUGCAGCCUCAUCUGCCAAAUGCAUGAUUAAGUGUACCAUCACAACAAAGAAGGAAGGAGGGAAUAUCUUUUCCAUCUGGCAUAAUGUCACUGCAAUCCGAGGUUUUAAAGCCAUGUAUGACGCUUCAUAUUCCUUCUUACUACAUAACCGUCUAAAAAUUGCACUUAGCUCAAGCAAAACAAUGGUAACAGCUUUUGGUAAUACUCGUCGUAUUGCAAGGGGCAGCAGCUGUUGCAUUAUAAUAUGAUAGUCAUGACUUUUCAAUCCGUGUAUUUUUCUCUCAUUCACAUUAACACAUCUAGACAGAUUUGCAGAAUACCCAUCAGGAACUCUCACAUUUGCCAAGACUUCGCAAAACAUUGUUUUUUCCCUUUUCCUCAUGUCAAAAAGUGCUGGAUCAAAAACUUCCUUACCUUUCCCAUUUAUAUAAGGGUGCUGUUUUCUCCUUAUAUUCAAAAUUUGAAGGUCCUUACGAGCUUUUAUUCCAUCCUUUGUCUUCCCAGGAAUAUUUAACAGUGUACCUAAAAUGUUUUCACAAACAUUCUUUUCAAUAUGCAUUAGAUCAAGGUUAUGCCGUAUCAAAAGAUAUUGCCAAUAUGGUAACUCAAAGAAUAUGCUUUUCUUCUUCCACUGAACUUUGUUACUAUUUAUAUUCGUUGUGGGAUAGGUAUUUGUAUUCCUAAUGGGACAAGAACAUUUUUUGGGUUUUCCUUGCCCAACAAAAACAGCUGACUUCUUUUUGGGUUUUCGAAAUGUGAAUGUCAAACUUGACAAUUUUUCUAAACACUGUGAACCUGUCAAGGGAAUAGGUGGAAGAGCAUGUUCUUCCUUACCGUUAAAGGCUGCUUUAUCUCUUCGAAACCUAUGUUGUAUAGGUAGAAAUCUCCGAUGACCCAUAUAACACAUCUUACUACUAUUUGCCAAAUGCAUUGAGACUGUAUCAUCCAUGCAAUGCGGACACGCUUUCUUCCCCUUCGUGCUCCAUCCUGAAAGAAUUGCAUAUGCGGGAAAGUCAUUAAUCGUCCAUAACAAUGCAGCCUUCAUUGUAAAAGUUUGGUUGGCAAACACAUCAAACGUCUUAAUACCAACCUCCCACAACUCUUUCAACUCAUCGAUUAAAGGCUUCAAAUACACGUCAAUAUUAUUGCCAGGCCCAUCAGGACCAGGAAUUAUUAACGAUAACAAUAAAUUUGGUUGCUUCAUACACAUCCAUGGAGGCAAAUUAUAAACUGACAGUACAACAGGCCAUGUACUAUGGGGUUUGUUCAUAUUUGAAAAGGGAUUAAACCCAUCACUUGCAAGCCCCAAUCGCACGUUGCGUAUCUCCGAAGAAAAUUCAGGGUAUAAGGAAUCUAAAUGCUUCCAUGCACGAGAAUCUGAUGGGUGCCUCAUGAAUCCAUCUUUAGGACAUUCGGUUGCAUGCCAUCUCAUAUCUUCAGCGGUAUGCUUCGACAUAAACAAUCUUUGCAACCUUGGUUUUAAUGGAAAAUACCGAAGAACCUUGGUUGGAACCUUAGCUGAUGUGUUCUUACUCAAAGAACCUCCCACAAUAUUGACUUUGUACCUUGAGGCACCACAAAGUGCACACUCAGUCAAGUCUGAUGUAUCUUUCCAAAACAGCAUACAAUCAUUGGGGCAAACAUCAAUCCUCUUGACUGUAAGUCCCAACUCCCUAAUGAUUUUUUUAGCAUCAUAAUUAUUUUUUGGUAAACAAUUCCCCUCUGGCAACAAUUGUUUAACCAAUUGUAACAGCAUUGUAAAGACAUUAUCGCUUCCCUAAACAUUUAAUCUGGAACAGUCUUACAACAGAAUACAAUUUCUUAUAUUUACACCUAGGGUACAACUCCAUAUCUGCUUCUUCAAGUAACUUAUAAAAUAUUUCAGCCUCAGGUGUUUGGCCAUCAAAGAUAGGUGGCUCUGUCGAAGUCCCAACAGUUUCUCCAAUUAUUGGUUGCACAAAGGCUUCAUUGAGAAAAUCAUGAAUGUCAUCUAUACAAACUUCUUCAUUAUGAACUGAUUCUAUAUCCUCUUGGAAUGGUAAAUUUGUCAUGGGCUCCCCAUGAUGCCUCCAAGGGCCAUUCAUAUAUGUGGGAUCCAUUCCUUUUUCUAUAAGAUGAAGCUGGAUGAUGUUUCUUUCAUAGUGAUAACGGUUACAACAUUUUUUGCAAGGACAUAUGACCCUCUCUCCAAAACCCACUUUGGCAAAGACGUCAUCUAAAAACAUUCUCAUUCCGUCUGCGUAUUCCUUACAAUUUCUCCUUAAAUGUACCCAACUUUUAUCCAUAGUUCACCUAUAUUGAGUGCAAGGCACCAAAUACAAUUAUUCAGCACAGAUCAUCCCUCAUACUUAUUGUCUAUAAAUUCCUAUCAGGUGGGUCAAUUUAUUAUCCAUUAGAUGACCCUCAUGACCAUCUACAUCAAUUCACAAGAAAAACCAAAUUAAAAUAACAAAAACCUGAGUCUAAAGAAUAUAUUAACUAAGAAAUUGCACAUUCAUUCAACUGAAGAAAAGAACUAUAACACCAAACAACUAGACCCACUUAAUAGCUAAAGAAACUCACGUCAUAACAACAAAGUAUACAUAUUAAACAACAUAUCAACUCAUAGAUAAAAGCCCGAUAAUCUCAAUACUAUGAACAAUCUUAUUCAAAAAUAAUAAGAUAACAGCAACAUAAUAGAAAAAAGUAAAGGGAAACACACCUGGAUUCUAAGUUUCCAACAACAAUUCAACACUCCUGCAGUAGAUUAAUACAUACAUACCCACAUAUCAAACUUCACCAACAAAUAAUAAAAAAUUAAAACAAGAGCUUUGAAAAAUCAAAGGAUUCGUGUCACAUCCCGGAAUCGGCUCCGCCGUAGCACGAUAUUGUCCGCUUUGGGCCCCCCUCUCUGCCCGCACGGUUUUGUUUCUAGGAGCUCACGAGCAACUUCCCAGUAGGUCACCCAUCCUGGGAUUGCUCUAGCCCCCAACUCGCUUAACUUCGGAGUUCCUACGACUCCGAAGCCAGUGAGCUCCCAAAAGGCCUCGUGCUAGAUGGAUGCGGGCAUGCACAUAUAAGGCACAUCACCCCCUCUCCGUUGGUUGAUGUGGAAUCUUACAAUCCACCCCCCUUAAGGACCCGACGUCCUCGUCGGCACACUCGCACCACACGGCAGAGUGGCUCUGAUACCAAAUUGUCACAUCCCGGAAUCGGCUCCGCCGUAGCACGAUAUUGUCCGUUUUGGGCCCCCCUCUCUGCCCGCACGGUUUUGUUUCUAGGAGCUCACGAGCAACUUCCCAGUAGGUCACCCAUCCUGGGAUUGCUCUAGCCCCCAACUCGCUUAACUUCGGAGUUCCUACGACUCCGAAGCCAGUGAGCUCACCCCCUCUCCAUUGGUUGAUGUGGGAUCUUACAAUUCGUUUAUAUCUUGGAAUAAAAUCAGUAUUCUAAUUUUUAUAUCUAAUUGGAAGGAUUCAUGGGUCAUUACCUACACUAAAAUACUUGAAAAAAUAAAAUAAACAAACAAAAUAAGAACAAAAAUUUCACCAGAACAGAGGCACAAAAAUCUCACCAAAACAGAGGGCCUCUUUAAUGAAGGACAACCAAGUCAGCCCCAAUUGAAAAGAGCAAAGAACCCCCAGAUUUAAUCUCUCUCUCAAUCUGAAUCAGCAACCCCAAUUGAGAAAAGCAAGGAAAACCCCCCAAAUUUAAUCUCUCUCUCUCAAUCUGAAUUAGCAACCCCAAUUGAGAAGAGCAAGGAAAACCCCCCAAAUUUAAUCUCUAUCUCUCUCAAUCUGAAUGAGCAGACACGAAAAUCACUACCACACAUGACUCCAACUCCAUUAGCUAUGAGGAAGAAUACAAUUCAUUCUUCAAUGAAAAGAAGAGGGAAGAGAUGGCCGGUUUGGAGGAAGUAGAAAAGCUCAAGUAAACAAUUGAAGUUUUUUAUAUAUCAAUAGGAAAAUUUUGAAGUUAAAAAUUAUAUUUAAGAAUAGUAUUGGCAAUCGAACUCGUCAGAAAAAAAGUUGGCUUCCUGGUGUCUGAAAAUUUAGGCGCUUAUGUUUUCACUUCCCGCGUUAAAAGAGACUGGCGCAGUGUCUCGUCAGUAAAGGUAGUAAUGACAAAAGACUUUGUCAGUAUUAUUUACUAGUGAAAAAUCACUUUAUUUUGCUAGUAUUUGGUCUCAGUACUGACUAAGCUGCUCUUUCAUCAGUAUUAGUCCGUCAGUAUAAGCUAAAAUUGUAGUAGUGAGAGGAUUGAUAAGUGAUAUUAAUUCUUGAAUAUACAGAAUGUAAAAUAAAGGAACACGUAAAAAAUUAUUUUAUGUGGUAAAACUCCAUCUCUGGGGAAAAUCCACGGGACUUCUUAGUCCAAAACAAAUCCAUUAUAGAAUGAUGAUUACAAGAAGUACUCACACACUUAUCCUAGACACAUUCUAGAUAAUGUUUACUGACCUCUUCGUAACUCAACUUCUGUCUCGAGAUGAUCUUUCAACACUCCUUAUGUUGAACGCAAUAUUGGUCACGAUUUCUUCAAGCUCGUCAGAGUUCUUCCAACUCUCCUAAUAUUGAAUCCGAUACUAGUCACGAUUGAUUCAAGCUCAUCGUAGAAAAACCGUCACAAUGGUCUUGGUGCCCUCAACCGUAUGAGUCAUUAAACAUGCAAAUGAAUACAUAUAUGAAUGAUAAAAGUGUUUGAUAAAUCACUGAGUUAUGGAACACUUGAUGAUUUAUCUCAAAUAAAAACUCAGCUUUAAUGCUUUCUAAACAAAGAAGACGAAGGUCUUACUUUAUAGACUUUUUCUUUACAAGAAAGAAAAUAAGUUGGAAACCAAAUCUCCAAUUUCCAAGGCAAAAUCACAAAAGUAUCUUUCCUAUUCUAGAGAUUGGUCACAUGUAGUCCAACCAAUAGGAAAUGAGAUAUUUAAGAAAGGAAGAUUUUGAUCAAUAUCAAUAUCAAAUGAAUUCUUAUACGCCUAGUCAACUAUUAAGGGUAUCUUGACUCCUUGAUAUUUUGAUAUGAUUGAAACAUGAUUUCCAAGUUAGAAAAUUAAGGGGUUGUUAAAACAUGAAAGUAAUAGGAGAAACAAAUUUAUUUGAACCAAAAUUGCCCAAAAAGAAAACACUCCUAAAUAAACUUCAAUUCACUUUAGUAAAACAUGAUUGAAUCGUUCGUUAAAACAAUUCCCUAAUAUACAUGCAUGAUAAUGACAUCACUUACCCCUGAAUCAAAUUUGUUAAUGUAUGCAUUUUGAGUUUUUUUUUCUUUUGGCUUCCCUUGACAAUUUUGUAAUAGGAAAAUCAUUGUAGUUUCUCAAGCUCUAAGUUUAGAUUAAGAAUUACUUCUCUAGGUGUUCUUAUCUGCCUACAUUCUGAUGGAAAACAAUGCGUUUGACAAAGGUAAAUUCUGCAUUACACUACAUUGCAUUCACUAAAUUUCUUAAGAUUAUGACUAGUCAUCUUUCUUUCGUAUGACUAGUCAUCUUGCAUUCGUAUGACUAGUCAUCUUUCCUUCGUAUGACUAGUCAUCCUUUGUUUCAAUUAGGAUUUCCAGCUCACUGUUUCCAGCUGGGGCUUAAGCAUUUUUUUGUCCUUUUCUACGAAUUUCUCAGCUUCCAUGUGUCUAUUCUGACCUAGGAAUUUUUGGUAAAAGCCAUAGAAUUCCUCAUUUGGCAGCCGUCACUUUUGGGGACAAGUUGUGGAAAGUUUCAUAGCAAACUUUCGCUUCUUCUUCCUCAAGAGUAACCUUCAUAUUUUUCAUCUUUGAGUUCUCUAAAUUGUUUCUUUUUGAAAACUGCAUUUGAAAUAUGAAAACUUCAUCUUGCUAGAUCAAACACUCUAUCAUAUACAUCUAGGUCAGAUUCAAGAUUGAUUUCUUCAAGAGUAUGGUUUCUUGAAGAAAUUGGUCAUUUUCUCCAUGAAUCCAAAUUUCAUUUCUGUCUGAGUUAGAGCUUGCAAGCUGGUGCCAUGGGAUGAAUGAGCUGAAGAAGGAGCUGCCAUUGCCAUGAAGAACUGAGCUUCAAGCUUUGCUAAGUUGGAGAAGAAGAUUGCACAAAGGAGAUAUAGCAUCUUCCUAAAUAGACCUAGGAAUUUCUUGAGCUUGCUAGUGUUCUUUGUAAGAAUCUUUUUGCUUAGUGGAUUGCCUGGUCGGUUGAUGACCCCCAGUUUUUCCCAAUGGUGGGUUUCUGGGUGAACAAUAUCUGGUUUCCAUCUCUGUAGAUUUUUUGGGUUUGUGUUCUUGAUAGUUGACUAGUCAUCUGAAUUUGUGUGGUUGACUAGUCAUCUUUUUCUGCUGUUUGGUGUUUUCUUGAUUAUGUUGUCUUCACACACUUUUACCAUAGUUGUUGCUAGCACAAGGGAUGCCUAGAUUGAUGGGUCCUUCUGAGUGCCUAGGUUGUCACUAGUAAUUCUCUAGGCCUGCAGGUACAUCUUGGUAUGCUUUGUGUAUGUUAUUGUUUGGUUUAAUUCAUAUCUAACAGUUGACUAGUCAUAAGAGUAUUUGGUCAAGGUCUAGAGUGUGUGAAGUUUGUUGCGUUCUUGAUUGAAUAUCUUUUAAAUUUACCCUUCGUCACCUAAUUACCAAUUUGCAGACUCCACAAAUGAAGAAAAGAGCACAAAUAUCGUGAAUGCUAUUGGGAAUGGAAAGGGCAAACCUGUUCAAAAAGGGUAUGGAGGGGGCGUUAGACUUUACGUUCAAAAAGGGUAUGGAAAACGUCCUCCUCCAUCUGACAGUCAACUACUCCAUUAUAAAGACAUAGCUAUUUUCUUCUUCGAGAAAGACAUGCGCCCUGGCUCAACAAUGAAGUUCCAAUUCCCUAGAAAUUCAAACACGGCUACUUUCCUGCCACGCGAAAGUGCUCAAUCGAUCCCCUUCUCCUUUAACAAACUACCAGAAAUUUUCAACCAUUUUUCAGUGAAGCCAACAUCUGUGGAAGCCAAAACAAUUAAGCAAACAAUCGAAGAGUGUGAAGCUCCAGGCAUUAAGGGAGAUGAAAAAUAUUGCGCCACAUCUUUAGAAUCAAUGGUUGAUUUUAGCACUUCGAAGCUUGGAACAAGAAACGUUGAAGCAGUCUCGACGGAGGUAUUGGAAAAAGGAGCCACCAUGUCCAUGCACAACUAUACAACAAUGCCGGGACUGAAGAAGUUGGCAGGUGACAAAGUCGUUGUGUGUCAUAAGGAGAACUAUCCCUAUGCUAUGCUAUGUUUUUCUGCCAUGCAAUAAAACAAACAGCAGCUUAUGUUCUCUCCCUGAAAGCCGAUGAUGGGGAGAAGGUUAAAGCUGUAACCAUCUGCCAUCUAGACACAUCAGAAUGGAACCCAGAGCAUUUGUCCUUCCAAAUCCUCAACGUUAAGCCCGGAACCGUUCCUAUCUGCCAUUUCAUUUCCACUGAUGCUAUUGCCUGGGUUCCAAAACACAAAUCUGCAUGAUCAUCACUUAGCACUGUACGUAUAAUAAGCUUGGUUGGGUUGCACCCCUGUAUAAUUAUCUCCCUACUUAUUUCUGCCUCUUCAUCAUGUGGUGUAAGAUAUAUGAUGAAAUGAAGUUUUUGGGAUUAGUGGUCGGGUUGCCUGAAAAACACAGAUUAUAGAAACUGCUUGAAAUUAACCCGAUCAUGUUUUCUCUUGUAACGAUAUAGACUUCAACUUGUACUCAUAAUAAAGCAUGCUAUAUUUAUGAAGAGAUAUUAAUCUAUAUAUGCUUUGGCUUUGUGGUUUUACCCAGUGUUUGAAUGUUGAAUUGUUACGUUGGAAUAGGCUGCUAAUGCAUGUAGUUAGAGAAGCCUUCAUUUAUAUCAAAGUCCUCAAACUAUCAAGAACUAAUGUAUCCAGAAACACAUACCAAGACGCAAAACAACAUAUUUUCCAUGCUGUCUGUAACACCAAAGCAAACUUCCUUUAUCACAUCAUUUAAAGGAUCAAAUUCCAGUACUAAUCUAAUCCAUUAUGUAAAGCAUCAGGGACAGACUCAAGAUUUCAAAAUGGAGUGGGCUAGAUUUUAGGUCCGGCUAAACUUUAUAGGGAGACUUAUGAAAUUAAUCAUAAUAUUAUAUAAAUUUAAUUUAAAAACAUAUCAUUUUUAUUUUAUUUAUUUAAAGAGUCCAAUUUUACACCAACAAUGUCAUCAACAAUUGAUUAUAUAUGCUUAAAAUUAACAUUAGUUGACAACUCACAACUCAUAUUGCAACUUAUUUAGUAUAUGUGUUUUAUACUAACAAUAACAAAAGAAAAACACUUGACUGGGCUAUAGCCCAGUUUGUACACAUUGCAGGCCCGUCCUUAUAAAGCAUACAAGUGCCUCCCUAAAUUUGUCCGUUGGAUAUAUAUAUGUCACUUUUUAUUUUUUGAUAGAGAUAUAAAUGUUGAGAAAAUUAGAGUACACAACUCUAAUAUCAUAAAGCAAACAAAAUUUCUAAGUUAGUUUGCUUUAUGAUAGUUGUUUUUUGAAGGGGUCCUUAGAUCUAAUCUCAAAAAGUUUGGCUUUUAUUAGGUUUAACUCUGGUUUUUGCAAUUCUUUAUCUCGUAGUGGCAAUGUUCAAAUGCGAUGAGAUUUCUAAUUAAUACCUCUGUAUGAUCGCUUAUUUUCAAUCUUGGAAUUUCAAGAGUCCGGUCAGCAAAUCUAAUAAGGUAUUCGUUGAUCCCUCAUUCAACUUGAUCCCUGCCCUGUGUAGCUCUGUGAUGCUGGGUGUGUUUAUAGUUAUGAGUUUCCUGUCAUCAAUUUUUAGGGCUAUUCGUUAUAUGAGUCCCUGAACUUAGACUCGAUUUGCAUUUUAGUCCCUCAAUUUCCAAAAUCGUUUCAGUGGUCCUUCAACUUCAGUUUCGUUAGGACAAAUGGUCCUGCCAUCAAACGAUUAUAAAGUGGAAAAAACAAGAACAAAAAGGGAAGUGAGUUAAAUUUGCACCUACUAUGUUCAAACGACAAAGUUGGUUUCCCUUUGGUUGAUUACAAGAGAAGUGAAAGGACCCGCCCGAAUUUUCUCAAAAUCCGAGACAAACCCUUUGGAAUUCCUGACAUCACCCUGAUGCCAGGCCCACUUACUAAAAACCGAGACCUCCUGCCGAAAUUUCGGCAGAGUCUCCCCUAUAAAUUGGACGUUUCCCAAAAUUUAUACCUGCAUAAAAACGCAUUUAAUAUUCCCAACUGGCAGCAUGCACAAUAUAAUUUCAUGCAAUUCACACAAAUGGCCUUCGGCCUUUCAAUAAUUCAUAUCCAACUACCAAACCAUUCAAAUACCAAAUAUGACUAACAUUUAGUCUGCGGCUGCACCUAAUAACCCUAGGCUGCCUACGUACCCUCCUUGAGGGAUCAAGCCACACGUAGUUCUUCCCUAAAACCCAAUUCCACACUUGGGCGAUACCUUAUUUCAUUUCUCUGGAUUUCAUAUAAUCUCCCCAUACGCCGGUACAACCAACGCCACGUAUGGGGCCUGUCAACACGCCGGAUAACCUACGCCACGUGCGACCAUGCCAUACUAUCAUAAUAUCUCCCCAUACGCCGGUACAACCAACGCCACGUAUGGGGCUUGUCCCAACGCCGGAUAACCUACGCCACGCGGGACCUCAAUAUUCAUAUCACAAAUCUCCCCAUACACCGGUACAACCAACGCCACGUAUGGGGUCUGUCGACACGCCGGAUAACCUACGCCACGUGCGACCUCACACAAUAUCACAAUAUCUCCCCAUACGCCGUACAACCAACGCCACGUAUGGGGUUUGUCUCAACGCCGGAUAACUACGCCACGUGAGACCUGAAACAUCAUAUUACAAAUCUCCCCAUACGCCGGUACCACCAACGCCACGUAUGGGGCCUGUCCCAACGCCGGAUAACCUACGCCACGUGGGACCUAACUUUCACUUGGUGGUGCUUGUAGUGAAUCCAAAAUCCGGGGAGGUAUCUAAAGUAGUGCGUUUAGCACUCCAAACUGACACUCUAGACUCUGUUGUACCCUUGUACAACCAUAUAUAAUUAUAGUUAUAUAAAUUAAUUCUAAUAUUGUGUAACCCUCCACAAUAGUCUAGCUCCCGAUAAUCCCCCCCUUAGAAAGGUGAGAUUACUCCGGGAGACUCACGGUCAACCAAGGGUCAAACUACUCUAACCCUGGUCAACCGGACCUGCAGAACCCACUACCUCCAAUUUCCGAUCCGAAAGUCUCUAUGGGUUCUACCAGGUAUAGGACACUUGUCCUGCAAGUUUGGUUCAAAUCGGACGGUCGGAUUUCUCACGAUCGCACGAUCUGACGGUUAAUAUAAGAUAUAAAAUUAAAAUUAUUAUUCGGAACAUCCGGGGUUCCGAUUCAUGAUCCGUAAAUUCCUACACGAUCCUAGAAAUACCUAGAUUAACAUAUAUUAAAUUUGGGACCAUCCAACGGUCCCAACCUAUCGAACUCGGAUAACGCACACUAUGCGAUUAUCCGUUCGAUAGUCAAACGACGUCCGAAUUGAGAUCCGCGAAAUCCUACGCACUCGUGACAACCUAAGGAUCUCAUCGGAACACAUCGCUACAUUUUCUACAGUGCCCACGCACCGGCAGUGCGUGGGUGCCCAAAGCGAUAACGCUUCGCCGGAAAAUCUCAAAACCACGGCUCCAAACUCCUACCCUAGGUAUAACACCCUAUUUGGAGCCACUUUUGUUUUGGACCUACCCCAAAAAGUGGCCGGAAAUGGCCAAUCACGGCGGCCGAAGUUUCGGCCGAUUUUCAAUUCGAAAAUUGAGUUGCCUACGCUAAGAAUCGAUCUAAUCCUACCCAACCAUCAGCUAGAGCAGCUCGAGAGGUUCAAAAUCCAUACCUGGGUCGACGGAUUUGGUGGCCGGAGGAGGAGGAUCGACGGCGUUGAAGUUCCGGCGACAUCUGGGCGAAAAUCGCCAUUUUCCGGCGGCUGGAGCGGCGGCCGAUGGCGGGGAUGGGCUGGGUCGUGACGCCGAGGUCGAGCCGGUUCUUUUGACACCGGCCCCGUCCGCAGCCGCGGCCGGUGGCCGGAGUUACGAAGAGAGAGAGAGGAGAGAGAGAGAGGAGAGGCCGACGGGAGAGAGAGAGAGAGGAGUCUCGCAGGAGAGAGAGAGAGAGAGAGAGAGAGAGAGAGAGAGAGAGAGAGAGAGAGAGAGAGAGAGAGAGAGAGAGAGAAACCAGAUUUUAUAAAAAAAAUCCCAUUUCGAAAUAUUUACGAUUAUGCCACUGGACUUCUUUUGACCAUAUCUCUCUCGUUACAACUCCGAUUCGAGCCCACUACGUGUCUGUGAACUCGUCUCAGUACGACCUAUCCAAAAAUAUAAGUCACGGUCCCAAACUCUCUCCGGUUAAAAAUAUGACUAAAAUACCCUCAAAGCAGCUUACUUGGUUCCUCUAGUAGAUGGAAAUAUAAUUUUUCUAGCUAAAUUUCUCAAAUGGUCCUCAAACUUGUACGCGAUUUACAUUUUGGUCCAUCAAUUAAAUUAUUAGUCCAAAUGGUACAUAAACUCUAUUUUAAUCGCCCAUUUGAUCGAACCGUCUAAUUUUCUGUUAGAUUUAACCAAAUUUUAGGGUAAAUAUGACUUUUCAUAAUUAACAAAUAAAAUAGGAUUAAAAUAAUUAAAUACAAAAUUAGAAAAAAAAAAUGAAGAAAAGGAGGAAGAACAGAAGAGGAAGAAACCCAGAAGAAGAGGAAGCGGACAAGGUUAUUGCAAUGGCUUUCUUAAGUAAAAUUGGGAAUAUACUCAGAUGGACUGCAAAGAAGCAUAUCUGAUCUGAAUUAUCUCCUUUCAAACUAUCUAUCCAUCAAGCAGUAAGAUGCAUGUCAAACAUGGUGAGUUCAAAACUCUUAUUGGAGGUAUUUCGUACCAAACAGAUGAGCAGAGUCUGAAGGAAGCUUUUGCAAAAUAUGGUGAAGUUAUUAAUGCAAGAAUCAUCAGUGACCGUGAAACUGGUAGAUCUAGAGGAUUUGGGUUCAUCACUAGCGAGGAGGCAUCCAGUGCAAUCCAGGCCUUGGAUGGGCAUGAACUUCAUGGCCGUCGAGUAAGGGUGAAUUAUGCUACUGAUAGACCUCGCCCUAACUUCGGUGAUGGAGGUGGUUUUGAAACUGCUAGCACUGGAGGUGGUUUUGGCAAUAACAUCAAUUUGGGUGUUGCUGUUGCUGUUGGUGGUGCUCAUAACUUUGUUGGCGGUGCUGACAACAGCUUUGGCAGUGGUGGAGCUCAAUUGGGAGAGAACAAAGGUGGUUUCAGCUUGCAUGAUCCCUUGAAAGGAAAUGAUAAGGAUGAUGAUGAUGAUGCCGGCAACUUUCUCAAGAGGGCUUGAUAAUAUUUAGAUAAGAGGAGCGAUUUAGUUUGCUUCUAUGCAGAGCUACUAGUAGAUUGUCUUUUUGUUACAGCUGCAUGUCCCCCCUCCCCGUCUUUCUAAACUAUUAAUUUCAUUUGGCGGAAUUUUCUGUGAAUUUCAUGCACCUUUUAGUGUGCUUUGUCAACUAAGGACCUGGAUUGUGGGAAAAAAAGAAGCAAAAAAAGAAGAAACCAGGAAGAAGAAGAAGAAACCCAGAAGCAAAAGAAGAAGAAACCCAGAAGAAGAAGAGAGAGAGAGUUGGUGGAUGCAAUGACCAAGUUGCCCUCAUAUUUAACGGAAAUAUUGAUAGAAUGUAACGGUAGGAUCAAUGAAGCGAAUAAUAUAGAGUUGAUGUACCAUUUGGACUAAUAAUUUAAUUGAGGAACCAAAAUGUAAAUCGAGUAUAAGUUUGAGGACCAUUUGAGUAAUUUACCCUAAUUUUUCUCCUAAUAAUAAGGGUUUAGUGCAAUCAAUGAUGGGCUGUAUAGAACAACUUUUUUGUUUUAUAUGUUUAUGUGAGACAAGUUUUGCCAGAUUGAAUUAAUGUCUUCUAGCUAUGUACCUUAUCUUUUUGCCGGGCCAUGAGUUGAAUGUAGAGGCAGAGCAUGGACUUGGGGUCAAGUUUGACUUGUAAAAAAUUAGGAAUUGAAUGGCUAAUACGUUCAAUUAUUUAUUUAUUUAUUUAUUUUUGUCCGAGCCAUUCAAUUCCUAAUUAUUUAGAUUUUCAAUCCAGUGAGCAUCCACAAUCAUGCUCUCUAUUUUUAAGUUAAAUUUUAGCUAAAAACAUAUAAAAGUUAUUUUAGGAGCUCUCUAUAAAAUUUAAACUUCAAUCGUUUUCUCUAGUUUAGGGAGUCAUAAAUGCCAUAACUCUUUUUUGAUUGGUCUAUCUCUAUUAAAAAAUAAAAUAAAAAAUAAUUAGCAUUAAAUAAAGAUUUGAAAUACUCAUUAAAUAAAGCAACAUUAAAUUAUAGGGAGCCACUAGGAGUCCUUUCUCUCUCCUCAAGUUUAGGAGCUCCUAGAGGUCUCCCUAUUUUAAGAGGUGGAUAGGGAGUAUGGUUGGAAUUGUAUUUUUACAAUUCCUCCCUAAAAUUUGUCUAAGGAGGUGGUUUAGGGAACCCAUUGUGGAUGCUCUCAUCUCAAAGAAAGAAAACCUCAAGUUUGCAAGCAAGUUUUCUACGUAUGUAUAUAUGAAAAAAUGAUAUGAAAAUAAUAAAUCCAUAUUUUUAUGUAAGCCAACUUUCUAAAUCCAUGUACUAUAUUUAUUAGGGAAAUAUUGGAGAAACUGAUUAUUUUGAAAAAUUAAAUGUGAAAAACUGAACAAAAAUUUGACAGGUUACAUAUUUCAACUCAUUCAGCAGCUUAGGUUGUGAAGACCUAAGCAACAAAUCUGCUACUGGGGUGUUGGGGUUUUCUACGUCAUGUGGAGCUUCAUUGCUGCAUCCUUCCACUUCCAUUAUGUGUUGUUCUGAUUCUAAGUGAUGAGGGUAUUAUUGGCACCAUAAUAAACAAAUCAUUUCAAGAUGGUUCCUUCAAAAAUUUAGAAAACAUGCAUCACGAAAUUUUUUAGAAAACAUGCAUCAUGAAAAAAUUACGUGAACAAUAUACUUACACCAUGGGAUCACUCCCACAUAUUGUAACACCCCGACUCCAAAUUAAAUGAUUAUUUUAAUCGAUUUUUAUAAAAUUACGAAUUUACCCUUGGGAUAGGGGUAACUUGGUCACUUUCUUCUUCGGAAGGAUUUUUGGACCAUGAGUGGUAUUUCUGGGUAGUUGGUACCGAGACGAAUUCGUAGACAUGCGGUAGGCUUGAAUCGGGGUUGUAACGAAAAAGUUACGGGCAAAAUAGUGUCAGUGGCAAACUUGUAAAUAUUUCGAAAAGGGUUAGGGUAAAAAUCAGAUUUUUCCAGUUUUACCUCACUUUCUCUCUCUUCCUCCCGAUUCUCUCUCUCUCUCCCGCGUCUCUCUUCCUUCUCCGAUCUGCAGAUCGCAGAGCCGCCGCCACAGGCCACGGCUAGCCCCGAGACCGGACCCAAAACGAUCGGCCAAACCUCGCCGACGUCCCCCGACCCAUCUCCAGCCGCCAGCCGCCGCCUCGUCGCCGGAAACCACGGAUUUCAGGCCGAUUCUUGUCUGAGCUUCCAGUCGAUCGUUCUCUCUCCUCCGAGCACUAUUUCAGACGGGUGAGGUAUGGUUUCUCAUCCAAUUUUUGAGUUCUAGCUGAUGAUGGUAUAGGUUUUCAUUGAUUUUGAGUCUAGAAAACCGAUUAGGAAUCUAGGUUUUGGGCCGAAUUUCAAAAUGAAAUUCUGGCCAGUUGCCGGCCGAAUUGGAGCUUCUCGUAGUUGAAUGAAGUGAUCCUGACCUCGAGUAGAAGCUAGAGUAGGAAGGGUGAGCUCGGGUGUGGAGUUUUUCCGUCACCGGAAUUACUCUGCACACCCACGCGCUGCCGGCGCGUGUGGCGGUGCGUGGGCGAGUCUGGUGAGGAUGUAAAUUGACCCGAUGAGAUCCUUAGGUUGUCACGAGCGCAUAGGAAUUCGCGGAUCUCGAUUCGGAUGUCGUUUGGCUAUUGAAACGGAUUUUCGCAUAUUGUGCGUUAUCCGGGUUCGAUAGGUUCCGACCGUUAGAUCUUUCCCAAAUUAAAAUAUGUUGUUCUAGGUAUUCCUAGGACCGUAUGGGACUUCACGAAUUCUGAAUCGGAGCCCCGGAUGUUCCGAUUCAAAAAUGCAAAGUUUGCGGGUUAGCGAUAACCGUAAAAUCGUGAACGCUUCCUAAACCUGUAAUCGGACCUUAGGGUACCAUCUUCGACGUGCACGUAUGGGAAUUUGGGGAGUUAAGCAUUUAAUUUGUAAUUUCCGCUUAGACGUGGUUUUUAUAUUAAUUAACGGUUCGUAUUUCGAAAUAGGUAUUUCGACUGCACGCACGCAGCAAGCAGGACCUUCACGUGGUCAGGCAGCGAGGGAAUACUUGUGAGUGGACUUUGUUUUAAUCAUAUGCCUGGUUUUAAUUAAUGAAAGAUUUUGCAUAAUGUUUUAAUGGCUUCUGGAUUUUAUGUAUUAUAUGCAUGAAUUAAUUUCAAUGGGUGUAUAGCAAUUGGCAAUAUAUUAUGAGUUUGGCCUUUUGGGUUUUGAGAGUGUAUUUCAUGUAUAGAUUGGGGAAGUAUAUUUUGAUAUAUAUAUAUUCUUUUAGAGGAGAUAUUUGGGUUGUUGGAGAGUGAUAUGGAAGAAUGUGAUUAGAGAGGAGUUGUGGGAUUACACUACGUAAGUACCUUCCCCGGUUACUAGUCUCACUCGCGGCGUUGGAUGUUCCGGCGGGUGAGACACUUUCCGUAUGCGGCGCUGGAUGUUCCGGCGUACGGAAAGACUGUGUAUAGAGUUUAGGGUCAUCACCAUGGCGUUGGAUGUUCCGGUGUGUGAUGAUCCAGUCUGCGCGCGUAGGACAUAGUUUGAGAGCUACACAUGGCGUUGGAUGUUCCGGUGUGGGAGCUUUGGAGUUUCGUCCCCCGGUUGGACCGCUCAUCCCUAAACGCAGGAUAGCACCUGGAAAUCCUGCGGACUAGUCAAACGAUCCCCCAGUUGGAUUGUUUUCCCCGGUACCUAAGUGGUGUGAUGAGUAUAUCAUAUAGCUAUUUAUAGUUAUUUAUAUAUAUAUAUUUAUGUGUAUAUUUAUUGAAUAUGUAUAGUUGAGUGUGAAAGGAAUUGGAGUUUGUUUAAUAGUUGAUAGGAGUGGUGAGUUUGAGAGAAUGGGGUUCUUUUUGAAAGAGAUAACUGAUGUUUUUAGAUGAGUUUUACUGAAGCAUAUUUUGAGUAAUUUCUUAUUGAAUUGUGAACCUGCAUGACUUGAGCAUUAUUUUACAUGGUGGGGUUACUAUGUUGUUUUUAACUGCAAACCUGGUUUUUGUCCACUCACAUGUUUUCUGUUUUGCGCCCCCCCAGCCAGUAGUUGCUCUUGGAAGUGCAAGUGGUGUACGAAGCGGAAUCGGUGCAUCUUUCUAAUUAGGAAUUGUGUAAAUUCUUCUACUCAACUGUUCUUGUAAUCUAAAUUCAGUAGAUGCUCUGUAUUUGCCAUGGUAGAUUUUACUUGUGAGGCCGGAGGCCACUCUAGUAUGACUUAUGUAUGUAUGAAAGCAUGCUGCUGGUUGGGAUUAGUAUUACUGUGUGUGCAGGUUGAAUAAAUUUUGUUGGGUUUGUUUAAAUUGCAGGGGAGACUCUGCCAAAAUUUUGGUAGAAAGUCUCGAUUAUUUAGUAGUGGGCCCGGCAUCAGGAUGAUGUCGGGAUCAAGACGGGGUCCGCCUCGGUCAACGGGAAAUUCCGGGGCGGGUCUUGUCACAUAUUUGAACACAUAACACGUGUUCAAGGUUAUAUAUUUCAUUACCUUCACAAUAGGUACCAAACCGUACCAUGGGAACAUUCAUAUACGCACAACAUACUUAUAACAUACUUACACUCGUGUAUAUUUGAACACAAGAAGACGUGUGCACCACCGUGCACGGUUCACAUGAAGUAAGAAGAUGAAGAGGAAAUAAAGAAGAAUACAAAAGAAAAUGGAGAUGAGAAGAAAAAAAAAACACGAAUAAUGAAAAAUGAGUUGACAAUUAUAUAUGGUUGACAUUAGAUGUAAUAUUAUAUGUAAUAACUAAUGAUCUAAAAUAAACAUUUAAUCUAUUCACUCGUUUCGUGUUUACUCCUGUGAUGGAAGGGCAAAGUUCCCCAUUGCCUUGAAAACCAUUGACUGGUCAACAAGACAACUUUCUUUGGUGUGCGAGCGUGCCACUACUAGCAAUAAAAAACAUAGCAGACUUCUUUGAAAUAUAUAACUUGCGUCCUAAGUUACUAAUUUCUAAACAAGCGAUCGUGAAUUUGGGUGAGGAAUAUCUCCCAAGUAAGUUCUUUUCUUGCCUCAGACUGGUGAGGACUUCACAAUUUAUCUUAGUACAAGAUUGGUAGUUUUGGCCAGAAUAAAUGAUAAUAAAGUGGACUUUUUUAGGCAGAACUGCCUUUUACAAAACUAGAAAGGAAAAGAUCAACUCUAGAAAGACAAAAAAAUGGCUGAAAUUCCAUUUCUGCCUGGAUAGAAGCUUCUGAUCCGGGCUGGACUGGGUAUGUUUGUUCUGGACUGAAUUGUCAACAACUUCAACUACUAAGCUUCAGCUGUAAAUCGAUACCAAAGUUUGAGUUUGGCAGAGUUUUAAUAUAUUUCAAGCCCUGGAAGGCUUUUCGAACGGGCAGAACUGCAACUUCUUUGGUCUGAACGGGGCAGAAGUGGCUGGACUUAAGGAUUACUAAGCCGGAACUGCACUAUGGUACCUGUUCUGCUUGAUCCGGGCUCUCUAUAAAUUUGUUGAGGUUUCCAUAUUUGUGAAAACUCAAACUCGGCUUGUCUUGGCUUUUGCUGAACCAAAUUUGUAACGCGAGAAGUCUCGUUUUGAAUGACUUAUUUAUCUGAGUAUGAACUUGGAAGUUCGAUCUAUAGCUGGCUUCUUUUGUGGCUCGAAUGAGUUUUUGGUUGCUCUAGUUUGUUUUGAAGGUUCUCAAUGAUCAAGUGAUCAUUUUGAGUUUUUGCCUUUGGUUGAUUUUUGAUUGUUUGAUUGAUUGUUGAAAAAUGAGUGUGUUUUGCUCUGUUCACCCUCUCCUAUAUUUAUAAGAAAUGCUUUGGAGUAGGGUUUCUAAUUUUUUAGAAAUCGGCGGCAGAUUUUCUCAAAAGAUCUUUCAUUUUUUAAAAUGUAAAGAAAUAGGGGUUUUAUCAAUUCUGGUAGAUAAGCUCUCAAUGGUCAGUUUCUUUAAGUCAAUCACUUCUCUGUUUUUUGAAAGAAAACUUAAUCCCUCUUUAAUUCCAACUGCCCCUUGUGAGAGCUCAAACUGUGAUGGUUAGUUUGAUUUUCCAGUUUAAACAACUUCCUGUUUCAUGCUUUAUCUUUUUUUAGAAAACACAGUCUGCGUAUCCUGAAAGAUGGUGCCUUCUUUGGAGUAUAAACAAUAUCUCUGAAUAUAUAAAAGGGUUUUGAUCUUCUGGUGGCAGAGAUUUCAGAGACAUCCCUUCUUUUCGCCUGCCUCUGUCAACUCUUUAUUAACCUAGUUGAAAUUGUUGACUUUCCUAAAUCAGAGAAAAAGAUUCACUUUGGUAUGUUUCCUUUUGGGCUCCUUCUUCUCUUUUAAUAUGCCCAAACCCUUUUGUUUUUCCUGGAGCCAUGAGCUGAUUGCUCUUUUUUUCUUUUUUCGAGGCCCAAGUUUAUUUGCAGAGUCCAGACUGCUUGGGCCCUGUGGUUUGUCUUUGUUGUUUUUGGGCUGGGUGUGUCAAAUUAGGCCCAAACAAAGUCAAACAAUAAUUAAAAGAUUUGACAAUAUAAAAAUAUAUUGAGAACAAAAAAAGGCAAAAACUUUUGAAAAAUGGAAACAAUAAAUAUGAAUUGAGUCAUCAACUCACCAAGGUAAGUUUGCUGAUGUGUAAAAAUAGUCAAUGGACUACAUCGAAAAAUAAUUGGCUUACAUCAAAAAUUAAAAUCACGUGGUUUAUUCUUAAGAAACCUUAAUAUUUUUGGGUUCAUAUAUUUUUUGUAUUUUAAAAAAAAAGAAAAAAAAAAUCUGACCAUGUAUGUAUGAUGAUGAUAUGCAUGUUAUUUUUAGACCUAAGGUAAAACAAACAAACUUUUUACUCCAUUUUUCGUGAGGUUUAUCAAAAGAAUUAAACUGUUAUAUCCUCCAUUUUAGAUUUCAUGCUUCCAUUUAAAGAAAAGAAUAUCAACAACAAAAAAAGAAUAAAGUUACAACAUUGAUCAAUUCAAAUGUCCAACUAUCGGAUCAUGAGCCUCUGCACUUAGAGACUACGCAUUUACCCGUAUUUCGUUAAAUUUAGACCAUUAUAAUAAUCUAACCCCUUAGAAUGGGACACAUCAUCAAGUUUUUUUUCCUUUCACUAAACAGAAGAGUUAAGUUUUAUUUGUGGGUAACUAAACUCUUGUUUAGAGCAUGUUUUUUAUUUAUUUUUCUUUGUUCUGUGUAAAUUAUAAUAGGUUAGAUUAUUAUUUGUGGGUGACUAAAAUCUUGUUUAACAAUAAUAGUUAACGUUUGUUUAGAGAAGAAAAAAAAUUUGAUGAUGUGUCAUGUUCUAAAGGGUUAGAUUAUUAUAAUGGCCUAGAUUUAGCGAACUGUAGAUAAACGCGCAGUGUCUUAAUGCAGAGGCUCGAGAUCCCCAACUAUCAUUGAAACAUAAGAAACUAAAAUCUUCAAGAAAAUGCUAUCAAUUGAAAAAACAAUAAUUAAAAAACAAAAAAAGGAAGGGAAUUCGCAGCUGCUAUGCAAAAAAGAGCAAGUCGGUUCAAUGAUUUUUUCUUCUUCUUCUUUUUGUUAUGGAAAUGAAAAGCUAAAUGAUGGGCUAUAUAUGGGAAGAAGCUCAAUGAUUGAAUUAAUAUCUUCUAUCUACAUUCUACCCUCUUCCUCGCUACAUACACAAAUGGUGCACGUACAUGGACAUGGGUUGACAUGAAUAAGAACAGCGACGCGUACUUGUUUUUAUUUUUGGUUCUUUAGAUCCAGUUGCACGUACCAAAGAAAGAAAACCACAGGUAUGCAAUGCAAGCUCUUUUCCCAUGUUUUCCUCUGUUUUCUCCUAUUUUUCUCUCUUUUUUAAAAAAAAAAAAAAAGAUAUACGGAAGUGAUUAAAAUACUCCUCUAACUAAGCUUGUUUUGCGUUCGGUGGCCGACUGUAAAAGCUCUGCUCAAACCUAACGUACUAGGUAUUUAUUUUAUUGCUCUGUUCAGACCUAGUGAUUAAAAUGCACUUGCGAUUUUGUGUUUCAAUUCCCUCUCCCCUAAUAUUGCUUGUAUAAAAAUAAAAACUUUUAAAAAGACAUUAAUAUUGUAUUCUAUAUUCUAUAAAGUGUUGGACAUGUUUUAUAUUGUUGACAACCCCCUAAUAUUUUGGUGGUGCCCAGUUAUAUUCAAUUCGUAUGUAUUUAAUUUGCCACUUACAUUCUUGCCUUAAUACAUUUAGGCUUAUUUUUAUACAAAUUUCUCUAACAUAACUUUUGCACAUUCUUUUAGUCUCUAAUAUAUAUAUAUAUAUAUAUAUACAGAGAGCUUCCAUUGAGGGAUCCCUCAAAUAAACUUAUUUGAGGGACACUCCUUGUAGGCCCCACUCCGAAUUGUAUUUCACUAAUACAAACCGUCUAUUUUGUAGAUACUCAUUCAAAGAUCAUCUCUACAAAAAAUCACUUGAAUCCGAUAUCAUUUGACCACUCAAUUAAGUUAUUGAAAUUUUAGCAUUUUCUUGAAGCACCGUGUUCAUUGAUUUUGUAAGACACAAUUGGAUGUCGAAACGGUUUCCGAUUUGUCUAAUUUUUUGUAAGGAUGAUCUAUGAAUGAAAACCUAAAAAAUAGGUAGUUUGGAUCAUUGAGAAAAAAAUUGUAUGGUACCUUAAAGGGCGUCCCUCAAAUAAAAUUAUUUGAGGGAUCCCUCAAUAGAAGGGGACUGUAUAUAUAUAUAUAUAUAUAUUUUCUAAUAAAUAAUCUUACCCAUUUGAGUUAUCAGCUAUUUUCUUUUAGCCCGGAAAAUCGACAUUUUGACAGAGAGUUGAAAAGAACUCCCCAAUUUUAAUGUCAGCCACUUGAAAAAAAAAACAUAAAUUUAAUGACAACAAUUACAUUUAGCAAUGCAACCUAAAAACUCAACCUUUGCGCCCCUUUCACAACGUAGAUAGCAGAGUAAGGAUAUUCGGAUAAGAACCAAGACAUAAGCCAGAGAAACUACGAUAGCCAACCAGGGCCUUCAUUUCUUACCAUCUGAACAAUGCCACCAUUUUGUUUGGUAAGUAUUUAAUAACAUUUCUUGCUCUUCAUAAAGUAAUAUUAAAACGAAAUUUGCCUAAAUUUUUCUUACCAACAAUGCAUACGAAAAAAAAAAAGGAAGAUUCACUAUUAUACUCAAUAUAGGAGCCCAAAUUAUUUAUAAUUAAAAAAAAAACCUUACAUGAAAUGGACUUUAGAAACACACUCAAAACCUAUUUACAACAAAACAAAGACUUUUAACUUCUUUUAAAUUACAAAACUAUCAUUGAUUUCUUAAACAAACCCAACCCCAAUACCUCAUAAAAAAACCCAAAAUACUUGAUAAAGCAUCAAAGUAAUUUAAUAAUCAAAAUUAAAUUCAAUAGGACCAGCAGUUAUUUUUUGGGUUUUUUUUGUUUGUUUAUAGAAAUUAAAUGGUGUAGGAUCUAUCUAUAUUAUUAGUGCUAAGAAUGGAUAUGUGACUAAAUAAUUCCAAAAAAAAAUUAUAAUAAAUCUACAAUUUUUCUUUUUAUAAAAAAAUUCUACAAAAAUUUAUUAGAUUAAUAGGCACUACUAGAAAAUCUCCAUAUAAGCCACUAAUACACCCAUGACAGUUGUCCAAGCGUAGUGUUGUCAUUCAAUAUUCCCCACAGCAACCAGCAUCCAAUAAAGGGUUGCCUCUCUGUAUGUAGCUAUUUGAGAAUAUAAAAGAAAUAUUUUUUAUUCAACAUGGACGCAGAAACUGUUGCUAAACUGCAAACUUCUUAAAAUAUUUAUCUAACUUUCUAGAUCCAUGUACUGAGAUUUAUUAGGGAAAUAUUGUAGAAACUGAUUAUUUUGAAAUAUUAAAUGUGAAAAACUGAACAAAAAUUUGAUGGGUUACAUAUUUCAACUCAUUUCAGCAGCUUAGAUUUUGAAGACCUCAGAAGAGGCUAUGCAAUGAGCCUAGCUAGUGCACUGUUGAUCACUUCAGUGUUUACCGAUCUGUAAUUUUUCCAGAUUGGUUAUAUUUUCCUUUACAUAUUCUUAUAUUUUCCCAGUUGGGGAGACUUAUAAAUAAGGGAAAUAGCCCUAAAUGCCACCAAUUUUAUAAUUUUUUGUCAAAAUACCACCCCUCCCCAAAAUUUUUAAAACUACCACCUAUAAAUACAUCUUUAUUGUAAAUUAAUUGCACCCAUAUCACUUUUUCAGAAAUUGGGUUCUCCCUCAACUCUCUUGGCUCUGUCUCUCUCUUUAGCCUAGCUCUCUCUCUCUCUCCGACAUAGUCAUCUUCCUCCCUCAGCCAUCCAAGCUUAACUCCACAGUUCACAUCCACGAGGUACUGUUCACGUUCCUUUUCUUAGAAAUUUGGGGUUUUUGUGAAUUUGGUUUAUGAUGUAUGGAUUUGUAUGAAAUUGGUUUAGGGGUUUCUUCCAAAUUGGUUUGGUAAGAAGGUGAUGUUGUUGUUGCUGUCACUGACAGACUAUUUUUCCUGGGUUGUGGUUGGUGGGUGUUACUGCGAAUGCUUACAAGGUUGCUGAUUCUCCUUCUAAGGUCUCUCUUUCUCUCUAUUUCUACAAAUUCUAAGGUUUUUUUUUUUUUUUGGGUUACUUUUUUUUUUUUUUUUAUUUCUUUUGCUAAUUGUAAUUGGGCCUUUGUUGCAGAGGUGGAUUUGUUUUGUGCCCAAAAGAUUGUGACUUUGUUGAAAGUUCGUAAAUAGAAAAGGCAGCUGCCCCCUGCGGCUUGGAACGCUCAAUUCGGAGGUAUUAUGCCUUGAAUUUUUACAAAAGAAGAAUUGAAACUACCUUAUAGAAGGCAAAACAAAAAUAUAUAAGAGGAAAAAAGGAGAAAAUUUAUCUAAUUUCCCUUUUUUUAGUUGUAUUUUUNNNNNNNNNNNNNNNNNNNNNNNNNNNNNNNNNNNNNNNNNNNNNNNNNNNNNNNNNNNNNNNNNNNNNNNNNNNNNNNNNNNNNNNNNNNNNNNNNNNNNNNNNNNNNNNNNNNNNNNNNNNNNNNNNNNNNNNNNNNNNNNNNNNNNNNNNNNNNNNNNNNNNNNNNNNNNNNNNNNNNNNNNNNNNNNNNNNNNNNNNNNNNNNNNNNNNNNNNNNNNNNNNNNNNNNNNNNNNNNNNNNNNNNNNNNNNNNNNNNNNNNNNNNNNNNNNNNNNNNNNNGGGGGAAGGGACACCCUAUUUCGUUACAGGGUUUAUUGACUGCAUUCUUCCUUGUUCUAGAAGACCUCCUCAGUUCCAUUGAGCCGACAAACCUUAUGAAGUUGAAUGUGAAGUGUUACCUUGCAUCUACAUGUUUCAUCUUUUAACUUUAUUUUCAUGUUUCACACUGAUGCUUGUAGUUAUUUCUAGUUUUGCAUACAGAUUAGCAAAUAGGUUAUGCAUUUACUGUUUAGUCAUCUAAUGAUUUGAUAUCUAAUAUUUAGGCAUAUGGGAAUUUAUAGAUGUACCGAUUAUGCAUACAUAUAGGUUUUGUGCUUGUAUUAGGAAGUUAGAUUCUUGUGGUUCCUCUUCAAUGGCAUGAAUUUAAAUUGUUGUGCUUCAUGAUUAGGGUCUGAAGAACAACCAUGUAGUAAGAAAGUUGGAGAAACGUCAACAGAUUUGCACCCUUGACCAACAUAUUGAAGAGUAAUUUGGUGGUGGUCGUCUAUUGGCUUGUAUCUCAUCACGACCUAGAUAGUGGCUGUGCUGAUGGGUAUGUGACUUUAUUUGCCUAUGUCUGUUUCUAGUCAGCCGAUAUGUCAUUGGCAUAUUAGUGUAGUUACCAUAUUGCAAGGGCUGAAAUCUGGAUGAUAACAGCUUCUUUUUAUUGUUGUUUUAAAGUGAAGUAUGUAUGGAUCUUAUGAAAUUUUUACAGAAAUAUAUUGGAGGGCAAAUAAUUUUAUUUUAGUUUUUUUAUUCCCAAAUGAUACCCAAAACAUGUAAGCUUCACACUAUGUUAAUUUCUGCAGGAUGGGAAAACAUUGGACAAUGAGUUGGAGGUUGUUAAGGGAAUGAAGCUAGACAUGGGCUACAUAUCCCCUUAUUUCAUCACCAACCAGAACAAUUAGAAAUGUGUAAGUUUUGGUUUGAUUCAGGGAUGACUAUGUCUUGAAACUGUUAGAGGGCUGCUUGUUAAAGUUAGUAGCACCUCAAGUCCCUUUUUUAUUGAUGCUGAUUAUCUUCAAACUUGUGUAUGUGCUGAUAGGAAUUGGAAAAUCCUCUAAUCAUAAUCCAUGAGAAGAAAAUCUCAAGUAUUAAUGCUGUGGUUAAAGUAUUGGAGUUGGUCUUGCAGGUUAUCAUUUCUCUGGUUAGGUUCACUAGUUUCUUCUUUUUUAUCAUGAAUUGGUUGACAAACUUUUGCUCUUUUUCAAAAGCAAAGGUCUUUGCAUUUUGUUAUAUCUUUCAGAACCAAAGUUAUAAAAGAAAAUGGUUUUCCUCUUUGUUAAUUGAGAAUCAUCUGCAGUUAUGAUUUCAGAUCUAUAGAUAACUUGUUGUUGCUGAUAUUGCUACACGGGAGGAGAAUAGAACAGCUUGAAAAAUGUGCAAGAAGAGAGAGCUAACUCAUACACCGAAGAACAAAUUGGUGAAGUUAAGAUCAAAUUAGUAGAAUUUGUGAGCUCUCCAUUAUUUAUAAUUAUAGGUAGGAAGUAUGUAUGUAAUAGAGUAAAGAUUGGUUGACUAUGUAAUAACAAUUGAAUUUUCAAGUUUUAUGAAAGAAAUAAUUUUUGAGCAUAUAUAUUUGUUAAUAAAGCAUUAUAAUUGGUUUUCUAGUUAAAAUCGUUGUAUAGAAUCGUAGGAAACAAAAACCUAAAUAUAACAGCUUGGGAACUUAUUAGACGACAGAUUUAAAGAUAAUAAAAUGUAGUCUGAAUUGUUAGGGUUCGGUGGCGAUUUAUUUUGCAUGUCUAAAUUGUAGUCUGUAAUAUAUGUGUGUGUAUUGUAUGUAGAUUGACUUAAUAUUGCUAUCCUAUUGCAUGCGUAUUGUACUAAUAUUGCCUUUGUAUUGCAUACAUAUUGUAUGCAUAUUGCCACCCUAUUGCAUGUAUAUUGUGAUGUUAUUGCUGUUGUAUUGCCGUUAUAUUGCCCUAAUAUUGCCUCUCUAGUGUAUGUAUAUUGGCCUAAUAUUGCCAUUAUAUUGUAUGUAUAUUGACUAUGACUCAUCAAUGGGUUUACGGUUUAGGCCCUACUUCAUUCAAAAAGAAGACGACGACGAGAAAGAAACAAUGUGCCUUUCAAAAACAAGCAGUCAGGUGCAUUAUAAUUGCACCGUAAGACAUUGUAAGAAAUUAUUUUAAAAGAUAAUAACAACUAAAAAAUAAUUUACCAAAAAAGGAAGGUAUGAAUAAAUAUGCAAAUGCUUCGUCAUGGGUUGAAGAAAAGGAUGAUUACAUUUGGUGGUUUGAUUAUGUUUGGUGAUAUGAUAUGUUGUUCGUCUGAAUCUUCAUAUAUGUAAUUGUUAUGUUAAUACUUGACACAAAUUCAUCUCGUAAUCAUCCAAUUAUUAAAGCUAAGUAAAUGAAAUGAAACAAAAGAAGAAGCCCAAAAUAAACAGAAACAGCAAUUUCUAGCACCCAUUUAUCGCUUCUGUAUUACCACUGUAUCACCAACGUAUCACCAGCUUAGCGUUGAUGACCAUUAGUUCAAACAUUAUGUGAUCUAAUAGGGAUAACUAAUUUUUGGAACAACUAAUGAAUCUUCAAAAAGAUAAAGAACAACUAGUAAACUAAUGUAUGCAGUUUAACUUUGCACGGGUCAUAGUGCUCAACAUGAUAUUUGGCAACCAUCUCUACACUUGGUGUAUAUUGCAGGCUUCUAUGCAUUCCAAACCUUCAUUCUUCUGUGAUAAAACUGUUAAAUUACCAAGAUUUCUAACACAUGGAAGUAAACAAACGAAUCUGCACAUUUAUUUGUACAUACACACUGCGUAUUGCACAUCUGCGCAUCUAUUAAUCACCACACCAAUGUUUCAAAGAUUGAUUCAGAGGGCAAAAUGAUUGAUUACAUAUUUCAAAUUAGUCAUCUGCUCAUAAGAACUUGGCCCUAAAACUGUACUAAUGGUAAAUAUACUGACAUAAUAGCUAUUAAUGAAAAAUUCUAAACAAACGAGGGACUUAUUUUUCUAAUAUUGUAGUGGAAGCAUGUUAAGUGAUUUUCCACAUUUGUUCAUGGGGGUAAAGUAUAUCUUACCCCUUUCUAAACAUUAUGAGGUUUCAAAUUUCAAUAACAACAGAAUGCUAAGCAGAAAAGUAGAAUUGCUACAUAAAUUACUUAGAAGGAACAAAGUCAAAACUAAUUUGACAAAUCUUAAGAAAGCUGUAUGCUUCACUAAGUCAACUAACAGAUUCCCAGUGCAGGAAAUGAAAUAUACCUAUAUCACAUAAAUUGCAAAGAAAACCACAGAGACUAAAUGUUAACAAUGGAUACAAAAAUGAGUAGAAUUCAGUGGAAACGAACACAUCGUUUCAAACAAGUAAAUUGUUAUAUGUCCAUAAAGAGCAACUAUGUUUAUAUAUGGAGGUGUACGAAAUAGUUCAACUUCAAAAUGGAAACAGUUUAUGUGCCAUGUAAGGCAAUGAACAUAUAACAAGGUGAGUCUUCAACAAAUUAAAAGUAGACAAUUAUUUUCAAACAAUCUGACAGCUGCCCGAGAAAACUGAGGGAGUUAAGGCAUGAGAUGCAAACAUGAUAAACACUGUUAAGCACUCGGACGAACCCAUGCUAUAAUACAAGCCAACAGACAAUCACCACCACCAAAUUGCUCUUCAAUAUGUUGGUCAAUGGUGCAAAUCUGUUGAUGCUUCUCCAACUUUCUUACUACAUGGUUGUUCUUCAGACCCUAAUCAUGAAGCACAACAAUUUAAAUUCAUGCCAUUGAAGAGGAACCACAAGAAUCUAACUUCCUAAUACAAGCGCAAAACCUAUAUGUAUGCAUAAUCGGUACAUCUAUAAAUUCCCACAUGCCUAAAUAUUAGAUAUCAAAUCAUUAGAUGACUAAACAGUAAAUGCAUAACCUAUUUGCUAAUCUGUAUGCAAAACUAGAAAUAACUACAAGCAUCAGUGUGAAACAUGAAAAUAAAGUUAAAAGAUGAAACAUGUAGAUGCAAGGUAACACUUCACAUUCAACUUCAUAAGGUUUGUCGGCUCAAUGGAAUUGAGGAGGUCUUCCAGAACAAGGAAGAAUGCAGUCAAUAAACCCUGUAACGAAAUAGGGUGUUCNNNNNNNNNNNNNNNNNNNNNNNNNNNNNNNNNNNNNNNNNNNNNNNNNNNNNNNNNNNNNNNNNNNNNNNNNNNNNNNNNNNNNNNNNNNNNNNNNNNNGAUAUGAAGAAACAAAAUGAAUCUCCCACAAGCCUAACAGGCUAAUACCAUUAACAAGGUCUGAAAUUGACUCUAUAUCAUGUACAUAUAUAUAUAUAUAAACUCCAUCUUUACAUAUUGGAACUACAUCAAUGUAAACCAACUAGAUCGACCCUGCAUCCUGAACACCACCCCCCCUCCCAAAAAAAAGACCGAGAAAAAAAAAAUACAACUAAAAAAAGGGAAAUUAGAUAAAUUUUCUCCUUUUUUCCUCUUAUAUAUUUUUGUUUUGCCUUCUAUAGGGUAGUUCCAAUUCUUCUUUUGUAAAAAUUCAAGGCAUAAUACCUCCGAAUUGAGCGUUCCAAGCCGCAGGGGGCAGCUGCCUUUUCCAUUUACGAACUUUCAACAAAGUCACAAUCUUUUGGGCACAAAACAAAUCCACCUCUGCAACAAAGGCCCAAUUACAAUUAGCAAAAGAAAUCAAAAAAAAGUAACCCAAAAAAAAAAAAAAAAAACCUUAGAAUUUGAAGAAAUAGAGAGAAAGAGAGACCUUAGAAGGAGAAUCAGCAACCUUGUAAGCAUUCGCAGUAACACCCACCAACCACAACCCAGGAAAAAUAGUCUGUCAGCGACAGCAAAAACAACAUCACCUUCCUAUCAAACCAAUUUGGAAGAAACCCCUAAACCAAUUUCAUACAAAUCCAUACACCAUAAACCAAAUUCACAAAAACCCCAAAUUUCUAAGAAAAGGAACGUGAACAGUACCUCGUGGAUGUGAACUGUGGAGUUAAGCUUGGAUGGCUGAGGGAGGAAGAUGACUAUGUCGGAGAGAGAGAGAGAGAGCUAGGCUAAAGAGAGAGACAGAGCCAAGAGAGUUGAGGGAGAACCCAAUUUCUGAAAAAGUGAUAUGGGUGCAAUUAAUUUACAAUAAAGAUGUAUUUAUAGGUGGUAGUUUUAAAAUUUUUGGGGAAGGGUGGUAUUUUGACAAAAAAUUAUAAAAUUGGUGGCUUUUAGGGCUAUUUCCCUAUAAAUAAACCCAAAAUGGGUACAGUAUCUAUACAGAAGGACAAAAUUAAAGUGUUUGGACAAUAAUGCCCCUAUUCAUUUUGGGAUUGCCUAAGGAAUCCUUUUCCUGAUUUUCAAUGAUGCCAAAGGACUGUUGUUUGAUGCUUGCCGUAUGGAGCUAAGAAAACUUGCUUUGUGUUAUAAAAAUAACCUGGAAUAUGUACGAAUAUUGAGCUGCACGAAAAGUAGAUGAAACACAGCAUUUAACGAGGUUCGGCUAUGCCUACGUCCUCGGAGAGCAACAGCAGUAACUUUUUCACUAUAUGAAAUAAUAGGGCUACAACUUUAGAGUUUACAAUAUGUGAGGCUCACUGAAUUUUCUCUCUCUUUCUUCUUCUCUCUUUUCUUUCUUCUUUUUCUCUUCUCCCCUUUCUUUCUUUUCUCCGUUGGUCACACUCCCCUUUACAAUUGGUAUGCCUAUUUAUAGGCUAAUGUUUAGGCAAAAUACAGGGAAGGGAAGGUUCCUGGAAGAUGCAAGGAAACUUCCUGAAUUGAUAAUGUCACACCCCGGACCGACUCCGCCGUAGCACGAUAUUGUCCGCUUUGGGCCCUCCUCUCACUGCCCGCACGGUUUUGUUUCUGGGAGCUCACGAAGCAACUUCCCAGGGUGGUCACCCAUCCUGGGAUUGCUCCAGCCUCCCACUCGCUUAACUUCGGAGUUCUUACAACUCCGAAGCCAAUGAGCUCCCAAAAGGCCUCGUGCUAGAUGGAUGCGGGUGUGCCAUAUAAGGCACAUCACCCCCCUCUCCGUUGGUUUGAUGUGGGAUCUUACAAUCCACCCCCCUUAAGGGUCCGACGUCCUCGUCGGCACACUCGCACCACACGGCAGAGUGGCUCUGAUACCAAAUUGUCACACCCCGGACCGACUCCGCCGUAGCACGAUAUUGUCCGCUUUGGGCCCUCCUCUCACUGCCCGCACGGUUUUGUUUCUGGGAGCUCACGAAGCAACUUCCCAGGGUGGUCACCCAUCCUGGGAUUGCUCCAGCCUCCCACUCGCUUAACUUCGGAGUUCUUACAACUCCGAAGCCAGUGAGCUCCCAAAAGGCCUCGUGCUAGAUGGAUGCGGGUGUGCCAUAUAAGGCACAUCACCCCCCUCUCCGUUGGUUUGAUGUGGGAUCUUACAGAUAAAUACAGGGAAGGAAAGUUCCUGGAAGAUGCAAGGAAACUUCCUGAAUUGAUAAAUACAGGGAAGGGAAAGUUCCUGGAAGAUGCAAGGAAACUUCCUCUGUGGGCUCCACCUUCAAACUUUUACAACACUCCCCCUUGGAGACCACAAAUGAUAUGAAAUAUGCCUCGUUAAAAACCUUGCCAGUAAAAACCCAGUGGGACAAAAACUGGUCGAAGGGAAAAAGAGUACAUAAUCACGUGUAACAUAAAAUUCUGUGUAUAUUGACGCGCGUGCGACACUGCCUCGUUAAAACCUUGCCAGGAAAAAUCUAGUGGGAUAAAAACCUGGACGAAGGAAAAAGAGUACAGUGUGUAAGGGUCUGUAUUGACAGCACGCUCCUCCUGAUGCUUGGCAAAAUAUCUUUAAGCCAUACUGUUGAUCAUCUGUCUGAAUAUCAUAGUUGACACUGCUGCUGUGAGUCAAUAGUGUAUGAAGGUCUUUAUUAAUACCAUGCUCCCCCUGAUGAAUAUCUCCCCCUGAAAACUUCAUGACUAGCUUUUUCCAGUAAGCGACCAUAGAGAUUUCCUGAGUCCGCAUAUCUUAGAACACUUGGGCUAUUUAUAAGUUCACUAAAAAAAUAUGCCCGUAUAUGGUGUUAUGCUUAGAUAGCAUCAAAUAUACCUCACAUCAUCCCAAAAUGAUGGUGAUGGAGUUGAGCCCUAUCUGGAAAAUAUGAUGUCCGGUCCAAUAUACUUCCGGAAAAUCAUUAAAGUGUCCAACGGAUAAUCCUCAUAAAAAUACUUUAAUACUUUCUUAGUAUAAGCAAGAAUCUCGUUGGCAUAAUGCUCGAUCGAGACAAAUAUUUCAUGAAUUCUGCAGAAACUUUAAUGUGUUGCAAUCACAUUAUAAUCAAUGUACUCACUGAGGUAAUUUAUGCAUAUUAAUAUUGAGUACAAAUUUUGUGCUUCAAGCACAUGUCCUUUAAGGACUUGCUUUAUGCAAUAUCAAUCCUCUCAACGGAUUUUGUCUAAAAGGGAUUAAGCUUUAUGACACAUUAUAUAGCUUUUACCCAGCUAUUUAUACAUCUUUAGGAAAUCGCUUCUGGCGAUAUGCUCCGUGCAUUCAAUAACCCUUAAAGAUAAUAUGUUGGUCUCCGUAAUUGUGUAAUAAGGGGGGGCACAAUUGAAUCUGUAAAUAUGGAGAAAACCCAACAUUCCUUGUUUCUGCCAGAAACAGUGUGUCAUACAAAGUAGGUAUAUUCCCUUUUAUUCCGAACACCCAAGUAUAACUUUCAGUAUUAACAAAUUUUGGGGUUCGUAUUGUGGGUUUGUUCUUUCACGUUCAUUCUCAUUUAUAAUGGAAUUACCUCGUUCCAUUUUGGCCAGUGAUAUUGUCGACAUUUAAUAAUUGAACGUGGUUCCAAUCAACACAGCCCAUUGAUGAUUUGAGUAGCUACUCCAAAACCAAAAAUUGUCAUUCAUCAAUUCAUGAUCCCACCAUUCUCAUGUGCAUGCACAUGCAUCAAUUAUAAGCAUUUCUUUGCUUUUUGGUACCCAAGCCACUUCAGGGGGCUUUUAUUAUGUGAGAAUGUGGAUUAUAACCUCCAUCGGAGCGUUAUUUAGUAGUAGGGCGUGGAUAAUCUCCAUUUAGAGAGUUGGAACAUUGAGAACCCAUAUAUCUGUCAUGCUGCAGGCAUGCCACAGAUUAAUACAUACAUGUCAAUUAAUUUCUGGGACUUUAACCCAUAUUAUGGGACUUUAACCCAUAUAAUUUGCUACGCAUUAGGCGUGCAUAAUAUCAAUAUUGACAUGUCAAAGGAUUGUCCUUUCGGGACUUCAAUUCAUAUCAUUUGCUACGCAACAGGCGUGCACCCAUAUUGAUCACUGCUAUACCCAUAUUCUGUUCUUAUGGGACUUUAAUCUGUGCAGUGUAUUAUCAAUGUAUCCAUCUUACAAUCUGUAAAAUUUGCAUUAAUAAUUCAUGGAUACAUACAAGCCAUUCUUUUGGAACAGACUUAUCUCCCAAUUUGGUUACCUUUCAAGAUAAAAUAUCAAAUAGGUAUAUAAGCAUAAAAUAACACAAGUAUUGCUUACAUCCUUAGGUGGGAGAAACUUUUCUCAAGUAUCAUUCAAGCUCAUAUCAGCCCAGUAAAUAUAAUGUAGCGCUUGAUGAUCUAGUUAUAUCCUGCAAGAGCAAAAAUCACAACUCUUUUGCCUCUGUCAAAACAAAUAACCCUCAUAGUUAGGAUUACUUCAUGGAUUCAUUCUUCAUAUGUUCAUUCUAAAGAAAUAAAAUCUCUUAUGAACAGAGAGUUAUAAAAAGAGAAAAAAUGCAAAAAUAAUGUGAUAUUGAUUGCAAGAGAAGGUAAGCAAUCAGGGAAGGAAGCUGGUGGGAGCAGACAAUAAGCUCUCAUAUCUCCUAGUCUAGAAGGACUCCCGGAGAUUAGACCAUAAGAUCGCCUUCACAGUUUCCUGAUGUAGUGGAAACGUGAUCAGGGAUAGUCUUGCUUCCUGAAUGGAUGAUCAGAGAUAGUCUUGCUUCUCAGGCAUAUUGAGUGCUCACUGAUAAGAAAAAUAAGUAGAUAUCUCAUCACUAAGUAUGGAGUAAACUGGAUGUCUUCUGCAAAGGAAAAUUUCGUUUAGUAACACAUUUAUACACAAAUACAAUGAAUAGGUAGAACCGGUAAAUUUCAAAUUAACCAUAGGAAAAUUGCGAGAUUCUCGGGAUACUUUUGAAAAAGUAGCUCCGUGAAAUCCGUAAAGCAAGAUCGGCUUUGAAAAUAAUACUUUGAAAAACGCCGAAAGUGCCGACAUGCAUUAUUAGAGGCCACGUGAAGUUUUGGACUCUGGGAAAGAAAAAGAUAAUAUGGGGAUUCGAGAAGACAUUGGGGUCCUGAAAAGUUGCCACAUUUUCGUCUAUAGAUAUUGCCUUUGCAAACUGCGUUUCAACUCAACUUCCUUCAUUUUCCGAACCUUUAGUUUUUCUAAGACUUUCUUCGAAACCUUCUUAAAAAAAUGGCUUCCUCUUCUUCCUGCCCAAAUUAUUUCAAUUUAAAUGAUGCUCCCACAACAACCAGUGACGCCCAAGUUUGGCGUCCAUCCUUUGUAUCCAAAAAUCGUCAUCUCACAGUUAAUGAUUCUGUGAUGAUGAAUGAUGCUACUGCUGUCAUAGUAGCUAGGAAUUUCAUUACUCCAAUGGAUGAAAUGUUGUUGACAGGGAGAUCAGAGGAAGAGGCUAUUGAUGAAUCAAUGGCUUUUAGCAUUCAGAGUGCUGUUUCUGUUUCUAACAUGGCUGAUCGUUUGCGUGCCAGAGCAAACGAAGUUGAGAAUUUAACAACUGAAAAUUCGUCUCUCCAAAGAAUGCUUCAUGAGUCUCAACAGGAGGUUGAGAAACUUAAAGGAGAGAAUAAUGCCUUGUUGAAACUGGUGAGUUCGUACUCUGUUGAUACAUUGAGAAGGCUAGACAUGCUGCAGGUCUCGAAUGAAAGAAUUUUGGGAGACUAUGAGAAGCUCAUGGCUAAGCUUAAGAGGCGCCGUCAUCUUCCUUCAGAGGCUUCCAGGACAUAAUGUAAUUUUUAUAGAUUUUACAGGGCCUGCACCUUCAUUGCAGGAAAAAAUCUAUCUGUUGUAUGCCCCUUUUCUGUUAUAAUAAUUGCGCAUAUUCUUAAACUUGCACCUGUGGUUUUUACGUCUUUUCAAAAUGACGAUUUGGAACCUUGUGCCUUAUAGGUUCAAAUAACCACAUUGUCUCUCCCAAAUUUCAUAUUUUAUCGCAUGGUAGCCCGGAACUUUUGGCCUGGGCACAAACUCAGAAUUUAUUUGCCCUUUUCAAAUGGACAUGAAAUAUGAAUUGAGUAAAAGCCAUGAUAAUAUCGCAAUAUAGUAGUGAAGAGCAUUAACUACUAUAUACCCACAACUUCAAGUUCAGGAUCUCUCAUAUAUUUGGAUCCAUGGGCUUCCGGCCCAAAUAUAACAAAAUAUGUGGGGAGCCUCAAUUCAUUAUUUGAGGUUUAUAUUAAUAUUAUGCAUUUCGCGGUGUAUUCUUAACAACCGGAAUUCACAAAAUAUAUUUCUUCCUUGAGGUGUCGAUUAUAACAAAAUCGAACUUUAUUAAAUUCAUCAUCUUCUUAUGCCAAAGAAAUAUGUGGCAUACCACAAUUUGCAAUAAUACCUCAAGGGUUGUCCAUUUAAUUGUUGGAACUUCAGGUUCUCAACACUGUUAAAUUUGGAACUUCAGGCCAAAGCCACAUAUUCUCAUGGUAUGGACAUUUUUACAAUUUUCUGUACAUAUUUCGGGACUUCAAGCCCUUACAUAACUGUCCAUAUUUUGAGGAACUUCUGGCAUCUCAUUUAAUUGCUCAUCCAUGAGUUUAAGGAACUGCAGGUUCCCUUUUGUAUAUAGUGACGGUUUACCCAAAAUGGUUAAUAUUUAUGCAUACAUCACUAUUCAUGUGAAUAGUACUAUUCAUCAAGUCAUGAAUACGUAUCUAUUCAUCUGCCAGUACAGUUAUCAUCAAUGUGUACGGCACUAUGAACCAAUACGGUACUGUUACAUCAUUAAGGAACUCUAGGUCCUUAUUUACAUGUCAGGGAUUAAGAACCUUUAAGUCCAAUCACAUGUUUACAAAUACAGUACCGGUGAGACUGCCAGCUCUCAUUUUAAUAUCAUCAUCAAGGAUCUUCAAGUCCUGAUGUAAUUGUAUGAUGAGGAUCAAGGAACUUCUGGUCCUGAUCUGCAUACUGGAAAAACUAAUCAUACAGCACAAUUAAUCCAUAAAAUAAAUUGCUGAUAAAUAAAUUACUGGUAUGGACGAUAAACCCGCACCACACUUUAAAUAAAUGUAAAUGUGCGGUAAAUUAAAUUCAUAAAGUUAAGGUGCUUGUAUGGGCAUUAAUUCUGCUCCAUACAUUUAAAUAAAAGUAAAGGCGUGGACGAUAAACCCGCACCACCCUUUUAAAUAAAUGUAAAUGUGCGGUAAAUUAAAUUCAUAAAUUAAAUUGCUUGCUGUAUGGACGUUAAUCCCGCACCAUACUUUAAAUAAAAUUAAAUGUGCGGUAAAGUAAAUUGUGCUUGUAUGAGCACUAAUUCUGCUCCAUACAUUUAAAUAAAAGCAAUGGCGUGGACGAUAAACCCGCACCACCCUUUUAAAUAAAUACUGUUGUAUGGGUAAUAAACCUACACCAUACAGUAAAUAAAAUAAAUAUGCGGUAAAAUAAAUUUGCGAUAAAGUAAAGGUGCAUGUAUGGGUAAUAAACCUACACCAUACAGUAAAUAAAUGUGGGGUUAAAACCACCACCGAAUAAAAUAAGAAAAAGUUAGUAUUAGUAACGGUCUCCUACUGAUAAUAUGUUUAGUAUUACCAAGGGUCCAUUUUUGUUAGUGGUUAGUAGUAUAGAUAAUAGUGCAGCAUAAAAAUUAUACCUGAGAGCUUCUCGUGCUGAUAACGUGUUAUAAAAAUAACCUGGAAUAUGUACGAAUAUUGAGCUGCACGAAAAGUAGAUGAGACACAACAUUUAACGAGGUUCGGCUAUGCCUACGUCCUCGGAGAGCAACAGCAGUAACUUUUUCACUAUAUGAAAUAAUAGGGCUACAACUUUAGAGUUUACAAUAUGUGAGGCUCACUGAAUUUUCUCUCUCUUUCUUCUUCUCUCUUUUCUUUCUUCUUUUUCUCUUCUUUUCUUUCUUCUUUUCUCUUCUUCUUCUCUCUUCUUUUUCUCUUCUCCCCUUUCUUUCUUUUCUCCGUUGGUCACACUCCCCUUUACAAUUGGUAUGCCUAUUUAUAGGCUAAUGUUUAGGCAAAAUACAGGGAAGGGAAGGUUCCUGGAAGAUGCAAGGAAACUUCCUGAAUUGAUAAAUACAGGGAAGGGAAAGUUCCUGGAAGAUGCAAUGAAACUUCCUCUGUGGGCUCCACCUUCAAACUUUUACAACACUUUGAUAGUUUUGGACAGAUGCAAGCUACUGUUGUUGGGAUGAUCUUUUCACGUGAAAUGAGGAUGACGAUACUUCUACACUACACAAUCCAACGAAUUCACAUUUCUAUUUCAGAUACAUGUAUAAACAGACAAGGCUUUAAAAUAUGGGAUGCUGCACUGUUGUUGCUGCUGCUGACACUGUUACUGUGUUGCUGCUACUGUUACUGCACUGCUGCUUGAAGAAGGACAAGGACUUCACUUGUUGCUUUCGUCCUUUGUGGAGGAGAGAGACCUAGGACUUGCAUGUCUUAGAUAUUUAAGACAAGGGGCUUUCGUGCCAUUUUGAAAAUACUUUGGGUGUUUUUGAAAGCUGCUUGUUUCUUUUGAGUUUCUCACUAAAUUUCGCUUUAGAAGGGAAAAUAAUAAUAAUAUUAAUAGUACAGCACUUAUUAGCAACAGAGUUACAAACUUCUUCUACAACACACACCAACAUGAAUCUAGCCCUGAUCCACUCUUUACAUACUUGAAAACAAAACAAAACACGAAAAACAAAAAACAAGAUAGGGAGAAAAUGGCUACGGAGAGACUUACUGCUAAUAGUUGAUCAAUAACAGAGAUAAUAGCGCACACUAUUUGUAUGACAGUGAGUAUCAGAAGAAUAAUAGCUGCAAAGAGAGAAAUAGCUGCCCAAGGUGUGUUGAAAUACUUUUGUCUCAAAUUUGCCUUCCAUAUGUUCGUGGUCUUCUCUCAGUAACUCGUUUAGUUUGCCAGCAAGAUCACCAAAAUAGUAGUUUCCGUGGUUCAGAGCAACUUUACUGCAAAGCUUGUUAAUCAUAAUGGAAACCUUAUUGUUGUCACCUUGCAUGUUUACAACAAUUCUAUUCUCAACAAGCAACUCUACAUCCUUUGGAGUGUUUACAAAUUUAUCCAGGAUGAAAACAUAAUAGCUUAUGUAUUUAUCCACGCAAUGGCAUUGUUCAAAGGCAAUGAGAUUUCUAAGUGUAAGCUCUGUGUAAUUAUGUAUUUCAAUUUUUGGAAUUUCCAAGGUGUUUUUCUUGAACUGUAUAUCGAAUAAGUUCUUGCUUGAUCCGGCCUGGUGUAGUUUUGUCAUGCUGGGUGUCCUUUGGAGCCCUACAUUUUCUUUUAGGGUCGGAUCUGGCAGAUGUAAAGUUCUAAUAAAAUCAACAAAAUGUAAAGGUUUUUUAGGAUCAGGAGGCAUAAAAGACUUACGGAAGGCUGGUGAGUUCUCCAAGUUUUCUAAACGCAGUGCCUGUUGGAAGAACCUGUAAGAGAGUUCAAUUAUUGAAGGCUCCCCAGUCUGAGCACCUGUGAGAUUGUAAAGAUCCUCGAGAAUGAAAAAUGGCAGCUGAUUUCCAAGCAUAAGCAUGUCAGGCAAUAUAUUUUGUAGCACCCAUGGUUUUUUAAAUAUCCAAGCAUUAUCAUCCUGCAAUUUUUCUUCCUGAAAUUUUUCUUCGGAUUUAUUCCUCAACAAUAGCUCAAUGACAAAGGCGGCAUCAACUCGAAUGAUAUUCACAAAAGCAGCAAUGUUAAACUUCUUAGUGUCUUCAUAAUAAUGACGGAGUUCAACUUCUCUCUCCUUUAUUUUCUCGAAAUAAUCCUUCAAUUUUACAUUAGUCCAAUCAAGAAAACACUUUAGGUACCUGAGUUUGUGAUCUUCCAUGGCUUCUAGGUUUUUGCUGCCAUGGUGAAGUGGGCCUAUUGAGACUACUUGUGGUGUGUAGGCCUUUUGUUUUACGUUCCGUAGUCGCUCAGGCACCCUUUAGAUACAACAGGCAGGGGACAGGGCACGCAAGUUUGUCAACUGAUUUUCCAUGGAAGUUGCUUGGUUUUCUAUGUCAAAAGAAGCUUCAUUGCUGCUUUCUUCCACUUUCUUCCUCCUCAUUAUGUGUUGUUCUGAUUGUAAGUGACGAGGAUGGUGAUGAUUCUAGACAACAUAAUCAACAAAUGUUUCAAUCAUAAUUGACAUUUCAAGAUGCUCCGACAAAGAAUUAGAAAACAUUCAUCACAAAAUGCGAACUCAUACAAUAGAUGGGUUGAUGAUAUAACCAUUAUUUCGUACAUUUUUAUUAUCUUUCUCUUAGAUUCUUGCUAUGGUUCUUGAGUGAGUUUAGUCCAUUUUUACUUAGUUUUGUGUUUUACUAGGUUUGAAGAGUAAAGAUGGAAAAGCAAGCAAAAGGUGCAAUUUUGGUAUUGAAAUAUAAUGUGAAAUCCUAGGAGCAGAAUGUGUUGUGCGGAUCGGACAACUUUACAGAACAUACUGUACUUCCUCAGAGCGAACCAGAUGUUGAACCUUAUAUCAUUGGAAAGAUACGGAUGUUCGCCUUCUGUAGAAUUUCGCGGUUCAUGAUUCGGACGUGUGUGGAGAGAGUUGUGGCCAUUUUAGUACGGACAGUUCGGGCAGAAUGUGUUCUGCGGGUUUUGCAAAAUAAUCCAUUUGAAGUCCAAUCCUUGGAGUUUAAUUUGUGUCAAUUACAUUUGGGAAGUGUCUACAAGGAUGUGGAGUUAUUUUCUGAAGUCUGACCCUUUAUUUAGUAGGAUUAUGGAUGCCAACUCAUCAAAGACAAUGAAGCCAAACUAGGAAAACAUAGUUACCAAGUCAAAAGAGGAUUUGUUCCUUAUUUAAAGAAGACCAGAAAAUAGGGUUCUCUCAUGCUGGAAUUUGAAGGAGAGUUAAAGAGCCGCUGCCAUCGUCAAGUUCUCAAGCAUCGUCAUAAUCCAUAAGUUCUAUUUUAUGUUUUCUAGUUUUUCAAUUAUGUUUUCUUUGAACAUGAGUAACUAAAUCAUUCUCUAGGGCAAGGAUGACGCCCGAGCAUGGAUAGUUAUGAUUUUUAAUGCUAUUUAAUGAAUUCCAAGUUUCUUUUAGAUGAAUGUUUAAUCACUAUUUUAAUUGUUGCUAUUUGUUUAAGUUCUUUGAUUGAUCACCUUAUGACAUGACCCGCCCCGAAUUUUUCGAAACACGAGACGAAUCUUGUGGAAUUCCCGACCACACCCCAAUGCCGGGCCCACUUACUAAAGACCGGGACUUUCUGCCGAAAUUUCGGCAGAGUCUCUCCUGUAAAUUGAACAUUUCCCACAAUUUCAACCUGCAUAAAACACAUUUUAUAUUACCCAACUGGCAGCAUGCACAAUGUAAUAACAUGCAAUUCACAUAAACGGCCUUUCGACCUUCCGAUAAUCCACAACAAACCACCAAGCACGCUAUCAAAUCAAUUCAUACCUUAAACAAGGCAAACAAUAAAUUCAAUCACACUUAAGAAUGUCAAAGCAAUCCACUACAUUUAAUUUUUCUCAACACCCAACAUACGAGGUUUUAACAUCCUAACACAAUCACAUCUAUGUCUGCGGUUGCACCUAAUAACCUUAGGCUGCCUAUGUACCCUCACUGAGAGAUCAAGCCACACGUAGUUCUUCCUACUAAAUUCCGAUUUCCAAACACAUACAAUACCUUUAAUCAUCUCUAUGAUAAUCACAUACUCUCCCCACACGCCGGAAAUUCCAACGCCACGUAUGGGGUCUGUCAUCACGCCGAAAAAUCCUACGCCUCGUGUGACCUAACCAUCAUAUCAUCUCCCCAUACGCCGAAAAUUAUAACGCCACGUACGGGGUCUGUCAUCCUGCCGGAAAAUCCUACGCCAUGGGUGACCUGACAAUCACAUAAUCUCCCCAUAUGCCAGAAAUUCCAACGCCACGUAUGGAGUCUGUCUCAACGCCGGAAAAUCCUACGCCACGCGAGACCUAACAAUCACAUAAUCUCCCCAUAUGCCAGAAAUUCCAACGCCACAUAUGGGGUCUGUCAGCACGCCGGAUAACCUACACCACGUAGGACCUAACAAUCAUAGCAUUUCCCCGUAUGCCAGAAAUUCCAACGCCACGUAUGGGGUUUGUCCUCAUGCCGGAUAACUUACGCCACGUGGGACCUAACAAUCACAUAAUCUUCCCAUAUGCCGGAAAUUCAACACCUCAUAUGGGGUCUGUCAGCACGCUGGAUAACCUACGCCACGUGUGACCUAACAAUCAUAGCAUAUCUCCAUACGCUGGAAAUUUCAACGCCACGUAUGGGGUCUGUCAUCAUGUUGGAUAACCUACGCCACGUAGGACCUAACAAUCACAAGGUGGUACUUAGGGUAGUGCGUAUAGCACUGACAGAAAAUCACAAAAGUAUCUUUCCUAUUCUAGAGAUUGGUCACAUGUAGUCCAACCAAUAGGAAAUGAGAUAUUUAAGAAAUGAAGAGUUUGAUCAAUAUCAAUAUCAAAUGAAUUCUUAUACGCCUAGUCAACUAUUAAGCGUAUCUUGACUUCUUGAUAUUGUGAUAUGAUUGAAACAUGAUUUCCAUGUUAGAAAAUUAAAGGGAUGUUAAAACAUGAAAGUAAUAGGAGAAUCAAAUUGAUUUGGGCCAAAAUUGCCUAAAAAGAAAACACUUCUAAAUACACUCAAUUCACUUUUAAAAACAGUAAAACAUGAUUGAAUCGUUCUUUAAAACAAUUCCCUAAUAUACAUGCAUGAUAAUGACAUCACUUACCUCUGAACCAAAUGCCUUUCACGGGUCAAGCCACAAGUCUGUGUUUUGGGGAUUGCUAAGCUGCAUCAAUCCUGCCAAUGUCAGUUCUGCCCCUAUGCUCUCUCAAAGCAUGUUUACAACCUAUGCUAACAUAUACUAGAGUUUAUGCUAGUAUCGAGAAAAUGCAAACACUAAUUUUGUAACACGUAGAAUUGUUAGAGAUUGGAAGUUUUUAUCAUUUUUUUCUUCCAGUCUCUCCACCACUCACUAAUACAGAUUACUCAUGUGAUAAAUUUACAAAACCUAUUUCUCUACUCUCACAAAGACUAUACUUCUUCUCAAAAGACUAUAUCACUUUACCUCUAUCUCUGUGAAAUGUAAAAAGUUGAAACUUUAAUGUCAAACCUCGACAAAAGAUGAAUUUCCAUCAGUUACGUUGAAUUUGGAUUUGUUGAACUUAAGCGAUUUUACUUUCUCUGUUAGUAUUUGAUGACUUAAUUUGGUAUUUACUUCUUCUUCUUUUUUUCCUUGGAAAUGUGUUCCACCAACGUGAGGAAGAAAAAUAUGCACAAAAUAAUAUAUUUAAUAGAAGCCCAAGAUUUCGGAAGCACAUAAUUUUUUCAAAAAUCUACAAAGUGUUCUACUUUACAAACUUCUUAUGUCUACCAAUUUCUACUAAAAUUAAUUUCUUUGCGGUGCUCAGAUUCAUCAUGUGUGUGUCCUCAAUUUUAGUGGAAAUUGGAAGUUUCCAUCAUUUUUGUUUUCUGGGAAUUUUCUGAACCAAGGAAAAUCAAGCAAAAUUAAUAAAGCAUAAAAUGAAAAGGGAAAAUAUCUAGAGGAUGCAUUGUAGGAUUGCUCAUGCCAAUAAUUGUACCCUCUAAAUAUAUUGGGACAUAUUUUUUUUUGUUUUCAUGACAUAUGGUCCUAAAAUUAUUGUUCCUAGCGGGCUCUCCACCCCUCUCAAUUGAAAACCUAUUGUGUAAAUCUUCAAUCCUGAACGAUGAACGAUGCACCUAAAACACAUGUUGCAAUACACAUCCACCCAUUCUCAGGCCAAUUAUUGUUCCUAGCGGGCUCUCCACCCCCUCUCAAAUUUAAGUGGUCCAUUAUGAUUAAUCAUGUAUUUUAUGGACCAUCCAGCUGUGAGGUUUUAUCUCAAAAACCUUCGGUACCUUUCUCCCACAUGCCACAAUGGUAUAUUCACAAUUACGUCUGAUACCUCACAUCAUGCCACUUGCCUCAAUUGAAUUUAAGUGGGUGGAGUGUUACUUCUGGGUACCCCUCAUCAUUCGUCUAUAAAAUGGUGAAGCCAGUUGCUACUGUUACCAUAAGAGCCAGCUCCGACUUUCUUUAAUUUCUUGUUUCGUAUCCACUAGCUACAUCUGUUGCCAAGUUAAUUUCAGUCCUAAUGGGGUUUCAUCUCCCACUCAUCUUUGCUAUUCUCAGUGUAAGCUCUGCAAUUUGAUUAAGAUUUCCAUUCUCUCUCAUUGUACUCUAUAUAAACGAAAGUUUUGUGUUCCUACAAUUCUCUCCGAUUUUAUUUAGUAUGUACUUAAGUGUCGUACGUCCACUAAUUAAUUACACUUUGUGAGAUUUGAUUUUAAUUAGAGUUCGAAUUAAUGUUGCAGCUAGCAGCAGUGGGAAACCAUGCUGCUCAACCAGCACCUCAACUUUACUGGAACUCCGUCCUGCCAAACACACAGAUGCCAAGAUCUAUCAGUGUACUUCUGCAUCCUGGUUUGUGUUGAGCACUUUAGAAUCUUAGAUAUCUUUUCUACCUGCCAUUUUACUAAAAUUUGUUCGACCACAUAUUUAUCAGUUAACUACUGUCAUUACAAAUCGGCUGAUCACUUAUUUUGCAUUAUGACGUUGAUAUAUAAUUUGCAGACUCCACAAAUGAAGAAAAGAGCACAUAUAUGAAUGCUGUUGGGAAUGGAAAGGGCAAACCUGAAAUUUUCCCAUUGGGCAUUAGACGUUACGUUCAAAAACGGUAUGGAGGGGGCAUUAGACGUUACAAUCAAGAACGGUAUGGAAAAGGUCCUCCUCCAUCUGACAAUCAACUACUCCAUUAUAAAGACUUGGCUAUUUUCUUCUUCGAGAAGGACAUGCGCCCUGGCGCAACAAUGAAGUUCCAAUUCCCUAGAAAUUCAAACACGGCUACUUUCCUGCCACGCGAAAGUGCUCAAUCGAUCCCCUUCUCCUCUAACAAACUAUCAGAAAUUUUCAACCAUUUUUCAGUGAAGCCAACAUCUGUGGAAGCCAAAACAAUUAAGCAAACAAUCCAAGAGUGUGAAGCUCCAGGCCUUAAGGGAGAGGAAAAAUAUUGCGCCACAUCUUUAGAAUCAAUGGUUGAUUUUAGCACUUCGAAGCUUGGAACAAGAAACGUUGAAGCAAUCUCGACGGAGGUAUUGGAAAGAGGAGCCACCAUGUCCAUGCACAACUAUACAACAAUGCCGGGACUGAAGAAGUUGGCAGGUGACAAAGUCGUUGUGUGUCAUAAGGAGAACUAUCCCUAUGCUGUGUUUUUCUGCCAUGCAAUAAAACAAACAGCAGCAUAUGUUCUCUCCCUGAAAGGCGAUGAUGGGGAGAAGGUUAAAGCAGUAACCAUCUGCCAUCUAGACACAUCAGAAUGGAACCCAGAGCAUUUGUCCUUCCAAAUCCUCAACGUUAAGCCCGGAACAAUUCCCAUCUGCCAUUUCAUUUCCACUGAUGGUAUUGUCUGGGUUCCAAAACACAAAUCUGCAUGAUCAUCACUUAGCACUGUACGUAUAAUAAGCUUGGUUGGGUUGCACCCUAGGCCUGUAUAAUUAACUCCCUACUUAUUUCUGCCUCUUUAGCACUGUACAUAUAUAGACUUCAACUUGUACUCGUAUAGCAUGCUGGAAAAAAAAAGGACCAAUAGGGAGAAAAUGGUGAACUAAGGAGAGACUAAUACUUCUGGUUCUUAGAAGGCAUAACAGAAAUAAUAGAGCACACUGCUUGAAUGCAAGUCAAUAUUGUUAGAAAAUUAGGAGAUUUACUUCCUAAUAUAUUAUGAUUCUAUUUAUUUCCUUUUGUAUUGAUAUUAUGUAAUUAGGACUUUAUCUUAGUUUCCUAGUAUAACCCUACUAGGGUUUGUACUCUUGUAUUAUAAAUACCUCCUUUUGGAGAAUGAAGUAUAAUCUGAAAAUAUUCUAUCCACUUUGUUUGACAUGGUAUCAGAGCAAACUUUUCUAGUGACCUGUGUGUUGUGCCAACCCGUAUUCUAGCCCCAUAUUUUUUCUCUACCUAUGCCGUGUGUGCCCCCCCUCUGGGUUUGUGGGUUGUGUUGUCGUGUUGGUGUCAUUCCUAUCUUCGUGCAUCUGCCGUAUUUGAGCCUUUGCUGUGUUCCGCUGUGUACUCUGUUGUGUUCAUACCUCUAUUGUGUUCGUGCCUGUCUUCGUGCAUCUGCUGUAUUUGUGUCUCUAUUGUGUUCCAUUGUACAAUCUGCCGUGAUCUGUUGAAUUUAUGAUGUAAUCAUAGGUGAUAACUCAUUUGUUGGUGUUGUUGUUGCUGUUUCUGGAAAUUUAUGUGAUUCAGACUCUAUUCCAUUUACUGGCUACAAUACUUAGAUAAUUGAUACUGGUACUUAUGAUCAUAUUGACAGGACUCGCCCCGAAUUUCCUGAAACCCGAGACGAAUUCUGUGGAAAUUCCUGACAUCACCCCGAUGUCGGGCCCACUUCUAAAACUAUAUCCUUUUUCCCCAAAAGGAAUAAAGGCAUAAGACUUUCUACCGAAAUUUCGGUAGAGUCUCCUAUGUAAAUUGAACAUUGCCCAAAAUUUUAACCUGCAUAAAACACAUUUUAUAUUACCCAACUGGCAGCAUGCAUAAAGUAAUAACAUGCAAUUCACAUAAACGGCCUUCGGCCUUCCGAUAAUUGGCAACAAACCACCAAGUACGCUAUCAAAUCAAUUUAUACCUUAAACAAGGCAAACAAUAAAUUCAAUCACACUUAAGAAUGUCAAAGCAAUCCACUACAUUUAAUUUUCUCAACAGCCAACAUACGAGGUUUUAACCUCCUAACACAAACACACUUCGUUCUCACUCAAAUAGCAGGACCAACUUCAAGGUCCGCAUCAUACUCAAUAAUACACAAGUAAAGUUUAAACCGCGGCUGCACCUAGGCACUACCCUAGGCUGCCUACGUACCCUUAUUGAGGGAUCAAGCCACACGUAGUUCUUCCUACUAAAUCCUGAUUUCCAAACACAUACAAUAAUACCUUUAUUCAUCUCUCUGUUAAUCACAUAAUCUUCCCAUACGCCGGAAAUUCCAACUCUACGUAUGGGGUCUGUCAUCACGCCGGAAAAUCCUACGCCACGUGUGACCUAACCAUCAUAUCAUCUCCCUAUACGUCAGAAAUUCCAACACCACGUAUGAGGUCUGUCAUCCAGUCGGAAAAUCCUACGCCACGGGUGACUUGACAAUCACAUAAUCUCUCCAUACACCAGAAAUUCCAACGCCACAUAUAGGGUCUGUCUCAAUGUCGGAAAAUCCUAUGCCACGCGAGACCUAACAAUCACAUAAUCUCCCCAUACGCUGGAAAUUCCAACGCCACGAAUGGAGUCUGUCUCAACGCUGGAAAAUCCUAUGCCACUCGAGACCUAACAAUCACAUAAUCUCCCCAUAUGCCGGAAAUUCCAACGCUACAUAUGGGGUCUGUCAGCAUGCCGGAUAACCUACGCCACGUGUGACUUAACAAUGAUAACAUCUCCCCAUACGCCGGAAAUUCCAACGCCACGUAUGAGGUCUGUCCUCACGCCGGAUAACCUACACCAUAUGGAACCUAACAAUCAUAGGGUGGUACUUAGGGUAGUGCGUAUAGCACUUCAAACCGACAUUCAAAACUCUAUUUAUACCUUUAUAAAUUUAUAUAAAAAUAUAUAUAUUAAGUUCUAAAGUUGUAUAAGCCUCAACCACAAUCUAGCAUCCGAUAAUCCCCCCCAAUUUAAAACAAUAAAUUAAUAUCAUAAACCCACAUAAUCAACAUAACUUAACAACGCUCAAGACCUGUCACUAGUGUCAUUGUAAUCCUCCUAGGAAGGUAAAACUACUUCGGAAGAGUCACGGUCAACUAAGGGUCAAACUACCCAAACUUGGUCAAAUGGGCCCACGGGCCCCACGACCUUCAAAUUCCGAUUCCAACCUACCGAAAUUUCUUAUGGGUUCUACAAGGUUUAGGACACUCGUCUUGCAAGUUUGGUCCAGAUCAGACGGUCGGAUCGCUCACGAUCGCACGAUCGGACGGUUACUAUAAACCUAGCCCUAGGGUUGGUAUUUUCGGAGUAUCCAGGACUCCGUUUUACGAUCCGUCGAAUCCUAUACGAUCUUGAGGAUGUCCAAACUAACAUAUAAUAAAUCUAUGACUAUCCAACGGCUCAAACCUAUUGAACCCAGAUAACGCACAAUAUGCGAAAUCUGUUCAAUAGUCAAACGACGUCCGAAUUGAGAUCCGCGAAAACCUACGCACUCGUGACAACUUGAGGACCUCAUUAGGACAAACUGUAGCUUCACCACCUUUGUCCACGCGCCUGCAGCGCAUGGGUGUGUAGAGUAAAUUCCGAUGAUGGAAAAACUCUACACCACCGCUCACCCUUCCUAUCCUAAAUACUACUCGAGGCAAGGAUCACUUCAUUCAACUACGGGGAGGUCCCAUUUGGACGGCAACUGGCCCAAAUUUCACUUUGAAAUCCGGCCAAAACCUAGGUUUUCAAAUCGGUUUUCUAGACAUCAAAUCGAUCCAAUCCUAUCCCAUAGACAGCUAGAGCUCAGAAAAUAGAUGACAAACCAUACCUCACCCGACGGAAUUGGUGGCUGGAGGAGAAAGAUUGAGCGAUGAGAAGUUCUGUCAAAACCGACUCGUUUUCGACUGAUUCCAGCGAGCACAGUUGACGAUGAUGGCUAAGACUAGUCGGGAAAAGACAAGGGAGAGGUGGUGAUUCGAACGGGACCGGUCUCGAGGCCAGUCGUUGACUGUGGAGGCUGCAAUAGCCUUGAAGGGUGGCGGCUGUAAAAACGAAGGGGAGGGGGGCUGUUCACGAUGGAGGAGAGAGAGAGAUAGAUAGAUAGAUAGAGAAAAAUCUGAAUUUUAUAAAAAUUCCAUUUUGAAAUAAUUACGAUUGUGCCACUGAGUUUCUUUUGACCGUAACUUCCUCGUUACAACUCCAAAUCAAGCCCACUAUGUAUCUAUGAACUCAUCUCGUCGAGCUCUACGCAACGGUAGAGCUGAAAUUCUCAAAUUUCUUCCUGAUCAAAAAGUCAACUUUAAACCCAAUAAAAUAUUCUAUGGGUAUAAUGGUCUUUUAUCUACAUAAAUUAAUAAUUUCCAAUUUAUUUAGGACCGGGUCGUUACACAUAUGACUUAUGAUGCUAUAUUUUUUUAUGAGUUGUCUAGUAAUACUCGUGACCCAUACAUAACUAGUGCUAAUGGCUUGCCCUAUCCAAUUACUGGCGAGGGCAUAAUCUCUCACUCCUACUCUGUCCUUGUCUCGUGUGUUACUCGUUCCCAAUAUCCAUUGUAACUUGUUGUUUGUUGGCCGAUUACUUGAUACACUUAAUGCUUAUGCUACUUUCUAUCCUACACAUUGCUCUUUUCAGGAUCUCAAGACUUGCGAGACGAUUGGGCAUAGUAAACGGAUAGGGGGCUUAUAUUAUUUGACAUUGUCUUCUGCACCAAUUCGUGGUUGUGUCAUUCAUACUGUUCAAAGUUGUAGUGUCAAGGACAAAUAACAAAUUUGGUUAUGGCAUCGUCGCUUGGGACACUCGUCGUUCGGCUAUCUUAAGCGUCUGUUUCCAUCUUUAUUCCGCUCUUGUGACGAGUCCAGUUUUAAGUGUGAGACAUGUAUUUUGGCCAAGAGUCAUCGCACUGUGUUUCUUUUAAGUGACAGUAAAGCUGCAAAACCUUUUGAUUUAGUAUAUUCGGAUGUAUAGGGACCUGCUCGUGUGACUUCUAAUGGUUUCUAUUGGUCUAUUACUUUUAUUGAUGACUGCACUCUCCCCAUAGUCCGGAAUUACCAACGCCACGUAUGGAGCCUGUACGCACGCCGAAAAAUCCUACGCCACGUGGGACCUCAUCAUCAUAUCACAUAGUCUCCCCAUACGCCGGAACUACUAAAGCCACGUAUGGGAUUCGUCUCAACGCCGGAAAAUCCUACGCCACGUGAGACCUUACAAUCACAGGAUGGUACUUACACAAUGUAAUCAAACCAUCUUUAUCUCUUUAAUAUAUAUAUAUAUAUUCCCAAUUUCCCCAAGUUUAAAACAAUAAACUAGUUCCUUAAACCCACUAAUUAACAUAACUCAACUAAUGAUCAAGACCUAUUGAAAGGACUCGCCCCGAAUUUUCUCAAAACCUGAGACGAACCCUUUGGAAGUCCUGACAUCACCUCGAUGCCAGGCCCACUUACUAAAAACCGAGACUUCCUGCCGAAAUUUCGGCAGAGUCUCCCCUAUAAUUUGGACAUUUUCCAAAAUUUAUACCUGCAUGAAAAUGCAUUUAAUAUUCCCAAUUGGCAGCAUGCACAAUAUAAUUUCAUGCAAUUCACAUAAAUGGCCUUCGGCUUUCCAAUAAUUCUUAACCAGUUACCAAACAAUUCAAAUACCAAUUAUGACUAACAUUUAGUCUACGGCUGCGCCUAAUAACCUUAGGCUGCCUACGUACCCUCCUUGAGGGAUCAAGCCACACGUAGUUCUUCCAUAAAACUCAAUUCCACACAUAGGUGAUACCUUAUUUCAUCUCUCUGUAUUUCACAUAAUCUCCCCAUACGCCGGUACAACCAACGCCACGUAUAGGGCCUGUCAACACGCCGGAUAACCUACGCCACGUGCGACCAUGCCAUACUAUCAUCAUAUCUCCCCAUACGCCGGUACAACCAAUACCACGUAUGGGGUCUGUCUCAACGCCGGAUAACCUACGCCACGCGAGACCUGCACAUCAUAUCACAUAACUCCCCAUACGCCGGUACAACCAACGCCACGUAUGGGGCCUGUCCCAACGCCGGAUAACCUACGCCACGCGGGACCUCAACAUCAUAUCACAAAUCUCCCUAUACGCCGGUACAACCAACGCCACGUAUGGGGUCUGUCGACACGCCGGAUAACCUACGCCACGUGCGACCUCAACACAAUAUCACAAUAGCUCCCCAUACGCCGGUACAACCAACGCCACGUAUGGGGCCUGUCUCAACGCCGGAUAACCUACGCCACGUGAGACCUAACUUUCACUUGGUGGUGCUUGUAGUGAAUCCAACAUCCAGGGAGGUACCUAAAGUAGUGCGUAUAGCACUCCAAACUGACAUUCUAGACUCUGUUGUACCCAUGUACAACCAUAUAUAAUUAUAGUUAUAUAAAUUAAUUCUAAUAUUGUGUAACCUUCCACAUUCAUCUAGCACCCGAUAAUCCCCCUUAGAAAGGUGAGAUUACUCCGGGAGACUCACGGUCAACCAAGGGUCAAACUACUCUAACUCUGGUCAACCGGACCUGCAGAACCCACGACCCCCAAUUUCCGAUCCGAAAGUCUCUAUGGGUUCUACCAGGUAUAGGACACUUGUCCUGCAAGUUUGGUUCAGAUCGGACGGUCGAAUUUCUCACGAUCGCACGAUCUGACAAUUAAUAUAAAAUAUAAACUUUAAAAUUAUUAAUCGAAACAUCCGGGGCUCCGAUUCACGAUCCGUGAAUUCCUACACGAUCCUAGAAUUACCUAGAUUAACAUAUAUUAAAUUUGGGACCAUCCGACGGUCCCAACCUGUCGAACCCGGAUAACGUACAAUAUACGAUCGUCCGUUCGAUAGUCAAACGACGUCCGAAUUGAGAUCCGCGAAAUCCUAUGCACUCGUGACAACCUAAGGAUCUCAUCGGAAUACAGUGCUACUUUUUCUACAGUGCCCAAAGCGAUAACGCUUCGCCGGAAAAUCUCAACAUCACGGCUCCAAAAUUCCUACUCUAGGUAUAACACCCUAUUUGGAGCCACUUUUGUUCUUGGACCUACCCCAAAAAGUGGCCGAAAAUGGCCGAUCACGGCAGCCGAAGUUUCGGCCGAUUUUCAAUUCGAAAAUCGAGUUGUCUACGCUAAGAAUCGAUCUAAUCCUACCCAACCAUCAGCUAGAGUAGCUCGAGAGGUUCAAAAUCCAUACCUGGGUCGACGGAAUUGGUGGCCGGAGGAGGGAGAUCGGCGGCUUUGAAGUUUGGACGACGUCGGCCGCUUCAUCUCCAGAUUCCGGCGAAUCCGCGGCGGCUGGCGGCGGGAGGUGGCUGGGGUAGGAAGAGGACGACGGCCCGGUCAUUUUGGUACCGGUCCCGUCGUCAUUGGUGGCCGGAGGAGAGCACGGCCGGCCAAAACGUGGCCGGCGGUCGUCGCGCGCGAGAGAGGAGAGAGAGAGAUCGCGCGGAGGAGAGAGAGAGAGAGAGAGAGAGAGAGAGAGAGAAAACCAGAUUUUUAUAAAAAAAAGUCCCAUUUUGAAAUAUUUACGAUGUGCCACUGGGCUUCUUUUGACCAUAUCUCUCUCGUUACAACUCCGAUUCAAGCCCACUACGUGUCUAUGAACUCGUCUCAGUACGACCUAUCCAAAAAUACAAGUCACGGUCCCAAACUCUCUCCGGUUAAAAAUAUGACUAAAAUACCCUUAAAUAAUGAAAUAAUUAAAUAAGGGUUAAAUUUGGGGUCGGGGUGUUACAUCUAUCACCAGGAUCAUUAUAAUCCUCCGAGGGAGGUGAAACUACCUCGGAAGACUCACGGUCAACCAAGGGUCAAACUACCCAAAUUUAGUCAAACGGGCCCACGAGACCCGCGACCUCCCGAUCUGAAAGUUCCUAUGUGUUCUACAAGGUUUAGGACACUCGUCAUGCAAGUUUGGUCCAGAUCGGACGAUCAGAUAGCUCACGAUCGGACGGUUAUUAUAAACAUAAACUUUAAGUUAUUAAAUCGGAACAUCCGGGGCAAAGAUUCACGAUCCGUGAAUUCCUACACGAUCCUAGAAUUGCCUAGAUUAACAUAUAUUAAUUUUAAGACUAUCCAACGGUCUGAACAUGUCAAACCCGGAUAACGCCUAAUAUGCGAUAUGCGAUAUCCGAUCGAUGAUCAAACAAUAAUCAAAUUCAAAUUCGAGCAUACCGUCACGCUCGAGACGACGAGAGGGUUAUUUUAGAACUCUAAGACAAGCCACCACAUGGCCCACGCGCUGACAGCGCGUGGUUGUCUAGAGAAAUUUCCAGCGGCGGGAAAAACUCCAAACCGCCAGCCAAGACUCCCAGGUUAGGUAAAUCACAUGUAGUGGAACAACUUUUGUUCUUGGACCUACCCCAAAAAGUCGACGGAAGUGGCCGUCGGAGGCCGAAACUGGCCUAAACUUCUAUCGCUUAAUUGACAACCAAAAUGCAGCAAUUGAUCCUAAAUAACCCAACCAGCAGCUAGAUCAGAUUGAGGGGAUGGAAAAGCAUACCUAGAUCGCAUGAUUUGGUUACCGAAAACGUCCGAACGAGCUUCCGAAAAAUCCGCAAAAAACCUUUCGGAUUUCUGCAAUUUCCGGCCAGCACCAGCAGUUCCAGCAGCUGAGGUUGGUCGGAAAAGGAAGAGGAGGUGGCAGCGGUUUGAACAGGUCCGGCCUCGUUGCCGGUGGUGAUCCGUGGUGGCAACUGUGGCUCUUGGAAGCCACGGCUGUGCAGAAAAAUGAAGGGGGAGGGGGCUGCGCGCGUGGGGAGAGAGAGAAAGUGAGAGAGAAUCAGAUUUAUCAAACCUUUUUUUGCCAAAAGUACGAGUAUGCCACUAAGGGUAAUUUGAUCGUAUCUUCUUCGUUACAACUCCGAUUCGAGCCCAUUACGUGUCUACGAACUCAUCUCGCUGUGCUUUACACAACGGUACGGUUGAAAUUCCCAAAUUCCUUCCCAGUCAAAAAGUCAACUUUAAACCUAAUAAAAUAUUCUAUGGGCAAAAUGGUAUUUUCUCUGAAUAAAUUAGUGUUUACUAAUUUAUUUAGGACCGGGUCGUUACAAUACCCAAAAAUUUCCUGUGUCAGAAUCAACACAUGGCAGCAGAGAAAGAAAGGGGAAUAGGACAAAAUAGUUGGUUAUCCAGCUGGAAAUCCUACAGAGCAAGGAUGACUAGUUAUACGAGAAACAGAUGACUAGUCAUCAUUUUAUGAAAUCAAUUUAAUGCAAUGUGAUGGAAUGCACAAUUUACCUUUGUCAAUUUGCUUGAACCUCUAUACGAUAGUUGUUAGUUAAGAACACCUAGAGAAACUAUUCUUAAUCUAAACUUGAGCUUGAUAAAAAUAAUAAAAAUCUUAUUACAAGAUUAUCAAGGAAAGUGUUGUGUCUACCCAAGUGCAAGUAGUCACACGUAGUAAUAAUCUUGGAAGUCCAAGUAUCGUAUCCUCAAGGAGCAGGUAGGCAAAUAUCUGCACACAAAGAAAUAAUUAAACAUACCACAAUAAAAGUGACAAGCAAAAUGGAAAAGUUAUUUAUUUGAUUGUUGUGAAAAUUGAAUUUAAAAAUGAAAUAUCAAUAAUGGAAAUGCUAAGGCAUCAAGGUUCAAUUCUUUAAACAAAAUAUGUUUCAUGCUCUUUACUCCAGAUUAUAACUCGAUUAAAAUCAUCAUCGAGAAACUUUAACCGGAAGAUAAAGAAAUUAAAACCAAUUUAAUUUUUCAAUGUAAUCUUUUAUUAAUGAUUGUUCAGAAAAUGGAAUUGCUUAAUAUCUACUCUUUUAAUUUAAAAGCAUGCCAAGUCAGUUCUUAACAAUGAGAAAAAUAAAAUUGAACUCAUGAAAAGGUAAUAGCACUUAACAUCAAUCAAAAUAAAAGGAUAUGAAAAUAUUGAACAACCAAAAAUAAAAGAAUUUAGCAAUUCAUACCGUAUAUUGGAUUAAAGAACAAUUCACAAACUUACUUAAAGAACAUUCCCUUUAGCCUUAGCUAGAGUUCUAGCAACUCAAUUACAAAGGAAAACAUAAACUAAAUGGAUAAAGAAAUCAGUCAUAGUGGUGCCCUUGCCAAAGAAGUUGAUGGGUAAUUUAUAGUGAAUGAGGUGAGUGGGAAGUUAAUACAUGGGUAAUGAAGGGUUUAAGUAAGGGAUUAAUUGGAUUAAACAUUGGUUGAUGGUGGAGAGUUAGUGGAAAAGAAAUAACGGUGAGGUAAAUAGGCGUUAAAUGGCUAUGAAUGACAUGAAAUAGGCUCUUUAGCUUCAACGGUUGUGUCUUCUCUUCUCCCUCUUUACUUCUCUUUAUAAUCACAAUAAUCCAACAAUCAAUUCUUCAAUAAAAUCCGCCAGCAAUUCUCUUCACACCUAGCUUGAACUUGGACAAAUGUAUGUCUUCAUCUUUUGGCUUUCUAACUUCCUACCGAAGAUAAAUUCACCUAAUAAGUUCACCAAAUUAAUAUAGAAAAUUCAUAAAUCCAGUUGAUGAGAAUAAAAUGUAACAAUAAGUGAAAUUAUAUUUAUUAAGUCAAAAUUAUAUCAUAAAGUCUCCAAAAUAAUAUUAAAAAUAUAUAAUUUAAGACUCUCAUCACAAAGCCAAAAGAAAAACUCAAAAUGCAUACAUUAACAGUUUUGCCAUAUUGAAUUAAUGUCUUCUAGCUAUGUACCUUAUCUUUUUGCCGGGCCAUGAGUUGAAUGUAGAGGCAGAGCAUGGACUUGGGUCAAGUUUGACUUGUAAAAUAAUUAGGAAUUGAAUGGCUCCUACGUUCAAUUAUUUUAUUAUUAUUAUUAUUUUUUGUCCGAGCCAUUCAAUUCCUAAUUAUUUAGAUUUUUGAUCUAGUUAGCAUCCACAAUCAUGCUCUCUAUUUUUUUUUUUUGGUCAUAAAUGCCAUAACUCUUUUUUUAUUGGUCCAUCUCUAUUAAAAAAUAAAAUAAAAAAUAGUUAGCAUUAAAUAAAGGUUUGAAAUUCUCAUUAAAUAAAGCAGCAUUAAAUUAUAGGGAGCAACUAGGAGUCAUUUCUCUCUCCUCAAGUUUAGGAGCUCCUACAGGUCUCCCUAUUUUAGGAGGUAGAUAGGGAGCAUUGUUGGAGUUGUAUUUUUACAAUUUCUCCCUAAAAUUUGUCUAAGGAUGUGGUUUAGGGAGCCCAUUGUGGAUGCUCUCAUCUCAAGGAAAGAAAACCCCAAGUUUGCAAGUAAUUUUUCUACGUAUGUAUAUAUGAAAAACUGACAUUUAUGAAAAUAAUAAACCCAUAUUUUUAUGUAAGCCAACUUUCUAAAUUCAUGUACUGAUAUUUAUUAGGGAAAUAUUGGAGAAACUGAUUAUUUUGAAAAAUUAAAUGUGAAAAACUGAACAAAAUUUUGACGGGUUACAUAUGUCAACUCAUUCAGCAGCUUAGGUUGUGAAGACCUAAGCAACAACCCUAGUGCACUGUCGAUCACUUCAGUGUCUACCGAUUUUCCUUUCCAUAUUGUUAGAUUAUUCCCUGCUGUAACACUUGCAUUUAGAAAAUAAUAGUACAGCUCUUAUUAGCAACAGUUUUACACACUUGCAUGAAUCUCACUAUGUUAAAGCAAUCACAUAGCACACCUUUAUUGAAAACAAAGCUAGCCCUGAUCCACUCCUUUACAUACUUAAAAACAAAACAAAACGAAAAAAAGAUAGGGAGAAAAUGGCUACGGACUUACUGCCGACAAAAAGAGAUAAUAGCGAACACUGUUUGUAUGACAGUGAGUAUGAGAAGAGUAACCGCUGCAAAGAGAGAAAAAGCUGCCCAGGCCCAGGGUGAGUUGAAAUACUUUUGGCUCAAAUAUGCCAACCAUCUGUUCCUGCACUUCUUGCAGUACUUGUUUAGAUUGUCAGCAAGACCACCAAAAUAGAAAUUUUGCUGGUCCGGAGCAACCCCCUUGCAAAGUUGGUUAAUCAUAGUAGAAACCUUAUUGUUGUCACCUAGUGUGUUUACAACAAUUUCACUCUCAACAAGUAAAUCUACAUCCCUUUUGGUUUUUACAAAUUUAUCCAGGAGGAAAACAUAAUCGCUUAAGUAAUUGUCUGUGCAAUGGCAUUGUUCAAAGGCAAUGAGAUUUCUGAGUAUAAGCUCUGUGUCAUCACGUAUUUCUAGUUUUGGAAUUUUCAGAGUUCCAUUAUGGAACUGUAUCGCGAAUAAGUCGUUGCUUGACUCCAGACGACUUGAUUCCGGACGAAACUUAACUCUGGCCUGGUGUAGUUUUGUCACGCUGGGUAUACAUGGGAGUUCUCCAGCUUCUGAGGUACCGGUAUCCAAAUAUUGCACAUGUAAAGUUCUAAUAAAAUCAACAAAAUGUAAAGGUGGUUCAGUCCCCUCCACUUCGUCUUCCGACCUCUGUAAACCCACUACCUUUUUGAAGAAAUGGUAAGAGAGCUUAAUCAUUGAAGGCCUCUCAGUCUCAGAAUUCUUAACUCUGACUUUGCUUGCAUCGAAAAGAUCCUCAAGAAUGAAAAAUGGCAGCUAAUUUUCGGGCAAAAGCAUGUCGGGCACUAUAUUUGUUAACAUUUAUGGUUUUUUAAAUAUCCAGUCAUUAUAUCGUCUCGCAAUUCUUGGAAAUGGUACCUCAACAAUAGCUCAAUGACAAAGGCAGCAUCAACUAGAAUGAUACUUACAAACUUGUCGCUACUCUUGAAGUGCUGAGCGUUUCCAUAACGACCACGGAGUUCAUCUUCUUGGGCCUUUAUUUUCUCUGCAUAAUCCUUCAAGCUAACCUUAUUAUUCCGAUGAAGAAAAUUUUGUAGGUACCUCGGUUUGUACUCUUCCAUGGCUUCUAAUUCUUUGUUGUCAUGGUGAAUUGGGCCUAUUGAGACUACUUCCGGGGUGUAAGCGUUAUUUCUGCCCCGUAGUCACGAAGGAACCCUGUAGAUACAGCACUCAUCAGAGGGCCUAUUGAGACAAACUAUCCAACCGCCGCUUCAAAUCUGCUACUGGGGUUUUGUGGUUUUCUACGCCAUGUGGAGCUCCAUUGCUGCAUCCUUCCACUUCUAUUAUGUGUUGUUCUGAUUGUAAGUGAUGAGGGUUAUUGGCACCAGGGGCGGAUCUAGCCCUUUUUUGGCUAGGCAGCCACCCAGUCGAGAAUUUUCAUAAAAACAAAAUAGGUACGUAUUGUUGUAAAUGUAUGAGUUGGUGGAUGACCACCAUACCUCUUAGCAUUCACCUUUUCUAAUUCUAUGUAACUAUACACUAAAUGCCAUAGUUAUGGACUUGUAACUUAUGAGUUGUUAAUGUUUUCUUACGUGUAAGCCUAUAAAUAAGAGGGCUAUCUUGGCAUAUGUGUUCGUCACUAACUAUAUAAUUUAAGUUGUUUUCAGUGACUAAUUUAAAUAAUUGUCAGAAAAUUUGGUCAUUAAAAAUUAAAAAAUAAGGGUCAAUUAUUUUAGUGACCAUGAAGUAUUAUUAGUCAUUAAAUUCAUUGUAUUUGUGACCAUUAUUUAUGUGGAAUUGGUCACUACUGACCUUUUUUCUUGUAGUGUACAUUCUUGCCUUAAUACAGUUAGGCUUAUUUUUAUACUAAUUUCUCUAACAUAACUUUUGCACAUUCUUUUUAUAUUAUAAUAAAUAAUCUUACCCAGUUGAGUUAUAAACCAUUUUCUUUUAGCACGGAAAAUCGACAUUUUGACAGAGAGUUGAAAAGCACUCCCCAAUUUUAAUGUCAACCACUUGGAAAAAAAAAACAUAAAUUUAAUGACAACAAUUACAUUUAGCAAUGCAACCUAAAAACUCAACCUUUGCGCUCCUUUCACCACGCAGAUAGCAGGGUGAGGAUAUUCGAAUAAGAACGAAGACAGAAGCUAAAGGAAUUGCGAUAGCUAACCAUAGUCUGCAUUUCUUACCAUCUGAACAAUGCCACCAUUUUGUUUGGUAAGUAUUUAAUAACAUUUCUUGCUCUACAUAAAGUAAUAUUAAAGCGAAAUUUCCCUAAAUUUUUCUUACCAACAAUCCAUACCCAAGAAAAGGGGAGAUUCACUAUUAUACUCAAUAUAGGAGCCCAACUUAUUUAUAAUAAUUAUAAAAAAAAACCCUCUAUGAAAUGGACUUUAGAAACACACCUAAAACCUAUUUACAACAAAACAAAAAGACUUUUAACUUUUUUUAAAUUACAAAACUGUCAUUGAUUUCUUAAACAAACCCAACCCCAAAACCUCAUAAAAAAGCCCAAAUACUCAAUAAAGCAGCAAAGUAAUUUAAUAAUAAAAAUUAAAUUCAAUAGAGUCAGCUGUUAUUUUUUGGGUUAUUUUUUAUUUGUUUAUAGAAAUUAAAGAGUGCUGCUAAAAGAACCCUAACAUUAACUAAAUACACCAAAUGAUCUAAGUACACCCUAAUAUUUUAAUUAAAAUACAAAAUUAACUAAGUACACCUUAUUUAACUACCAAAAUUACCCGUGUUACACCCUAAUACACUCUAUCACUGUUCACCCGUUUAGUUUUUGCUCCUGUGAUGGAAGGGUAAAGUUCCCCACUGCCUUGGAAACCAUUGACUGGUCAACAAGUCAGCUUUCUUUGCUAUGUGAGCGUGCCACUGUUAGCAAUGAAAAUCCUAACAGACUUCUUAAAAUGGAUACUUGCGCCCAAGUUACUGAUUUCUAAACAGUGAUUGUGAUUUGGGUGAGGAAUAUCUCCAAGUAAGUUCUUUUCCUGCAUCAGGCUGGUGAAGACUUUAUAAUUUUCACAGUAUAAAUUGGUAGUUCUUGCCAGAAUAGAUGAUAUAAAGUGGACGGUUUUUAGGCAGAACUGCGUUUUACAAAAUUAAGAAGGAAAAAUCAACUCUAAAAAGACAAAAAGAUGGCUGGAAUCCCACUUCUGCCUGGGUAGAAACUUCAGAUCCGGGCUGGACCGAAUACAUUCAUGAUGGACUGAGCUGUUAACAACUUCAAUUGCUUAGCUUUAGCUGUAAAUCGAUACCAAAGUUCAAUUUUGGCAGAGCUUUAAUCUACUUCAAGCCUUGGAAGGCUUUUGAGCGGGCAGAACUGCCGUCUCUUCUGGCUAAAAGAGGCAGAAAUGGCUGAAUUUGAGGUUUACUGAGCUGGAACUGCACUGUUGUACCUGUUCUGCUUGGUCAGGGCUUUCCAUAAAUUUGUUGAGGUUUUCAUAUUUGUGAAAAACUCAAACUCUGCUUGUUUUGGCUUUUGCUGAACCAAAUUUGUAACGAGAGAAGUCUUGUUUUGAAUGACUUUUCUCUAAGUUUGAGCUUUUGAAAUUCUAGGAGAGAGAGAGAGAGAGAGCUUUUGAUUGCUCCAGUUUGUUUGAAGGUUCUCAAUGAUCAAGUGAUCAUUUUGAGUUUUUGCCUUUAGCUUAUUUUUGGUUGUUUGUUUGAUUAUCCUUUGCUCUAUUCACCUUCUCCUAUAUUUAUAAGAAAUGCUUUGAAGUAGGGUUUCUUUCUUUUAAUAAUGGGCGGCCAAAAUUCUCAAAAGGUCUUUCAUUUUUUUAAAUACGAAGAAAAAGGGGUUUUCUCAAUUUUGGCAAAUAAGUUCUCAACAGUCAAUUCCAUUGAAAGAGAACCUGACUUUUCUUUAAUUCCCAACUGCCCUUGUGAGAGCUCAAUCGUGAUGGUCAGUUUGCUUCUCCAUUUUGAACAACUUCCUGUUUCCUGUUUAUCUUUUUAGAAAAUACAAUCUGGGUAUCCCUUGAAAGAUGGUGCCUUUUUUGGAGUAGAAACAAUGUCUCUAAAUAUAAAAGGGUUUUUUUUUUAUCUUUUGGUGGCAAAGAUUUCAAAGACGUCCCUUCUUUUCGCCUGCCUCUGUCAACUUUUUAUCAACCCAGUUGAAAUUGUUGACUUUCCUAAAUCAAAAAAAGAGAUUCACGUGGGUCUGUUCCUUUUGGCUCCUUCCUCUCUUUUAAUCAUGCCUAACCUCUUUUGAUUUUACUGGAGCCAUGGGCUGAUUGCUUCUCUUUUCGAGGCCCAAGUUUAUUUGCAGAGCCCAAACUGCUUGGGCCCUGUGGUUUUGUCUUUGUUGUUUUUGGGCUUUUUAGGCUGGACGUGCCAAAAUUAGGCCCAAACAAUGUCCCCUAAGUUUGAAUCGUUUCUAGAACGGUUCGAGAUUUAAUGAUUUUGGCCAUUAAUUCGUGCGCGCCAACUUCUUUCGUUUAAUGCACGUCUGCCUACCACGAGCUAGACUUCAUGGGAAACUGUUUUGUUACUAGCUAGUUACUUAGCUAGUUAUUAUCAUAUGGCGUCUCGUCUUCCUCUUCCCACGAUUUCAAGCCCCUUUUUUAAGAAAUUCGAAACUCCAACUUCUGUUUAUUUCAAAAACUAGCUUCUUUUUAGACCUCGACAAUUCUUAGUUUUCCCCAGAAUUCUCACUUUUUCUUCGACCAGACUCUGCCUUUCUUAUCAUUUCCUUUCCUAGUUCAACACUUCUGAUCAUGUCUUCUCCCAAGACUCGUGCUCAAGGUUGGUCCUCCUCAGUUCCUCCUAAUUACAUCACUGGGACUGGGAUUGACAAUCACGCGAUAGAGGUUAGAAGCAAACUGAUAGGACCCGCCCCGAAUUUUCCAAAACCCAAGGCGAAUCCUGUGAAAUUUCCGACAUCACCCCGAUGCCGGGCCCACUUACUAAACACCGAGACUUUCUGCCGAAAUUUCGGCAGAGUCUCCCCUAUAAAUUGGACAUUUCCCAAAAUUUCAACCUGCAUAAAAACACAUUUAAUAUUCCCAACGGGCAGCAUGCACAAAAUAAUUUCAUCCAAUUCACAUAACGGCCUUCGGCCUUUCAAUAAUUUUCAACAAACUACCAAGCACACUAACAAAUCAAUUCAUGCCUCAAACAAGGCAACCAAUAAAUUCAAAUAUGCAUUAUGACUACCAAAUUUCGACAUGCAUCAUUUUGCUUUUCCAAUCUCAAUAGAUGAGGUUUUAACCUCCUAACACAAUCACAUCUAUGUUCGCGGCUGCACCUAAUAACCUUAGGCUGCCUACGUACCCUCACUGAGGGAUCAAGACACACGUAGUUCUUCCUUAAACCCAAUUCCACACAUAGGCAAUACCUUUAUUCAUUUCUCUGUAUUUCACAUAAUCUCCUCAUACGCCUGUACUACCAACGCCACGUAUGGGGUCUGUCAACACACUGGGUAACCUACGCCACGUGCGACCUCACCAUAUUAUCACAUAAUCUCCCCAUACGCCUGUACUACCAACGCCACGUAUGGGGCCUAUCGACACGUUGGAUAACCUAUGCCACGUGCGACCUCAACAUAAUAUCACAUAAUCUCCCCAUACGUCAAUACAACCAACGCCACGUAUGGGGUCUGUCUCAACGCCGGAUAACCUACGCCACGCGAGACCUGAACAUCAUAUCACAAUAGCUUGCCAUACGCUGGUACAACCAACGCCACAUAUGGGAUCUGUCGACACGCCGGAUAACCUACCCCACGUACGACCUCAAUAUAAUAUCACAUAAUCUCCCCAUACGCCGGUACAACCAACGCCACGUAUGGGGUCUGUGUUAAAGCCGGAUAACCUACGCCACGCGAGACCUGAACAUCAUAUCACAAUAUCUCUCCAUACUCCAGUACAACCAACGCCACGUAUGGGGUAUGUGGACACGCCGGAUAACCUACGCCACGUGCGACCUCGAUAUAUUGUCAGGUAAUCUCCCCAUAUGCCGGUACUAUCAAUGCCACGUAUGGGACCUGUCCGCAAGCCGGAUAACCUACGCCACGUGGGACCUAACUUUCACAGGGUGGUACUUGUAGUGUAACCAAAAUCCGGAAAGGUGCCUAGGGUAGUGCGUAUAGCACUUCAAACUGACAUUCUAGACUCUUUAUACCUUUACAAACAUAUAUAAACAUAUAUAAUUUAAUUCUAAUUGUGUAAACCUCAACAAUAGUCUAGCACCCAAUAAUCCCCCUAGGAAGGUGAGACUACUCCGAAAGACUCACGGUCGACCAAGGGUCAAACUACCCUAACAUUGGUCAAACAGGCCCACGGGGCCCACGACCUCCAAAUUCUGAUCCGAAAGUUCCUAUGAGUUCUCCGAGUUAUAGGACACUCGUCCUGCAAGUUUAGUCCAGAUCGGACGAUCAGAUCGCUCACGAUCGCACGAUCUGACGGUUAAUAUAAAACAUAAACUUUAAAUUAAUAAAUCAAAACAUCCGGCACUCCGAUUCACGAUCCGUGAAUUCCUACACGAUCCUAGAAAUACCUAGAUUAACAUAUAUUAAAUUCAAGACCAUCCAACGGUCCCAACCUAUCGAACCCAGAUAACGCGCAAUAGGCGGUAUCCGUUCGAUAUUUCCCUUUAAUAAUUUAAAUAAGGGAUUUAAUUUGGAGUCGGGGUGUUACAAUCUACCCUCCUUAUAAAAAUUUCAUCCUCGAAAUUUCAUACCUGCUAGAAGAGGAAUCUGCCAGAACUGACUUUAGGAAGAAGUUCCUGAGUGUCACUCUGCCAAGAGAUCUGCCCCACGGAGGUGGGAAGCCUCCAAACUAUCAUUUGGGAGCAGAAGUCUAUCAUCGCAACUUCUGUGCAAGGCAACUUGGCUGCCCCAGCUUAUUCCACUAAAAUCAUACAGAAGCUGCAAUCGGGCCACUUCCUUGAGAGAUGCGGAUGAUCUGGAAGUGCACAAAGAUGCUAGAUGUGCAGUAAACAAGAUAAAUAACAGCGCAGAUGCCCUCUAUCCAGCCUGGGAACUGAACUCCUGCAGUUCUGCCGAUUUUGACGCUUGGUGGAAAUCCAGGUUUCAUGGUCUGCCAGCCUCCAUUGCUGCACUCAAGGUGAUUUUUGAGGGCUGGGACUCCUGGACUGUCUACGCGGAGGUGGAUGCCAAGAACUUCAUGGUGCAGACCAUCAAAGACAUUAAUGCCCAGGGUAUAGAAGGUAACUUUCAAUUCUGUCUGUCUUGCCUAUUCUGUCUCUUAGUGAUGAUGCCUAACAGUUUUGUUCUGUAUAUAUCAGACCCUUAUUUGACAGAAAACAUAGGUGGACAGUCUGUCCAAGCUGGAGAUGUGAUUGGUAAGUUUUUCACUAUUCUGUUCCUUUCAUUAUUUUCUUGCUUGAUUGACUUCUGACUUUGUCUAUUUCUUGUGUAGUCAUUGCUGUCAUUGCUGCUGGGACUUGGAGCUUCCCUCUGGAGAUGAAGAGGAUCUAGCUGCUGAGGCUAUUCCUUUUGGCAGAACAUCCAGCUGCUGAGGCCAUUCUUUCUAGCAGAAGGAAGAGAAAGGAAAUUUCUUCUGCCCAGCACAGUGCUGCUCAGCCUGCGACUUCAGGUAAGUUCUGACAGUUUGAGCUUUUCGUAAUUCUAUUUUGUCCUAUUCUGCCUUAUGUUCUAAUGGUUUAUUGUCUGCUUAUUGUAGCUGAAAGUUCCUCUCCUCCUCCUACUAAGUCAAAAAGACUUAAAAAGAGGACUGUGGUGGAAUAUAUGGCCAUGGAGGAGUCUGCAGCAGUUCCCACCAACACUUCUGGGACGGAUGAAGAGCUGAGAGAGGCCUUCAAGACAGUGGAAUAGGAGAAAGAGCUAGAAGAAACAGAAGAAGAACCUCAAGAAAAGGCAAAAGAAAUGGAAGAAAAUGUGAGUAUUGUUUUCUGGCUAUGUCAGCUUUUCUUUUGUUUCUUCAUUUCCUCUGUUCUGACUUCUGUCUAUGUAUAGAAGGAAAUCCCCGCUGAAGUGAUUGCAUAGAGCAUUGCUUUGGCGCAGAGGCAGCAGGAGAAUCAAAGGGCAGAGCUGACCAGCUCGGAGUUGGCCCUUUUUGAAGACGCAGAGGCAGAACACUCAACUGUUGUUCCAGCAGCUGAGGAGCAGGUGGAGCAGUCUGCAUCAGAGCCUGUGGAGCGAGCAGAACUACCUGUUGCAGUCCCAGCACCUGGAGUGGAAGUGGCUGCUGUUGUUCCCGAAGUUGUGGUAAUUUUUAUUCUACUUCUGUCCACCUGUUUCCUGCAAUUCUGUUCUGUCUGUGCUUCCUUAUCUAUUAGUCUUUUCAGGUAGAAGUGCCUAGGCCUGCUGGGGUUUUGGCAGUGGUGACCAGCCCCUUGAAGCCUCUCAUCGUUGCUGUAAGUGUUAAUGCAUUCCUGGGCUUUUUCUUUUCUGUCUCUGCCUAGUUCCUACUCUUGUUCUUUUCUGCAUAUGCCUAUCCAUUCCCUUCCAAGUUCAUCUGCCACAGCUUCCUAUGCUGAUUCGGAGCUGGCAGAAUUUGAGGCUCUGGAUCUGAACGCCCAGCUAGACAAGCUGAACCCUAAACCCUUGAGAAACUCAGCUCCACUCCUUGCAAGGCAAAGUCCAAGGCAGUGGAGGAGGCUAUGGAGAGACUGAAGAUCUGGCAAUCAACUGAUCUGGAGCUGGAUAAGGACAGGGAAGCUGUUGACCAAUUGAUGAAGGAUCUGGACCUUCUGCACAGACAGAACAUGGCCCCCAAACCCAUACUUGAGAUGAGCCUUGGCUUGGGAAGAGAUGUGCUCAACCUCCACGACCGUUACGAGGAUCUCAAGCCCACCUUCAAGACCUCUGAGUUCUGCAAAGCCACCCAUAAAGCCAACUUGGCUGACUAUGCAAAGCAGAAGGCAGAACUGGACCAGAUGGUUGCAGGAUACAAGGAAGCCAAAGCCACUAUAGACAAGUUGGAGAAGCAGAUUGAAGAGCUUCAAAAACAAUUGGCAGAGUGCAGAGAGGUGCAGAGCAGGCUCGGGGCUAGACUGAGCUCUAAGACCAAGGCCACCUUCCUUGUGUAGAAUAUGGUUUCAGCUUCUAGGCCAGCUUUGGAAAUUGCAGAGGCUUCAAUCCACCAGGGGUGCUACUUCAGAAGGAACUCUCCAUUAAAAAGGCCAACUUGCAAGAAACCCUUAGGAAAUUAGGGUUUUAGAUUCUAGUUUUUUUUUAAAGAAAUGUAAUAAAUAAUUUAGCCAUAAAAAGUGGCUAUAUUUAAAUAAAAGUUCAUUUAUUUUUGUGGGAAUUCCAAAUUCUUUCGACAAAAAGAAAAGAGAGAAAAAGUAAUUUAAAGCAUACUUAACAAAUUACAACGAAAAUGAAAGUGAUCAGAAAUUCAAACAACAGUUUUAUCUUGCUGUCUCUCUAUUCCGGGAUCUGUCUGUACCGCCUGUGAAUCCCACAUAGUUGGAUAGAACUUUUUUAACCAUUUGUCAUUAAUUGGUGCAGUAUGGACAUCUCCAUCUCGAUCAUGUAAUCUGUAUGCCCCCAUUCCAAGGAUCUGAUUAAUUAUGAAAGGACCUUCCCAUGUAGGUGACCAUUUUCCAUAACCAUCUAUAUGCGUUCCAAGGGGCAGAACUGCUUUCUAGACUAUUUCCCCCUCUUCAAAACUCUUGUUCUUGACUCUUUUGUUGUAAGCCCUUGAUACAGCUUCCUUUCCUGCUAAGAGUUUGUUGAGGGUAUCGAUCCUGCUUGUAUCCAAUCCUUCCAGUUCUAGCAUCAUAGCUUGAGAGUAGUCUUCUCCAACCAAACUGUGUUGAUGAGCAAUUCUGAGGGAUUGGACUGCUAUCUCCAUAGGCAGAAUUGCAUCGUGGCCAUAGGUGGUCAUGCCAGUUGCUUCUCUUCUUGAAGUUCUAUAUGCCCACAGAGUUUCUGACAACUUCUCAUGCUACUAUUUUGGAUUUUUCUCAAGCAUUUUUCUGAUAAUGUUGAUGAUCACCUUGUUACUUGAUUCUGCCUGCCCAUUAGCUUGGGCAUAAUAAGGGGUGGAUUGAAGCAGUUUGAAUUUAAAUGCUCCUGCCAUUUCCAACAUUUCUCCAGAUAUGAAAGAAGAUCCCCUAUCAGUUGUGAUUGAUUCUGGAAUGCCAAACCUUUGUAUAAUCUGCUCUUCUAUGAAAGUGAUGAUUUCUUGAGAUGCUGUGGACUUAACAGGCUUGGCUUCCACCCAUUUGGUAAAAUAAUCUGUAGCUACAAUAAUAAAACAGUGUUGUUUGCUACUGGCUGGAUAAAUCUUACCAAUGAGAUCCAUUGCCCAUCCUCUGAAAGGCCAUAGUUUUACUACUAGAUUCAUGGGAACUGAAAGAGCCUGCUGGAUUAGCCGAGCCAUUUCCUUUUAUGCUACCGAUUUCUUUUAUGCUACUGAGCCGGGCAAAACCAAUAAAAUAAAGAAAGGCAACGAAUUUAUUAACCGAGUAUAAAGGAGAGAGAGGGAUUCGAACCCUCGAUAGUUCUUUGUUUCGAACUAUACCGGUUUUCAAGACCGGAGCUAUCAACAACUCGGCCAUCUCUCCGAAAUAAAAUUUAUAUUUUAUUCCACCUAAUAGAACAUGGACAUAUGAGUUGAUACGAUUACUAUCUAUAGAAAGAUAUCAGGUGUGAGUCUAUAGGUCUAUCUAUCUGUAUAUAUAUAUAUAAUAUAGAUGCAUGAUCCAGCAAGCAUGCCCCUGAAGUUGACUUACGCUCAAAUGUAGAAGAAUCAGCCAUGGCAAAUAGGUAGCUGAAUUGCAGCGGAAUAGAUGAGCAACGGUGUCACUCCCCCUCAUAUCCAACGAUGUAUAAGAGUCGAGAUUUGGAGAAAGCAAUACCGAAAAAUAAAGUUGCAGAACUCAAAUAAAGUUGCAUCUAUCUCCCCAUCAAAUCCGACACUGGUAAAGGGUCGAGAUUUGAAAGAGGAGAAAUUGAAAUAAUAGUAAAGAGACUCAAACAUGCAGUCUCAUGGCAGAAACAAAUGCAAGAGGGGAAGAUGGUAGCAUACGGUUGUCCCAUGAAGAAAAAACUUUAGAAAAGGAGAAUAGUAAGGGAGGAAACCCAGCAAAUCAUGAACAGAGACAAAGACAAAGAUAAGGUACUCAAACUGAGAAGCGGAAAGGCAACUCAAGAGAGCAACCGAAGAAGACAGAGGCCCGCAGAACAGUCAAAGGAAAGGCUCGGCGAGUGGUGACGAUGCUCGCGGAGGAAAGCAACGGCUCGGUGAGCAGUGACGAGGCUCACGGAGUAAAGAGACUUGUUAUGAAGUUUCAAAGAUAGAGAAGCUGAGACAUCAAGAAAGACCAUCUGGCAUACAAAGAUGAAAAAUAAAAUUUUUGGAACAGUAGCAAAGAAGCAUGUGAAGGCUAGGUGCGGUGAAAACACAUAUGAAAGGAUGAACAAAAGAAGAUGACUAUACAAGAUGAAGACCCAUGAUGGGUUAGAAAUGAGGAGUGCCAACGACUCUCAAUUUGGCAGAGGCUAUCACAGGUUAGGAACCUGGCUCUGAUACCAUGUCAAACAAAGUAGGGUAAAUAUUCAGUUAUGCUCAGAUAUGCUCAUAUUAUUAUUCUUCUCCAAUAUGGAGAUAUUUAUACAAGUACAAAGAUGUGUUAACCCUAAAUAAAAUAGAAAAUAUAUCUAAAUUACAAUUGGAAGUAAAUCUCUAUUACAAUAUGAGUAAAUAAUAAUUGAUAAGUAACCAAAAUUCUAAUGAAAUAAGGAACUAAAAUCCUAAGUAAGUAAGGACUCGCCAACGAAUAAUAGUACAACUCUUAUUAGCAACAGGUUACAAACUUCUUCUACAACACACCAACAUGAAUCUAGCCCUGAUCAAUUCUUUUACAUACUUGAAAACAAAACAAAACACGAAAAACAAAAAACAAGAAACAAGAUAGGGAGAAAAUGGCUACGGAGAGACUUACCGCUAAUACUUGAUCAAUAACAGAGAUAAUAGAGCACACUGUUUGUAUGACAAUGAGUAUCAGAAGAAUAAUAGCUGCAAAGAGAGAAAUAGCUGCCCAAGGUGUGUUGAAAUACUUUUGUCUCAAAUUUGCCUUCCGUCUGUUCGUGGUCUUCUUGCAGUACUCGUUUAGUUUGCCAGCAAGAUCACCAAAAUAGUAGUUUCCGUGGUUCGGAGCAACUUUACUGCAAAGCUUGUUAAUCAUAAUGGAAACCUUAUUGUUGUCACCUAGCGUGUUUACAACAAUUCCAUUGUCAACAAGCAACUCUACAUCCUUUGGGGUGUUUACAAAUUUAUCCAGGAUGAAAACAUAAUCGCUUAUGUAUUUAUCCACGCAAUUGCCUUGUUCAAAGGCAAUGAGAUUUCUAUGUGUAAGCUGUGUAAUCAUGUAUUUCAAUUUUUGGAAUUUCCAAGGUGUUUUUCUUGAACUGUAUAUCGAAUAAGUUCUUGCUUGAUCCCACGUUAAACUUAACUCCGGCCUGGUGUAGUUUUGUCAUGCUGGGUGUACUUUGGAGCCCUCCAUUUUUUUUUCUUUUGGCAGAUGUAAAGUUCUAAUAAAAUCAACAAAAUGUAAAGGUUUUUUAGGAUCAGGAGGCAUAAAAGACUUACGGAAGGCUGGUGAGUUCUCCAAGUUUUCUAAACGCAGUGCCUGUUGGAAGAACUUGUAAGAGAGUUCAAUUAUUGAAGGCUCCCCAGUCUGAGCACCUGUGAGAUUGUAAAGAUCCUUGAGAAUGAAAAAUGGCAGCUGAUUUACGAGCAUAAGCAUGUCAGGCAAUAUAUUUUGUAGCACCCAUGGUUUUUUAAAUAUCCAAGCAUUAUCAUCCUGCAAUUUUUCUUCCUGAAAUUUUUCUUCGGAUUUAUUCCUCAACAAUAGCUCAAUGACAAAGGCGGCAUCAACUAGACUGAUAUUCACAAAAGCAGCAAUGUUAAACUUCUUAGGGCUAGUUUGGCGUUGCUGUGUUUUAAAAAAAAAUAUGCUUCUGCUGUGCUGUGAAAAUAAUCAGCUGUGAAAAAAAGCUACUAAGCGUUUGGUAAACUGUUUUUGAAAAACUGUUGUGAGUAGUCAAAGUGUUUGGUAAAUUUUUAUCAGAAGUGUUUUUAGUGUGUAUAAUGACCAAAAAGGACAUGAUGAUGAAAUUGUUUGUUAUUUUCUUCAUUCUUUUUCUACUUUUUUUUUUAAAAAAAAAACCCAAUUUCACUACAUAAAUUUUUAUUCUUUUUUAAUUCACACCUUUUUAUCAAAAAAUUUAAUCUACAAUUAACAUACAUAUUUUACCAUAAAUUAUAAAUUACUAUUAUAACAAAAGUAAUUCUAAAUAUUGUUAUAUUAAUAUGGGCUUCGGACAUGACAAAAAUACAAAAAUUGUUCAAUUUUAAAAUGCCCCAAUAGAUCACUACAAUAUAAAAGAAGCUAAUUAGAUGCAUUCAUUAAACUUGUAGCGAUGCUAUUUCUUAAUGCAUUCAUUAGCUUCUUUUUUUGGUUUCCAAUGGUUCUCUAACAAUUUUAACUAAAAAAACAACCAUAAUGCUUUGUGAACAAUAAAUUCAAGUCCAAAUCUACUAAUGCCCACACCAUACAUAUAUACAUAAUUGUUUCUUUCAUAAAACUUGAAGAUUCAAUAGUAAUUACACAGUUUACCAAUCUUGAUUCCAACUAUAUCCAUAAAAUUAAACUAUAAUUAGAAACAGAGGAGCUACAUGUGAUUACUUAUAAAUGUUGCCCACUCUCAUCAUCAUCUUCUUCCUCCUCUGUACUUUGCCUUUCACAAAUGGACAAGACCAGAUGGUAACGUACACGACAUGGUCCACAUAUAGAUAAAUUUUGGGUUCACUGGAGAACAUAAAAGAGUUUUUACACGAAUACAAAGUUAGUUAAGUAGUGAAUAAGGUAAAACUAUUCUGUACAAUUCUAGCUGAUGCAGUCCAAAAAGAAUAUAUGUCUAAUAACUUAAAUAACAAUAAAGAGAAACAAAAACCUCAUGAAAAAUGCUAGAGUAAAAGUUACAUAACUGAAUCGAUGGACAGAGAACUCCACAGGCAGAGAAACAGCAACAAAAAUUGUCAAAACAGUAGCAAGACCAUGUUGGAGUCAAGGCCAAAGAUCAUAUUUCCUGUGUAUCUUCUUCCAUUCUGAAUUAUUCUCGUAUUCAAAUACUGUAACUCUAUUUCAAGUGCACCCCAAAAUACUUAUCUAAGGCCAGUACAUAGGACUUCAUAAAGGGUGCCAUAAAAAAUAUUGCCCCUUAAUUGAUAAACAGAACCAAGAUCCCAAUGGCACACCAAAACUAUACCAACCACACCUACAUAAUAUGGACAGAAAAUCCUGUUGUUCUGACCUCUAACCACACCAAUGACAUUCAUUAGGAAAAUACAAAAGAUGGGUACCCUGCAUUUCUAACAUUUAAGAUAAAAUUCACUGCCAGCUAAUCACAAAUUUGAAAAGAUGGCAAGAAAAUUGGCUAUGCUUUAACAAAAACCAGAGCAGUCCUUGCAUAGACCUGACUUUUUGCUCCAAGCUUUAGCAGAUCACUUACUGGUAGAGAGCAGAGAACAUGUAUGUGAAUAUCUGAAGUUGGAAGGGUAAGCCAUCACAAACACCAAGAGAUCUGAUUCUCAUCUCUUGUUACAACAACAAAUCACAAACACCAAUACAUCUGAUUCAGAAUCUCAUAAACAAUGGAGGAACAAACACAUAUUCACACACAUAUAAAUCCCUAAACCGAAAAAAAAAAAAAAAAAAAAAAAAAAAAAAAAAAAAAAAAACAUGAAAGUAAUAGGAGAAUCAAAUUGAUUUGGGCCAAAAUUGCCUAAAAAGAAAACACUCCUAAAUAAACUUCAAUUCACUUUUAAAAACAGUAAAACGUGAUUGAAUCGUUCUUUAAAACAAUUCCCUAAUAUACAUGCAUGAUAAUGACAUCAUUUACCCCUAAAUCAAAUGCCUUUCACUGGUUAAGCCACAAGUCUGUGUUUUGGGGAUUGCUGAGCUGCAUCAAUCCUGCCAAUGUCAAUUCUGCCCCUAGGCUCUCUCAAAGUGCAUUUACAACCUAUGCUAACAUAUACUAGAGUUUGUGCUAGUAUCUAGAAAAUGCCAACACUAAUUUCGUAACACGUAGAAAUUGUUACAUAUUGGAAGUUUUUAUCAUUUUUUCUUCCAGUCUCUCCACCACUCACUAAUACAGAUUACUCAUGUGAUGAGUUUACAAAACCUAUUUCUCUACUCCCACAAAGACCAUACUUUUUCUCAAAAGACUAUAUCACUUUAUCUCUAUCUUUGUGAAAUGUAAAAAGUUGAAACUUUAAUGUCAAAUCUCGACAAAAGAUGAACUUCCAUCAAUUACAUUGAAUUUGAAUUUGUUGAACUUAAGUGGUUUUACUUUCUCUGUCAGCGUUUGAUGACUUGAUUUGUUAUUUACUUCUUCUUUUUUCCUUGGAAAUGUGUUCCAUCAACGUGAGGAAGAAAAAUAUGCACAAAUUAAUAUAUUUAAUAGAAGCACAAAUUAAUAUUUACAAAAAUAUGCACAAAUCAAGUAAAAUUAAUAAAGCAUAAAUUGGAAAGGGAAAAUAUGUAGAGGAUGCAUUGUAGGAUUGCUCAUGCCAAUAAUUGUACCCUCUAAAUAUAUAGGGACAUAAUUUUUUUUGUUUUCAUGACAUGUGGUCCUCAAAUUAUUGUUCUUAGCGGACUCUCCACCCCUCUCGAUUGAAAGCCUAUUGUGUAAAUCUUCAAUCCUGAAUGAUCCACCUAAAACUCAUGUUGCAAUACACAUCCACCCAUUCUCAGGCCAAUUAUUACUCCUAGUGGGCUCUCCACCCCCUCUCAAAUUUAAGUGGUCCAUUAUUAUUAACCAUAUAUUUUAUGGACCAGCUAGCUGUGAGGUUUUAUCUCAAAAACCUUUCUCUCACAUGCCACAAUUUAUGUCUGAUACAUCACAUCAUGCCAGUUGUCUCAAAUGAAUUUAAGUGAGUGAGGCAGUGUUACUUCUGGGUACCCCUCAUCGUUCGUGUAUAAAAUGGUGAAGCCAGUUGCUACUGUUACCAUAAGAGCCAGCUCCGACUUUCAAAAUAAAAAUUCCAACAAUGAUCUUAGUGCCUUCAAACGCAUGAGUUACUGAACAUGCAAAUAAAUACACUAUGAAUAAUAAAAGUGUUUGAUAAAUCACCAAAUUAUGGAACACUUGAUGAUUUAUCUCAAAUAAAAAUUCCAAGGCUUAUUUUAUAGAAUUUUUCUUUAUUACAAGAAAGAAAACAUGUUGAAAACCAAAUCUCCAAUUUCCAAGGCUUGACAGAAAAUCAAAAAAAUAUCUUUCCUAUUCUAGAGAUUGGUCACAUGUAGUUCAGAAAAUCAAAAAAAUAUCUUUCCUAUUCUAGAGAUUGGUCACAUGUAGUUCAACCAAUAGGAAAUGAGAUAUUUAAGAAAGCAAGAUUUUGAUCAAUAUCAAUAUCAAAUGAAUUCUUAUACGCCUAGUCAACUAUUAAGGGUAUCUUGACUCUUUGAUAUUGUGAUAUGAUUGAAACAUGAUUUCCAUGUUAGAAAAUUAAGGGGAUGUUAAAACAUGAAAGUAAUAGGAGAAUCAAAUUGAUUUGGACUAAAAUUGCCUAAAAAGAAAACACUCCUAAAUAAACUUCAAUUCACUUUUAAAAAUCGUAAAACAUGAUUGAAUCGUUUUUUUAAAACAAUUCCCUAAUAUACAUGCAUGAUAAUGACAUCACUUACCCCUAAAUCAAAUUGUCACGCCCCGGACCUGGGGGUCAGUGGAAAUCCCGCGCCCGGUGCGUGAGAAAAUAAAAAGUAAAAUAAAAUAAAAAGAAAGCCGAAACAAGGGUUUAAAAUAAACUUCUCUUAUAAAAAUAACUCUAAAAUCUUAUAACUUUACAAGAAAUAAAUAAAGCUCUAUCAUUCUUAUCUAAUUCAGACUCAACUGGUUUAGUCCUUGUCUUGCCCACUAAUUCAUCUGAAAAAUUAAGAGUGUUGCUAAACGAACCCUAAAAUUAAUUGAGUACACCAUACUACCAAACAAUUUAUUGAAUUUGUCAAGGUUUUGUUUCUGGGAACUCACGAGCAACUUUCCAGUGGGUUACCCAUCCUAGGAUUGCUCUAGCCCACAACUCGCUUAACUUCGGAGUUCCUACGACUCCGAAGCCAGUGAGCUCCCAAAAGGCCUCGUGCUAGAUGGAUGCGGGUGUGCACAUAUAAGGCACAUCACCACCUCUCCGUUGAUUGAUGUGGGAUCUUACAAAAUUACUAAUUUAUUCUAAUAUAAAAUGAUCAAAAAAGAUAAAAUAAUAUUGGUAUCUAUUGCUUUGAAUCCAUGCCUUCAAACAAAUUGACUUAAUUUUUAACAAACAACACGGAGUCCAGGAGAAGUGUAUUGAUCCAAGUUGAUUUUUGUAUGCAUAAAACUUAAACAAUCAAUAACACAAAGCAGUUCAUGCUGAAAUAUUGGAAACCCACACCCAAAGAGUUCUCCGCUGCGAGGUUGAAGGCAGGAGAGAUGGGUGACAGAUUUUACUUCCACUGCGAAGUUGGAGGCUAGGAGAGUCUGUGACUGCCAUGGUUGAGGGAGAAGAUGCGUUCAAAAUGCCUAUUGAUAUUUUACAUUAUUUUCUAUACAAGUUAACAGUGUUUGUGUAUUGUUAAAGGUGGAGAGACGUGUCAAAAUUUUAGACAAAGGACAGGAGGAGAUAGGGAAUUUGGGGACAGCAGAUCUCAACUCCCUUGAGACCCUAUUCUCUACGCCACCCCUCCCCCUCAACAACCCUAGUCACCAUUUCUCCUUCAACUCCAACGGCAACUCAUUAAAACCCAAUUCUCAAAUGCAACAAUCUAAUCCCAAUCCCAAUUCAGAUGUUUCUAAAAAACCAAUGGUUGUCGUGGUGGAGAACUGCAAUUCCAGGUGGUGGUGGUACCACAUGGGAGAGAGAAAAAAGAAGAAGAAGAAGCAGCAGAGAGAGAGUUUUUUAUUAUAUUAUUAUUUUACUGUAAUUUUUUAAUUUAAAAAAUUAAAAAAAUUAAAAAUUAAAGAGGAUGUACCAUGGGUAUUUUUGGUAGUUAAAUAGGGUGUACUUAGUUAAUUUUCAAUUUAAUUUAAACAUUAGAGUGUACUCAGUUAAUUUUAGGGUUCAUUUAGCAGCACUCAAAAUUAAACAAGGUAAGGGAUGAGCAAGUAGGGACAUGAGACCUUGCCACAGUAGAUUGAUAUAACUAAAUAUUAUCAUAAACAUCGAAAUAUAUAAAUAUUAUUAUGAUAGGAUUCAUAAUAAUUAAUAUAAAAGUAUAACAACAAGAUUUACAUUUAUGUACCAAGAUAAUUACACAUAUAAAUAUAACCAAUAUAUAUUUUUAUAUAUUUUAAAAUACAAGUCUUUACGUAAAUGCCCUUCACGGGUCAAGCCACAAGUCUGUGUUUUGGGGAUUGCUUAGCUGCAUCAAUCCUGCCAAUGUCAAUUUUGCCCCUGGGCUCUCUCAAAGUACGUUUAAAACCUAUGCUAACAUAUACUAGAGUUUAUGCUGUAUCUAGAAAAUGCCAACACUAAUUUCGUAACACGUAGAAAUUGUUAGAGAUUGGAAGUUUUUAUCAUUUUUUCUUCCAGUCUCUCCACCACUUAUUAAUACAGAUUACUCAUGUGAUGAGUUUACAAAACCUAUUUCUCUACUCUAGCAAAGACUAUACUUCUUCUCAAAAGACUAGAUCACUUUACCUCUAUCUCUGUGAAAUGUAAAAAGUUGAAACUUUAAUGUCAAACCUCGACAAAGUGUUCUACUUUACAAACUUCUUGUGUCUACCAAUUUCUACUAAAAUUAAUUUCUCUACGGUGCUCAGAUUCAUCAUAUGUGUGUCCUUAAUUUUAGUGGAAAUUGGAAGUUUCCAUAAUUUUUGCUUUAAGUCACUCUUCUGAAGGAAGUUGAGGUUCCACUCCAUAAUCCAAAAUGUCAGGUUGACUUAUGGCAAACAAUGUAAAUAUGUAGGAGUACUAUGACCUUUUAUAGCAUUUUUAGUUUGAAUUUGGGUUUUAUACAUAGAUUUCGAAAUUAAUAGGUUGAUGCCUAGGAAAUAGAAAUUGUAAGGGCCUAUAUUAGACUAGCCCUCUUAAAAAAUAUAUUAAUUAAUGAAUAUUUGUUCUUCUUGUUGUUUUGAAGUAGUGGUGGGAGGCAUACCAACAAAAAAAAAAAUAUAGUGAAGGCUUAUAAGAGCAUUUACAAUCAUGCUCCCUAUUUUUUAGUUAAAAUUUAGCUAAAAAUAGAAAAAAGUUAUUAUAGGAGCUCUUUAUAAAAUUUGAACUCCAAUCAUACUCCCUAGUUUAGGGAGUCAAAAAUACUAUAGUUAUUUUUUAAUUCAAUUUGAUUUUGGUUAAUCUCUAUAAAUAAAUAAAAAUAUGAAAAAAUAGUUAACAUUAAUUAAAAGUUUAAACUAUGCAUAAAACAAAGAAACAUUAAAUUAUAGGGAGCCACUAUGAGUCGUUACUCUCUCCUCAGAUUUAGGAGCUCCUAGAGGUCUCCCUAUUUUAUGAGGUGGAUAAGGAGCAUGGUUGGAGUUGUAUUUCUUCAAUUUCCUCCCUAAAAUUUGUCUAAGGAUGUGGUUUAGGGAACCCAUUGUGAAUGCUCUAACUCUGGUAAAACACGAGUGACAUGGACAACAUAUGUUACGUCGUACAGAAGAUUUUUGGGUUUCUUUAAUUGGUUAAGUAGCAUCCACAAUGAGCUUCCUAAAUCAUCUCCUUAGACAAAUUUUAGGGAGGAAUUGGAAAAGUACAAUUCCAACUAUGCUCCCUAUCCACCAACUAAAAUAGGGAGACCUCUAAGAGCUCCUAAAUCUGAUGAGAGGGAAAGGACUCUUAAUGACUCCUUAUAAUUUAAUGUUGCUUUACUUUAUGCAUAUUUUGAACUUUUAAUUAAAUCAAAUUAUUAUUUUUAUAUUAUUUUGUAUACAGACGGGUUAAUUAUAUUAAAUUAAAAAAUAAUUAAAAUAUUAAUGACUCUCUAAACUAGGAAGCAUAAUUGUAGAUCAUCUUAUAUACCUUAAUUUGAAGAUUCUUUAUUUGGGUUUCUUUCAAGACUUAUCACCUUAGCCACACCACCUACACGUCUGCAAGCUUCCGUAAUCUAACAAGGAAGGGGAGGCUGCGCAAUACUUAUCACCUUAGCCACACCACCUACACCACAAGACCAAUAUGUGUAGUCCAGCAGGCUUUCCAAUUUUAAUAUAUAUUAUAAAAUAAAAUAAAAAUCAAUCUAUUAUCAUAUAUAUUAUAAAAUAAAGAUUAUUGCUCCAUCCUCCAUGCACUUGCAUGCCCUCUUACAAAGUGUGAAGUAGAUUUUGUGUGCUCCAAGUCAUUGACGAGAGCUGUAACAUGGUUAGCUGGAUUUAUAAGAUCUUUUCUUUUCUGGGAAUUUUCUGAAUUAAGAAAAAUCAAGUAAAAUUAAUAAAGCAUAAAUUAGAAAGGGAAAAUAUCUAGAGGAUGCAUUGUAGGAUUGCACAUGCCAAUAAUUGUAUCCUCUAAAUAUAUAGCGACACAUUUUUUUUGUUUUCAUGACUUGUGGUCCUAAAAUUAUUGUUCCUAGCGGGCUUUUCACCCUCUCUCGAUUGAAAAUCAAUUGUGUAAAUCUUCAAUCUUGAAUGAUGCACCUAAAACUCAAGUGUCCCAGGCCAAUUAUUGCUCUCAUACCACUUGUUGUAAUAAACAUUCACCCAUUCUAAAGGAAAGAUAACCAUCGAUAUUAUCUGAAAUUUAACCACUUAAGUUCAUUAUGAUUAACUAUGUAUCUUAUGGACCAAUCCAAUCGUAAGGUUUUAUACUCAAUUAGAUCGACCAAUACAAAGUUCACACUGGAUUAAAAAGGGCUAUCGGUAGGGGAGUGUUCGGCACCCUUUACUGUGGAGCGCAACACAAGACCCCUUGCAUGCCCUCACUAAGUUGAGCCCAACUAUUUUUGAGCAUUAACAAUAUAUAUAGAUUGAAAAAAUAAAAUAAAAAUCAAUCUAUUAUCAUAUAUAUUAUAAAAUACAUAUUAUUGCUCCAUCCUCCAUACACUUGCAUGCCCUCUUACAAAGUGUGAAGUAGAUUUUUUGUGCUCCAACUCAUUGACUAGGGCUGAAACAUGGUUAGUUGGAUUUAUAAGAUCUUUUGUUUUUUGGGAAUUUUCUGAAGCACGGAAAAUCAAAUAAAAUUAAUAAAGCAGAAACUGUACCCUUUAAUUAUAUAUGGACAUAUGUUUUUUUGUUUUCAAGUCUUAGAUGACAUGGGGACCCCUCUCAAAUUUAAGUGGUCCAUUAUUGUUAACCACAUAUUUUAUGGACCAUCCAGCUUCGGUACAUUUCUCCCACAUGCCACAAUUGUAUAUUCACAAUUACGUCUGAUACAUCACAUCAUGCCACUUGCCUCACAUGCCACAAUUGUAUAUUCACAAUUACUUCUGGGUACCCCUCAUCAGUCGUCUAUAAAAUGGUGAAGCCAGUUGCUACUGUUACCAUAAGAGCCAGCUCCGACUUUCUUUAAUUUCUUGCUACAUCUGUUGCUAAGUUAAUUUCAGUCCUAAUGGGGUUUCAUCUCCCACUCAUCUUUGCUAUUCUCAGUGUAAGCUCUGCAAUUUGAUUAACUUUUCCAUUCUCUCUCAUUGUACUCUAUAUAUAUAAAUGAAAGUUUUGUGUUCCUAUAAUUCUCUCCGAUUUUAUUUAGUACGUACUUAAGUGUCGUCCACUAAUUAAUUACACUUUGUGAGAUUUGAUUUUAAUUAGAGUUCGAAUUAAUGUUGCAGCUAGCAGCGGUUGCACUGGCAAACAAUGCUGCUCAACCAGCACCUCAACUUUACUGGAACUCCGUCCUGCCAAACACACAGAUGCCAAGAUCUAUCAGUGAACUUCUGCAUCCUGGUUUGUGUUCAGCUCUUUAUAAUCUUAGAUAUCUCUUCUACCUGCCAUUUUACUAAACUAUGUUCGACCACAUAUUUAUCAGUUAACUACUGUCAUUACAAGAAUGACACUUAUUUUCCAAUAUAAUUUGCAGACUCCACAAAUGAAGAAAAGAGCAAACCUGAAAUUUUCCCAUUGCAGGGCAAUAGAGUUUACACUCAAAGCCAUUAUAAAAAACGUCCUCCUCCUCCAUCUGACGAGGGCAAACCUGAAAAUUUCCCAUUGCAGGGCAAUAGAGUUUACACUCAAAGCCAUUAUAAAAAACGUCCUCCUCCUCCAUCUGACGAGGGCAAACCUGAAAAUUUCCCAUUGGCCAAUAGCUUUUACACUCAAACCCAUUAUAAAAAACGUCCUCCUCCUCCAUCUGACGAGGGCAAACCUGAAAAUUUCCCAUUGGCCAAUAGCUUUUACACUCAAAGCCAUUAUAAAAAACGUCCUCCUCCUCCAUCUGACGAGGGCAAACCUGAAAAUUUCCCAUUGGGCAAUAGCCAUUACACUCAAAGCCAUUAUAAAAAACGUCCUCCUCCUCCAUCUGACGAGGGCAAACCUGAAAAUAUCCCAUUGGCACGUUCAGGUUACCAACGAAAAAAUUAUGGAGCAAGUCCUCCUCCAUCUGACAGUCAACUAAAGCAUUAUAAAGACUUAGCUAUUUUCUUCUUCGAGAAGGACAUGCGCCCGGGCACAACUAUGAAGUUCCAAUUCCCUAGAAAUUCAAACACGGCUACUUUCCUGCCACGCGAAAGUGCUCAAUCGAUCCCCUUCUCCUCUAAGAAACUACCAGAAAUUUUCAACCAUUUUUCAGUGAAGCCAACAUCUGAGGAAGCCAAAACAAUUAAGCAAACAAUCGAAGAGUGUGAAGCUCCAGGCCUUAAGGGAGAGGAAAAAUAUUGCGCCACAUCUUUAGAAUCAAUGGUUGAUUUUAGCACUUCGAAGCUUGGAACAAGAAACGUUGAAGCAAUCUCAACGCAGGUAUUGGAAGAAGGAGCCACCAAGUACAUGCACAACUAUACAACAAUCCCGGGACUGAAGAAGUUGGUAGGUGACAAAGUCGUUGUGUGUCAUAAGGAGAACUAUCCCUAUGCUGUGUUUCUCUGCCAUGCAAUAAAACAAACAGAAGCUUAUGUUCUCUCCCUGAAAGCCGAUGAUGGGAUGAAGGUGAAAGCAGUAACCAUCUGCCAUCUAGACACAUCAGAAUGGGACCCAGAGCAUUUGUCCUUCCAAAUCCUCAACGUUAAGCCCGGAACCACUCCCAUCUGCCAUUUCCUUUCCACUGAUGCUAUUGCCUGGGUUCCAAAACACAAAUCUGCAUGAUCAUCACUUAGCACUGUACGUAUAAUAAGCUUGGUCGGGUUGCACCCUAGGCCUGCAUAAUUAUCUCCCUACUUAUUUCUGCCUCUUCAUCAUGCGGUGUAAGAUAUAUGAUGAGAUGAAGUUUUCUCUUGUAACUAUGUAGACUACUUCAACUUGUACUCAUAAUAAAGCACGCUGUUGGGGGGUUCUACUUAAUUUCGUUCUCUCCAAUGUUUGAGUGUUGAAUUGUUACGUUGGAAUAGGCUGCUAAUGCAUGUAGUUAGAGAAGCCUUCAUUUAUAUCAAAGUCCUCAAACUAUCAAGAAUUAAUGUAUCCAGAAACAUAUACCAAGACGCAAAACAACAUAUUUUCCAUUCUCUGUCUGUAACACCAAGGCAAACUUCCUUUAUCACAUCAUUUAAAGGAUCAAAUUCCAGUACUAAUCUAAUCCAUCAUGUAAAGCAUACAAGUGCCUACCUAAAUUUGUCCAUUGGAUAUAUAUGUCACUUUUUAUUUUUUGAUAGAGAUAUAAAUGUUGAGAAAAUUAGAGUACACAACUCCAAUAUAGACUUGUUGGAGACAAAACAAGUAAACAAAUUACUUGUAUUAGACUCACAAAAUAUUACAACAAGACAACUCUCAAAGAAAAGACAAACUCUCACACUUCUCACAAGGACUACUUAACUUUAUAGCUUAUUGCAUAUAGCAUAUGCAAACACAAUUAGAACAUACCUACGUACACUAUGGGAACACUCGUGUAUAUUUGAACACAAGAAAACAUGUGCGCACCGUGCACGGUUCACAUGAAGUAAGAAAUGAAGAGGAAAUAAAGAAGAAGAAUACAAAAGAAAAUGGAGAUGAGAAAAAAAAAACACGAAUAAUGAAAAAUGAAUUGACAAUUAUAUAUGGUUGACAUUAGAUCUAAUAUUAUAUGUAAUAACUAAUGAUCUAAAAUAAACAUUAAAUCAAACAAUAAUUAAAAGAUUUGACAAUAUAAAAAUUUACACGUCAGCAAACUCACCAUGGUAAGUUUGCUGACGUGUAAAAAUUGUGAAUGGACUACAUCGAAAAAUAAUUGGCUUACAUCAAAAAUUAAAAUCACGUGGGUUAUUCCUAAGAAACCUUAAUAUUUUUAGGUUUAUAUAUUUUUUGUAUUUAAAAAAAAAAAAAAAAAGAGAAAUCUGACCAUGUAUGUAUGAUGAUGAUAUGCAUGUUAUUUUUAGACCUAAGGUAAAACAGACAAACUUUUUACUCCAUUUUUCAUGAGGUUUAUCACAAUAAUUAAACUGUUAUAUCCUCCAUUUUAGAUCUCAUGCUUCCAUUUAAAGAAAAGAAUAUCAACAACAAAAAAAGAAUAAAGUUACAACAUUGAUCAAUUCAAAUGUCCAACUACCGGAUCAUGAGCCCUUGCACUUAGCGAUAUGCAGAUAAAUGCGUAGUGUCUUAAUGCAGAAGCUCGGGAUCCCCAAUUACCAUUGAAACAUAAGAAACUAAAAUCUGCAAGAAAAUGCUAUCAAUUGAAAAAACAAUAAUUAAAAAACAAAAAAAGGAAGGGAAUUCGCACCCGCUAUGCAAAAAAGAGCAAGUCGGUUCAAUGAUUUUUUUCUUCUUCUUUUUGUUAUGGAAAUGAAAAGCUCAAUGAUGGGCUAUAUAUAGGAAGAAGCUCAAUGAUUGAAUUAUUAUCUUCUAUCUACAUUCUACCCUCUUCCUCGCUACAUACACAAAUGGUGCACACCAGUAACUAAGCUUGUUUUGGGUUUGGUGGCCCACUGUAAAAGCUCAAUGGAGAUGGUUUGAGGUAGAAUUUUCUCCUAUUUCAAUAGGACAAUGAUGAGAUCUAUGUAACAACAAAUUUCUUUAAUAAUGAUAACUAAAAAAAGUGUGAUUCAUUGAAUAUUUGCGGGGUUUUGUUCUAAGUCAACACCUCAAAUUCCUUUUACACCAUCAAAUUCAAAAAGUUUUAUUCAACCAUCUCGACCUUAUGCUAAAAAUUUAUUUUGUUCAUACUUAACGUACUAGGUAUUUAUUUUAUACCAACGAGUACGAUGGUCCAUAUAAGUAUUCUAAUCAUUCACUCCAGUUGCAGGCCCCAAUAAUUUAGAAGGGCCGAAGGUCUUUCUUUUUUUCUUUUUUCUUUUUUGAGAAAUUCUAUGAUUGCAUUCAUAAUUCAGGCAAAAAAGUCACUAGCCACAAAAGGGCCAGUACAACAACGGAGCGGUCUAAUAUCAAAAUUAAGACAAUCUAGUGUGUCUCCACUAACGAUCAGGCGAGCCGAUGGUCUUUCAUUGGAUGAAAGCUUCUAUCUACCGACCCCACUAUAUGAACUAUGCAAUGGUGAUGAUGUUACAUUGCAAAAAAUAAAAAGUCAAGGUUUCUUAUUAAUGUUAAUGAAGGCAUAGCAAAAAAUUUAUAGCUCCAAUGGUUCAAAGCAGUUACCCAUGCACUUGAGAUUCUGUGUUUGAAUGCCCUCUCCCCUAAUAUUGCUUGUAUAAAAAUAAAAACUUCUAAAAAGACAUUAAUAUUGUAUUCUAUAUUCUAUAAAGUGUUGGACAUGUCUUAUAUUGUUGACAACCCCCUAACACUUUGGUGGUGCCUAGUUAUAUUCAAUUCGUAUGUAUUUAAUUUGCCACUUACAUUCUUUCCUUAAUACAUUUAGGCUUAUUUUUAUACUAAUUUCUCUAACAUAACUUUUGCACAUUCUUUUAGUCUCUAAUAUAUAUAUUUUCUAAUAAAUAAUCAAGAUCUAAUAAAUAAUCUUACUCACUUGAGUUAUAAACUAUUUUCUUUUAGCACAGAAAAUCGACAUUUUGACAGAGAGUUGAAAACGACUCCCCAAUUUUAAUGUCAACCACUUGAAAAAAAAAACAUAAAUUUAAUGAAAACAAUUACAUUUAGCAAUGCAACCUAAAAACUCAACCUUUGCGCCCCUUUCACAACGUAGAUAGCAAGGUGAGGAUAUUCGGAUAAGAACCAAGACAGAAGCCAAAGGAACUGCGAUAGCCAACCAGAGUCUCCAUUUCUUACCAUUUGAACAACGCCACCAUUUUGUUUGGUAAGUAUUUAAUAACAUUUCUUGCUCUACAUAAAGUAAUAUUAAAACGGAAUUUGCCUAAAUUUUUCUUACCAGCAAUCCAUAUGGACAAAAAUAAAAUAAAAUAAAUAAAUUUACAAUUAUACUCAAUAUAGGAGCCCAAAUUAUUUAUAAUUAAAAAAACUUAUAUGAAAUGGACUUUAGAAACACACUUAAAACCUAUUUACAACAAAACAAAAAAACGUUUAACUUCUUUUAAAUUACAAAACUAUCAUUGAUUUCUUAAACAAACCCAACCCAAAAACUUCAUUAAAAAAAAAAAGCUCAAAAUAUUAGACUCACAAAAUAUUACAACAAGACAACUCUCAAAAAAAAGACAAACUCUCACACUUCUCACAAGGACUACUUAACUUUAUAGCUUAUUGCAUAUAGCAUAUGCAAACACAAUUAGAACAUACCUACGUACACUAUGGGAACACUCGUGUAUAUUUGAACACAAGAAAACAUGUGCACCGUGCACGGUUCACAUGAAGUAAGAAAUGAAGAGGAAAUAAAGAAGAAGAAUACAAAAGAAAAUGGAGAUGAGGAAAAAAAAAACACGAAUAAAUGAAAAAUGAAUUGACAAUUAUAUGUGGUUGACAUUAGAUCUAAUAUUAUAUGUAACAACUAUUGAUCUAAAAUAAACAUUAAAUCAAACAAUAAUUAAAAGAUUUGACAAUAUAAAAAUUUAUUGAGGACAAAAAAAGGCAAAAACUUAUGAAAAAUGGAAACAAUAAAUAUGAACUGAGUCAUCAACUCACCAUGGUAAGUUUGCUGACGUAUAAAAAUAGUCAAUGGACUACAUCGAAAAGUAAUUGGCUUACAUCAAAAAUUAAAAUCACGUGGUCUACCUACUAUAUAGGAUGAAAAAAUUAGGUGAACAAUAUACUUACACCAUGGGAACACUCCUAUAUAUUUGAACACAUGAACACGUGUUCAAGGUUAUAUAUUUCAUUACCUUCACAAUAGGUACCAAACCGUACCAUGCGAACAUUCAUAUACGCACAACAUACUUAUAACAUACCUACACUAUGGGAACACUCGUGUAUAUUUGAAAACAAGAAGACCUGUGCACCACCGUGCACGGUUCACAUGAAGUAAGAAGAUGAAGAGGAAAUAAAGAAGAAGAAUACAAAAGAAAAUGGAGAUGAGAAGAAGAAAAAAAAACACGAAUAAUGAAAAAUGAAUUGACAAUUAUAUAUGGUUGACAUUAGAUCUAAUAUUAUAUGUAACAACUAAUGAUCUAAAAUAAACAUUAAAUUAAACAAUAAUUAAAAGAUUUGACAAUAUAAAAAUUUACACGUCAGCAAACCCACCAUGGUAAGUUUGCUGACGUGUAAAAAUAGUCAAUGGACUAUAUCGAAAAAUAAUUGGCUUACAUCAAAAAUUAAAAUCACGUGGGUUAUUCCUAAGAAACCUUAAUAUUUUUGGGUUUAUAUAUUUUUUGUAUUUUUUUUUUAAAAAAAGAAAAGAAAUCUGACCAUGUAUGUAUGAUGAUUGUUGGUAAAUUUUAACAACAAUAUUAAAACCUUGCAAGUGCACAAAUCAAAUGAUAGUAUAGUAAGCAAGCAAGGGUCGAUCCCACAGAGAUUGUGAUCUAAAGAGAUGUUUAUCAAUGUCACGCAAUGAAAAUCAAAACAAAGGACUUCCAAACACAAGCCAACACCAAGGGGGGUUUUGAUUUGUUUUUGUGAAUCAAACAAAAUAAGGAAAAGGAAACAAAAGAGAAUUUAAAUUAGAGUUUAAGAGAAAUUGGUUUAAAAACAAUCAAGAACAAUAGCUAGGACUUACUAUCCACCUCCAAACAAUCAAUCAAUCCAUAAACAACAAUAGAUAAUCAAUUUCUAGCAAGCAUAUGAUGACGACACUCACAACAAGAUCAUGGCAUUUGACUCGAGUUGUAUGAUUCUCUCUUAAGUGUAUGUAAAGUGUAUGGCAUUUACAUCAAUACGUGUAUUCUUAAUUAAAAUCUAGUAUGACAUUUACUCAAAUUAACAAUCAAGAAUCCAUUAAGAUCAAAGAGAAUAUGAGUGUCACAAAAACCCUAAAACAUGACAUUUGUUAUUAGGAAUUCAAGAAUCGAUUUCUCAUAACUAGUUCUUAACCCAAUUAUUCGUUGCAAACAAGAACACAUUCAAUAUGGCAAUUGACCUAUGUUCUACAACAAUUUAAUUCCAAUACAUGCUUCUAAGUUAGCUACUCAAAGAAACAAAAUACCAGAAUUCACAUAACAUAGAGAAACCGAAAUCAUCACGCUUGUAGAAACUAAAAAUCCAUUAAACUUGUUUAUAAAAUUGAAAUCAUGUCUAGGGCUUCAAGAUUAAGCCCUAACUAACAAGAAAUUAGUUACUCAUGGUCUUGGAUGAACUCAAAAAUAAAUACAUAAGAACUGAAAAUUAAAAGAAGGAAGGAAAAGAAAGAACUCGUUCGCAGCUUUCUCCUCUUGCGCAGUUGACCUCUUUAGGACGUGAAUCCUUUUUAUCAGGCCUUGGCUCGUCUUUUAUAUCACUUAUAUCAGAGUUCUAAACCCUAAAAUUGACUGAAAAGUCGUCCAAGAAGUCUUGAUAAACAAGGAAUCCAAAUAGGAAAGUAAAAAUCACAAUUCCUAACUCCACUGGGAUAUACAGCUCAGCCCAAUGUUCACACGAUUUGGGGAUCUUCGACCUUGUAGAAAAAUUAUUAAAAAUAUAUUUUAGAAAGAUAAAUGUCUUAUCUUUCCAACAUAUAUAGCACGUAACUUGAAAAAUUUGGAAAGGCUUCCGUUUCUUCACAUUCACGUAACAUGUACGAAACUGUCCUGUCUGCACGUGGGCUAACUUUACUUGUAAUACUGUACCAAUUGGCUCGGUAGAAAAUUCUAGAAAAAUAAUAGAUUGAACUUCAAGAUGUUAGCUUUCAUCUCCAAUUGGUCUUGUGCUAAAAUUCCUCCGAAAAGUUGAUUUUCCCUUAAAAACCUUCUAAGAGCGCAGAAAAGCUGAAAAUCAGAAGAAUAAAGUAAUAAGCCCUUUUUAAAUCUAAUUCUCUUACAAAACCAAAGUAAAAAGAGUACAUAAAUGAGUAUAUUUAUGGACUUAUCAAUGAUGAUAUGCAUGUUAUUUUUAGACCUAAGGUAAAACAGACAAACUUUUUACUCCAUUUUUCAUGAGGUUUAUCACAAUAAUUAAACUGUUAUGUCCUCCAUUUUAGAUCUCAUGCUUCCAUUUAAAGAAAAGAAUAUCAACAACAAAAAAAAUAAUAAAGUUACAACAUUGAUCAAUUCAAAUGUCCAACUACCAGAUCAUGAGGCCCUACACUUAUAGACUACGCAUUUUCUCGUAUUUUGCAAAAUUUAGACCAUUAUAAUAAUCUAACCCCUUCAAAUGUGAAACAUCAUCAAGUUUUUUUUCCUUCACUAAACAGAAGAGUUAAGUUUUAUUUGUGGGUAACUAAACUCUUGUUUAGAGCAUGUUUUUUAUUAUUUUUUUCUUUCUUCUGUGUAAAGUAUAAUGGGUUAGAUUAUUAAUUGUGGGUGACUAAAAUCUUGUUUAACAACAAUAGUUAACGUUUGUUUAGAGAAGAAAAAAAACUUGAUGAUGUGCCAUGUUCUAAAGGAUUAGAUUAUUAUAAUGGCCUAGAUUUAGCGAUAUGCAAAUAAAUGCGUAGUGUCUUAAUGCAGAGGCUCGGGAUCCCCUACUACCAUUGAAACAUAAGAAACUCAAAUCUUCACGAAAAUGCUAUCAAUUGAAAAAACAAUAAUUAAAAAACAAAAAAAGGAAGGGAAUUUGCACCUGCUAUGCAAAAAAGAGCAAGUCGGUUCAAUGAUUUUUUUUCUUCUUCUUUUUGUUAUGGAAAUGAAAAGCUCAAUGAUAGGCUAUAUAUAGGAAGAAAAAAAUGGUGCACACCAGUAACUAAGCUUGUUUUGCGUUUGGUGGCCCACUGUAAAAGCUCAAUGGAUGUAACACCCCGACUCCAAAUUAAAUUCCCUAUCUAAAUUAUUUAAUUUAAUUAAAUAUGGAAUUUCCAAUUUACCCUUGGGGUAGGGGUAUUUUGGUAAUUCUCUUAUCCAGAGAGAUUUUGGAGCAACAAGUGGUAUUUUUAGGUAGAUCAUACUUAGACGAGUCCGUAGAUACGUAGUGGGCUCGAUUCGGAGUUGUAAUGAAGAAGUUACGAUCAAAACAAGUUUUUUUUUUUUUUUUUGGAGAAAUUCUAUAUGAUUGCAUUCAUAAUUCAGCCAAAAAAGCCACUAGCCACAAAUGGUCAAUACAAACUAGCAACAAAAGGGCCAUUACAAUAACGGAGCGGUCUAAUAUCAAAAUUAAGAAAAUCAGGUAUGUCUCCACUAACGAUCAGGCAAGAUCGAAGAAACUCUGGCAUAGGCAUCCCAACUAAGAUUGCAAACUUAGAAUAAUAAAAAAGAGAUAAAGCUUGAAAAAACCAAGCCAUAACAAUACAAAUAAAACUCUCACCAAGGAUAGAUGAAAAGCUGUCACAAAGGAGAAAUGAAAAACUCUCACAAAAGGAGAGGUGAAAACUACACAGACAACCCAAAGAGUCUCUGCAACUUAUUCCAAACAUAAAGAAAAUGCAAAAAAGAUGGUGGUGGAGAUCCGACGCCGAAAUGCAGGUGAAGAUCCAACGUUGAGCCGCAGCCGCCUAUAAUGGUUGGAUGAAAAUCCUAACAAAACUAAGAAAAUAGGGACAACCAUUUAUCUUUGAAAAUGGGGGAAGAGGUGAAAGGAGGAAGAAAGGAAGAGAAGAGGGGAGAGGAGGGAAGAACAAUGGCUUUCUCCCCCUUCAAAGUGGAAAAGGCUCUAAGAGUGUUUUUUGGGAGAAAGGGGGCACGAUCAAAACAAGUUUAAUAGCACAAUCAUAAUUAUUUCGAAGUUGGUUUUUAAUAAAUCAGAAAACACACACACACACACACACACACACACACACACUCUCUCUCUCUCUCUCUCUCUCUCUCUCUCUCUCUCUCUCUCUCUCUCCCGUGCGAUUCUUCCUCCCUCGUCAAACAGCAGCGGUGGUUUUUUCCACCGCCACUGCCACACGCCACCAUACGAGGUGGCACCGGUCCCAAAAGGACACCCAGCUCAUCCUCUUCCAACCCCAGCCAAGCCACGCCGCCAGCAGCAACGAGAUUUGCUGGAAACCGCAGAAAAUCCUGCCGGUUUUUCCUAAACUUCAAACCUCUCGUUCUCUCUCAUUUCUCCACCGAUUUGGAUGUAUAGGGUAUGGAUUUCCACCUAUUUUUCAUGAUCUAGCUGAUGGUAAGGUAGGAUUUCAUUAAUUUUGAGCUUAGGUUAGUUGAUUCUCUAUUUGAAAUUCUGCCGGUUUUGGGAUCGCGUUUUCGGCCAUUUCCGGUCACUUUUUGGGGUAGGCCCAAGAACAAAAGUAACUCCAAAUGGGGUUUUACACCUAGGGUAGGAGUCUGGGCCUGAUAUUUUGAGGUUUUUUCGGCAAGUGUUAUCGCUUUAGACACCCACGCACUGCCCGUGCGUGGGCACUGUAGCAAAGGUGCAUUUUUACCCCAAUGUGUUCCCCUACUUGUCACGAGUUCGUGGGUGUGCUCGGAUUCCAAUUCGUAUAUCGUUUGACUAUCGAACAGAUUUACGCCUAUUGUGUGUCAUCCGGGUUCAAUUUGUUCGGACCGUUGGAUCGAGUUCAAAUUAAUAUAUGUUGAUCUAGGCACUCCUAGGAUCGUGUAGGAAUUCACGGAUCGUGAAUCGAAGCCCCGGAUGUUCCUAUUCAAUAACUUAAAAUUUGUGUUAAACGAUAACCGUCCGAUCGUGCAAUCGCGAGCGAUCCGACUGCUCGAUCGAGACCAAACUCUUGGGAUGUGUUUAGGAAACUCUGUUGGACCUUUAGGAACUUUUGGAUUGUAAUUGGGAGGUUGUGGGCCCCGUGGGCCAGGUUGAUUAUCGGUUGACUAAUUUGACUAGUGGGACCGGAUAGUUGACCACGAGUCUUUGGAGAACAUUUUGUCUCUUGUUAAGUACUAAGAUGGCCUUAGGGUUUUACAAGGACGUGCACCCCCUGUGAGUCCUGAGAGUUAGGAUUUUGAAUUAAAGUUCAGUGUUGGAUUUGAGUAUUCAGUUAAUCUUGGUAUUCUCUCAAAUAGGUUCUUUGGCGCUAGGAAUCGUUCUUGACAAAACCGCGGAGGGUUGAAUGCGCUUUGGACCGUGUGUGAGUAGACAUUUAUUUUCUAAAUGGUUUUAUGAAACUCUUGGAUUGUGAUUAUAAUUUGUGUUGUUUUAUGGAUUUGAUGAUUUAUGGUUAUUAGUUUUCUAAUAGAAUAUUAUGCAUAUUCGAAUUUAGUUUGAAAACUAUUUUGAAAGAAUUAUAAAUGGUUUGAAUCAAAUAAUGAAAUUGGGGUUUUAUCUCGGUUUUAAAGAGAAUUUUGAUUAAUUAAUUAAUUAUAAUGCAUACUUGGAACUUUAUUUGGUUUUGAAAGAUUUGUGUUUUAUUUGAGAUAACUAAGAAGGGAUUUGAGAAACAGUGUGGUAAAUAGGGAUUUGUGGAAAAAAGAAAAGAAAAAAAAAAGGGCUUUUAUGAUUAAGUGUUGGAAUUGGAUUUCAAACCCACCCUAGAAACCUAUCCCUGGUUGCCUACAAAAUGUAUGAGAUGCCUUGGGAAUAAAUGAGUUGCCUCGGAAAAGAUAAAAAUGGUUGCCUUUGGAAAAAGUGUAAUAAGUUUCCUUCGGAAAUUAUGGUUGCCUUCGGUUAAGUCUGUGCACAUAACUAAGAUUGUCUAUACCUACAUAGAGACUACUCUGUAGGUAUCCGGCCAGAGUAUAUUGUCUGUACCUGUGUUGACUAUGCAGGUGUCCGGCCAGUGAUUUGCCUGUACCUACAUAGAGAUUACUUUGUAGGUGUCCGGCCAGUAUUUUGCCUGUACCUGCUUAUGUGGUUGUUCGGCCAGGAUUUUCCCACUACACCUAUCUGAUUGUCUAUAUAGGUGGUUGAUGUAACACCCAGACUCCAAAUUUAACUCUUAUUUAAAUUAUUUAAUUAUUUAAGGGGAAUUACAAAUUUACCCUUGAGAUAAGGGCAUUUUGGUUAUAUUCUUAACCGGAGAGAGUUUGGGGUAGGUCCAAGAACAAAAGUGGCUCCAAAUAGGGUGUUAUACCUAGGGUAGGAGUUUGGAGCCGUGGUUUUGAGAUUUUCCGGCGAAGCUUUAUCGCUUUGGGCACCCACGCGCUGCCGGUGAGUGCGGCGGCGCAUGGGCACUGUAGAAAAAGUGGCAUUGUGUCUCGAUGAGAUCCUUAGGUUGUCACGAGUGCGUAGGAUUUCGCGGAUCUCAAUUUGGACGUCGUUUGACUAUCGAACGAAUAUCGCCUAUUGUGCGUUAUCCGGGUUCGAUAGGUUGGGACCGUUGGAUGGUCCCAAAUUUAAUACAUGUUAAUCUAGGUAUUUCUAGGAUCGUGUAGGAAUUCACGGAUUGUGAAUCGGAGCCCUGGAUGUUCCAAAUAAGAAUUUUAAGUUUAUAUUUUAUAUUAACCGUCAGAUCGUGCGAUCGUGAGCGAUCCGACCGUCAGAUCGUGCGAUCGUGAGUGAUCCGACCGUCCGAUAUGAACCAAACUUGCAGGACGAGUGUCCUAUACCUUGUAAAACCCAUAGGGACUUUCGGAUCGGAAAUUGGAGGUCGUGGGCUCCGCAGGUCCGUUUGACCAGGGUUAAGGUAGUUUGACCCUUGGUUGACUGUGAGUCUCCCGGAGUAAAUCUCACCUACUUUUCAUGCUCUAGCUGCCUGUUGGGUAAGAUUGGAUCGAUUCUUAGCGUAGCCAAUUCGAUUUUCGAAUUGAAAUUCGGCCGAUUUUGGGAUCGCGAUUCCGGCCACUUCCGGUCAGUUUUUGGGAAAUGUCCAAUUUAUAGAGGAGACUCUGCCAAAAUUUCGGCAGGAAGUCUCGGUCUUUAGUAAGUGGGCCUGGCAUCGGGAUGAUGUCGGGAAUUCCAAAGGGUUUGCCUCGGGUUCUGAAAAAUUCGGGGCGGGUCCUUUCAGUUGAUCAGUUUUCCCCUAUUCUCGGUUACCUCAGUAUAUUGUCUGUACUUGUAUCACAAAUGCGAGUGUCCGGCCAGUGAUUUUUUCCCAGGAUGUUCCCCUGCCACCCUGCCGAUUUAUUACACAGGGUAGGCCAGUUAUUUUCCCCAUAGGUGUACUUGCAUGGAGAGAUUUCGUAUAACUUGGUUUGAGAUUGGAUUUUUGGAUGAUUUGUGUUUGAGCUUGCUUGAUUUAUUGGAUUCAAAUGAUGUUUUGAAACUGGAUUUUUAUGAAAUUAUAUUUUGAGUUGUAUUGGAUUUAAAUGUUAUUUGAAGUACAAAUUUGGGUCAAUGAUAUUUUAUUUACUAGAGUUUAUUUUACUUGCACAUGUAUUGAUUAUAUUUUGUUCCUGUAUAUAUACUUAUGUGUAUUAAUGAGUUUUCCAAAGGUUUGCAAAAACAGAGGGGUUAGUAUGUUCUGUAUAAUUACUUUCAAGAAAAACUUUCUUUUUGUCUACUCAUGCUUUUACUGUUUUGUGCCCCCAUGAAGUAGAUAGCUCAGCGUUCGGACAUCUACAUAAGCUACUCCGACGUCGGUGAAGUCCUUAUAAUUCUAAGUAUGAGACUUCAUCUUUCGUUCUCAUGGUUCAUUUGGAAAAUAAUUUUGUAAAUUCAACUUCUGUAGUUGCUCUGAUAUUUCCCACUUAGGAUUGAAAUUGAGGCCGGAGGCCAUGUGAAUUUUAUGUGUGCCUUAACUUGUGUGUGCUGCCUGUUGAGAUUAUUAGAUUGUCGGUAAUUGCAGGUGUUAAUUUGGAGAAAGUCCAUUUUAGAGAGGAGACUUUACCGAAAAUUUCGGUAGAAGUCUCGACCCUUUUAUCUUAAAAGUUUGGGUGAAAGGUGUAAAUUUAGUAGUGGGUCCGGCAUCUCUUAGGUGUCGGUCAGAUAGCAGGAUUCGACACGAGUUCCAAUGGGAAAUUCGGGUCGGGUCCUGUUAAUGGAGAUGGUUUGAGGUAGAAUUUUCUCCUAUUUCAAUUGGACAAUGAUGAGCUCUAUGUAACAACAAAUUUCUUUAAUAAUGAUAACUAAAAAAAGUGUGAUUCAUUGAAUAUUUGAGGGGUUUUGUUCUAAGUUAACACAUCAAAUUCCUUUUACACCAUCAAAUUCAAAAAAUUUAUUCAACCAUCUCGACCUUAUGCUAAAAAUUUAUUUUGUUCAAACGUAACGUACUAGGUAUUUAUUUUAUAUCAACGAGUACGAUGGUCCAUAUAAGUAUUCUAAUCAUUCACUCCAGUUGCAGGCCCUAAUAAUUUAGAAGGGCUGAUGGUCUUUUUUUUUUUUUUUUUUUUUGGUUGAGAAAUUCUAUGAUUGCAUUCAUAAUUCAGCCAAAAAAGUCACUAGCCAAAAAAGGUUGUUACAAUAACAGAGCGGUCUAAUAUCAAAAUUAAGACAAUCUGGUAUGCCUCCACUAACAAUCAAGCGGGCCAAUGAUCUUUCAUUUGAUGAAAGCUUCUAUCUACCGACCCCGCUAUAUGAACUAUGCAAUGGUGAUGGUGUUACAUUGCUAAAAACAAAAAGUCAAGGUUUCUUAUUAAUGUUAAUGAAGGCAUAGCAAAAAAUUUGUAGCUCCAAUAGUUCAGAGCAGUUACCCAUGCACUUGAAAUUCUGUGUUUGAAUGCCCUCUCCCCUAAUAUUGCUUGUAUAAAAAUAAAAACUUCUAAAAAGACAUUAAUAUUGUAUUCUAUAUUCUAUAAAGUGUUGGACAUGUUUUACAUUGUUGACAACCCCUUAACAUUUUGGUGGUGCCUAGUUAUAUUCAAUUCGUAUGUAUUUAAUUUGCCACUUACAUUCUUUCCUUAAUACAUUUAGGCUUAUUUUUAUACUAAUUUCUCUAACAUAACUUUUGCACAUUCUUUUAGUCUCUAAUAUAUAUAUUUUUUAAUAAAUAAUCUUACCCACUUGAGUUAUAAACUAUUUUCUUUUAGCACAGAAAAUUGACAUUUUGACAAAGAGUUGAAAACCACUCCCCAAUUUUAAUGUCAACCACUUGAAAAAAAAAACAUAAAUUUAAUGAAAACAAUUACAUUUAGCAAUGCAACCUAAAAACUCAACCUUUGCCCCCCUUUCGCAACCCAGAUAGCAGGGUGAGGAUAUUCGGAUAAGAACCAAGACAGAAGCCAAAGGAACUGCGAUAGCCAACCAGAGGCUCCAUUUCUUACCAUCUGAACAACGCCACCAUUUUGUUUGGUAAGUAUUUAAUAACAUUUCUUGCUCUACAUAAAGUAAUAUUAAAACGAAAUUUGCCUAAAUUUUUCUUACCAGCAAUCCAUAUGGAAAAAGAAAAAAAGAAAAAAGAAAAAUACAAUUAUACUCAAUAUAGGAGCCCAAAUUAUUUAUAGUUAAAAAAUCCCUAUAUGAAAUGAACUUUAGAAACACACUCAAAACCUAUUUACAACAAAACAAAAAGACUUUUAACUUCUUUUAAAUUACAAAACUAUCAUUGAUUUCUUAAACAAACCCAACCCCAAAACCUCAUAAAUAAAAAAAGCUCAAAAUACUCAAUAAAACAUCAAAGUAAUUUAAUAAUUAAAAUUAAAUUCAAUAGGGACAUCUGUUAUUUUUUGGGUUUUUUUGUUUGUUUAUAGAAAUUAAAUGAUGUAGAAUCUAUCUAUAUUAUUAGUGCUAAGAAUGGAUAUGUGACUAUAUAACUCAAAAAAAAUUUAUAGUAAAUCUACAAUUUUUUUUUAAACAAAAAUCUAUAGAAUCUUUUAUUAGAUCAAUAAUCAAUAGUCACUACUAGAAAAUCUUCAUAUAAGCCACUAAUACACCCGUAACUUAUACAAAUGUGAGCUACUGACAAACCUGUAGCCAAAGAGUAUUGGCCACCUACCACACGACAGUGGUCCAAGCAUAAUGUUGUCAUUCAUUAUUCCCCACAGCAACCAGCAUCCAAUAAAGGGCUGGGCCCCACCCAUAUUCCACCUCUCUUUGUGAAUAUAAAAGAAAUAUUUUUUAUUCAACAUGGACGCAGAAACUGUUGCUAAACUGCAAACUUCUUAAAAUAUUUGUCUCACUUUCUAGAUCCAUGUACUGAGAUUUAUUAGGGAAAUAUUGUAGAAACUGAUUAUUUUGAAAUAUUAAAUGUGAAAAACUGAACAAAAAUUUGAUGGAUUACAUAUUUCAACUCAUUUCAGCAGCUUAGAUUUUGAAGACCUCUGAAGAGGCUAUGCAAUGAGCCUGGCUAUAGUACACUGUUGAUCACUUCAGUGUCUACCGAUCUGUAAUUUUUCCAGAUUGGUUAUAUUUUCCUUUACAUAUGUAUGCUUAUAUUAUUCCCAGCUGUAAGUGUUUUAGCAACAGGGUUACAAACUUCUUCUACAACACACCAACAUGAAUCUAGCCCUGAUCCACUCUUCACAUACUUGAAAACAAAACAAAACACGAAAAACAAAAAACAAGAUAGGGAGAAAAUGGCCUUGAUCAAUAACAGAGAUAAUAGAGUACACUGUUUAGGGUGAGUAUCAGAAGAAUAAUAGCCGCAAAGAGAGAAAUAGCUGCCCAAGGUGUGUUGAAAUACUUUUGUCUCAAAUUUGCCUUCCAUCUGUUCGUGGUCUUCUUGCAGUACUCGUUUAGUUUGCCAGCAAGAUCACCAAAAUAGUAGUUUUCGGAGCAACUUUACUGCAAAGCUUGUUAAUCAUAAUGGAAACCUGAUUGUUGUCACCUAGCGUGUUUACAACAAUUCCAUUGUCAACAAGCAACUCUACAUCCUUUGGGGUGUUUACAAAUUUAUCCAGGAUGAAAACAUAAUCGCUUAUGUAUUUAUCCACGCAAUGGCAUUGUUCAAAGGCAAUGAGAUUUCUAUGUGUAAGCUCUGUGUAAUCAUGUAUUUCAAUUUUUGGAAUUUCCAAGGUGUUUUUCUUGAACUGUAUAUCGAAUAAGUUCUUGCUUGAUCCCACGUUAAACUUAACUCCGGCCUGGUGUAGUUUUGUCAUGCUGGGUGUACUUUGGAGCCCUACAUUUUCUUUUAGGGUCGGAUCUGGCAGAUGUAAAGGUUUUUUAGGAUCAGGUGGCAUAAAAGACUUACGGAAGGCUGGUGAGUUCUCCAAGUUUUUUCUAAACGGAAGAACCUGUAAGAGAGUUCAAUUAUUGAAGGCUCCCCAGUCUGAGCAGCUGUGAGAUUGUAAAGAUCCUCGAGAAUGAAAAAUGGCAGCUGAUUUUCGAGCAUAAGCAUGUCAGGCAAUAUAUUUUGUGGCACCCAUGGUUUUUUAAAUAUCCAAGCAUUAUCAUCCUGCAAUUUUUCUUCCUGAAAUUUUUCUUCGGAUUUAUUCCUCAACAAUAGCUCAAUGACAAAGGCGGCGUCAACUAGAAUGAUAUUCACAAAAGCAGCAAUGUUAAAACUUCUUAGUGUCUUCAUAACAAUGACGGAGAUCACCUUCUCUCUCCUUUAUUUUCUCUAAAUAAUCCUUCAAUCCUACUACUUUAGUCCGAUUAAGAAAGCAUUUUAGGUACCUGAGUUUGUGAUCUUCCAUGGCUUCUAAGUUUUUGCUGGCAUGGUGAAGUGGGUCUAUUGAGACUACUUGUGGUGUGUAGGCCUUUUGUUUUACGUUCCGUAGUCGCUCAGGCACCCUGUAGAUCCAGCAGGCAGGGGACAGGGCACGCAAGUUUGUCAACCGAUUUUCCAUGGAAGUUGCUUGGUUUUCUAUGUCAAAAGAAGCUUCAUUGCUGCUUUCUUCCACUUUCUUCAUCCCCGUAUGUGUUGUUCUGAUUGUAAGUGACGAGGAUGGUGAUGAUUCUAGACACCAUAAUCAACAAAUGUUUCAAUCAUAAUUGACAUUUCAAGAUGCUCCGACAAAAAAUUAGAAAACAUUCAUCACACAAUGCGAACUCAUACAAUAGAUGGGUUGAGAAGAUCCACACAUUGCAAUCAUACAAUCCAAUUGCACAGGGAUUAGUCCCUAUUCUCCUCUCUCUCUCUCUCUCUCUCUCUCUCUCUCUCUCUCUCUCUCUCUCUCAAAAAGAUUUUCAUAUCGAUAACAUCUUAUUGCAAGGGACUGGUACAUCAAGUAGUGAAGAACAGAAAUUCAUAUUCUUUCAAUCAAAAUGUAUAAAUUUUGAAAAAGUUUGUUUUAUUUUUGGGGGAAAAAAAUCUGAACAUAUAUGUAUGUGCAUAUUAUACGUAGAUCUAAGGUGAAAACAGACCAGAUUUUUACUCCAUUUUUCAUGAGGUUUAAGUUCAUGAUGUAUAUAUUUAUCUCAAGUGUAACAUCUCACAUCGAUCAACGGAGAUGAGGUGAUGUGUCUUAUAUGUACAUGCUCGCCUCCAUCUAGCACAAGGCCUUUUGGGAGAUCACUGGCUUCGGAGUCAUAGGAACUCCGAAGUUAAGCGAGUUGGGGUUAGAGCAAUCCCAUAAUGGGUGACUCACUGGGAAGUUGCUCUUGAGUUCCCAAAAACAAAACUGUGAGGACAGAGAGGGGGGCCCAAAGCGGCCAAUAUUAUUCUACGGCAGAGCCGAUCCUGGGAUGUGACAAUUUGGUAUUAGAGCCACACUGCCGUGUGGUGCGAGUGUGCCGAAGAGGACGUUGGGCCCUUGAGGGGGGUGGAUUGUAACAUCUCACAUCGACCAACAGCGAGGGAGUGAUGUGCCUUAUAUGUACAUGCCCGCCUUCAUCUAGCACGAGGCCUUUUAGGAGCUCACUCACUUCGGAGCCAUAGGACCACCAUCCCAAGUUCAAUAUACAACCCAACAACCAUCUUAGCCAUCUUCUCAUUGAUCUUCCACCCAGCAUCCAACACUAUCUUCAUAAACUCUUUAGCUUAAUAUCUCUGUUGCUUUUGUUUUUUGUUUUUUUUAAUUUAAAUUUUUUAGUUUUUUUUUUUGGUUGGUGCAGAUUCAAUGAUAAAGAACAUCGAACUCGUCGCAACAUCCUGCCCUAGAUCCGAACUCUACCACCAUCACAACCCUCCCUCUCUCGAUCUCCAACCAACCUUAACACCCAACUUCAAAUCUUGGUUGUUUGAAACUCAGCCCCCUUCUCAAACCCCACCCUCUCUCUCUCUCUCUCUCUCUCUCUCUCUCAAAAUCAACAAGAUUUUCAUGUCAAUAAGAUAAGAUCUCAUUGCAAGUGACUUGUAGAUGAAGUGGGAAAGAACAAAAAGUCAUAUUCUUCCAAUCAAAACGUAUCAAGUCUAACAAAAUUUCUAGUUAGUUUGCUUUAUGAUAGUUGUUUUUUGAAGGGGUCCUUAGAUCCAAUCUCAAAAAGUUUGACUUUUAUUAUGUUUAACUCUGGUUUUUGCAAAUUUUUUUUUUUAUCUCUACCCACUAACUUUUAUCUCUCAUUUUUAUUACCCAUUUUACCCUUUAAAAUAAAUAUGGUAAUAAACUAAAAAUUCUGAUUCAAUGCAUGUUCAUAAGAGAAUUAAGGCCCCGUUUGGGAUUGCUUUUUUUCGUCAAAAACUUGUUUCACUUUAAAGUUAAGCAGUUUAAGGUGUUUGGUAAAAAUAAAAUAUCCUGAUUAUUUUAAAAGCAGUGGCCUUUUGACAGCUGCUUUUAAAAGCAGGUUCUGGGUUGCUUUUCAAAGCUGCUUUCAAAAGAAGCAAAGAUGAACUUUUAAUGAAUGUUUUUUAAUUCCCAAAAUACAAUCAUUCAUUUUAAAAAAUGACACCACCUCCACUUCCACAUCCAACUCCACCACUUGCACCACCACAUUCACUACCUCCACAACCACCGCCAUUACCACCACCACCACAUCCUUCUCCUCCUCAUCCUCCGCCACCACCACCAGAAGCAGAUCCAGAAAUUUUUCAGGAGAGGGGCAAUAAUGAUUUUGAUACUGCCCAAUUAAAAACAUAUUAUGAAAACCAGACCCUUAGUUAAUUUAAAGAUUAAUUAGCACGAUAAAAUAAAUACAUAAUUAAUAAUAAAAAUAUAUUAUCACAGUGAAAGAUUAGAUCAACAAACAAGUAGUAUCAAUCAAAUCCUAAUUAAACAAAAACUCUAAUAUCAAAGUGUGAUUUGAGAUCAUUGUGCAAGGACUCUUCUUCGUUGUUGUUUUUUAUUAUUUAAUUUUUUUGACAGAUGGGCUUCUUCAAAUUGGGAGCAUUGAGGUAAGCCUUUUGGUAUUACAUUAUUAUUAUUAUUAUAAUGAAAUAUUUAUUAUAACAACCAAGUAAUUGAAGCCAAACAAUGAAUCUUGAAACGGUUUGCACAAAAAACGAAGAGUUUGAAUUUUUGAAAAACACUUCAUUUAAACCAUUAAACAUAGAUCAAGGACGACGCCGUUUGUGACAAAUAAAAAUAGGGUUGUCUUCUUCAUUCGUGAACCAGAGCCUCCAUCAGGACACACCUCUACAACUCCUCCUCUACAACACAGUGUGUGCCUCAAUCGUGUAACUUGCCAUUUGCGAUUCAGGAGGCCUUAGAUCGUCGCACUCACGAGAUGCGCCUUGAUACACUUUUAAACGCUAGANNNNNNNNNNNNNNNNNNNNNNNNNNNNNNNNNNNNNNNNNNNNNNNNNNNNNNNNNNNNNNNNNNNNNNNNNNNNNNNNNNNNNNNNNNNNNNNNNNNNNNNNNNNNNNNNNNNNNNNNNNNNNNNNNNNNNNNNNNNNNNNNNNNNNNNNNNNNNNNNNNNNNNNNNNNNNNNNNNNNNNNNNNNNNNNNNNNNNNNNNNNNNNNNNNNNNNNNNNNNNNNNNNNNNNNNNNNNNNNNNNNNNNNNNNNNNNNNNNNNNNNNNNNNNNNNNNNNNNNNNNNNNNNNNNNNNNNNNNNNNNNNNNNNNNNNNNNNNNNNNNNNNNNNNNNNNNNNNNNNNNNNNNNNNNNNNNNNNNNNNNNNNNNNNNNNNNNNNNNNNNNNNNNNNNNNNNNNNNNNNNNNNNNNNNNNNNNNNNNNNNNNNNNNNNNNNNNNNNNNNNNNNNNNNNNNNNNNNNNNNNNNNNNNNNNNNNNNNNNNNNNNNNNNNNNNNNNNNNNNNNNNNNNNNNNNNNNNNNNNNNNNNNNNNNNNNNNNNNNNNNNNNNNNNNNNNNNNNNNNNNNNNNNNNNNNNNNNNNNNNNNNNNNNNNNNNNNNNNNNNNNNNNNNNNNNNNNNNNNNNNNNNNNNNNNNNNNNNNNNNNNNNNNNNNNNNNNNNNNNNNNNNNNNNNNNNNNNNNNNNNNNNNNNNNNNNNNNNNNNNNNNNNNNNNNNNNNNNNNNNNNNNNNNNNNNNNNNNNNNNNNNNNNNNNNNNNNNNNNNNNNNNNNNNNNNNNNNNNNNNNNNNNNNNNNNNNNNNNNNNNNNNNNNNNNNNNNNNNNNNNNNNNNNNNNNNNNNNNNNNNNNNNNNNNNNNNNNNNNNNNNNNNNNNNNNNNNNNNNNNNNNNNNNNNNNNNNNNNNNNNNNNNNNNNNNNNNNNNNNNNNNNNNNNNNNNNNNNNNNNNNNNNNNNNNNNNNNNNNNNNNNNNNNNNNNNNNNNNNNNNNNNNNNNNNNNNNNNNNNNNNNNNNNNNNNNNNNNNNNNNNNNNNNNNNNNNNNNNNNNNNNNNNNNNNNNNNNNNNNNNNNNNNNNNNNNNNNNNNNNNNNNNNNNNNNNNNNNNNNNNNNNNNNNNNNNNNNNNNNNNNNNNNNNNNNNNNNNNNNNNNNNNNNNNNNNNNNNNNNNNNNNNNNNNNNNNNNNNNNNNNNNNNNNNNNNNNNNNNNNNNNNNNNNNNNNNNNNNNNNNNNNNNNNNNNNNNNNNNNNNNNNNNNNNNNNNNNNNNNNNNNNNNNNNNNNNNNNNNNNNNNNNNNNNNNNNNNNNNNNNNNNNNNNNNNNNNNNNNNNNNNNNNNNNNNNNNNNNNNNNNNNNNNNNNNNNNNNNNNNNNNNNNNNNNNNNNNNNNNNNNNNNNNNNNNNNNNNNNNNNNNNNNNNNNNNNNNNNNNNNNNNNNNNNNNNNNNNNNNNNNNNNNNNNNNNNNNNNNNNNNNNNNNNNNNNNNNNNNNNNNNNNNNNNNNNNNNNNNNNNNNNNNNNNNNNNNNNNNNNNNNNNNNNNNNNNNNNNNNNNNNNNNNNNNNNNNNNNNNNNNNNNNNNNNNNNNNNNNNNNNNNNNNNNNNNNNNNNNNNNNNNNNNNNNNNNNNNNNNNNNNNNNNNNNNNNNNNNNNNNNNNNNNNNNNNNNNNNNNNNNNNNNNNNNNNNNNNNNNNNNNNNNNNNNNNNNNNNNNNNNNNNNNNNNNNNNNNNNNNNNNNNNNNNNNNNNNNNNNNNNNNNNNNNNNNNNNNNNNNNNNNNNNNNNNNNNNNNNNNNNNNNNNNNNNNNNNNNNNNNNNNNNNNNNNNNNNNNNNNNNNNNNNNNNNNNNNNNNNNNNNNNNNNNNNNNNNNNNNNNNNNNNNNNNUACAAACCACAACCACCAACUCCACGUUCAUCACCACCACUACCUCCACUCCACCACUACCAUUACUACUACCACAACAUGAUUAGUACAUAACACUUUUAACAUCAUGUCUAUUUUAGUCAUUAUUCACAUUUACAACAAUUUUAUAUUAAAAUUUACCAAACGGUUUUGACACUGCUUUUUGUACUAACAGCACUUUAAAAAUAUUGUUUAUCAAACAUGGAGUGCUUUACUUUACAGCUAAUUAUUUUCAAAGCACAGCAAAAGCAAAUUUUUUUAAAAGUGACAGCAAUCCUAAAAAUUCUAUACUCUAACACAAAAAAUAAAAACUAAAAACAAAAAUUAAAAUGGUUAUCAAACAUACACUUAUAUUACAAAGAAAAUAUCAAAUAUUGAACUCAUCAUAAGAGAACACAGAAAAACCUCACCGCUUGCAACUCGUACACCACCACUACACGAACAACUGCUAAUUAAAAUGAGUCACAUGUGGUACUUAACUCUAAAAACUUAUUCAGAUUAUAUAUCGUACUCCUCGAUCAAAACAACCAUGAAACAUAAGUGAUUUAAACCUCUAGGCAAAUGGAAGGUAUAUAACAAUUUAUAGAACAAUACAGUAAUCCAGAAGAAAUAUUAUGAAAUAAAAAGAAUAAAAAGUAAAAAAAGAGAAGGAAAGGAAUUCCCACCUGAUAUGUAUAAGUAUGAAAGGAAGGACCAAGUUUGUUUUGCCUUUGGUUAAUGACUAGAAAAGCUCACUUGCAUAUUGCUUUCUCCGGCCGUAGAUGCAAGAGAAAUUUUCUCUUAAUAAUAGCACAAUGAUCGGGUAAUUGUAAGAACAAGUUGAUUUUAAAUUCAGGUCAAGUCGUAGAUUUCUUGCCUUUUCUAUUCUCCUUCCUUGGACAUGAGCUGUUUAAUCUUGGACUCUUCCCCCAUCAUGUUGGGCCUGUCUUCUUCUUGAGGAUUGUAUAGGCCCAGGAAAUGCUUCAAGGUAGUUUUUGUGUUUUGGGCCUUGAGACCCAACUUCACAAAAAGAAAAUAGAUUUGACCAAAAAACAAAUUUGAAGGAUAUUGAAAUUGUACCUGUAGGAUAGGUUAAAACACCAUAAGGGAGGUAAAUAGUACGUUUACAGAAUUUAAGUGUAAUAAUUGAAUAAAAACAUGCCCAGAGGAUUGAUAAGUGAUAUCAAUUCUUGAAUAUACAGAACGUAAAAUAAAGGAACACGUAGAAAAUUAUUUUAUGUGGUAAAACUCUAUCUCUGGGGAACAUCCACGGGGCUUUUUAGUCCAAAAUAAUCCAUUAUAGAACGAUGAUUACAAGAAGUAUUCACACACUUAUCCUAGACACAUUCUAGAUUAUGUUUACUGACCUCUUCUCAACUUCUGUCUCGAGAUGAUCUUUCGACACUCCUUAUGUUGAACGCAAUACUGGUCACGAUUUCUUCAAGCUCCCUAGAGUUCUUCCAACUCUCCUUGUAUUGAAUCCGACACUAGUCACGAUCGAUUCAAGCUCAUUGGAGAAAAACUGCCACAACGGUCUUAGUGCCCUCAAUCGUAUGAGUCACUGAACAUGCAAAUGAAUACAAUAUAAAUGAUAAAAGUGUUUGAUAAAUCACCAAGUUAUAGAACACUUGAUGAUUUAUCUCAAAUAAAAAUUCAGCUUUACAAAGUUUAUGAUGAAUUGAAAAUAUGAUCGUUAAAGCUAUCUAAACAAAGAAGACGAAGGUCUUAUUUUAUAGAAUUUUUCUUUACAAGAAAGAAAACACGUUGAAAACCAAAUCUCCAAUUUUCAAGGCUUGACAGAAAAUCACAAAAGUAUCUUUCCUAUUCUAGAGAUUGGUCACAUGUAGUUCAACCAAUAGGAAAUGAGAUAUUCAAGAAAGCAAGAUUUUGAUCAAUAUCAAUAUCAGAUCAAUUCUUAUACGCCUAGUCAACUAUUAAGGGUAUCUUGACUCCUUGAUGUUGUGAUAUGAUUGAAACAUGAUUUCCAUGUUAGAAAAUUAAAGGGAUGUUAAAACAUGAAAGUAAUAGAGAAUCAAAUUGAUGUGGACCAAAAUUGCCUAAAAAGAAAACACUCCUAAAUAAACUUCAAUUCACUUUUAAAAAACAGUAAAACAUGAUUGAUCGUUCUUUAAAACAAUUCCCUAAAUAUACAUGCAUGAUAAUGAUAUCACUUACCCUUAAAUCAAAUUGUCACGCCCCGGACCCGAGGGUCGGGUGGAAACCUCACCGCCCAGUGCGUGAGAAAAUAAAAAGAAAAUAAAAUAAAAAGAAGCCGAACAGGGUUUAAAAUAAACUUCUCUUAUAAAAAUAACUCCAAUCUACAACUUUACAAGAAAUAACUAANNNNNNNNNNNNNNNNNNNNNNNNNNNNNNNNNNNNNNNNNNNNNNNNNNNNNNNNNNNNNNNNNNNNNNNNNNNNNNNNNNNNNNNNNNNNNNNNNNNNNNNNNNNNNNNNNNNNNNNNNNNNNNNNNNNNNNNNNNNNNNNNNNNNNNNNNNNNNNNNNNNNNNNNNNNNNNNNNNNNNNNNNNNNNNNNNNNNNNNNNNNNNNNNNNNNNNNNNNNNNNNNNNNNNNNNNNNNNNNNNNNNNNNNNNNNNNNNNNNNNNNNNNNNNNNNNNNNNNNNNNNNNNNNNNNNNNNNNNNNNNNNNNNNNNNNNNNNNNNNNNNNNNNNNNNNNNNNNNNNNNNNNNNNNNNNNNNNNNNNNNNNNNNNNNNNNNNNNNNNNNNNNNNNNNNNNNNNNNNNNNNNNNGAUUUCAAUUGGUAUUCAGAGCGUCAGCUCUUAAUACAAAUAGAGAGAUCCUAGGAUUUGUUUUGGUGUUUAGGUGUGCUCACUGUGGAACGGGAUCGAGUUGCUGGAUCUUGCAACUCCCCUCCUUAUUUUGAUGGAAACAACUACGCUGCUUGGAGAGAAAAAUUUGAGAUAUUCCUUGAUGCUCUUGAUGAGUACGCAAGUGAGUAUCUCACAAAAGAGUGGGUUGCUCCUGUCAAGACUGUUGAGAGUAAUGUUGUGCCCAAGCCUAGGUCGGAAUGGACUGAAGCUGAGGUGUUUGCUGCAUAUUCAAACAAGAAGGCCAGAAAUGCCUUAGUUACAGCCUUGUCUAGCACACAAUUUUCACAUAUACAACACAUCCUAAAUGCGAAACAGGCUUGGGAUAAACUAAGGGUGGUUCAUGAAGGGGAUGACCAAGUUAGAUCCCUAAAACUUCAGAUGAUGCCUGCACAAUUUGAAGAACUUAGGAUGUCUGAAACUGAGUCUAUUUCUGAGUUCUAUGGGAGAGUUGAGAUGAUCACUAAUGAAGCCAUGAGUCUCGGUCAACCUAUUGAUGAGCUUCUUGUUGUUCAGAAAAUCCUUCGUGUUCUACCAUCUAGGUUUAGAGCAAAGAAAACCGCAAUCAUGGAGGUCCAAAACUUAAAUGAAAUUAAGCUUGGCAAGCUCGUAGGAAAAUUGAAAACCUAUGAGAUGGAGUUGAAUAUGGAAAAGAAUGACACUAAAAAAUCAAAAAAUGUUGCACUUCAAGGAGUGAAUGAUUCCUCUCUGAAAGGUGGUGAAAAAUCCUCAGGUUUUGAGGAUGAGAUGGCUUUGUUUGUCAAAAAAUUUAGGAGAAUUCUUAGGGAUAAAGGAAAGUUUGCUAGAAAGGGCAGCUCUGGUAGUGAGAGACAAGUUAGACCAUCAACUGAUCAGUCUAAUGAGAGGAACAAGGAUGUCAAACCUUUCACUAAAGAUUUUAGAAAAUCUGUCAAGUGCUUCACAUGUGGAGGCAUUGGGCACUAUGCUGCCCAUUGUGCAAACAAUCAGAAAAAAUACUCCAAAGGAAAGGACAAGGCCAUAAAAGUUAGCUGGAGUGAGAGUGAAAGUGAAGUGUCUCAAGGGGAUUCAUUUUUCUCUGAUAAUGAUGACCAACAUGUUGCUUUUGUUGCCUCUGUGCAGUCAGUGUCUGAUAAAUCUGAUUCUGAGUCAGAUGACCUGUCAUACGAGUGAUUAGGAAGAAAAUAUGAUUGUUUGUUCAAAGAGACAUUGUCUUUGAAAGAAGAGAGCCUCAAACUUGAGGCCAACAACCAUGAACUUCAACAUGAAAUCCUCAUCUUAAAAGAAACCAAAAAGGAGUUGAGUGACAAAUUUGUGUCUCUAGAAAAAGAAUUUGUUGCACUUGUGUCAAUUAGGAGUAAUCUUGAAAAUCAAGUUAAUGUGCUCAAGGAAAGUAACAUUGGUUUCCAGAACUCAAACAAAUUGCUCCUAGGUAAAUUGAAUGAAGCAAAAAAGUAAGGUUAUAUCUAUGACCAUUGGUGCCUCAAAAAUUGACAAAAUGUUGACUAUGGGAAAACCUCAUGGGGACAAAGGUGGUCUUGGAUUUAAUCAUUUUGAUUCUAGUUCGUCUAGCUCUACCACUAGGUUUGUCAAUUCAAAAACUCCAACCAUGGCUUCUCUUGAUGCUCAGCCGGUAGUCAAGAAACCUAAGUUUGUUCCAACUUGUCACUGGUGUGGGUUGACUGGUCAUAUUCGAUCAAUCUGUCUUAUGUACAAAAAGGAUAAGACUAGAAAAUUGUCUUCAAAAUCUAAAAAUCCAAGAUCUUUGCAAGAUCAGGUUGAUCAUUUGCUAAAAGAAGUAACUAAGAUUGCAAAACUUGUCUCCCUUAAAAUGUGUUCACCUAUUGUGCCUAAGUCUACUUGGGUUGAAAAAGGUCAUACCAAAUGUCUUGUUGUGCUAAAUGCUUUUGCUGCAUCAAACACCAACUCUUGGUACUUUGAUAGUGGCUGUUCCAAACAUAUGUUUGGUGAUAAGAGUGUCUUCUCAUCUCUCAGUCCUUUUGAUGGAGGCACUGUGACUUUUGGUGGAGGUCACAAGUCUCAAGUUUUUGGAAAAGGUACUGUUUGUAUCCCUGGUUUACCCGAGCUUAAGAAUGUUAGAUGUGUUAAGGGUCUUACAUCCAAUCUCAUUAGUGUGAGUCAGCUGUGUGAUGAUGGAGUAAUAGAAGUUAGAUUCUCCAAGCAUGGGUGCAAAAUCGUUGGAAAAUGUGGCAAUGAGAUUGUGAGCGUGACUAGGUCUAGGGACAAUUGCUAUUGUAUUGAUGGUGUCAAUGAUGAAAAAGAAGUAGUUUGCAAUAAGGUUGUGAAUGAAACAAGUGUCUUGUGGCAUCAAAGGCUUGGACAUGUGAACUUUAGAGACUUGCAUAAAUUGUCCAAGAAAGAGUUAGUGAGUGGAUUACCAAAGCUUGACAAAUCUGAUCAACAUGUUUGUGAAGGAUGUCAAUUGGGGAAGCAAGUUAGAGUGUCUCAUAAGAAGGUCAAACACAUUCAAACACAAGUAAGCCUUGAACUUGUUCACAUGGACAUUGUUGGUCCUAUCCAAACCUUGUCCCUUGGUGGAAAGAAAUAUAUUCUUGUCAUGGUUAAUGAUUUCUCUAGGUUCACUUAAGUCUCAUUCUUACGUGAGAAAUCUGAAACUUUUCUAAGGUUUAAGUCUGUUUGUCAUCUUUUGCAAAAAGAAAAGAUGACUAGUCAUCUGCCUCUUGUUAGAAUUAGAACAGAUCAUGGUUCUGAGUUUGAGAAUUCUCAGUUUCUGAAAUUUUGUGAAGAAAUGGGAAUUAAGCAUGAGUUCUCUGCACCUAUUACACCUCAACAAAAUGGUGUUGUGGAGAGAAAGAAUAGAGUUCUUGUUGAGAUGGCUCGGGUGAUGCUCAAUAGCAACAAUCUUGCUAAACAUUUUUGGGCUGAAGCUGUAAGUACAGCUUGUUAUAUCUCAAACAGGGUAUUUUUGAGGUCUGGUACCAAACAAACUCCCUAUGAGAUUUGAAAAGGAAAGAAGCCUAAUGUGUCAUAUUUUAGAGUCUUUGGUAGCACAUGCUAUAUUUUGAAAGAUAGGGAGCAUCUUCCUAAGUUUGAUUCUAAGUGUGAUAAGGGAAUAUUUCUAGGGUGUUCCACUUUAAGCCGAGCUUAUAGAGUGUACAACUGUAGGACCAGAACCAUCAUUGAGUCCAUAAAUGUCAAAAUUGAUGAUUUUGCUGCCUCUACUGAGAUGGCAUUAGAUGAGAAUGGUCUUUUUUCUCCUCAUCUCGUGCAAGAAUCUCUAGGUCUGGAUCUUGUAGUUGACCUGUCAACUUUCGGAAAUUUUGUCCCAGUUGACCUGUCAACUCCUUCAACCUCUAGUUCCAUCUCAUCUAUCCAAGUUGUCAGCUCCCAUGCUGAUCAUAGCCCUCUCACUCAAACUGAGAGUGUCAUUAUUGGUCCUCUUAAUCAGGGAGUGAGAACUAGGAAAUAAUUAGCUCAAGAAAUUAGUCAUGUGUGUUAUGUCUCAAAAGAAGAACCUAAGAAUGUGAAAGAGGCGUUGAACCAUGGUGAAUGGUUUCUUGCAAUGCAAGAAGAGCUGAAUCAGUUUGUUAGAAAUGAUGUUUGGUACCUUGUUCCCAGACCUACCAAUACAAAUGUUGUAGGUACUAAGUGGAUUUUCAAGAACAAAACUGAUGAGCAAGGUAAUGUUGUUAGAAACAAAGCUAGAUUAGUUGCUCAAGGUUACACUCAAAUGGAAGACAUUGACUUUGAUGAAACUUUUGCCCCUGUUGCAAGACUAGAAUCAGUUAGAUUACUUCUUGCUAUUGUUUGUCACUUAAAAUUCAAACUUUAUCAAAUGGAUGUCAAAACUGCUUUUUUGAAUGGUAUUUUAAAUGAAGAGGUCUAUGUUGAACAACCAAAGGGUUUUGAAGAUCCACAUCAUCCAAAUGAUGUGUUUCAGUUAAAAAAGGCACUCUAUGGUUUGAAACAAGCUCCUAGAGCAUGGUAUGAGAGGUUAUCUUCUCAUCUUCUAAGAAAUGACUAUGUUAGAGGGUCAAUUGACAAAACUUUGUUUGUCAAAAGGUUCAAAAAUGAUGUCUUGAUUGCUCAAGUGUAUGUUGAUGAUAUUAUGGUUGGUUCUACCUCUGACUUGCAUGUUCAAGAGUUUAUUCAUGUCAUGACUAGUGAAUUUGAGAUGAGUCUUGUAGGUGAGCUUAACUAUUUCUUAGGUCUUCAAAUCAAACAAAGCCAUGAUGGGAUCUUUGUAUCUCAAUCGAAAUAUGCAAAAAAUCUUGUGGAAAAGUUUGGUUUUGAGGAUGCAAAAUCUGCAAGAACUCCAAUGAGCACUAGUGCUAAAAUUCAUAGAGACUUGCAUGGCAAAAGUGUGGAUCAAACUCUCUAUAGAAGUAUGAUAGGAAGUCUUCUCUACUUGACUGCUAGUAGACCAGAUAUUUCUUAUAGUGUUGGAGUGUGUGCUCGGUUUCAAAGUGACCCAAAAGAGUCUCACUUGUUUGCUGUUAAGAGAAUCAUAAAAUAUGUGAGUGGGACUGUUGAGUUUGGGUUGUGGUAUACCUAUGACACUUGUGUCAGUCUGGUUGGUUAUAGUGAUGCCGAUUGGGCAGGUUGUAGAAACCCCUCCCGGGGGGGGGGGGGGGGGGGUCUUUUAUGUAGGCAACAACCUUGUUGCUUGGCAUAGCAAAAAACAAAAUUCUGUCUCCUUAUCCACUACUGAAGCAGAGGAUGUUGCAGCUGGGAGUUGCUGCACUCAACUCCUUUGGAUGAGACAAAUGUUGGAAGCUAUGGUCUUGCUCAAUCAUGCUUUCUCAUCUAUUGUGACAACAUGAGUGCCAUAGACAUUUCUAAAAAUCCUGUUCAACACUCUAGGACUAAGCAUAUAGACAUUAGGCAUCAUUUUAUUAGAGAUCUUGUGGAAGAUAAAAUUCUAUCUUUGGAAUUUGUUCCCUUUGAGAAACAGCUAGCAGAUAUACUCACCAAGGCCUUGGACUUUCAGAAACAUGUCACACUUAGGCAGUCCAUUGGCCUUUGCUCAAUUGAUUGAUUAGCUUGUCUGUUCCUUAUCUUCAGCACAUUGCAGAAUUGUUGACUAGUCAUCUUCGUUUUAGUUGACUAGUCAAAUAUUUUUUUGGUGUGUAAAUGUCUAAAACAUAUGCUUCUUCUGAUCUCUGGUGGUAUGAAGUUUGAAUCAUUUUAUGCUUUGCCUGAUUUGUGGAUAAUUCCCCCCUUCUUGUUUGGAGCCAUUAGAUGAAAUCUUUUGGUGUUCUUUCGUCCUCUUGUUGAGACAAGUGUUGUGAUCCAUUAUGGACAAUCAUUGUUAUAAUCUCCUAUCUUUUCUCACUCUCUUAGGCAAUUUGUUUAGCAUUAAACAAAAAAUAAAAAAUAAACAAAAAAUAAAAAAAAUAAAAAAAAGUGUGACCAAUGUAGUCACGACUCUAGGAAGGUAUAAGGUGUUAUGAUUGAAGAAUCUAGAGCAAGAGCCGCAAAAUUGGGCCACUCAAGCACUUAAGUCUAGGAUGUGCAAAUAACAAGGAUAAUAAAUGGCCAGAUUGAGUGAUGAAAAUCAAAUAGGUUGGGUUUAUGCCUUGAGUUUGUCUUGAAGGUUUAUUAUAUACUUGUCUCUCCAAGAGGGGUAUUUCUUCUUCUCUUGUGUUCUUCUUUUGGCUCUGAACCUCCUCUGUCCAUUUUGCCUUAUCUCUGAGCAUGAAAUCUAAUUCAUAUUCUAUCUAUCAGAGUUAGUUGCACUUGUUUUUGUUUGCACAUGUGGUUAUCUUCUCUCUCUCUUCCUUCCUGUGCUUGAAGAUUUGGACUAGGCUAUAGUAGCUAAUAGAUCGUUGAUCACUUGAUAUAUUUGCUAGUUCAUGUUUGUGUUUUUUUUUUAAAAACCCACAAUCUUGUCUUCCACAGGGUCGAUACUAACUUUGAUGCGUGUCAUGAUAUUGCCUUAGUUGACUAGUCAUCUAUGCUUAUGGUUGACUAGUCAUCCGGUUGUGUUAUAUUUGAUGCCCGUCAUGUUAUUGCCUUAGUUGACUAGUCAUCAUUUUUGUGGUUGACUAGUCAUCUAGUUCUGCCUGUUUUUGUUAUUGCCUUGGUUGACUAGUCAUCAUGCUCAUUGUGGUUGACUAGUCAUCAGGUUUUUCUCCUGAACAAUACGUCCUUUUCUUUAGCGGUUAUUCUUAUUAUUUUAUUUUUUUUUCAUUUUUUUUUCUUCUCUUUUUUGUGUUUUGAGCGGUUCUUUUUCAUUGGGGUCAGUUUUCGCAUUUUUUCCUUUUUAGGUCUGUUUCCCUCUUCUUCGUUAGAGUCUACUUUCACUCCCGUUCUCUCUCUGUUCUCUUCAGACACAAACCCAGGCCCCCGCUUCCCUUUCUCCCUCUGUGUUAGUCUCUUCGCCCCUUCUUCCCUCUGUUUUUCUCUUCCAAUUUCUUCCCGCUGACCACCAUGUCGUCCUCCGCGCCCUUCCUCACUUACCAGCGCCGCUCCAAAUCCAAAUCCAAUGACAGAGUGGAUUUUAUACCCUCCAUUCCUAGGGCUCCUAGGACUCGCUCUUCUCACUCUGUUCCCGCUGGAGACUCCUCCCCGUUUGUGUCUCCUGAGGCAGCCUCGUUCUUCGAUGGUGUUGUCUCUAAAAGGAAGUUUGUGCCUGAGAGAGCUUACCAAAUUGAUGCUCCCCCCUUAGCGGCCCAGGGUUCUGCAACUCAGAUUUUUGAGCACUGCCAUCUCCAUUCUCUCAACACUCUGUCUGGUAAGUUCAAUGCUUCUGUCGUUAAAGAGUUUUACUCGAAUUUUCCUGCUGAUCCUAAGGGGUCUAAUUAUCAGUGUGUUGUUCGUUAUGUGCCCAUUACUCUGAGACCCUCUGUCAUUAAUAGGGUUUUAGGUUUUCGGUCUUGCCCUGGUUUUGAUUCUGAUCAGUUUGCUCUUGCCUCUUCUCAAUACACUAUUGAUCUAUUUAAAACCAUGGCCUAUACUGAUCAAACAAUGCCCCUGACUUCUAAAGGUGUUCCUAUGAAGUCUUAUCUGUCACCAUUCUACAAAUUUCUAUGGGAUUUUAUCUGUCACAAUGUUCUCCCAACUAGAAAUAAUUCAAACCCCACUUUGGCUGGCUGUCAACUCAUGAUUUCAAUGGUGAAUCAUGAUAAAAUUCCCUUUGGGGAUAUUCUUUAUCAUGCAAUUCUUGGCAAAACCAUAGGUCAUGGUACAAAACACAAAGGGACUCUUGUCUUCCCAUGUCUUAUCCAGCGUCUCUGUGAGAGAAACCAGGUGGUUUUUCUUGACUCUGAUCAGUGCACUCCUCCUAUUGCUCCAUUUGGCAAGGCUUUUGUUGCCCUUAGCCAAAAAGUUUCAAAAACUUUUCUCACCUCUGUGUCAUCUACUUAUGAAAAUGACUAUCUUAGAUCUCAGCUUGCUACCAAGGAGAAACAUAUUCAACAUCUGUUAAGCCUCAUUCCAUCCUCUUUGGUUCCUGCUGCUGCUGCUGCUGAAGUACAUCCUCAGCCGACUCCUGCCACGGAGGUCUCAGAUGAUUCUGUAGAUUCUGAUGAGUCUGCUGAUUCUCUUGUUUUUUAGCUACAGUGAUCUUGUAGGCAAUGUCCUAGAUAGGGGGAGUAUUUUUGGACAAGUAUAUGUUUGUAAUUCCCUUGUGGAAAUUUGUUUUUGCUUGGGUAGUCUGUGCAUCUUGAUAGGGGGAGUUGUGUUGUAUUAUUUUGAACAAGUGAUUUUUGCUUUGUAAUCAACCUAUGCUAUGUGUUUUUCACUUUGUUCAAAUCUGAUUAUCUGCCUUGUGUUUCAUCCCCUUGUAUGCUGACUCUCUCUCCUUGCACUUUCCUUAUCAACAAGGAGGAGAACACUCUCAACCCCCAUAUUGCAUAUUGUUUCAAAAUUCUGUGAUAUAAUAUGCCUGUUUUUGUGCCUGGAAGAUUGGUUGUUCUUGCAGGUAUCCUCACUUCAUCAUCUCCUUAGGCUUGGUUUUGGGUUGAGUGUUGUUAGAGAGUGUGUUGUCAAGGAAAGCCAAAAAGGGAGAGAUUGUUAAUGUAUGCAUUUUGGGUUUUUCUUUUGGCUUCCCUUGACAACUUUGUAAUAGGAUCUCUAUUGUUAUUUAUCAAGCUCAAGUUUAGAUUGAGAAUAGCUUCUCUAGGUGUUCUUAACUAACAACUAUCAUAUGGAGGUUCAUGCAAAUUGGCAAAGGUAAAUUGUGCAUUGCAUAACAUUGCAUUAUACUGUUUUCAUAAAAUGAUGACUAGUCAUAUGUUUCUUGGAUGACUCGUCAUCCUUGCUCUCCAGCUUGAUAACCAACUUUUUUGUCCUAUUCCUUUUUCUCUCUCUGCUGCCACAUGGGAUUCUGACCUAAGGGUAUUUUUUGGUCUGUAUAGGCCUUGCGAUUCCUCUUUUGGCAAGCCGUCUCUUUUGUGUAGAAUUGGAGGAAAGAUUGGUUUUCUAUAUUUCCGUUCUUCUUCCACAAGAAAGAACAAUAUUUCAUCUAUGAGUUUUUCCAAAUUGAUUUCUUUAUGAAAAAACUGCAUUUGAAAUAUGAAUUUGCAUCUAGCUUCAUAAAAACAUUCUCUCAUUUAUAUCUAGGUCAGAUUCACUACUGAUUUCUUCAAGAGUAUGGUUUCUUGAAGAAAUUGGUUAUUCUCCCUUGAAUCCAAAUUUUGGUUUCUGUUUGAGUUGAGCUUGCAAGCUGGUGCCAUGGGAUGAAUGACUGAAGAAGGAGCUGCCAUUGCCAUGAAGAACUGGGCUUCAAGCUUUGCUAAGUUAGAGAAGAAGAUUGCACAAAGGAGGUAUUGCUCAUCUUCCUAAAUAGAUCUAGGUUUUGCUUGAGCUUGCUUGUGUUCCUUUGUAAGAAUCUUUUUCUACUUAGUUGAUUGCCUGGUCGGUUGAUGACCCCCAGUUUUUUCCCAAUGGUGGGUUUCUGGGUGAACAAUUUCUGAUUGCAUUCUUGUAAUUUUUCUGGGUUUGUGUUCUUGGUGGUCGACUAGUCAUCGUAUGAAUUAUGGUUGACUAGUCAUCAUUAUCUGCUGUUUGGUGUUUGCUUGAUUAUGCUGUCUUCACACGUUUUCACCAUAGUUGUUGCUAGCACAGGGGAUGCCUAGAUUGAUGGGUCUUUCUGAGUGCCUAGGUUGUCACUAGUAAUUCUCUAGGCCUGCAGGUACAUCAUGGUAUGUUCUAUGUAUGUUGUUGUUUGGUAUAAUUCAUAUCUGACAGUUGACUAGUCAUAAGAGUGUGUGAAGUUUGUUGCAUUUUUGGCUGAAUAUCUUUUAAGUUUACCCAUCGUCACCUAAGUACCGAUUUCAACAUGAGACCUUGCCACAGUAGAUUGAUAUAACUAAAUAUUAUCAUAAACAUAGAAAUAUAUAAGUAUUAUUAUAAUAGGAUUCAUAAUAAUUAAUAUAAAAGUAUAACAACAACAUUUACAAUUAUGUACCAAGAUAAUUACACAUAAAAAUAUAACCAAUAUAUAUUUAUAUAUAUUUUUUAAAAUACGGAUCUUUACGUAAAUGCCUUUCACGGGUCAAGCCACAAGUCUGUGUUUUGGGGAUUGCAGAGCUGCAUCAAUCUUGCCAAUGUCAAUUCUGACCCUGGGCUCUCUCAAAGCACGUUUAAAACCUAUGCUAACAUAUACUAGAGUUUAUGCUGUAUCUAGAAAAUGCCAACACUAAUUUCGUAACACAUAGAAUUGUUAGAGAUUAGAAGUUUUUAUCAUUUUUUCUUCCAGUCUCUCCACCACUCACUAAUACAGAUUACUCAUGUGAUGAGUUUACAAAACCUAUUUCUCUACUCUCGCAAAGACUAUACUUCUUCUCAAAAGACUAGAUCACUUUACCUCUAUCUCUGUGAAAUGUAAAAAGUUGAAACUUUAAUGUCAAACCUCGACAAAGUGUUCUACUUACAAACUUCUUGUGUCUACCAAUUUCUACAAAAAUUAAUUUCUCUACGGUGCUCAGAUUCAUCAUAUGUGUGUCCUUAAUUUUAGUGGAAAUUGGAAGUUUCCAUAAUUUUUGCUUUAAGUCACUCUUUUGAAGGAAGUUGAGAUUCCACUCCAUAAUCCAAAAUGUCAGGUUGACUUAUGGCAAACAAUGUAAAUAUGUAGGAGUACUAUGACCUUUUAUAGCAUUUUAAGUUUGAAUUUGGGUUUUAUACAUAGAUUUCGAAAUUAAUAGGUUGAUGCCUAGGAAAUAGAAAUUGUAAGGGCCUAUAUUAGACUAGCCCUCUUAAAAAAUAUAUUAAUUAAUGAAUAUUUGUUCUUCUUCUUGUUUUGAAGUAGUGGUGGGAGGCAGACCAACAACAAAAAUAUAGUGAAGGCUUAUAAGAGCAUUUACAAUUAUGCUCCCUAUUUUUUAGUUAAUAUUUAGGUAAAAAUAGAAAAAAGUUAUUAUAUGAGCUCUUUAUAAAAUUUGAACUCCAAUCAUACUCCCUAGUUUAGGGAGUCAAAAAUACUAUAGUUAUUUUUUAAUUCAAAUUGAUUUUGGUUAAUCUCUAUAAAUAAAUAAAAAUAUAAAAAAUAGUUAGCAUUAAUUAAAAGUUUAAACUAUGCAUAAAACAAAGAAACAUUAAAUUAUAGGGAGCCACUAUGAGUCAUUACUCUCUCUUCAGAUUUAGGAGCUCCUAGAGGUCUCCCUAUUUUAUGAGGUGGAUAAAGAGCAUGGUUGGAGUUGUAUUUCUUCAAUUUCCUCUCUAAAAUUUGUCUAAGGAUGUGGUUUAGGGAGCCCAUUGUGAAUGCUCUAACUCUGGUAAAACACGAGUGACAUGGACAACAUAUGUUACAUCGUACUGAAGAUUUUUGGGUUUCUUUAAUUGGUUAAGUAGCAUCCACAAUGAGCUUUCUAAAUCAUCUCCUUAGACAAAUUUUAGGGAGGAAUUGGAAAAGUACAACUCCAACUAUGCUCCCUAUCCACCAACUAAAAUAGAGAGACCUUUAGGAGCUCAUAAAUCUGAUGAGAGAGAAAGAACUCUUAAUGACCCCCUAUAAUUUAAUGUUGCUUUAUUUUAUGCAUAUUUUGAACUUUUAAUUAAAUCAAAUUAUUAUUUUUAUAUUAUUUUGAAUACAGCCGGAUCAAUUAUAUUAAAUUAAAAAAUAAUUAAAAUAUUUAUAACUCUCUAAACUAGAAAGCAUGAUUGUAGAUCAUCUUAUAUACCUUAAUUUGAAGAUUCUUUAUUUGGGUUUCUUUCAAGACUUAUCACCUUAGCCACACCACCUACACGUCUGCAAGCUUCCGUAAUCUAACAAGGAAGGGGAGGCUGCGCAAUACUUAUCACCUUAGCCACACCACCUACACCACAAGACCAAUAUGUGUAGUCCAGCAGGCUUUCCAAUUUUAAUAUAUAUUAUAAAAUAAAAUAAAAAUCAAUCUAUUAUCAUAUAUAUUAUAAAAUAAAGAUUAUUGCUCCAUCCUCCAUGCACUUGCAUGCCCUCUUACAAAGUGUGAAGUAGAUUUUGUGUGCUCCAAGUCAUUGACGAGAGCUGUAACAUGGUUAGCUGGAUUUAUAAGAUCUUUUCUUUUCUGGGAAUUUUCUGAAUUAAGAAAAAUCAAGUAAAAUUAAUAAAGCAUAAAUUAGAAAGGGAAAAUAUCUAGAGGAUGCAUUGUAGGAUUGCACAUGCCAAUAAUUGUAUCCUCUAAAUAUAUAGCGACACAUUUUUUUUGUUUUCAUGACUUGUGGUCCUAAAAUUAUUGUUCCUAGCGGGCUUUUCACCCUCUCUCGAUUGAAAAUCAAUUGUGUAAAUCUUCAAUCUUGAAUGAUGCACCUAAAACUCAAGUGUCCCAGGCCAAUUAUUGCUCUCAUACCACUUGUUGUAAUAAACAUUCACCCAUUCUAAAGGAAAGAUAACCAUCGAUAUUAUCUGAAAUUUAACCACUUAAGUUCAUUAUGAUUAACUAUGUAUCUUAUGGACCAAUCCAAUCGUAAGGUUUUAUACUCAAUUAGAUCGACCAAUACAAAGUUCACACUGGAUUAAAAAGGGCUAUCGGUAGGGGAGUGUUCGGCACCCUUUACUGUGGAGCGCAACACAAGACCCCUUGCAUGCCCUCACUAAGUUGAGCCCAACUAUUUUUGAGCAUUAACAAUAUAUAUAGAUUGAAAAAAUAAAAUAAAAAUCAAUCUAUUAUCAUAUAUAUUAUAAAAUACAUAUUAUUGCUCCAUCCUCCAUACACUUGCAUGCCCUCUUACAAAGUGUGAAGUAGAUUUUUUGUGCUCCAACUCAUUGACUAGGGCUGAAACAUGGUUAGUUGGAUUUAUAAGAUCUUUUGUUUUUUGGGAAUUUUCUGAAGCACGGAAAAUCAAAUAAAAUUAAUAAAGCAGAAACUGUACCCUUUAAUUAUAUAUGGACAUAUGUUUUUUUGUUUUCAAGUCUUAGAUGACAUGGGGACCCCUCUCAAAUUUAAGUGGUCCAUUAUUGUUAACCACAUAUUUUAUGGACCAUCCAGCUUCGGUACAUUUCUCCCACAUGCCACAAUUGUAUAUUCACAAUUACGUCUGAUACAUCACAUCAUGCCACUUGCCUCACAUGCCACAAUUGUAUAUUCACAAUUACUUCUGGGUACCCCUCAUCAGUCGUCUAUAAAAUGGUGAAGCCAGUUGCUACUGUUACCAUAAGAGCCAGCUCCGACUUUCUUUAAUUUCUUGCUACAUCUGUUGCUAAGUUAAUUUCAGUCCUAAUGGGGUUUCAUCUCCCACUCAUCUUUGCUAUUCUCAGUGUAAGCUCUGCAAUUUGAUUAACUUUUCCAUUCUCUCUCAUUGUACUCUAUAUAUAUAAAUGAAAGUUUUGUGUUCCUAUAAUUCUCUCCGAUUUUAUUUAGUACGUACUUAAGUGUCGUCCACUAAUUAAUUACACUUUGUGAGAUUUGAUUUUAAUUAGAGUUCGAAUUAAUGUUGCAGCUAGCAGCGGUUGCACUGGCAAACAAUGCUGCUCAACCAGCACCUCAACUUUACUGGAACUCCGUCCUGCCAAACACACAGAUGCCAAGAUCUAUCAGUGAACUUCUGCAUCCUGGUUUGUGUUCAGCUCUUUAUAAUCUUAGAUAUCUCUUCUACCUGCCAUUUUACUAAACUAUGUUCGACCACAUAUUUAUCAGUUAACUACUGUCAUUACAAGAAUGACACUUAUUUUCCAAUAUAAUUUGCAGACUCCACAAAUGAAGAAAAGAGCAAACCUGAAAUUUUCCCAUUGCAGGGCAAUAGAGUUUACACUCAAAGCCAUUAUAAAAAACGUCCUCCUCCUCCAUCUGACGAGGGCAAACCUGAAAAUUUCCCAUUGGCCAAUAGCUUUUACACUCAAACCCAUUAUAAAAAACGUCCUCCUCCUCCAUCUGACGAGGGCAAACCUGAAAAUUUCCCAUUGGGCAAUAGCCAUUAUUCUCAAACAGGGUAUGCAAAAGGUCCUCCUCCUCCUCCUAAAAUUUUCCCAUUUUCAGGUUACAGUCGAAAAAGGUAUGGAGGAAGUCCUCCUCCUCCUUCUCCAUUCGUUCAAAAAGACUAUGGACAGAACGAUAAACAUUACGUUCAAAAAAACUAUGGAAAAGUUCCUCCUCCACCUGACAAUCAACUACUCCAUUAUAAAGACUUGGCUAUUUUCUUCUUCGAGAAGGACAUGCGCCCUGGCGCAACAAUGAAGUUCCAAUUCCCUAGAAAUUCAAACACGGCUACUUUCCUGCCACGCGAAAGUGCUCAAUCGAUCCCCUUCUCCUCUAAGAAACUACCAGAAAUUUUCAACCAUUUUUCAGUGAAGCCAACAUCUGAGGAAGCCAAAACAAUUAAGCAAACAAUCGAAGAGUGUGAAGCUCCAGGCCUUAAGGGAGAGGAAAAAUAUUGCGCCACAUCUUUAGAAUCAAUGGUUGAUUUUAGCACUUCGAAGCUUGGAACAAGAAACGUUGAAGCAAUCUCAACGGAGGUAUUGGAAGAAGGAGCCACCAAGUACAUGCACAACUAUACAACAAUGCCGGGACUGAAGAAGUUGGAAGGUGACAAAGUCGUUGUGUGUCAUAAGGAGAACUAUCCCUAUGCUGUGUUUUUCUGCCAUGCAAUAAAACAAACAGCAGCUUAUGUUCUCUCCCUGAAAGCCGAUGAUGGGAUGAAGGUGAAAGCAGUAAC